UACUCUGUUUCAGUUUUGGUAUUAUAUUAUUUAUUCUAUUGUCACAACCUUUUUUCACCAUUUUGUAGUUUAUUGCCAUCUUACUGGCUGGGCAGGAGUAAGUUGUAUAUGAAUAGGCCUAUAAAUAACCUUUAUCAAUGAAGUUUGCCUUAUUACUGCAAUAGGAACACUUUCUAAGUUAAAAUGGAUAAAGAUGGCCAAUGAUAAAUUUAACAAGUUAACAGUUGCCUCACAUACUAACGAACUUCAAGUAAAAUAUUUUAAGCUUUUUCUUAGUUUUACAAACUGCUAGUAAAAUUUUUUAAGCUUUUUCUUAGUUUUCUUUGGAUACAUGCUACCCAGUGUUCAUUCCUUUGGAUGUUACUUUCAAUAUUUUACCAAGUAGCUUCUGUUUUGAGCUGUUUUUCAUCUUACUUCGCAAUAAUCUAUGUACAUUUGCUGGCACAGGAAUGUAAUAUUGAGGAGAUUCCGGAGGAGGAGGAACCUCCAGCAAAAAGUUCGAAGGAUAAAAAGGCUAAUGGACCUGAUUCUGGGAAAGCACCAAGUCUUGUAUUUAAGAUUACUAGCAAAAUUCCUUAUAAAACUGUUCUGAAAGGUAUUCUUUAUGUUUAAAUCAUGGAGUUCCUCUGGCGGUAAAUUUUCUUUUUUUAUUCAUUUUUUCAAAUUGAUCUGCCUUUAUCUUGCAGCCCACAAUGCUGUUGUUUUGAAAGCUGAGAGCACCGCUGAUAAGGCGGAAUGGAUAAACAAGAUAAGCAAAGUUAUUCAAGCUAGGGGAGGACUUGUUAGAGUUGCUGAAAGUGGUCAUACGAUGCGUCAGAGUCUUUCUGAUGGUUCUCUUGUGAGUUUAAACUCUCUUAACUUUGCAAUACAAAUUUUGAAGUAAAGAGCUACUUACCUGUGAAGGAUGUUGUUCCUUUUGCAUAUGCAUAGAAAUUGUGAUCGAGUGUUAAUUUCUUUUCUUGGUGGUUUUUCUAGGAUACAAUGGCUCGAAGACCUGCUGACCCUGAGGAAGAACUUCGAUGGAUGUCUCAAGAAGUACGUGGUUACGUUGAAGCAGUUUUGAAUAGUUUAGCUGCUAAUGUGCCCAAAGUAAGCUCAUUCCUUAACUUUGCCAAUUUAAUAUUUUCAGUUGGUUACUUAAUAGAUCUGAUAUUUUUGUGAAUGGUUGAGCAGGCAGUUGUACUUUGCCAAGUCGAGAAAGCGAAGGAAGACAUGUUGAAUCAGUUAUAUAGCUCCGUCAGGUUGAUGGCUUUCUUAUUUCUCUCUUAUCAAUUAAUGAUCAUUUUGUUUGUAGUAAUUGUGCAUGGAUUCAAUAUAUGGUAACAUUAUUGAAAUUUUGUUUAGAAAGCUGAUUGAUGCUAACAUAAUUUGUAUUUUACCUUGGGUAGUGCACAAAGCACGGCAAGGAUUGAAGAGCUGCUUCAGGAGGACCAGAAUGUGAAGCGUAGGAGGGAUCGCUAUCAGAAACAGUCUGAACUCCUGUCUAAACUAACCCGCCAACUUAGCAUUCAUGACAACCGAGCGGCUGCUGCCUCUAACUGGUCGGACGGUGGUGGUGGAGCAGGUACGUGGUCUUUUGUUCAUAUACCAAGUGGAAAAAAUUGUUCAAUUUAACAUUUCCCUUUUGUCUGUUUAAAAAAUUAUAACAUUGAACUUUUGAGUAAAUAUCUAUAGUCUAAUGACAGUGGAUCUUUUCUUAACCUAAUUGUUUGCUGAUUUUGGAAUUAAAAAUUUUGUUCUGAACUUGAAUUAAUCUACUGUUUGAUUAUUGGAAAGGUUUCUCAGGUGACACUCAAGAAAUGCUAACCAAACCUAUUAAUUGCUUGAACUGUCUUACUAUUGAGCUACUUUCUGACAAAAGAUUGUUAGAUUGAUUUGUUUGUACCAUUGGAUUUUAAAAUUUUUAUUUAUUUGUACCAUUUAAUUAAAAAUGUUUUUUUUAUAAGACCGUCAUUUUGAUUUUAAAAUGUUUGUUAAAUCUCUAUUUGAAACAUUUUGAUGAUGGAAGUAUUGGGUUAUGUAAUAUGCAGAAAGCAGCCCUAGAACAAGUGCCGCAUCAGGUGAUGACUGGAGAUCCGCAUUUGAUGCUGCUGCCAAUGGACCUGUAAGCCUUCGCAGCUACUCUCGGUCUGCAUCCAAUGGGCACAGCCGGCGUUACAGUGAUCCAGCCGAGAAUGGUGAUGUGAGAUCUGGUUCAAACUCGGGCAGUCGUCGUACUCCUAAUCGGGUGCCGCCGCCUCCGCCACCAACACAGUCAGGCUCCAAGUACUUUUAGGUGGCUUACAGAUUUUGGUUGACAAUUCAUAUUUUCUCUGCAUAUUUUUAGUGAGUGAAGGCCUGCUUAACCACUCAUGAUUCCAGUAGUUGGUUAAUCACUUCUUUAGAAUCUUCAAAAGAGGGUGCUUUGUGUAAAUAGGACUCUAUAGUUCCUGAGCUGAAAGUCAGGAUUUUACGGCUUGCCCCUUGUCAGAACUAUGAAUUCAAAGUGUAUUUGAAUUCCAUUUAUCAUAUUCUUCUAUUCAUUAUUUUGUUUUUGUUUUUGCUUUUGCUUUUGGCUCCUCCCCUCAUUUUUGGACGAUGGUAUAGUUGUAUUUGUUUGUGUCAGUUCUGGAUAUAUGCUUUCGGACUUUUGGCUUUGUAUCAUUUGGAAAAUUCUUGUAAGGGGAGAGAUAUAAAAAUAUUUCAUAUAUCUACUUCUCUAUUAAAGAUGCAACUUUUUGUUGUAUUUCUGAGUUGGGAUGUUGCUCGGCGAUUAGUUUUUUUGUUUUUUUUUUGACAGUAAUUGGUCUCAUUAUAAUAUAACUAACUCUUUUGAUUGUUACUGAUUUAGUGAAUCAAGGUGGCCAUCAUACGGGGCAUAUUUAAUAUGUUUUCCCUCUACGUUAUUUGUUUAAUUUUUAUUUUAUUUUUAUCAACUAAUUUUUAUGCACCUCAGUUAGUCUGUAACUGUACGAGUAUAAUGGUUUAUUUAUGUUUUUUUUUUUAAUAUUUUGAAGUAAUCUAUCUCUUAUCAAACUGCAACAAGUUAAUAGAUUAUUUUCGUUAGAGCCCGCGGACAGACGCAAAAGCCUAUACACUAGACAGUCAUUGCCGAUAGUUAUGGUGCGAACAAUUUGAGAAUGACUGUAGCUCUUAGUUUUUCUCUCUUAAUUUGCAAUGAUAGUUACAAGUAAAUUUGAGAUUUCUUCUUAUAAAAUGAUUUGUGAAAUUAAUGCGUUCACUUAAAUAUUAAUCUGGUAUAUUCUUUUAAUAUAAUUUUUUUUAAUUUAAACAUCCAAAUUGAUUAUAGAAUAAAUGUAGUAGACUCCAAUUAAUUUUGUAUUAUAUAUAUUAAUAUUUUUGUAACGUAAUUUCGUGACUUGUAUAUGAACAUUUUCCUUGUACAAUUUCUUUUAAUAAUUGCAAUAUAGUAUUGACUCAAUCCUAUUAGGGAUUUAUUUAUUUAUUUUUCUUUUUUUUUCUUUUUAAAUCUCGGCAAAGCUUAAAGAGGAGAGCCAAGAGAGCAAAUUUGUUAAACAAACAAAUUAGAAAAACGAAAGGCAUUAAGGUAAUAGCUGAAAAUCAUAAACAAUUGUACUUCCUACAUUGCGGCGUGGAAAUAUACGAAUAAAUUAUGAAGCAAAAAUUUUCAGACAUACUGAAGUUAAAAUUUUUAGACACAUUGAGUUCAGACCGUUAAAUAAAAUAAAUUAAUUUGAUUCCUUUUACUAUAACCUUUUUUUUCGCAAAAUUUGUUAAGGAAUAUGCACUAACAAAUGUAGCCAUAUCUAUGAUGGUACCUGAAACUUUUUCUCUAAUCUCUCCUAUUUUGUUCUUCAAUUAUUGCCGCUUUAUAAAUAUUUGUUUACGAUGAUCGAAAGAAAAAGUUUAGGUACUACAGUUACUUUUAGUCAUUAGAUAUAGUUAAUGUAAUUGUAUAACUGUGGAUUUAACGACUACAAAUAACUGUAAUACCAUACCACAGUUGCAACAUAAUUUUACCCCGUUAAUUGAGUGUGUUAAAUAGGUGUUCAGGGUAAUAAUGUUAUAUUUAUUUACAAUAAAUUAUUUUUAAUAGUAAUUAUAUUAUAGAUGUUUUUAUAAUAAUUUUUUAAUUAAAAUAUAAGUAUUUUUAAUAAUUUUUCAAUUAAGUCAAUCAGUCAAAGAUCCAGUGGUUAGAGCAGCAACUGUUAAAGAGAACCGAUGUGUUCUGCAUAGUCGCGAUCAUUUUGAUUCAGUAAUUGUUUUCAUCUCAUCAAAUAUCUUUCUAGUCAAUUGAAUUUUUGUUAUGGCUGCUUAUUCUUCUUCUCCUUCUUCUCCUCGAAACCGUAAGUAUGAUGUUUUUCAAAGUUUCAGAGGAGAGGACAACCGUGACAACUUUACUGGCCAUCUUUAUUCAGCCUUGUCUCAGAAAGGCAUUGAAACUUUCAUUGAUGACCAGCUUAACAGAGGAGAUGAAAUUUCACAGUCGCUUGUGGAUGCAAUUGAAGCAUCAGCUAUUUCACUCAUCAUUUUCUCUGAAGGGUAUGCCUCUUCCAGAUGGUGUCUCGAUGAACUUGUCAAAAUCCUCACACGUGAGGUGGCGAACUGGGUCUUUUGGGGAUUCAUUUUUGAAGCUUGAAGAAAUGUUCAAGGAGAAUUCAGAGAAGCUGCAGACUUGGAGGAAUGCUGAUACAACCUUCCACAUUCAGCUGGAUCAACCGGAUUAUUUACGAGAAGGGCAGCCCAUCGAUGAGUCUAAUUGUGUGCAGCCCAUGAAGGAAGCCUCAUCACAAGUUGAAGUAGACAUAGCUCGUGAGGAAGGGUAUACCGGCACAAGAGUGAGAAGAUCCCCUGGGUGGUUUAAAGAUUAUGUCGUAUAGUGAAAUUGAUAAAGCUUUAUAUUUUGCUGGUUUAUGUUGCUGUCAUAUUUUCUGUUACAAAGUUAUGCUGAGCUGUAUUCUUUUAAAAAGCCAAAAGACAGAGGAGUAUAUGUAUAGCAUAACUAAUUCGUGCAAAAGGAAUCCAGAAUGAAUCAUUUCUUUUUAACUUUUCUCUAUUCUUCUCUCACUCUCCAUCUCUCUCCCCACUCUUGCUCAUCUUUGUCAAUUUCUUUUGGAGUCAGCCCUCACUCGAAGAGUGCAAAUUUAUCGAUACAGCCUUGAUUGCAGAGAGGUGUAUCAAAUGCUUUGAAGGAAGCGGCCGGUCUGUCCGGCUUUCAUUCUCAGAACAUUAGGUAAUCAAAUUUCUUUUCUCAUACCAUUAUGGUGAUGCAACAGAAUGUUAUUUUCUGCUUGAUUAAUUACCAGCGCCCCAGCCAGUUAUAGUGAAUUUUUUUUUGUCAAGUAUGCUGAAUUAUGUACUUCAAUUUUAUUAGGCAUCCUAGUGUCUUCCGGCAAGUGAUUUGUGGAAUUGAUAUUUGACGGUUACAUUUGGUGUGCUAAAUUCUGUAUGUGUUAAACUCAUUUGAAAGAAUUUUGACAGAGUUAUUGAAAUCAGCAUUUGUGUGUUUUCAUUGGGUGUUCUUUCAUAUUUCAAGUAAUUCCAAUCUGUCACUCAUAUUCCUAUUUAAGAGUUAUUGUCAUAUUUUCGUGCAAAUCCCUCCUAUUUGAACUUAUUAUUUUACAUAUUUGCUAGGUCUGAAUCAGAACUUGUAAAGGAAGUUGUUAAUCAAAUUUUGAAGAGGCCGGCUGAAGUCUCUCCUUGUAGUAAUAAAAACCAGUUGGUUGGAGUUGAAUCAAGAGUUGAGGAAAUUGAAUCUCUACUAGGUGCUGAGUCGAAAGAUGUUUACGCUUUAGGGAUUUGGGGCACUGGUGUUAUAGACAGGACAACAAUUGCUAGAGCUAUUUUCAAUAAAAUCUCUAGUAACUUUGAAGGUUCUUGCUUCCUUCAAAAUGUUAGAGAAGAAUCACAAAGACCGGGAGGAUUAGGUUGCUUGCAACAAAAACUUCUUUCAAAAUUAUUGCAGGAUGGCAAUGUGAUUCCUGAUAUUGCCCUGAGCUUUAGACAGCUCAGCCGCAGGAAGGUUCUGAUUGUUCUUGAUGAUGUGACUUGUUUCAGACAAAUAAAAUCCUUAAUCGGAAGUCUUGAUUGGUACAUGGCAGAGAGUUGAAUCAUAAUAACAAGAAGAAAUCAACAAGUGCUUAGAAAUUGUUGUGUCAAAGAGAAAUAUGAGAUGAAGGAAUUAGGAGAUGAUCAUGCACUUGAGCUUUUUAGUCGACAUGCCUUCAAACAAAACAAUCCUCAUAUAGGUUUUGAGGAACUGUCAAGCAGGGUCACACAAUAUGCUCAAGGUGUUCCAUUAGCUAUUGAAAUUUUGGGUUGUUUUCUAUUUGAAAAAGAAAAACAAUUUUGGGAAAGUGCAAUAAACAAAUUGAAAAGAAUCCCUAAUAUGGAAAUCCAGAAGGUGCUAAAAAUAAGUUUUGAUGGUUUGGAUGAUGAAGAGAAAAAUAUUCUUCUAGACAUUGCUUGUUUCUUUAAAUGGAAAAAUAAAGACUUGGUCAUAAAAUUUCUUAAUGCUUGUGGCUUCACUGCACAAAUAGGAAUAAGUAGUCUUGUUGACAAGUCUCUUAUUUGUAUGCACGGCAACAAUAUAACAAUGCAUGAUCUUCUACAAGAAAUGGGUAGGGAAAUUGUACGGCAAGAAUCAACGAAUGAUCCAGCAAAACGUAGUCGGUUGUGGCAUCAUGAGGAUAUUAUCAAAGUCCUGACAUCUAAUACGGUAAGCAUUUUGUUAGAGAAUAUAUUAUUUUGGAAUGCUAUUUAAUAUUCAAAGUUUACUUAUAAUUGUAUAAAUAGAUGGGUUUAUAAAAUUUAUAAAAGAUUGGCAAUGAUUAAGUGGGAAAAAAAAAAGAAAAAUUGGAAAAAAGGAAACCAGUAGUACAUGAUGUAGCAAUAAUGUAUAAUUGCUAUGUCAAUUUGUAUAUAACAGUUUGCGGACAAGCAUUGAUAGUUUAUACGUUGUCUGCAUUGAUAGUUUAUAUGUUUAGUAUUACUUGUAUUAUCCUGUUUCUUUGUAAGUAGGUUUAGAUUUACCAGUUUGAUUGCCAAACAAUAACUAUCUACUUGAAUUGUAUAAAUUUGAUUUUAACAUUAUGGUCUUUUUAUUGAUUAUUAGGGGACUGAAGCAAUUGAAGGCAUUUGCUUGGAUAUGUCUAAAGUGAAAGAGAUCCAUCUAAAUCCUGAUACUUUCACAAAGAUGAGUAAAUUGAGAUUUUUGAAAUUCUAUUGCUCAAUCCAUGGAGAGAACAAAUGUAAGGCAUCUGAUUUCUAAGGUCCUGUAUUUGCUGAAGUGAGGUAUUUUCACUGGCAUGGAUAUCCAUUGAAAUCACUGCCUUCAAAUAUUCAUCCAGAGAAACUAGUUUUACUUGAAAUGCCUCAUAGCAAUAUUCAACAACUUUGGGAUGGUGUCCUGGUAUGUAUAUCUUAACAUAUGCAUGCAAUGUUUAAGUCAUAACAUUUAAUUAUCAUAGCAUGCUAAUGAUUUGUCUUGACCUCUUUUUUGUCUCAGCAGCGUUGUGGUAAGCUAAAGCAGAAAAUCAUCUCUGCCUGCAAUAUUUUUACCAAAACUCCAAACCCCUCGUUGAGUCAACCUCUGAACACGCUGGUUGUCCUGAAUCUAAGGCAUUGCAAAAGUCUGAAAAGUCUUCCAGCUGGAAUUCAUUUGGAAUUUCUUAAAGAAUUUGAUCUUUCAGGUCGUUCAAAACUGAGGCGGCUUCCAGAUAUCUCAUCAGCUGCUAAUAUAGAAGAGAUGCUUUUAAAUGGAACUGCAAUUGAAGAGCUGCCCUCAUCCAUCGAGUGUCUGUAUAAGCUUUUGCGCUUGGACCUUGAAGAUUGCAAAAGCCUUAAGAGUCUCCCAAGUGGCCUGUGUAAGUUAAAAUCAUUAAAAUAUCUUACUCUCAAUGGUUGCUCAAAUCUUCAGAGAUUGCCUGAUGAACUCGGAAAUUUAGAAGCUUUGUGGAGUUCGCAUGCUAUAAGAACUGCUAUAAGAGAAGUGCUAUCAUCUUUUUUCCGUUUGAACAACAUUGAUCUCUUAAGUUUCCAGAGAAGCAGGGGUCAUAAGCAGAUGGGUUUAUCAUUGCCUAUCAUGUUAUCUUUAGAUGGCUUGCACACUCUAACGUAUUUAAAUCUAACUAAUUGUGGCAUCACACGGUUACCUGAAAAUAUUGGCCAGUUAUCCUCGAGAGAAUUCCAGAAAGCAUCAUACAACUUUGUAAGUUGGGAAGGUUCUACUUAAGGUAUUGUGAGAGGCUUCAAUCCUUACCAAAGCUUCCAUGCAAACUACAUGAGUUGGAUGCACAUCAUUGCACGGCACUGGAAUCGUUAUCAGGUUUAUUCUCAAGUUAUGAAGCUUGUACUCAGUAUUUUGACCUGAGUUAUAAUUAUAAAUUGGAUCGAAAUGAGAUCAGAGGAAUUCUUGAAGAAGCUCUGCAAGAAAUUCAACUCUUGGCAACUGCACGAUGGAAAGAAGUAAGAGCGGAGUUAUUAAUUUCUUUUUUCUUCAAAUUAAAGUUGACAAUUAAUAUUUGAUUAAAAUUAUGAUUUUCUGUGGUACAGAUAUAUUAUUCUCAAAAAUAUGCACUGUUGGUUCGUGUCUUUUUUCCUGGGGAUGAAAUUCCGAUGAGGUUUAGCUUUCAAAGUAUGAAAUCUUCUAUAACCUUGAAGAUGCCACCAGGUUGGUUCGGUAAUAAAAAGGUACUCGGCUUUGCUUUUAGUGCUAUUGUGGCAUUUGGAGAACAUAAUGUCAGAGAAAAGAGGUGGUUCGAAUUGUUUUGUGAAUUCAAAGUCAGACCCAAAGAUUCGCAUGCCAUACAGAGAUUUAUGGGGAUGGUUGAUUAUGUAGAGUCAGAUCACUUACUUUUGGGAUACUAUUUCUUCGAUGAUCAGGAUUUGAAUGGUUUUUGGAAAUACAAUUGCAUUCUUGAGGCAGUUCAAUUCUAUUUUAAGGAGGAUUUUAUCGCUCUGAACGUUUGGAGUGUUGCCCGGUGAAAAAAUGUGGGAUCCAUUUAUUGUAUGUACCAGACUCUACAAAAUCAAUGGAAGAUCCAAGUGAAUUUUUCUACCAUAACCAUGAAGAGGAACGACACCCCAAAAGACUCAAAUAUUCUUGAAAACGUGUAUUGCAGCUGGUAUUUUUGAGAAGAGAUAUGUUAGAUUAAUUCAUCGGUACUGUUUGAUCUUAAAAUGUUGCUUUCCAAACAUUUCUUUUAUGAUUUUAUAUUUUUAUAUGAAGAUGGAAGUGACUUUUAGAUGUUUUUCAACUCUUUUAUUUUGAUAAAAGCUACAUUUCACGUCCAGUACUAUUGUUUGGUCCAAGCAGUUAUUGUUUGACUUUUGGUUGGUCUGGCUAGUGUUUAGAUCCUUGUGUAUUUGUGUUUAUUUGGUUUCUGCAUGAAAUGUAUAUUAAAUCAAAUUUACAAUGCAUGUAAGUCCGUUUAUAGUUUAGACAUAAUUUUCGGCCACUAUUACUUUAAGAUGUUCGGAUCAAUGCUUCCUUAUCAGUAGUAAAUUUUUGCUGAAUUCUUUUGGGAAAAUUUCUCUGCAACUAGCUUAUGUUGAAAUCUCUGUAGUCUUGUUUGGCUGGAAAGACAGCAUCAGGUGUUGGAGGUGAACUAGAAACGAACUUCAAAAAAGGCAACUGAGGUAGAUCAAGGGAUUGUGAACAGGGUAUGGGGUCCUUUUCCUGAUAUAAUCGGAUUACGACUUCAAAUGACAAAUGCAUUGAGUAGACACUUUUUCCUUUGAAAUGAGUAUCUAAACUAUGCUGCUCAAUGGUUCUAGUGUUAUAAAACUUUGGAAAUGAGUUACAUUUUAGCCUCUAUUCACUGAUUUUUAUACGUCUUUCCAUAUAAAUAUAUAGACAGAGGUACAUACCUAAUUCAACAUUUCUUCCUAUAUAGCUAGUAUUCAUAGAGAUGCACCGAUAUAUGGAGCAUUUUGCUGUUAGUAUUAACAACUUUUAUUUAUUCCUAUAAGUUCUUUGUAGAAACAAUCAGGUGAUGACUGGAAAUCUGCAUUUGAUGCUGCUGCUGCCAAUGGACCUGUUAAGCCAUCGCAGCUACUAUCGUUCUGCAUUCAAUGGUCAUAGCGGGGAUUACGGUGAUCUGGCCUAGAAUGGUGAAGUGAGAUCUGGUUCAAACUCCAGCAGUCAUCGUAAUCCUAAUGAGGUGCUGGCACCACCCCCACCAGCAGCAGAGUCAGGAGGCUAUAGGCACUUCCAGUUGGCUUACAGAUUUUGGUUGACAAUUCAUAUAUUCACUGCAAAUUUUUAGUGAGUGAAGCCCUGUUUAACCACUCCGUGAUUCCAGUGCUUGUUCAAAAAUCACUUUACUAGAAUCUUUAGAAGAGGGUGUUUUGUGUACAUAGACAUAGGACUCUAUACGGCUAGCUUCAUGUCAAAGCAAUGAAUUCAAAGUGUAUUCAAAAUUCAUUUACUAUAUUCUUUCUUCUUUUCAUUAUUUUGCUUUUAUUUUUGGUUCCUCCCCUCACUUUUGGACAACGAUAUAGAUGUAUUUGCUUGUAUCAGUUCUGGUUAUAUACAUACUCUUGGACUCGUGGCUCCGUUUAGAAAAAAAAAAAAAAUUCUUGUAAUGGGAGGUAUGUAUUUUAUUUCAUAUACUCACUUCUCUGCUCAAGAUUCUGCUACUAUAAUCAAAGAUGCAACUUUUUGAACUAUUAUUUAUGCCAAAAAAUUCAGUAGUUAUUAUUAUUAUUUUUUUGACAGCAUAUCUCUUCUUUGAUUGUCUCACAUAUUUAUGGAAUAUUUAAGGAAAGUAAAUAGCUUUUGUUCACAAAUUGUUUUUGUUAGAGCAAAAUAGAAUUCUGACAAAUUCGAGAAUUGACCAAGAAAGCAAAGGGUAGCGUAUGAAGUUGCGGGUUGAAAUUACGGUGCUUUUGGGCAAUUCACACCCUCUAGAACCUUUCCAGCUGUCAUUCACUUUUUCUUUCUCCACUUGAAUAACGCGGAAUAAUUUCAAAUAAAAGUGAACAAAGCUGCAUUUUAAGUAAAAUUAUUGUCCAGAGAGCCAAGGAAAUCAAAUGAGAUGAAAUUAUCAAGAAACAACCUGUUUUUACUCUGCACAGAUACUACAGUCACUAACGUUUGCUCGAGAAAAAUACGCCGACUUUUCCGGGAAAUUUUUUUAUAUAUAUAUAUGAAAUAUAUAUAUAUAUAUAUAUAUAUAUGAAAGGAGUGAAAAAAUUUUGAACUUUAGAAAUUCUUUUUUGACUUUAGAAAUAGUGUAACACUAUUCACAUCAAAGAAGGAAGAUAAUGAGGCCAAUUCCCCAUAUAUAAAGCCAACAAAAUUAAAUUGAGUGAAGCCUUGCUUAAAAAACCCAUUCCAUGAUCCCAGUCCCACCACGCACUUUGUAUAAAAUUCAAUUUAUUAGAAUAAUUGGAAUCAUUAGGAGAGGAAAUAUAUUUGUGUGCUUAGGACUACAUAUAGUUCCUGAUGAACGUUGGGAUUUUUACGCGUGCCCCUUGCCUCCAUGUCUAAACAAUGGAUUUAAUUAAAUUGCAUUUGAAAUCCACUAAGCAUAUUCUUCCUUCAUUGUUUUGUAUUUUUUUUCUCUUUUUUUUCCCCAUUUUUCAAUCCUAUCUCAUUUUUGGAUGAUAUAAUGAACAUGUUUGAUCAGUUCUGGUCGGUUAUCAUUUGGAAAUAUUACAUUUUUUUUAUCCCAAUGCGAUAUAUUUUCUUCUCCAUUGAAGAUUCUCUGGACGCUAUUAACCAAAAAAUGCAACUUUUUUUCUGUUUAUAAAUUGCUUCUGUACCCAAAGUUGCAAGUACUUACCAAUAAUUUGAUAAACUUCAAUAAUAAAUAGGAUUUAAAAAAUGAACUUGAAACAUCUAUGUAAAAUAUUGGAAUUCAAUGAAAAGAGUAGGAAUAUAAAACCAAAAAGUUGUGGAAAAAAGAGUUGAAGAGCUAACCUAAAACUCGGAAAGAACUACCGAAAAUCUGAUAAAUCCAAUAAGAAGUAGGGAUCAAAAAAUAAACUCGAAACAUUCACAAAAAAUAUUGGAAUUAAGUUAAAAGAGUAGAAAUAUAGAACAAAAAAAUGGUGGAAACAAGAGUUGAAGAGUAACACAGGAGUGUUUGAAAUAUUUGGUAAUCAAGUUAAGUCAAGUGCAGCUCAAGUUCUUACAUUAAUCAAGUGAGCAGAAUUUCUGUGCAGAAGGGGCAUCUUUGGGAAUUAAACUGUACUGCAUGAGAUCGAAUUAAUUUUCGAACCAUACAUCAUUGGAAAGAUAUUUCUGUUAGCUUUCCAAUGAAUUUUACUAAUCUAAAUUUGGAGUUUUCUACAGUAAGUUAUGAUCAGUUAAGUGCAGACUGUUCAGUUUUUGAGUCAAGAAGGAUAUUUCGGGACUUGGAUUUUUUUUAAUGUUCUUUGUUGUGUUUUAAGCAUACCAAUGUUUUAUUAAUGUCUAGCUUUAAUGUUGGUCUUUAAAGUCAAGUUAUUUGAAGGGUUUCUUUGUAGUAAAUCUAUGCUUGGAGGAUUGUUCCAAGAAAGCUAUUUAAGCUUAUGUAGUUGUAACCAAAGGACAGAGAUUAAUUUUGGGAAUUGGAUGAACUUUGAGUUAUUAUCAAACUCUGUAUCUCUUUGGUGGAUUCCAUUGAGUGGUGAGUAUUUUUAAGCCCUGUAUCCUUAGCUUAACAACUUUAGGUGGUGAAUUUUUCUGUAUCCUUUUGUUGUUUGCUGUGGUGGUGAGCUUGUGAAUUCUUGGGUGUGUGACGUUGUGUUUUCUCAUCUAUUGUGUCCGGUGUCAAAUUGGUAUCAGAGAAUUGGGUUCUGAAAAUUUAUGGCUCAACGACGUCGGCGUAAUGCAAGAGUUGCAGAGCCUCUUGUUCGUGAGAGGGACUUGGGUGAUAUAGAAAGGGAUGAUCUUAGAAGACAAGUAGAACAGCUUCAGCAACGAUUACAACACCUUGAAGGAACUCGAGAAGCUGCUCCUAAUGGUAGUUCGGAAGAAGAAGGCUCAAUCAAUGACGGGGUAGAUUAUAAUCCCUUCCAUCAGGAACAAAGCUCCAAUAGUGAAUUUUCUUCUCGUUCUCGAAUUCAUAGGCGUCGUAAAUCUUAUCAGCCUUUCGACUUCAAGAUCGAAAUUCCUGAAUUUGAAGGAAGAAUGCAACCAGAAGAGUUUGUUGAUUGGCUUAAUACUGUUGAACUCAUUUUUGAAUACAGAGAUGUGCCUGAAGAUCGCAAAGUGAAACUCAUUGCCAUUAAACUUAAAAAGUAUGCUUCUUUAUGGUGGGAAAAUCUUAAGAGGCAAAGGAAACGAGAGGGACGGAGGAAAAUUGUUACUUGGGAGAAAAUGAAAAAAGAGCUUAAGAGAAAGUUUUUGCCCGAUAACUACAGGCAAGAUAUCUACCUUAAAUUCCACAACUUCAGGCAAAAGGAAUUGUCAGUGGAAGACUAUACAGCAGAGUUCGACAAUCUAAUGAUGAAGUGUGAUUUGGUAGAGGCGGAAGAGCAUACGAUCGCACGCUAUCUGGGUGGUUUAAAACCUGAGAUUGGUAAUGUGGUCCAGCUCCAACCAUAUUGGACUUAUAGUGAUGUAUGCAGACUUGCUCUUAAGGUGGAAAAGCAACAAAAAGAUGCUUGUGGUGGGGGUAUUCGGUUCACAGUUCAUGAUGUCAAUCGAGGGAGUGACUCCGUUUCUAAGCAUAAUUCUGGUUCGAAUUCUACUGCAAAGAAAAUUACGAGGAUUGAUAUUGGGGAAGGAUCUAAACAGCGAGCAAGUGGUUCGAAUGCUAGUUCUCGUCAAUGUUUUAAAUGCCAUGGUUAUGGGCACAUUGCUUCUGAGUGUCCUAAUCGUAGGGUGGUUGCCCUUGUUGAAGAGGAAAGCGAUGACGAGGAUGCGGAAGAUCAUGAGAAUCCUAGUGUCGAAAAGGAUGUUGAAGAUGAAGAAGUUACAUUUGCUGAUGAUGGAAACUCUCUAGUUAUUCAAAAGAGUUUGAGUAUUGUUUGUGAAGAUGGGGAAGAUUGGCUGAGAAAGAAUAUCUUUCAUACCAGAUGCACUUGUCAUGGAAAGAUAUGUAAUGUCAUUAUUGAUAGUGGCAGUUUUGAGAAUGUGGUAGCAACUGAAAUGGUGAAGAAGUUGAAGCUCAAAACGGAGCAGCAUCCUCAGCCUUAUAAACUUUCUUGGCUUAAAAAGGGAAAUGAGAUUGAGGUAAACACACAUUGCCUUAUUUCAUUUUCUAUUGGGAAUAAAUAUAAAGAUGAAGUUUGGUGCGAUGUUGUCCCUAUGGAUACAUGUCAUUUGCUUUUGGGUCGUCCUUGGCAGUACGAUAGAAUGGUUGUUCAUGAUGGUUAUAGGAAUACUUAUACUUUCAUUAAAGAUGGAGGUAAAGUCAUUUUGGGUCCUUCAAAGGUAGAGAAAAGUUCUAAACCUAUCAAAGGAGUGGAAAGCAAUUUGCUGACUGUUUCAGAUUGUAAAAAAAAAUUGGAAAUGGGUAGUGAAGUUUACGUGCUGCUGGUGUUUGAGGAAAAUGAAGAUAGCAAUGAGCCGCCUUUGAUUAUGAAGUAUUUUCUUGAAGAAUUCUCAGAUGUUGUUCCAGAAAAAUUACCACAUGGCCUUCCUCCUAUGAGGGACAUUCAACAUUGCAUUGAUCUUAUUCCGGGUUAUGUACUACCAAAUAAAGCGGCUUAUCGAAUGAAUCCAAAGGAGCACGAAGAAUUACAGAGGCAAGUUGAAGAGCUAUACAAGGAUGAUUCUUUCUUUGGCAGGAUUUGGAGAGAAUGUGAGAAUGGAUCAUAUGACCAGUACCAAUUGCAUGAUGACUUUCUUUUCAAAGGGAAUCGUUUAUGUAUUCCUCAGUAUUCUUUGCUGGAAUCUAUUAUCAUGGAGGCACAUGGCAGUGCUGUUGGAGGUCACUUUGGAAGGGAUAAGACGUUAGCUUGCUUGCAAGGUAAUUUCUAUUGGCCAAAGAUGGAUAAAGAUGUUGUGCAUCAUAUGCAGAGGUGUAAAAUAUGUCAUAUUGCCAAAGCUCAUGGUCAAAACACAGGCCUAUACAAUCCUUUACCAGUCCCUGAAGCUCCUUGGGAAGAUGUUAGUCUAGACUUUGUUGUUGGGUUGCCAAGAACUCAAAGAAACAAAGACUCUGUCAUGGUGGUGGUUGAUCGAUUCUCAAAAAUGGCUCAUUUUGUUCCGUGUAACAAGACAUUGGAUGCCUCUCAUGUGGCUGAUUUGUACUUCAAGGAGAUUUGGUUUGGGUUCAUCUUAGGAAAGAUCGUUUUCCACCUGGGAAAUUUGCUAAACUUAGACCAAGGGCUGAUGGACCAUUUACAGUGUUGCAACGCAUUGGUGAUAAUGCUUACAAGAUUGAGCUACCAGAUGGCUAUGGUGUUUCGUCAACAUUCAACAUAUCAGACUUGUCUCCUUAUCAUGAAGAAAAUGAUCAAAACUCGAGGUCGAAUUUUUUUUUUCAACUAGGGGAGAUUAACACAGGAGUGUUUGAAAUAUUUGGUAAUCAAGUUAAGUCAAGUGCAGCUCAAGUUCUUACAUUAAUCAAGUGAGCAGAAUUUCUGUGCAGAAGGGGCAUCUUUGGGAAUUAAACUGUACUGCAUGAGAUCGAAUUAAUUUUCGAACCAUACAUCAUUGGAAAGAUAUUUCUGUUAGCUUUCCAAUGAAUUUUACUAAUCUAAAUUUGGAGUUUUCUACAGUAAGUUAUGAUCAGUUAAGUGCAGACUGUUCAGUUUUUGAGUCAAGAAGGAUAUUUCGGGACUUGGAUUUUUUUUAAUGUUCUUUGUUGUGUUUUAAGCAUACCAAUGUUUUAUUAAUGUCUAGCUUUAAUGUUGGUCUUUAAAGUCAAGUUAUUUGAAGGGUUUCUUUGUAGUAAAUCUAUGCUUGGAGGAUUGUUCCAAGAAAGCUAUUUAAGCUUAUGUAGUUGUAACCAAAGGACAGAGAUUAAUUUUGGGAAUUGGAUGAACUUUGAGUUAUUAUCAAACUCUGUAUCUCUUUGGUGGAUUCCAUUGAGUGGUGAGUAUUUUUAAGCCCUGUAUCCUUAGCUUAACAACUUUAGGUGGUGAAUUUUUCUGUAUCCUUUUGUUGUUUGCUGUGGUGGUGAGCUUGUGAAUUCUUGGGUGUGUGACGUUGUGUUUUCUCAUCUAUUGUGUCCGGUGUCAAAGAGCAUAACCUAAAAGUUUGAAGAAGUUAACAAGAAUCUGAUAAAGUUUAACAAGUAGUCGAGAUCUAGAAAAUGAACCUGAAAUAUCCAAGCAAAAUGUUAGAAUUCAAUGAAAAUAGUUGGAAUAUAGAACCAAAAAGUGGUGAAAAUAAGAGUGGAAGAAGUUAACACAAAAAUUGAAAUAACUUAACAAUAAUUUGAUAAAUUUAAACGCAAAGUAGGGAUCUAAAAAGUAAAUUUGAUACAUUUACCCAAAAUAUUGGAAUUCAAUAAAAAUAGUAGGAAUAUUGAACCAAAAGUAGUGGAAAAAUAAGUUGGAACAACUUAGCAAUAAUUAGAUAAAGUCUAAUAGAAUAUUGAGAUUAAAAAAUAAACUUGAAAUAUCAACCUGAAAACUGGAAAUUUAAGGAAAGAACUGGAAAUAUAGAACUAAUAACUGAUGGAAAAAUGAGUUGAAACAGCUUACAAAAAAUUGGAUAAAUUCCAACGGAGAGUAUGGAUCUAGAAAUUGAACUUGAAAUAUCCAAACAAAAUUUUGAAAUUCAAUAAAAAGAGUAGGAAUAUAGAACUAAAAAGUGGUAGGAACAAGAGUUGAAAAAAUUAACCCAAAAGUUGAAAUAAUUUACCAAGAAUUUAAUAAAUUCAAAUGAGAAGUAAGGAUCUAAAAACUAAACUUGAUAUAUUUACCCAAAAUAUUAAAAUUCAAUAAAAAAUAGUAGGAAUAUAGAACCAAAAAGUGGUAGAAAAAUAAAUCGGAACAAUUUACCAAAAAAUAGAUAAAGUUUAAUAUAUUAUAGAAAUAUAAAAAUAAACUUGAAAUAUACACCUAAAAAACUGGAAGUUAAUGAAAAGAGUGUAUAUAUGAAACCAGAAACUAGUGGGAAAAUGAGUUGAAACAACGUACCAAAAUUUAGAUAAAUAACCACGAAAAAUAGGAAUUUGAAAAAUAAACUUGAAAUAUGUAUUAUAAAUAUUGGAAUAUAACAAAAUAAAUAGGAAUGUAACCAUUUUGUGAUAUGUUAAUAUUUUUUAUAUAUUUUUUGUACUAUUUUUAAAUUUUAAAUUAUUACAAUCUUUUUCCUCAUUUAAUUACAAUUUUAACCUUUUUCUAAUUUUUUCAUAAUUUUUUCACAUUAAAAACAAAUAAAAAUAUAAUUUUCAGUAUAUUAUCCGGUUAAAAACCGGUUGUACCAGUUGCAUGCACGCGCUGUAUGAGAUACAGCGUUGCAUGGUAGGUUGACUGAAAAAGACAUAGUUGAAGUCUCAUCAAGAUUGUCUUCAUUCGAGAAAAAGCAACUAUGUUUAAAACACCUUUAAUAAAGUACUAAUAAUUAUUAAAGACAUGUUUGACUAGACUUGCAGUUGGCAAGCAAAAGAGGAUGAAAUUAUUAAUUAAUUAGAACACAUGAAAGAUUCCUCUCAUUUUAUUUUUUAAAAGAAAGUAAACAUUUCAUUAAACUAAACUUUCAGCCAUACAUAAAACAUCAGCUGGGAAAUUGUUUCUCCAGAUAACAGAUUUCUGAGCUACACAAAGCCCUUUUAGCUAAAAAAUGGGCAAAACCAUUACACUUUCUUGGAACAUAUUGGAAAGAUAUCAGUUGGAAAUCUUGUGUGCUCUUGUGGAAGUCUGACAUAGUCCACCAAAUCUCUGUCCUGUUGCUAACUUUCUUAUUUGCUAAGUCAGCUACAUUUUUGCAGUCGGUCUCUAUAAUCACAUUUGACAGACUAAGAUCCUUGGCUACCUCCAUACCCCACUUGACAGCAUGAGCUUCUGCUAUAGCUACGUUCCCCUGGAAAUUCAUGCUUUUUACUGCUGCUGCUAACACUUGCCCUCGAUGAUUUCUGAUGACCACGCCCAAGCCUGCACUCUUCCUAUCUUCUUUGACUGCUGCAUCAACAUUGACUUUCACUUUGUUGUUUGGUGGUGGAGUCCAUAUCUGCAUCUUUCCCUCUACUGUAUUUCCAUGGCUCUCCCGUUCUUUAACCUGCUGAGCCUGAUACACUUCCAUAACUGCUUUGCCCCUAGCCACUGACCCUACUGGAUCUAACUUUUUUCCUUGAAAAAGGAGUUUGUUUCUAGCAUGCCAAGCAACCCACCAAAUCGUGGCCACGUAAUCUGCCUCAGACUUAGCCCAAUUAUUCAUAGCCCCAAUCAUGACACUAAGCAUGUCUUCUCUGAUGACGCUCUUCACCUCAUUCUCCAAGUGAGUACAUUUCCAGAUUUCCGAGCCACUCUGCAUUCCAUCAAGGCGUGGAAAACAUCUUCACAACCCGCUUUGCAUAAAUGGCAUGUCGGUUCCUUCAGCACUUUCCUUCUCCACAGAUUUUCUGCCGUUGGCAGCAGGUUCUUUGCAGCUUUCCACACAAAGAUCUUAAUUUUCUCUGGUAAGUUUAGCCUCCAAAUAUGUUGCCCGCCCUGUGGAGCUCCUGUAGAUCCGGCUGGAGAUUCAGAGAACUUAAUUUUGAGAGCUAGUUGAUAUCCACUCUUUACUGAGUAUAUACCUUUCUUAUCAUAAUGCCAUAUCACCAUAUCUUCUUGAGGAGUUCUCGGUAAAGGGAUAUUCCUUAUGAUUUCAGCAUCUUCCUUUGCAAAGUUUUGAUUGAUCAUUGUUUCAUUCCAUUGGUGAUUUUGAUCAAGAAGCUCUGAGACUCUAGAUUCAGUAGGCAAGGACUGUACCAGGAUUGGUUUGAAGGUUGAGGGCCUAGGGAAAUAUUCCUCUCAUUGAUUUCGUUGAAACAGACUUAAUUUGUAAUCAAAGUGAAAAUUCGUCAUCUUUCAGCGGUGAUUCCAACUUCUAACAAUCUCUAAGCAGUAAGUUUUCUGACAGUUUUAUAUUUACAUGUCUCUUGUAUUUGUGUAAUUAGUCUCUCACAUAAUUCAAUUUAAUAGGAAGUUUUGAUCUCUUGCUUCCAAGGCUCAAAACUUAUUGCAACAUUGCUGGCAAUUAGUGUGGGUUUCGGCUCUUUAAUUCAGCUUUGCUAGGUUUAAGUUCGACAUCGAAUUUUAUGCGUUUAGUGCAGUAUUUUAUGAACUAUUUUAAAGAGAUUUUUAAUUAAUUCUUAGGUACUUAAAAUAAACUUCUUGUCGGCAUACAAAGGACUAAAAGAGUAAAAAUUAACUAGAACACAUAAAAUCUUCUCAUUAAUUUCACUGAAACAACGUAAAAAUUCAUCUAACUGUGGUCGAAUACUUGCAUGUGUCUUGUAUUUUCAGCUUAUUUUUUGAACUUUUAUAUGUAUGUUUUUUGUGACAUAUUUUAAUCUUAUUUGGAAUUAAGAUAUUGUAGCUUUUAAACUACAGCAGCUAUGAAAAAAACUGUAAUUAUGAAACAAAAGUUAAUAAUAUAUAAUAAAUAUAAAUUUUAAAUAAUAAUUUUGAUAAAAUUAUUAGAGAUAUAAUGAAUUUUUUAUCAUAUAAGUGAAAAAUUAUAUCAAUAUAAUUUUUAAGUUACAGCAGUUAGUAUUUACCAAAUACUUUUCUGUUGUAGCUUAAAUAUCCACCCCCAUCCCAAAAGCACUCUUUAUAUAAUUAAUUUUUUCACAUAAUUCCAAAAAAUCAAUUUAGAGGAAAUUUCGUUCUCUUGUUGCCAAGACAUGAAAACUGGUUCCAACUCUGCAGGUAGUGUGUGUUUCUUGGACAGGAAAGUUGGCAGUGCAGGUUUUAAGUCUUCUUCAAUUCGGCAUUGAUACAGCAUCUAAUUCUAAAUUAGUUCUUAGGGACUUAAGAGUGCGACUGUCGUGGCGUCAAUUGCUCGCAUCAUGAGCAUCCACAAAGUUUCUCCUUUUGUUCCUUAUCCUCUUCCUCACUGGAAAUAUGACGUCUUCUUAAGUUUCAGAGGAGUAGACACCCGCAAAAAUUUCACGGACCAUUUGUACACUGCUUUGGAUCAGAAGGGAAUCAUAGUCUUCAGGGAUGACAAAGAACUUGAGAGAGGAGAAUCCAUUUCACCUGGACUCUUUAAAGCAAUUGAAGAAUCAAAAAUUUCAAUUAUUGUUUUCUCUAGAAACUAUGCUUGUUCGACAUGGUGCUUGGACGAACUUGUUCAUAUUCUUGAAUGCAAAAACAAAAAUCAUCAACAAAUGGUUUAUCCAAUUUUCUAUGAUGUGGAACCAACUGAUGUAAGGAAACAGACAGGAAUUCUUGAAGAAGUUUUUGCUCGACAUGAAGAAAUUCUUGCUCAGAAUAAAGAAAAGGUGCAAAAGUGGAGAGACGCUUUGAAAGAAGUGGCUAAUAUCUGUGGCUGGGAAUUGAAGGACAGGUAGUCUUUCUUAUUCUCAAAGAUUAAUUACCUAUAAUAGAUUUGAUUUGAAACUAUGUUUACACUCACUUUAAUUCAACAACACCAAUGUUUUCUUAAUCUUUUGCAAGCUGCAGGAAUCAGUCUGAAUUUAUUUUGGAGGUUGUCAAGGUGAUAUCAAGUAAAAGUCCUAUAAUAUCAGGGAUUCUUAAGAAUCUAGUAGGAAUAGAUUCACACUUGAAGAAUCUGAGGCUUCUCAUGGAUAAAGGAUCUAAUGAUGUUCGCAUGAUAGGGAUAUGCGGUAUGGGAGGUAUAGGGAAGACAACCCUUGCAAGGGUUGUUUAUGACUUGACUUCUCAUAAGUUUGAAGGAAGUAGCUUUCUUGCCAAUGUUCGAGAAAUUUCAAAAGAAGGCGGCCUGAUCUCUUUACAGAAGCAACUCCUUUCCCAGUUACUAAAGCUUCCAAAUAAUGGCAUAUGGAAUGUUUAUGAUGGUAUCAACAUCAUAGGAAGUAGGCUGCACCACAAAAAGGUUCUUUUGCUUAUCGAUGAUGUAGUUGAUAUCAAGCAAUUAGAAUGUUUAGCUGGAAACCGUGAAUGGUUUGGUCCUGGCAGCAGGAUCAUAAUAACAUCGAGAGAUAAGCAUUUGUUGAUGACGCAUGGAGUAGAUGAAGUAUAUAAGCUCAGGGAACUACAUGAUGAUAACGCUCUUCAAUUAUUUUGUAAAAAAGCCUUCAAAACCCAUCAGCCUAAGAAAGGAUAUGAGCAGCUGUCUGAAUGGGUUACAAAGUAUUCAGGUGGUCUUCCAUUAGCUCUCAAAGUUUUGGGAUCCCUUUUGUAUGGUAAAACAACAAAAGAAUGGCAAAGCGCAGUAAAGAGACUGAAAAGAGAUUCAGAAAAUGAAAUCUUGGAUAUACUUCAAAUAAGUUUUGAUGGGCUUAAAGAAACAGAGAAGAAAAUAUUUCUUGACAUUGCGUGCUUUCAUCGAGGGGAGAAUAGAGAUUAUGUAACAAAAAUUCUUGAUUACUGUGAUUUUGACCCAGUUAUUGGAAUAAGGGUUCUUAUUGAUAAAUCUCUCAUAGAGGUUUUAUCCAACAAUCAACUAUGGAUGCACGAUUUGUUACGAGAAAUGGGUCAACAAAUUGUUAAGAGACAAUGCCCUGAAGAUCCUGGGAAACGUAGCAGAUUGUGGAAGGAAGCAGAUGUACGUCAGCUGUUAACAAGAAACACAGUAAGCAAUGAUAAGUCAAAAACAUGUACUUCUAAGAUUUCAACCCAUUCACAUUCUUAUCUUUGCUUAUUCUUUACUUUUUUAACUUUCAGGGAUCUGAAACUGUUGAAGUCAUAUAUCUCAACUUCCCUGCAGAAGCAGAAGUGCAUUUCAGAGCAAGUUCUAAUACAUUUUUGAAGAUGACUAACCUGAGAAUGCUUCUUAUCCGUAAUGUGCAAGUGCAACUUCCCGAAGGCCUUGAAUAUCUCUCCAAUGAGUUACGGUUACUUGAAUGGCCUGGAUAUCCUCUGAAAUCCUUGCCAUCAAAUUUUCAACCGGAUAAAAUUGUUGAACUUAACAUGUGUUACAGUCACAUCGAACAAAUGUGGAAUGGAAUCAAAGUAAGUUUUAUUUCAUUUCUUUUUUUCCCGUGAAUAAAUGUUGAUAGAGUUAUCAUUCAUCCCUUGAAAAAUUGCUGAAAUCAUUGUUUUUGAACAGCCUUUAAGCAAUUUGAAAUUCAUGAGACUUGGCAAAUCCAAAAAUCUGAUCAGAACGCCAGAUUUCUCAGGGAUGCCAUAUUUAGAGGAGCUGGAUCUUGGAGGAUGUACAAGAUUGUGUGACAUUCACCCAACAUUGCUACUUCACAAGAAGGUAAUUUUAUUGAAUCUAAAAGACUGUACAAGUCUCACGACUCUUCCGGGCAAGAUUUUUAUGGAAUCUCUAAAAAUACUUGUACUUUCUGGUUGCAUGAAAUUGAAGAACUUUCCAGAGAUUGUGGGUAGUAUGAAGUGUCUGUCAGAUCUUCUUUUGGAUGGAACCGAUAUUAAAGAACUACCAAUAUUACCAUUUGAACUUCUAUCUGGACUUGUUCAGUUAAAUGUGGAAGGCUGUAAUAAACUUGAGCGUCUUCCAAGAAAUAUAAGCGCUCUAAAAUAUCAUCCAACUUGGAAUCUUUCUGGCCUAUUGAAAUUCUCAAAUUUCCCAGAGAUCAUGACAAAUAUGGAGCAUGUGUUGGAGCUUCAUUUGGAAGGAACUGCCAUAAGAGGAUUGCCUAUAUCAAUUGAACUUUUCUCUGGUCUUGUUUUGUUGAAUUUGAGAGAUUGCAAAAAUCUCUUGAGUCUUCCGUGUACUAUUAACGGUCUGAAGUCCCUGAAAAAGUUGUAUCUCUCUGGCUGCUCCAAACUUAAAAAUGUGCCAGAGAACUUGGGGAAAGUAGAAAGCUUGGAGGUGCUAGAAUUAAGCGGGUGCAAAGAACCACCAGUAUCAUCAUCAUUGUAUCUGCCCUUCCCCAUUAGUUUGAAGCGAAGCUGUUCAGAUCCUACCGCUUUGAGGCUUCCUUCUCUGUCAGGUUUGUGGUCUUUAAGGAAAUUGGACCUCAGUGACUGUGAUCUAGGGGAAGGAGCAAUACCAAAUGAUAUUGGCAACUUAUGGUCGUUAGAAGAGUUGUAUCUGAGUAAAAACAGUUUCAUUACAGCGCCAGCAAGCAUUAACCGUCUUUUUAAUCUUGAAGAACUAGAGUUGGAAGAUUGCAAAAGACUACAAUCUAUGCCGCAACUUCCACCCAACAUAAAAGAAGUCGGAGUAAAUGGUUGUGCUUCAUUGGAAAAAUUAUCAGAUGCCUUAAAAUUAUGCAAAUCGGAGUACAUUUCAAUUAGUUGUAUAGACAACCUGAAAUUGCUCAGCAACGAUGGUUUGGCAUUUUCAAUGCUAAAAGAGUAUCUUGAGGUCAGUCUCUCUCUCUCUCUCUCCUCUCUCAUUUGUGCAAAAAAUUAUGCCUAAAAAUGAUGCAUUUUUAUGGGCUCCUUUUUUUUCCCCCUUUUUUCGGUUACAGGCAGUGUCACGCCCAAUGCAAAAGUUUGGUAUAGUUGUUCCAGGAAGUGAAAUUCCAGAGUGGUUCAUGCAUCAGAAUGAUGGAUCUUCAAUAAAAUUCAUAAUGCCUUCAAAUUUAUAUUGUAAGAAUAAGGCGCUGGGAUAUGCCGUCUGCUGCGUCUUUCAUGUCCGUGAACAUUCCCCUGGUAUCCAAACAAGGCGUUCAUAUCCCACGCAUCAAUUGAACUGCCAGAUGAAAGGUUCUUCUACCAGUUAUUCAAUCGAGUUCAGAGAGAAAUUUGCUCAAGCAGAGUCAGGCCAUCUUUGGCUACUCUACUUGUCUCUUAAAAAAUGCUAUUAUAGCAAUUGGCGUUUUGAUAAUAAUCUCAUUGAGUUGUCGUUUGGGCCUGUGUCUGGCUCAGGGUUGCAGGUGAAGAGAUGUGGUUUCCAUCCCAUUUAUAGGCACAAAGUUGAGUUCUUCAACCAAAUAAGAAACCAAUGGACUCACUCACUACACUGCCUAUAAUAUGAAUGAAUUUUAUCCCGAUUCUGUUUGAUCAAAGAUACUUGUAGCCACAACGUCAAGGUGAAGUGUGAAUGAAUAUUUGGGCUUGAAGAGUGGGAAUGGUGUUCUGUUGAUGAGGAACCACAGCCUGAAAAAUUUAAUGCAGAAGCCUGCUUAUUCUCUGAAUUCAUCGAUAAGCAUUCAUCUUCAAUUUCAGUUCAUGUUCUUUGCACUUGGUAAUUCAUUUACAUUAAUUUUAUUUAUUUAUUGCAUCUCCUUAUCGAAAAACAUUUGAUGUUAAAUUACCAGAAAUCCUCUGCUUGGAUCAAAAGCAAAGAGUACCUAUAGUUGUUUAAGAAUGUGCCUUCAUGAAUUGAAAUAGCAUUACUGCUCUAUUAGCUUGGCUCCUCACUUGAAUUUCUUUGAUGUUUGUUAAUAAUUCCAAAUUCCAGUGAACAUGGAUUUUGAUCGAGAUAAUUCUAUGCUUUUGCCCUGUUGAUAAAAUCAAGCAGUUGUUGUGAUUGUUGCAAGUGUUUCUUAUUUUAUAUUUUUUCGUUUUUGUUGUUUGGUUCGGGAGAAGAUGUGGAAUUAGAACUGCACUGGAGUGAGAAGAAAUGAGAAGAAAAAGAAAGAAUGUAAAGUUUAGUGAAUGUGUGUGUGUAUUUUUUUUAAAGCCUUGAAUUUUUUGAUUUCUCAUGAGUUGAAAAUUAAGGAUUGAAACAAAUCUUCUGUUUUGUUGUAUUCUUAUUAUAUUUCUUCUCAUAAAUUUCUCAUUUUUGUAAAUAGUGCAUAAUUUGGUAGAAGCUUAACUGAAAGCCACUAAUUUUACUGCAAGAAUAACUUAAUUUUUAAUUCAAUCCAGGGAUUCAAAAUGACUCAGAGUUCUUUCGAACUUAAAUAACAUGACAACUUAACUAUCCAUUCCCUUCUUUUUGUGCAAAAGUUGGCAGAUUCGGAGCCAAUUAGGGUGAGUUUUUUGGUACACUUGAAGGGGCUGGUGUCAUAGUUCAUGAAUUGCAUUGCUAUGAAUGAAUAACAAAGAAAUUAGAUUAGCUUAUUGAAUCUGUUUGAAUUUUUUUAUAUAGCCUAUGCAAUCAGAGGCAUUUAAAUUAUGUGAGUCAAAGUUCUCACAUAUUAGCUGUGCACAGUGCUUGAAAUUGCUUGGUAACAACGGUUUGGCCUUUUCAAUUUUAGAGAGUAUGUCAACUAAUGCCAGCCUUUUCACUCUGUUUCUCUCGAAGCCUUAUGCAUAAAAAUUUAUGCUGUGGAAAAGAUUAAUCUAAGGGCCAGGAGUUUCUAUAGAAAGAAUAUAAAGAUGAUAAGGUUUGUUGUGUCAAUCUCAAAUAUAUUAUGGGUGUUAGGAGUAUCUGAUGAUGCUGAUGAUGUUGUGCAGUGAUGUUGAGCUGAUGGUGCUAUGUAGUGAUGCUGAUAUGGUGUUAUGCAGAGUUUACAGAGCAUGAUGGAAGAACAUGAUAAGGCUGGUGGUUUAGCAUGUAGCUUAGUAUACCAGCUGAGAAUUAGUUAUGCUGAGCUGUCAAGUUGGUUAUAACUGAUUCAGUAGCCUUUAACCACGCAUGAAGAUUCCAGAACAAUCUAGCUACUAGAUUCUUGUAUCCAUCUUGUAGUAUAAGUAGAGUGAUCUGUAUAUUCUAUACACAUUGUUAAGUAUGCUAUGAUUGAAUAAAAUACAUUUUCCGUCACUUUCAAUUUCAUUUUCUCUAUAACCAAACACUGUUUUAGCCGAAUUCAAUCAAUGGGAAUUAUAAGAAAAUAAGCAGUAAAAGCAAAUAAACAUUAGGGAAAUGAACACUCAACAAUAUACCUACAUGUAAACAUCCUCGGAAGAUCUAAGAAGUUGAGCAUAGUACACAAACGCACACACAGAGCAAUUGAAACUUGUAGCAAGUCUGCACACUGCAGAUACAUGUCCGUAUCAGCACUAGAAUUUUGCUUGGAAGCGUAGCACUUUGGAUUAAAGAUAUACUUGUUGACUUGCUUCUGUCCACAGAAACAAUAAGAACCUUCAGUUGGAAUGAAAUCAGAGAUACAUUCAGAACCACCUUGAGGAAUUCAUGCUCAACAGCAACUUCAGUAAUAAUCAAGAUUAUAAACAGUAGAGAGACUCCAUUCAGCUUCAAUCCCGAGUGUCCCGAGUGUAUGGAAACUGGAUGGAGACUACACUUCUUCACCUUCAAUCCCGAACUAGUUUGAAACAACUAAACUUGGUCAGAUCCAAACUUCCAGUCAAGAUUAUUGCACUGUUGAAGAUCAAGAAUAUUAUGUAUACGAGCUUUAUUUGAUCAGCUUUCAUGUGGUAGUGGUAGUGGUAGUGAUGUUUAUGUUUGCCUCUGACAGGAUGUGAAUGUUUAUUAACACGAAACGCACAGCAAAUAGCAUAUCCAACCAUCUUCUUCUUAUCGUAUGAAUCUGGAGGACUUAUUAUUGAUAUUGAAGAUCCCUCAUUCGGAUAGUCGAACCACUCCGGAAUCUUACGUCUAGGAAUAGCUAUGAAAUCUGACUCCCAGGAAGAACAAUGGUGAAAACUCAGGUACUUUGUGGGAUCAUAUAACUCUAUUCAAUUAUUUAAUGGAUGAAUGACAUAUUAGUUGAGAAAUUCAACAUUACACGUGGGUAAAAUAGUAGAGUUUUGGAUCAGCCGUCAUCGUAUUCUUUCUUUAAUGUUAAACAAAUUGUUGGUUAUAAAUAAUUGGUGAUCAAAUUUGACUAAUCAAAAUUGAUUAAUCUGUUUAUAUAAAUUAUUGAAAUUGAUCUUGUUCAUAAAAAACACUGCAUAUAGCUAGUAUAGUUGAUCUUCCUAAUGAUGGAGGUUGAAAAGUUUUGAGUCUUCAUAUAUGCAUUGUGGGAGUAAUUUUUCUCUUUCUUUCAGAAACAUAUUAAAUUUUUUCAAGCUAUUUCAUACAUAACAUCAAGGGUUUACUUUUCCAAAAGAGAGAUUAAUGCAACUUAACUGGUCAAUAAAAAUUAACAAUAGGUUCAAUUUAAGUUUUAUCUUGACAAAAAGAAAAAUUACAUUAGGUUUAAGAAUUUAAUAAGCUAAAACAAUUAAGAAAUUAAUGGGUUAAAGUAAACAUGCAACUAAAGUGAAAUUAGAAAAAUAAUGAAGAUGAAAUGGAUACAAGUAUUUUUCUUGGUUUCACUUGGAAACCUCCAAUAGUAUGAGUUAAAUUUUAGAAAAUUGAUGGGUAAAGCUGACACACAACUAAAGUAAAAUUAAGAAACAAUAAUCAUAAAAAAACACCAGUGAUAACACUAUGAAAUGAGAGUUAUCAUGAUAUUUUUAUGCCUAAAUUAACAUUACUUAGAGAGUAAAUGACAUAUUUUCAUUACAUUUUAGCUACAUUUUGCAUGGGUAGUCAUUUAAGUUUAAUUUUAAUAAAAUUCAUGUGUUUUUAGAUUAUUGUGUGCUUUGAUUACUUGCAUAAUUGUAGGUGACUAAAAAGCUCAAAUUUCAUGGAUGGAACGUUGCUGUAGCAGGCUUGCGGAGUUACAAAAGAACUUGGAUGAGAAGUAAUUUUGAAAUAAUAAAAGAUGCUGGAGCAAUAUGUUGUAGUACUAUUGCUGCAGCAACUCCUGGAGCAACGAUAAAUGAGAUAUCACACGUUAAAUAGAAGACCGCAAUCUAAAGUUUCCAAAAAUAAGAGAUUCACUGCCAUAAGUUUCUGGUAACCCUAAUUUUGAUUUAUAAAAAGAGCACAUUACAAUGAAAAAAGGAGAGUUGUCAUUAGAGAAAAGAAUCGAGAAACAGUACAAGAGAAAAUAAAGAUAAAGAGACAGAAUUAAGGGCUGCAUCAAAGGAUUUAUGAAGAAUAUUAAGGGGAUUCAUAAGGACGAGCGGAUUUCGACUCUUAUUCUUACUCUCUUAUUUUUAUCUUGUUAUGAAGACUUGUUUGAUGGCUAAAACUAUUUUGGUUUUUGUUUUAUAACAAAUUAUGAACUAAAAUUACUUAUGGUUGAGUGAUAAACAAUGUUGAUGGUUAAUUGACUGAUUAUAUGUGUUGCUGCAUGUUUGCUAUAGCAUGUUGUUUUUGUAAUACUUAUUUCAAUUCACUAUUUCAGCUGACUACCCAUUUAGUGGUACUAGCUAAGUAAAAGCCUAAAAAAGGUCUGUCUUAGUGGGACAUAUCAAAGUAAUUCUUGGUUUUAGGUUGGAUUUCAUGAGUUGAGUUUAACUUGAUUCAAAAAAGGUCAUGCUUAAUCUAAAAUUAGUGAUGAACUAGACAUAGAGAUUUACCUUGUAGGAUAAUUAGAAUCUAAAACGUGUAAUGCUAUAUUUUAUGUUAGCAUAACAAUUGGUCACUGUUAAGUUGUAUCAAGAUAUAAGACAUCCAAUAAGUGAUAGCUGAGGAUACAUAAGGAUUCUGUAUAGUACUGUAAAAGACGUUGUGGCAACAUAACCAAAAAAUAGAAAAAUAGUCAAAACCAUUAAAAGAGUUUAAUCACUCAACUACUCCAUUCUCAUUGAUUAUAUCCUUGUAUUUGACGUGAUGAUUUACCUUAUUGCAUUUUUUAUUUUAAUUAAUUCAUUAGUUUUAUAAAUUAUUUUAUUUUUAAUUUUGGAACAAAAUAAGGUUGCUGUAGCAAUUCAUAUAACAUCAAUUCCUAUGGAGACAAUCUCGAAUACUUAUCAUUAUAUUACUUGUUGUGUACACUUGCACAAUGACACCCAUAGCAUACAACAAUCAGAAUUUUCAUAGUUAAACUUUUAGCCUACAUUCAUAGGUGAAGACAGAAGGAAAUGUUUUACUAACGAAAAGAAGUUACAAGUAUUGUAGUACUUUGUCUCACAAUCCAAAAACCUUAAUAUACCUAAACUCUAAAAACAUUAGAACAAGAGUUUAAAGCUCUCAACACACUCUUAGUCUCCAAUUCAUGGCUCUAUCACUUCUUAAUUAGAUUGAGAAUUAAAGAAAAUGAAAUGAAUGAAGAGGACAAAUGAAGCCUCUAUUUAUAGGCCAAGCAAUACCCAAAAUCAGCAAUGUUGGACUUUAAAAUAAUAUAUAUUUUCAUUCAACUUUCAACUUUGGUGACAAAGCCAAAAGUUGUGUGCUAGACAAAUGCCUCCCACUUACUCAACAAAUUAUGCCAAAAGUCAAAAGUUGCAUGUUAGCAACAUAUAAUUGUUUUCCAUAUACAUGCACAUGUUCAACAAUUCUCCCACUUAGAGACUUGAUUGAGAACCAAUCAUGUCUCCACACUAUCCAUUCUUUUUCGUCAUUGUUAUGUUGCUUACAUCUCUGCUAGGCUACAAGAGGAUCUACUCCAUACAAACUUGUCAGCAUUGGUUUGCUUGGUCAAAACAUCUCCUCGGUUCUCUUUGGUAUGGAUUUUUUUGUAAUAAAGUGGUAUUGUACCUGAUAACUCUAGAAAAUGAGAGUUAUCAUGGCAUUUUUAGGCUUAAAUUAAGACUCCUUAGAGAGUAAUUGAUGUGUUUUAGUGCAUUUUAACGAUAGUUUGCAUUACAUUAAUUUUAGUUUAAGUUUAAUAAAGUUUACGUGAAUUUUGAAUAAUUGUAUGCCUAAAACAUAUGUUCAACUAUAGGUCAAUGGAAACCUGAAUUUUAUGGAAAAGAUGUUGUUCCAAUAGACCUAUAAGGAGGACAAACGAGCAUGGCUAUAUAAGAAUUGGAGCACAUCUGGAAUAGUGAAGAUGCUAUAGCCAUUGUUGUAGGCUGUAGCAAUCCUUGAGCAUUGACGGAGAAAAUAUGGGCAAGAUUUUCAUAAUAUUGCGAUUUGCAGUUUUCUAAUCUGAAGAUGCAUGCCCUAGAGUUUCCAGUUACCCUAAUUUGUGAUUAUAAAAUGAGGCAUACAUGCAAAGGAAAGAGGAGGCCGUCAAUCGAAACCAAAAUAGAAAAGAAAUGAAGAAGAAACAAAAUUCCCGAGCAGAAUUUAAGGCUUCACCAAUAGAAGAAAUUUACAGAUUCAAUUGGAAUUCACUCUUUCUCAUUCUUUUCUUGUUUUCUUGUCAUUCAUUGAUCAUGACUAUGUACUCGAUGGCUACCACUUGGUUGUUUAAUUUCUAUGCACAAAUUAUGAGCUCAAUUUAUUUAUGGUUGACUGUUAAGCUAUCUUGAUGGUUGAUUGACCGAAAAUAAGUAUUGUUGCAUGUUUGCUAUAGCAUUUUGCUUUAAUAACAUUUAUUUAGAUUCAUUAUUCUGGUUGACCACUUAUUUAAUGAUACAAGUUAAGAAAGAGCCGCAAAAUGACCUAUUUUAGUGGAACAUAUUAGAGCAAUACUUAGUUUUAGAUUGAGUUUCCUAAAUUGAGUUUAACUUGAGUCCAAAAAGGGUCAUGCUUAAUCUAAAGAUUAGUGAUAAACCAGAUGUGGGGAUUCACCUUGUAGGGUAAAGAGAACAUGAACGUGUAAUGUUAUAUUUUAUGUUGACAUAACAAUUGGUCAUUAUUAGGUUGCAUAAAGAUAUAAGACAUCCAACAUGUUACUGCUGAGGAUAAAGAUGAAAUAUAAGUGUGCAACCCAAGAGGGGGGUGAAUUGGAAUUUUAAAAAUUAUCCUAGCAAAUCCACACAACAAGCAAUCUAAUGUCUUAAUAAAAAUUGAAAACAAUAAGUUCAAUAAAAGCACAAUAACAAAUGAGUAAGAGAGAAGAGAAACAAACACAUGAAUUUUUACGUGGUUCGGCAAUCCCCGCCUACGUCCACGCCUCCAAGCGAUCCAAACUUGAGGAUUUCACUAUCCAAACUUUUCUAAGGCUUCAACCGUUUACAAUUAACUUCAAGGUGUCAAUGAACCUUUACAACAAAGAGUUUAUCUCCCAAUCUCUUCAUUCAAGUGUCUCACACACUCAAACUUUUACAAUUAAGAUGAAGAAAUGAAAGUUACAAUAAAACUCACUCAAAGAGUAGAUAUUCAAAAAUGAAGAACAAGAGAUGAUUCAAUGUUUUGUGAUUUGCAAAUUGAAAGCUCAAGAUAUCUUGUGUGCUUUUUAUUUAUGCUUGCUAGAGAGAUUGAAAAUGAGUUGGAUUUGAGUUUAUAUAGUUUGAUCUCAAAAACUAGCCGUUAUGCACAUUUUGGUCAUAAUCGGCUUGCCAUUUAGGAAUCUGGUAAAGCCGCUUUUAUGUUGCCAUUAAGGCAAAAAUUUGAAUUUCAGAAUAUCUGGCAUGCCGCUUUUCAUAUCCGGUAAGCCGCGUUUGAAAUCCGGAUUGCUGCUUUGCGAAAUUCGGAUAGCCGUUUAUGCUCUAGAAGCUUACUGUCCAAAAUCUAGUUUGCCGUUUACCAUAUCCGGUAAGCCGCUUGCUACAGUAACUGCUACAGUGAAAUAUUUUUUAAAUUUAUAGUUUGACCCCAAAACUUUAUAAAACUAUGUUAUGGCCCAAAAUGUUAUAUUAUUUUGAAAAUAGGUCCAAUUUCAGAAUCUCUAAAUAAUGCUUGCUAUUCCCAAAACUUUUUAAAAUUAUGAUAUGACCCAAAAUGUUAUGAAACUUUUCCAAUAAGUCCUCCAAAAUUUCGAGCAAUACUUGUUGAUUUCAAAGUUUUCAAAACUCUUUCAAUUAAAUCAUAAACUUGAAAAACAACUAAUUUCAUAAAAUCAUUUUUCCAUUAAAUAUAAAACCUUUAUAAUGUGAAAAUAAUGAUUUAUUUAAAAUAUAUAAAAAAUAAUUUGAGCUUAAAAGAUUAAUCAUUCUUAAUCUUGUUUGUUAUCAUCAAAAUCAACAUUAUGCAAACAUAUAUAUUAACAAAAGAUGGUUUCUGUCCAGUGUUGUAACAGAUGCUGCAGUAACUAUACUCAAUAUAAAUAAAAUAGUUAACACCAUUACAAGAGUUUAAUCACUCAACCACUCUAUUCCAAUUGAAUUUACUUUUGUGUCUAACAUGCAAUUUUCAUUCAUUGCAUUUUCUUUAUUAUCGCGGUUUAUUUUACAUAGUCUAUUAGUUGUAUUAGUUACAUUGAUUUUUAAUUGAGAACAUAGAUUACACUGUGAAAUUGUUGUAACAAGUCUGAUAGCAUCAAUCCCUAUGGAGACGAUCUUAGAUACUCACCCUUAUAUUACUUGUUGUGUACAUUUGCACAUUGACAUUACUAGCAAUUAAGUUAAAGAUUACAAUAGUACCCCUAUGUGCUUUGUCUUGAAAUGAAAUGCUGGAUUCCUUACAAUGUACAAGAUACUCUAAUUGUCACAAAACAAAAACAUUUUCUCUUGUUUGUACCCAAACUCCUCCAACAACCUUUGAAUCUAAAGAACCUCUUUGCAAGGUUAUGUAGCUACCAUUAUUAUGCUUCUGUUGUAGAUAAAGUCACAACGGUUUUCAGUUUUGAAACGCAGGUUACAGCUUUUCUUGCAAGUGUAAACACAUAGCCAGUAGUAAAUUUCCUUUAUCAAGGUCCCCUGCAAAAUAUGAAUCCUCAAGGUCUCUGACAGUAAAUUUUAAUCCUCCAUAACAUAAUGCAACAUCUAAGAUUCAUUUGAUGUAUCUGAGAAUCCUCUUUACAGUUUUCCAAUAUUCUUCACCAGGAUUCACUCUCUAUCAACUGACCACUCACACGACUUGUGCAAUAUCUAAUUUCGUAUAUAUCACAGUGAACAUUAAACUUCCUAUUGCUGAUACAGAAGGUAUUCGAGACAUCUCCUUCCUCUCUACUCUGUUGCUAGAAUAUUUACUUGAGGAUAACUUGAAAUUAACAAGAAGUGAGGUAGAAAUUAGCAUACAAUCUUGCAUGUUGAAGCGUCACAAGAUUUUCUUCAAGUAAUUCUUUUGAGAUAGCCAAAUCUUCUUGUUAUUUAUGUCUUAGUGAAUUUGCAUUCCUAUAUUCUUGUUUGUGUUAGAGUGCAAUUUACGCACUAGUUUUGUAUUGUUUACUUCCCUUAAUAUCGAUGUUAUAAUGAUUUACUUGUGUUUUACUUUUGUAGGUACAAUUCUAGUGAUUGGUGAUAAAAUUGAACUAAAAGAUGAUGUUUAAGGAGGAUUGUUCUCUUGGAGAAAUUAUGAGCGUCAGAAGAACUUUGUUGAUAAGGCGUGGGCGCGUGCUGUCAACUGCGGACCUGUAGUUUUUAGUUUAACGUGUUUUGUAUUUUUGGUUAUUUUUGUAAUUACGAAUUUAAUAUUUCAGAUAUUAGGAUUUUAUUUUAAAUAGAAUUCUAAAAGAGAAGAGAGAGAGAGUAUUUAAGGGAGGAAUCUUUUGUGGAAAAGGGGGAUUUUUGGAUGGGAGAAAAGAAAGAAACCCUAGAUUUAAUUUUUCUCUUCUCUCUAUGAAGAACUAAACUUAUUUUUCUGGUUGAAGGUUAAUGAAGCUUUGAUUCAUCACUACUGUGAGAUCUUUCUUGUGCUUUAAUUGUUUUAUUGCUUUUUGGGUAUUUGUUUAUUCUCUGAAUUAUUUUCAUGAUUAUGUUUGUUAAUUAGGUAAUUGGCCACUAUUUAAUUAUCAACUUAAUCUAUUGUCAAUUAAAGGAUUCAUCGUAUGAAGAAUUUAAUGUUUGUGACAAAUAACAUAGCAGAGAGUUGUGUUGUGAGAAUAAACAAUCUAAUUUAAAUGAAUCAUCAUAUGUGUUGAUUAGGAUUUGGGUCUCUCUGGUUUUUCAGGCUGUCAAUUGAUUAAAUCCUAUGAUCGUAUUUAGGGUUGUCUAUUGAUUGGGGAAAUAACCAACGGUCAUACCUUGGUUAUCGACUAGUUAAGGAGAGAUUGGCUAUUAGAGGGUCUCAGUAGCUAUAACUGGUCUAUUCAUGAGUAAUAAUAAUCUAUAUUUGAAUCAAUGAUCAGUAGUCGAAUCAAGCUGAGUUAAUUCCUUCAACCAGAGCUUUCUCCAAUUUGAAUUACAACUUUAAUUUGCAUUCUUGUUAUUUUAAUUUGAUUUUUAUUAUUGUCAACAAAACCGCCAUUUUAUGUUUUACGUUUUAAAAGGAUUUAAAUAACUACUGAUCUCUGUGGACACGACCCUGCUCAAUUACUAUACACAAUUUAUUUAGAGUAGGAAUUUAUUUUUUUUGGCUUCGACACCCACCAAAUUUUGGCGCCGUUUUGGCUUCGACACCCACCAAAUUUUGGCGCCGUUGCCGGGGAUUGGUGUCAUUUAUUUAAUCAUUUUUACGUUUUACUUGGUGUAUGGUUCGUUCUUCUCGUACAGGUACACUUUCGUUUGAUCCUGAAAUUGAGAAGACAACUCGCCAGCUGAGACAGCAGAUGAAGCGAGCUAAGCAACGAUCCUCGUUGCCUUUGCUUUCUGAAACAGAUACGGUGCCUGAUUUAGUUGAAUCAUCUAGCGAUUCAGAAGAACAAGUGAUGGAUAGACCUGCACCUGUAGAAAGAACUCUUAGAGAGUUAGCUGAACCAGACUUGAAUCAACAACCACUCUGCAUUCAAUAUGUAGACUUGGAGGUAAAUUUUGAAUUAAAGUCUGGUCUUAUUCAUUUAUUACCCAAGUUUCAUGAUUUUGCAGGUGAAGAUCCUCAUAAACAUCUUAAGGAGUUUCAUGUUGUGUGUUCAAGUAUGAGACCACAAGGUGUGACUGAAGAGCAGAUUAAGCUGCGUGCUUUUCCGUUCUCUGUAGAUGGGCUAGCUAAAGAUUGGUUGUACUACUUGCCUCCUGGAUCAAUUACAACGUGGAAUGGUUUGAAGAAGCAGUUCCUUGAGAAGUACUUUCCUGCUUCAAGAGCUGCCAACAUCAGAAAAGAUAUUUGUGGGAUCAGACAACUUCCUGGGAAGACUUUAUAUGAGUAUUGGGAGCGAUUCAAACAAUUGUGUGCCAGCUGUCCUCAGCAUCAAAUUUCUGAUCAACUUCUUAUUCAAUAUUUUUACGAAGGACUGUCAUUGAUGGAUAGGAGUAUGAUAGAUGCUGCUAGUGGAGGCGUGUUGGUGAACAAGACCCCUACUUAAGCAAGGGAGUUGAUAUCAAAUAUGGCUGCCAAUGCACAACAAUUUAGCAGCAGGCAAGAGCUCACUUCAAGGAAGGUGAAUGAGGUAAAUAUUUCUUCUAUUGAACAACGUUUAGAUAAACUUACUUCUCUUGUGGAAAAGUUUGUUGUAGGUAAUGUGCAGCAGGUGAAGACUUGUGGUAUAUGUUACAAUAUGGGUCAUUCAACUGAUAUGUGUCCUACACUUCAAGAAGAACCCAUUGAACAAGCCAAUGCAGUUGGAGGAUUUCCAGGCAUGCCUCAGAGGAGGUAUGAUCCUUAUGCACAAACAUACAAUCCGGAAUGGAAGGAUCAUCCCAACUUCAGCUAUGGAGUUAGGCCGUCAGGAUUCCCACAACAGUAUCCACCAAGACAACCAGCACCUCCACAGUCAAACUCCAAGUCGGGUAUAUCUCUUGAAGAAAUUGUUAAAUCACUUGUGACUAACACUCAACAAUUUCAGCAGGCAACUACAACAAGCAUUCAGAACUUGGAGAACCAAAUGAGUCAAUUGGCGACUACAGUGAGCCGUCUGGAGUCUCAAGUAUUAGGGAGAUUGCCUUCACAAUCUGAGGUGAAUCCAAAGCAAAACGUUAGUGCUGUCAUCCUUAGAAGUGGGACGGAGUUGCAAGAGCCUAGUAAGAAAGUAACAAAGCAUGUAGAAGAUGAGCUUGAGAAGAAUGAAUUGAUGCCUCAAUCUCAAGAUGCACAACCCACUAAAGCGAAACCCCUACCUAUUGUGAUACCUCCUCCUUUUCCAAGCCGAUUUGCAAAAUCCAAGAAGGAGGAACAAGAGAAAGACAUCCUUGAGACAUUUUGCAAGGUUGAGGUAAAUAUUCCUUUAUUAGAUGCUAUAAAACAAAUACCUCGAUAUGCUAAAGUCCUUAAGGAACUGUGCACCUCCAAGAGAAAAUUAAGAGAAGAUGAAAAAGUUCACAUGGGGGAGAAUGUUUCAGCAGUUCUUCAAAAGAAACUCCCUCCUAAGUGCAAGGAUCCAUGUAUGUUUACUAUCCCUUGUAAAAUUGGUAGUGUUAGAGUUGAAAAGGUUUUGUUAGAUCUAGGAGCUUCUAUUAAUGUCAUGCCUCGUUCCAUUUAUUCAUCUUUAAAUAUUGGUCCAUUAAAAGAAACUGGUGUGAUAAUUCAACUAGCUGAUAGGUCUAAUGCAUAUCCUGAUGGGGUAUUAGAAGAUGUCUUAGUACAAGUUAAUGAGUUGGUUUUUCCUACUGAUUUUUAUGUACUUGAUAUGGAAGAUGAUAACUCCUCUAAUUAUGUCCCAAUUUUGCUAGGAAGACAUUUUCUUAAGACUGCUAGGACUAAAAUGGAUAUACAUAAAGGGACUCUCACUAUGGAGUUUGAUGGAGAGGUUAUAGAAUUCAAUAUGAAUGAUGCCAUGAAAUAUCCUAGUGAGGAAGAUUCGGUAUUUUCUGUGGAUGUUAUUAACCCUAUAGCGUAGGAAAUUUUUUACAAAGAAAAGACGAAGACAUUUCAUGAUAGAAUGAUUUUGAGAAAGGAGUUCUCUGUUGGUCAAAAAGUUCUUCUUUUUCAUUCUAAGCUUAAACUUUUUCCGGGUAAAUUACGUUCUUGUUGGGUUGGACCUUUUAUUGUUACUAAUGUUUUUCCUCAUGGUGCAGUUAAGAUUCGGAGUCCGACCUCUGACUGAGUUCUUAAGGUUAAUGGUCAUCGCUUAAAACCUUUUUAUGAAGGUUUUUCGGUGAAUAUUGUGGAGGAUGUGGCUCUCGAGAGUCCAAAUUAUGGAGAUUGAUGCAUAAAUGUGUCUAGCCAAAGACAUAAAACAAAGGCGCUUUUUGGGAGGCAACCCAAGUGAUUUAUUUAUUUUGGUUUUUGUUAUAUCUUCUUUUAAUUUUGAUUCAUAUUUUUUUUUUAAAUAAUGUGUUUGCUUAUUUUGGUCAGAAUAAAAUUUUUGAUAAGGCGUGCCCACGUUUUAACUAAUAAGUACUUCUGUCAUUUUUAAAGUAAAAUAGUUUUAAGGCGUGCCCACGUGCUUAUUAGAAAAGUACUUCUGAAGUUUUUAGUGUCUCAAAGUGAUUCAUCACUAAAAAAAAAAAUUAAUUUUAAUUUAUUUUAUUUCAUUUUAUUUUAUUUAUUUAUUUCUUUUGUUCUUUCUUUUAUAUAUAUAUAUAUUUUUUAUUUAAAAAAAAAAAUUUUACUGUUCACAAAAUCCCUAAUUUUCCAGAAAUUGUUUUCUUCUCCAGCCGUUUGCAGCACGCCAGCAGCAAACCAGCCAGCCGAAGAAUACAGCAUCAGUCGUGCGCAACGCAAGCACCAGCAACGAGCACGCCCCGCAACGCAACUCAGAACCAGCUCUCGCGCGCAACAGUCCUGCAGCAACACAGCCACGCAGCAGCUCUCGAGCGCAACGCAGCCACGCAGCAGCUCUCGCGCGUAACCAGCAGUGCGCAACCAGCCCCAAGCCGCGCAGCAAGCUCCAGCCGAGCACGCAACGCAACAAGCGUCACCAGCGCGCACACCAGCAAUCCCCCAGCGCGCAGCAACAGCCGCAGCACGCAGAUCCAGCGUCACCAGUUCACAGCAUCAGUCCCAUCCGUGCGCAACUGAACCACCAGCCGCGCACCAGUAAUCCCCCAGCGAGCAGCAAUAGUCCGCAACCAGCCUACGACCUGCAUUCCAGCCGCGUGAAUCGAAAUCCGUGACAAGAUGGAGCAGAAUUUGGCCGCAUACUUCAAGAGUGUGGGAUUUAUCCCACCAUUCCCGCCAAGCCCAUAGACGUUAUGAGGAUCAAAGCUCACAAUUCAGGGAAGUUUUUGCCUUUAAUCUUUUAUCCUUACGCUUUAAUUUUUAUGUGAGCUUUGAUUAUCUUUCAUUGGGGACAAUGUAAGUUCUUGGUGUGGGGGAGGGAUUUUUGCAUUAUUGAUGUCUGGAAUUAUUGUUUUCACUCUACUUAUCUUUUUUUCACUCUACUCAUCCUUAAAUGAUUUUGGAGUUAGUAUGCUUUAUAUAUUAUUAAUUUUCUUUUCUUUUAUCUCUCACUACUUUUUUCCCAUCUAUCUCACAUUAUUUACAUCUAUUUUUAUUCUAUCAUACUCUUUCAUCACUCACAUUUUAUCUUUCACUUUUCAUAUUACUACAUACGUCUUUCUCACUUCUUAUCAUUUUUACCUUUUCUUUUAUAUAUCACUCAUGCCUUCUUCUCAUUCUACACCAUUAUUGAUGGUUGAUUCAUUUGAAGAGUGUACAUGAUUUGAUGGCAAAUUUACCAACUUUGUGAGGAUUUGAGCCUAUAAGCAACCACUUUGCUCUAAUAUUUUUGUUAUGUGAAUAUCAAUCUUAGUUUGUUUAUUCUAGAACUUGCUUUGUUAUGCAUGUUGAAGCCACAUUACGGGAUUUUAUGCAUUAAAAUGAUAAGGGCAAACCAUAUUCCAUUUUUCUAUUUUCGCAUUUUUUUUCUCUACCCGAAGACCUUUAUUUGUUACCUUUGUUUGAGCCUUAACCAUUACCCAUCUAAUUCUCUCCGUUGACUUAACCAUUUUUCUUCUUUUUGAGCCUCAAUUUAAGGAGAUUUUUGAACUCAUUGUGUGGUUAUAUUUUGUUGCUUUUUCUACCUUGUAUUAAAGUUUCUCAAUUAGAUCAACAAGCAUUAUGCUUGAAUUAAAUUGUGCAACGUUCGUUUCUUUUGUUUGAUUAAAAAAAAAAUCAAUAAAAAAAAACAAAAACAAAAACAAAAAGAAAAAAGAAAAAAGAAAAAAGAAAAAAAAAAAGAAAGAAAAAGAAAAAGAAAAAUCGAAAAAAAAAGUUUACAUUCUUGGUGACUUGAGUAGAAAUAAGCAUUUUGAUAUCAUAAGUUCAUUCAAUGAGUUCAUUCUUCUCAUUUUAUUUAUUUUUCUUUCAUAGACCUUUCUUUUUUAUUUCACCUAUUUAACCCCAUUACAACCCUUUUAAGACCCUUAGAUUUUUGCAUUUUAUUCAUGUUUUGUGGAUUGAGAUGUGAUAUAUGAGCAAGCUUAUGGUAAUAGCAUUCUUUGAUUUGAUUUGAGUGGAUAAAUGACACCCUAAACACUUUGAGUGCAUGGAGUGAAGUCAAUGAGAGGGCUAUUAAAUCUUGUUGCACUUGAAUUUUAAAUGGAUCUUCUUGGUGGUUGAAUGUUCUUAUUCUAUCUUAUGAAAUUCUAUGCUUUAAAAUCCUUGUCUCUCGAAUGUUGAUCGACUUAAUUUCUUGAGGUAUGCUUGCUUAAAAUUGUUUUUGGAUGAGUUGAGAUGAGAAUUGAGUGGAGAUUUGGAAUUAAUCUUGAGUUAUAUGCUUGAGGACAAGCAUCAUCUUGGUGUAGGGGAAUUUGUUAGAGUGCAAUUUACGCACUAGUUUUGCAUUGUUUACUUCCCUUAAUAUCGAUGUUUUGCACUUAAUAAUAAUGAUUUACUUGUGUUUUACUUUUGUAGGUACAAUUCUAGUGAUUGGUGAUAAAAUUGAGAUAAAAGAUGAUGUUUAAGGAGAAUUGUUCUCUUGGAGAAAUUAUGAGCGUCAGAAGAACUUUGUUGAUAAGGCGUGGGCGCGUGCUGUCAACUGCGGACCUGCAGUUUUUAGUUUAACGUGUUUUGUAUUUUUGGUUAUUUUUGUAAUUACGAAUUUAAUAUUUCAGAUAUUAGGAUUUUAUUUUAAAUAGAAUUCUAAAAGAGAAGAGAGAGAGAGUAUUUAAGGGAGGAAUCUAUUGUGGAAAAGGGGGAUUUUUGGAUGGGAGAAAAGAAAGAAACACUAGAUUUAAUUUUUCUCUUCUCUCUAUGAAGAACUAAACUUAUUUUUCUGGUUGAAGGUUAAUGAAGCUUUGAUUCAUCACUACUGUGAGAUCUUUCUUGUGCUUUAAUUGUUUUAUUGCUUUUUGGGUAUUUGUUUAUUCUCUGAAUUAUUUUCAUGAUUAUGUUUGUUAAUUAGGUAAUUGGCCACUAUUUAAUUAUCAACUUAAUCUAUUGUCAAUUAAAGGAUUCAUCGUAUGAAGAAUUUAAUGUUUGUGACAAAUAACAUAGCAGAGAGUUGUGUUGUGAGAAUAAACAAUCUAAUUUAAAUGAAUCAUCAUAUGUGUUGAUUAGGAUUUGGGUCUCUCUGGUUUUUCAGGCUGUCAAUUGAUUAAAUCCUAUGAUCGUAUUUAGGGUUGUCUAUUGAUUGGGGAAAUAACCAACGGUCAUACCUUGGUUAUCGACUAGUUAAGGAGAGAUUGGCUAUUAGAGGGUCUCAGUAGCUAUAACUGGUCUAUUCAUGAGUAAUAAUAAUCUAUAUUUGAAUCAAUGAUCAGUAGUCGAAUCAAGCUGAGUUAAUUCCUUCAACCAGAGCUUUCUCCAAUUUGAAUUACAACUUUAAUUUGCAUUCUUGUUAUUUUAAUUUGAUUUUUAUUAUUGUCAACAAAACCCCCAUUUUAUGUUUUACGUUUUAAAAGGAUUUAAAUAACUACCGAUCUCUGUGGACACGACCCUGCUCAAUUACUAUACACAAUUUAUUUAGAGUAGGAAUUUAUUUUUGUUGGCUUCGACACCCACCAGUUUGCUAGUCUUAAGUCCUUCAUUUUAAACUACCUAGCUAAUUGUGCCUUUAAUUCUUGGACCCAAUCUUUGUUUGAGCCUGCUACUAACAUGUUAUCCACAUACAAUAGUAUAAUGAUAAAAUUAUUAUCCUCAAACCACUUGUAAUAUGCACAGGUCUAAACCGAGUCUAUUGUAGCCAAGACUCAUGAUGAAGGAAUCAACUCUCUUAUACCAACAUCUCAAUGCCAGUUUAAGACUAUAUAGAGAUUUGUUUAACCUGCAAAAGAAGUUUUCUUUACCUGUUUAAGCAAAACCUUCUGGUUAGAGUAUAUACAUUUUUUCUUUAAGUUCUCUAUGAAAAAACACAGUUUUCACAUCUAAGUGCUCUAGGUUUAUGUUAAAUACAACACAUAUUGCAAGGACUAUUUUGAUUGUCGUGAGUCGAAUUACUCGGGAAAAUAUAUCGUUAAAGUUAAUACAUUCUUUCUGAGCAUAUCCUUUCACUACCAAUCUUACACGAUACCGCUCUACUUGGUCAUUGCCAUCACGCUUGAUCUUGUAAACAUAUUUUUUUCCUAUGAUUUUUCUUUCACGUGGUAGUGGUAUAAGUUCCCACGUCUUAAACCUAUGUAGAGCUUUAAUUUCUACCUGCAUUGUUGUCAUCCACAAAACAACAUUUAAGCCAUUUAAAGCUUUAUGGAAAGUUGAUGGCUCUGCAUCCUCUGUUAGAAGAUAGUAUACAACAUUGAUCCUAUAACAUACUCUAAGUGCCACACCGACGGUUGUCUCUCGCAAGUUGACCGAUGAACUUCUGUAGCCUCAGACUCCACUGGUUCUUGCUUCUCAUGCUUUAGUGGUGUUUCAGAAUAAUCUAAAUCUUCUUUUCCCGGAUUAUUUUCAUAUACAUUGGUACAAUCUCUGACUUGUUCUUCAAAGUGCUAUCAUUCUCAUUUUUCUUUUGUAGUCGAUCUUCUACAAAGAUAACAUUUCUACUUAUGACAAUCUUGUGGGCAAUGAGAUCCUACAGAUAAUCUUGAUGAGAAUCUUGUAGUCAAUCUUCUUUCUUGAGCAUUGUAAGUGCAUAGGGCAUCCAUAUGCAUGCAAAUGAGAAUAAUCAGCAGGUUUCCUAGUCUACAUCUCCAUUGGUGUCUUUAACUUAAUUAUUGUAUGUGGCGAUCAAUUUACUACAUAAUAGGUGGAUUUGGUUAUUUCUAACCAAAAUGAGUUGACUAGAGCAGUCUUCAAUAUAACUUGUAUUCAUUCUGUAAGAGUAUUGUUCAUUCGCUCUGUCACUUCAUUCCAUUGAGGAGUGUAUGCCACAAUGAAUUAUUUUUUAAUACCUUUUUGCUUAUAGUAUAUAAAAAACUAACUAUUUGUAUAUUCUCCACUAUUAUUUAUUCCCCAAACUCUUGAUAUUUUUCCUGAAUUUAAGUUCCACCCGUGCUUUGUAUUCUUUGAACACUGAAAAUGCUUUUGACUUUUUCUUAAUUAGAUAAGUUGAGUGUUAGAAAAUGUAUAUUUAUAAAGGAGAAAACCGUCAUUUUACAUUUCAAGUCUUACUAACAACCCUUACUUUUAUGUAUUUAACCUUCUUGUGAUUUAAUUACAUGUGUUUUAUUUUAAUUAAGUAUUUUAUUUAUUUUAGGGGCAUUAUAGUCAUUUCACAAUAAAGGAGAGAUCAGACGGCAAAACGAACAUCACUUUUGAACUCAGGACGGUCGAAAACCUUAGGAGGAGCAUAAAAGGAAAAAUGACACUAUUCACAUGUACGGUACUAUUCACGUGUACGGUACUGUUUACAUUACUGUUCACGACACUGUUCACAUAGACGGAUCGAUGACGUGGCAUUGACCGAUGAUGUGGCAUUGACUGAUGAGGUGUCACGAUCCUGUUGGGCUAAAAUUCUUAUGUACUGUUGAUGAUGACGUGGCAGUAUAUCAGUGGAUGAAAAAUCUUGCGUACGGUACAUGCAUCACACAGGAUUAUUUUCAACCAAACCGCAUUACUGUUCAUCCAGGUCAAACCGUGUUACUGUUCAUCCGCGUGGUCAAACCGCGUACUGUUGACUGAUGACGUGGCGCAAUCCUGAGCGUCCAAACUAUUUUUAAUCCGAUGGCCAUGAUUUACUCCAUGUAUCUAUAAAAAGGGGGCCUCUCCCCCCUAAUUUGAUAUCUCCGAAUCCAUUUUUGGGAUCCAUUUUCUGUAAUUCCUUUUCCAUCUUGUAUUUUCUUCAUAUUUUAAUAAAUUUCCAUUUUGCCCCUAGUUCAAUUAUGAGUGGCUAAUUUUCUUUCAAGCUUGGGUUGAAGGUGAAGUCUCAACAUGUGUCAUGGGCUUUAUUUGGUAAAUUUAUUUUCUCUUCCCCUCUAAUUUUUGUGGAUGUUUUGACUUCUCGUCGACAAAUAAUACUAAUCUUGUCUAGUACCGCCUUGGUUUCACCGGCCCUCUAGUACAAGGUUAUUAUUAUUUGGCACGAUAAGCCCUUAGCACCAUAUUGAUUAGAGAGUGGUUCAUGAGGUGUGGAUUCCCCCCUCAUGAUUUAAUUGGCAUUAAUAAGGAUUAUUUAGUCCAUGAUGCAUGUUGAUACGGAUCCAGAUACCCAAGUAUGUCAUUUCAAUAGCUUUCUAUUCAAUUUAUUCUCGCCAUUUCAAUUCCAAUUGUAGAAUUUAAUCUCGCCAUUUCAAUUCCAAUUUUUAGGAUAAUUUAAAUCACUUCCACCAUAAUUCCAACCACCCAUUUACAAAAUUAAUUCUAUACACAAUUAAAAUCCACCUCCUCGUGGGAUCGACACUCGUCACCAUUAGUCUAUACUACAAUAGAUUCGUGCGCUUGCGAGUACAUUAAAAUUUGCACAACAAGAUACACCUAACAUCUCUUGGAAUAAUCAUCUAUGAAAGUCAUAAUGUACGUUACACCUCCUAGGGACAUAUUCCGGUGAUUCCCAAACAUUAGAAUGAACCAAGUCUAGAAUGCAUUUACUUUUGGUAUCAGAUUUACUGAACUUCAAUCUAUGUUACUUACUGGUAACAUAAUACUCAUAAAACAGUAAGUUCACCAAUUUGAGCCCCGAAGCAAUUUUCGUUCUAAGAGAAUCUUCAAACCUUAUUUUGACAUGUGGUCAAGUUUGAGAUACCACAUCAUCAUCGACUUUUCUCCAUUUGACGAGACACAUACAUUAGCUUCUUGUAAUGUUUCCUCUUUAAGUAUGAACUGACUAGCACUAAUUUUUUCCCAUCUUUAUCAAUACAAGCAUAUCUCUUAAAAUCUUCAUGAUUUUAUUGUCCACAUGAGUUUUAUAGUUAAGACUAUCUAUUUAUCCUAAAAACAAUAGAUUUUUCUUCAAUCCUUUGAUAUGUUGUACCUUCUGAAUUGUACGAACUGUACCAUUAAAUAUUUUUAUUUUGACAGUAUCAAUACCAACGAUCUCCAAGACAUGAUCAUCACCUAUAUAUUCUCUUAAAAUGGGUUCAUUUCUAUGGAACCAUUCUCUUCGAGAGGUCAUGUGCCAAGUGGUUCAUAAGUCUAUAAGCCAUACAUCAAAUAAUUGUUUUGUCUUCUGCAACCAUUGCUGCCUUGCUGUAUAAAAUGUCACCAUCAACUGAGGUACUUGCUACACGUCCUUAAACAUUUCAUGACUCAUGAUUUUUACUCUCUUUUCUCUUUUAGUUACUCCAAAACUUUUUCUUAACAUGCCCCAUCUUACCACAUUUGUAGCACCUAAUUUUCUUCUUCUUGAUUUUGAUCUACCAUGCACUGGAACCACGUUCCACUAAUUUUCGUCUCACCAUUAUUAGUGUUUCUGCUUGCUGCAAACUUGCUUGCCUAUCUUUAUUGUUCUUGCGUCUACCCACUUCCUCUAAUACAGAGGCUAUAACAUCGUCAAAGACUAAAUACUCUGUGCGGAUAUUAUUUGUCAAGUUGAUGAUGAUUUGAUCAUACCAGUCAGGUGAACUUUGAAAUAGAAGCUUUGCAUGUUCAAUUUUCGCUAUUUUAUGACCUAACAUUGUAAGUUGUAAAAAAAAAGUUUUCAAAGUGUUGAUAUAGUGGGUCAUUGAUAUGGUUUCUACCAUUUGAACACUAUAAAGUCUUCUCUUUAAGAAGAUUUUGUUGUGUAGCGACUUGGCCUUGUUUACUUUUGCAAGGGUAUUCCAAAUACACUUCCCUGUCUUUUGCUUUGCCAUACUGGAUAAUAUCUUAUCUGCAAGUGCCAAGUGUAGAUCAAUAAUUGCAUUGUCGUCCAUUUAAUUCCACUUGUCAUCGGUGAUUUCUAUAAACCUUUCUGCAAUUACUUCUAAAUAAUUAUUUUUCCUCGGGAUUGCUCAUGUCUUUAUUUUUCACAAUGAGAGAUUGCUCAUAUUGAACUUCUCAAUUUCAAACUUUGUUGCCAUUUUGUUAAUAAAUACCAUACACAAGUUAGUGUACCACCUUGAGUAGUUAUGAGUGAUCGCACGUGUGAAAAUGCACAGCAGAAAAGUUUCCAGGAAUGACUGGAGGGAUUACAACGGUGCCAUUUAAAACCCAAACUCUCUAGGCUCUUAUCGCCUUUGUGACGGAACUAUCCUAGACAUGUACAAGACCACGUGAUUACUUCUACUCACACCAAUACUCCUUACUUUACAUUGUGGAAUUCUUCGAUCGCUCCCACUAUUUUAAGUAAACAGUAUCAUAUACAUGAAGAGUAUUGUAUACGUGAACAAUAGCUGACUCCAAAAACUAUAACUAAAUGGCUCUGAUACCACUAUUAGGAAAUUGAUGUGUGAAGCAGACACAUAAUUAAAUUGAAAUUGAGAAAUAAUGAUCACAGGAUGACACCAUAAUUUAAGUGGUUCUGCUUUUCACCUACAUCCACGGGCGAAGGCAGAAGGAAAUAUUUUACUAGUGAAAAGGAGUUACAAGUACUGGAGUAUUUUGUCUCACAACCCAAAAAACCCAAUGCACCCAAACUCUCAAGACACUAGAAUAAGAGCUUAAAACUCUCAACACACUCUCAAUCUCCAAAUCUUGGCUCUUUCACUUCUCAAUUAGAUUGAGAAUUGAAGAAAAUGAGAUGAAUGAAGAGGGCAAAUAAAGCCUCUAUUUAUAGGCCAGGCAAUGCCCUAAAAUCAACAACAGUGGGCUUUAAAAUAAUAUAUAUUUUCAUUUAACUUUCCCCUUUGGUGUCAAAAACAAAAGUUGUGUGCUAGCUAAAUGCUUUCCACUUACUCAUGUCUCCCACUUACUUAACAAAUUAUGCCAAAAGUCAAAAGUUGCAUGCGAGCCACAUGAAAUUGUUUGCCACAUGCAUGUGCUUGUUCAACAGUAAAAACCACAAGCAAGGAUUUAACUAGUUUAAACAAGGACUACAAAACCUUCAACGUUGGUGGAUUUCACUAGUUUAAACGAGGAUCACAAAUUUAUCUUUUCUCUAAACAGUAAGAGAGAACUUGAAAUACAAGAAUGCAACCCAAGAGGGGGGGGUGAAUUGGGAUUCUAAAAAAUUAUUCAAUUUAUUAAAGAAAAUCUUAAUGCAAUUAUAAAUCAAAUUCAAAGCAAUAACAAUUAAGAGAAUCACAAUAUAAAAAGAUAAGGGAAGAGGGAUUCAAACACCGAGAUUUUUACGUGGUUCGGCCAACCUCGCCUACGUCCACGCCUCCAAGCUUUCCGGGCUUGAGGAUUCCACUAAGCAAGCCUCCAAGGCUUCAAAUGCUUACACUUGACUUCCAAGGUGUCAAUGAACCUUUACAACAAGAGAUUAUCCCCAAUCUCUUAACCCAAGUGUAUCCCAACACUUACAAUCACUCAAAAUAAAAGAUUAUAAAUUGUUUUGCCUCUCACAAUAUAUAAGAUUACACAAUGAUGCUUAAUAUGUGAAUAGAUGAAGCAAGAAUAUGUUCUAAGCUCUAUGAAGAUUGUAUUCUCGAAUAUUAGCUCAAAUGGUCGUGUUGUGAUCAAUCUUCUUUGAAUUUGAAUGAGCUUAUUUAUAUUUGGAGCCGAAAAUCUAGCCGUUACAAACUGUCGGACAGAAAACGGUUCGCUGUUAACCAUAAACGGUUAACCGUUUAGGCUGGUCAAAGUUACCGUUGGGCCAGAUUUCAAAUAAACGGUUUGCCGUUUAGGGUUGCCCUUUCGCCGUUAACUUCCAGAGACCUGCAAAAUGAGUAUUUGUUAUCCGUUUACGCUAAACGGUUAAGGACUUGCGUGAAGUGGCUUCUCUGGACAUUAUCGGUUAACCGUUUGAUAUAAACGGUUCGCCGUUUGUCUCCAGUAACCUGCAAAACAAUUUAGCCUUAUCAGUUUUCGUUAAUCAGUGCCAGAGGAGGACAACCUUCAAUUCUGGACGUUAUCGGUUAACCGUUUAAAAUAAACGGUUCACCGUUAGGUUCCAGUAGCCUUCCCAUCUUGGGUGUUUUCCGGUAAGCAUAAACGGUUAGAGCUUAGGUAAUAUGUUGCUCUCUGGUGAUAAUCGGUUAACCGUUUAAAAUAAACGGUUCACCGUUAAGUUCCAGUAACCUUCCCAUCUUUUGUGUUUUCCGUUUUUCAUAAACGGUUAGAGGUUUAGGAAAUAUGUUGCUCUCUGGCUGUUAUCGGUUAACCGUUUAAUAAACGGUUCACCGUUUAUAACCAGAAUUACAUUUUAAACCAGUUUUUUAUUUUUGCAGAGAAUCUUUUUCUAAUUUUAAAGUCCAUCUUUUAUGAAGCAUGAAUUGAAUGAUUACUAAGGCUCUCGUUUAUUAAGAAAUAGCUCCAAUACUUUUAUAAAAAAUCAUUUAAAAUUUGUUAUCAUCAAAAUCAAUAUUAUUAACAUAUUUAUGUUAACAAUCUCCCCCUUUUUGAUGAUGACAAAUUCUAAUCAAUGUUUAGCUCCCCCUUAAUAUGUGCUCCCCCUAAAUGUAUGGCCAAAUUGAGAAAUGUGAAUAAAAGGAUAUUUGCUUUAAAUUGCCCCAUUUUAAAUCCAUCUUAAAACAAAUAUCUCCCCAUUUAAAAACCAUCUUAAAAAAAUAUCUCCCCAUUUAAAAAACUAUCUUAAAAACUUAAAAACCAUCUUAAAAACUUUAAUUAUCUCCCCCUUCAUCAUCAAAAAGAAAAGAGGAAAUAAGAAAUACGCAAAUCCAUGAAAGAAAGUGCCCGGUUUUGGCAAACAAAAAAAAAAUUUUGGCAGAGUUUCCCCUUAAAAAUGAGUAAAACCAUAAAUACAAAAUGAGAUAAAACACUUCCAAAAUUAGAUCAACAUUAACUUCUGCUUUCAACAAGCCAACAACUCCAUGAACAAGACAAAAUAACACUUCAAUAUCCACAAAUAUACCAACACUCCAAUAUCCACAAAUAAACCAUUUCUACAAUAUCCAACCAAUUAGGCAAUCACAAAGCAUCAAUAAGCUAAUCAUCAAGAACAUCACACACAUAUGCAUCAAAAUCAAAAUAAUAAUAAAAAUGCUAGCAACCAAAAUGUAAAAUGUAUGUGCGAAGACAAAGCUCAGAAACUACGGAGGCGGAGAAGAUGUGCUCCCUGGAUCAUAGCCGAAAUAGCCGAGAAUAGUGCGCUGUCCAGCGAUAAGCUCCAUCUGCUGAUCAAGGCUCUGCCGCUGGAAUAUCUGAAAGUCAGAACGCAGCUGCUGGUGGUCCCGGGAAAGAGUGUCCAACCGAUCAAGAAUCAGCUGCUGGCGCUCCGAAAUCCGCUGAACAUCAGUGAUCAGCUGCUGCACUGCGUCUGAAGCAGGGGGCUGAACUGGAGCUGGAGGCGGCAUAGAGGCAGAUGGCUGCUCGGGAACAGCAGAAGGCUCAGGAGCAAGAGGCGGCUCGGAAGAGGAGGGAAUAUCAGCAUCCAUCGCACGCUCCUCAGAGUCUGAGUCAGCUGGAGGCUGAGGAACAAAACGGCGACGCGGAGGAUGAGGAUGAGCGCCUAGUCUAAAGUCAGGAAGCUGGUCGGGACGAUAGACAUCAUUGAGCAUCCGAUCGUCCUCUGGAGCAAUCAAGGUAUCCCGGUUUUUGGAGUUGCUUGUCUUUAUCCACACUCCAUUCUUUCUAGAGAAUCCGAUACUGGUUACUGCCUCGGAACCAAUCCGUCGAGUCUCCAUAUGUCCAGUAUCAAGAAGUGGCACCUCAAAGCGUCGCAGUAUUUUAGUGAUGAUACUGCCGUAGGGAAGCAAGCGGUGGUUGACCACUGGAGUACUCAGCAUAUGUCGCACAAUAAUAUACCCGAGGUUAAUGGGACGGUCUGUAAGAAGGCUAUCCAAUAAGGCGACGUCUAACCUCGUAACCUCAUCCGAGUGACCCUUCCUAGGAGUCACUAUGUGCUGUAGAAUAGAGUGAAGAAUACGAACUUGGAGCGGUAAAAGUUGAGACCGAAAUGGAAGCUGACAGACAUCAUCCGAUAAGUCUCGACGACGACAUAUAUUACGGACGCCGUGAGUAUGAGAAAAAGUAUCAAAGGAGAGGGUUUUCCUAGAGGUGUAGAUGUCAAUCCCCUCACAAGAGAUACCUAGAAAGUCAGCUAAGUCCGCAUCAUCAAAUUCUAUGGGUACACGGCCGACUUGAGUGACUAUCCUAUUUGGACGAGUAUUGGAGAUUUCCAUGUUCGAAUAAAAGACUCGCACUAAGUUUGGAUAAACUCGGUCAUCAAAAUCAAUGCCAGACUCCCAAGGCCGAAGCAUAUCCCGAAUACUUCUACCACAUACAACCAAAUUAUGGAAUUCAUCAAUGUCAACAAAGAAGGAGUCAAGUACCUUUCGACCAUUGAAGCGUUCUUCGAAUCGCUUGGCCAAGGAAGGAGUGGGGAAGUGAAUCCUUGCAAAUUCCGAGACUUCCCGAGGUGGUAUGGGAUUCCUUGGAGGCACAGAUUUACGUCUGAGAUUUCUCCGAGGAGGUUCAGCCAUGGAAACACGUAAUGAGGAGUAGAAGAUGUGAGUAGGAUGUUUAAUUUGGUUGAAGAAAGUUGGAAAUCGGAUUAAGGACAAGGAAACCCGACCCGCGACAGUUAGGGUUUAGAUUUGGGAUUUUUGAAUUUUGGGUUCGAUUUGAAGUUUUGAAUCGGUAGAAAUGUUCUAAAGGUGAUAAGAAAUGAUUUUGAAGGUUUGAUUUGGCAAGGAAAGCAAGAAAAAUGAGGAUUUGAGGACAGAGAAACCUUCGGCUGCGCAACAAUGGUGGAAACGGUGAAAGGGUAACUGGAGAAGAAGAAGAAAACCUUUAAACAGUUUAUACACUUCGCGAAAACGGUUAACCGUUUAUUGAAACGGUUAAAGGGUAACGUCCAGAGGCUGAAGAAAGGGAAACGGUGAAAGCCUAAGCGCUUAACGGCUAAGGAGUAACUGUUAGAGGACUCUCUGUUGAAAAACGGUUCACCGAUUGUGGCAAACGGUGAAAGGGUAAACGGGCAGACACAUAAUCUCGUUUCUGGAAUUAAACGGUGAUCCGUUUAUAGGAAACGGCUAACCGUUUAUUCAAUCUGUAAUUUCGCACAUUUGAUUUAAUUUUUGGCCAGCAAAUAAUAUAUUCCAAGAUCAUUUAAUUGAUCUGAAAAUAUUUUAUGAGCCAAUUUUAAUGCAUGAUUCAUGGACAUGUUUUCAACCAAUCAAUUCAUAUAAUCAAGAGUUAUUAAUGCAAAUUCAUCAUUUGUCUACCAAGCUCAAACAUUUCAUAAAUAGUAAUCAAUCAAUUCAGUACACUCAAUAGCAUGAAUAGAGAUGUUAAUGCAAAAAUUUCAUCAUCCCAAGUUCAUGCCGAAUUUUUGAAAAUUGUUCUUCGCAAAGCGGUUUUGUGAAAAUAUCGGCAAGUUGUUUUUCCGUGGAAAUAAACUCUAAUGCAAUAUCUCCCUUUUGAACAUGAUCUCUCAAGAAAUGAUGUCUUAUUUCUAUAUGCUUGGUUCGAGAAUGUUGAAUGGGAUUCUUUGAAAGGUUUAUAGCACUAGUAUUAUCACACUUAAUAGGAAUUUGUUCAAGAUUAAUGCCAUAAUCUCUAAGUGUUUGUUUCAUCCAAAGUGCUUGUGCACAACAACUUCCGGCAGCUAUAUAUUCAGCCUCAGUAGUUGAAAGUGCAACAGAAUUUUGUUUCUUGCUAAACCAUGAAACAAGAGAGUGUCCUAGAAUAUAGCAAGUUCCACUAGUGCUCUUCCUAUCCACUUUAUAACCAGCAAAAUCCGCAUCCGAAAAACAUGUUAAAUCUAUAUGAGUUCCCCUAGGAUACCAAAGGCCAAUAUCUAUGGUUCCACUCAAAUAACGGAAAAUUCUUUUAACAGCGAGCAAAUGAGAUUCCUUGGGACAUGACUGAAAUCUUGCACACAAACAUACACUAAACAUGAUAUCGGGUCUACUUGCAGUCAAAUAGAGUAGGGAUCCGAUCAUACCUCGAUACAUUUUGAUAUCCACUUCUUUACCUUUUUCAUCUUUGUCCAGCUUGGUUGUUGUGCUCAUUGGUGUAUUCUUGGUCUUUGAAUCAUCAAUGCCGAAUCGUUUGAGUAGAUCCUUUACGUACUUGGCUUGAUUUAUGAAAAUUCCUUCCUCGCUUUGUUUGAUUUGAAGUCCAAGGAAGUAUUUCAACUCUCCCAUCAUACUCAUCUCAAAUUCUUUGCUCAUACACAAUGAAAAUUCUUUACACAACAACUCAUUAGUAGAACCAAAAAUAAUAUCAUCAACAUAAAUUUGAACAAUAAGUAUGUCUUGGUUCUUAUGCUUAACAAAAAGAGUAGUAUCCGCUUUACCCAUAGAGAAGUCAUUUUCUAGCAAGAAAUUUUUAAGUCUAUCAUACCAUGCUCUAGGUGCUUGUUUUAAUCCAUACAAGGCUUUGAGCAACUUAUACACAUGAUUUGGAAAUUUUUCAUUUUCAAAACCAGGAGGUUGUUUCACAUAAACUUCCUCCAAAAUAUAUCCAUUUAAGAAAGCACUCUUGACAUCCAUUUGAUAUAAAAUAAAAUCCUUAUGACAUGCAUAUGCUAACAACAUCCUAAUGGAUUCUAACCUUGCUACAGGUGCAAAGGUUUCAUCAAAAUCAAUUCCUUCCUCUUGGUUGUAACCUUGAGCCACUAAUCUAGCUUUGUUUCUUACAACCACACCGGAUUCAUCCAUCUUAUUUCUAAACACCCAUUUAGUACCUAUUAUAGAUUGAUGUUCAGGUUUAGGAACUAGUUCCCACACAUUGUUUCUUUCAAAUUGAUUUAACUCCUCUUGCAUUGCCAUAAUCCAAGAUUCAUCAUUUUCUGCAUCCUCAAAGGAUUUUGGUUCAAUUUGAGAGAUGAAUGCAUUAUGCUCACAAGUAUUUCUAAGUGAUGAUCUAGUUGUUAUACCUCGUGAGGGAUCUCCUAAAAUUACAUCUUUAGGGUGAGAAGAGACAUACCUCCACUCCUUGGGGAGUGUUUGAGAAGUACCUUCAUUUUGCUCCACAUUUGGUUCUUCAUGAUGUUCCUCUUGAAUUCCAUGUGGUGCAUCCUCUUGAUUGUCAUUUGAUGCUUCUUCUUCUUGUUCUUCUUCUCUUGCAUCAUCAUCAACAACGACUUUCUUCGUAGAGGAGGGGUUAGACUCAUCAAAUGUGACAUGCAUAGAUUCUUCCACAACUAAAGUUCUUUUGUUAUAAACUCUAUAAGCUUUGCUUGAAUUUGAAUAACCAAAAAAAAUACCAACAUCGGAUUUUGAAUCAAAUUUACCAAGAUUGUCUUUUGUGUUCAAAACAAAACAUUUGCAUCCAAAAACUUUAAAAUAGCCAAUGUUGGGUUUUCUAUCUUUCCAAAGCUCAUAUGGAGUUUUAUUAAGAUUAGGUCUAAUCAACACCCGAUUUAAAACAUAACAAGCGGUGUUGACGGCUUCGGCCCAAAAAUAUUUUGGUAAUGCAUUUUCAUUUAACAUGGUCCUAGCCAUUUCUUGAAUAGACUUAUUCUUUCUCUCAACAACUCCAUUUUGUUGUGGAGUUCUAGGUGAAGAAAAUUGAUGCUCAAUGCCUAGAUUAUUGCAAAAACUCUCAAAUGCAUGAUUUUCAAAUUCUCCUCCAUGAUCACUCCUAAUGCAUACAAUACCAUGCCCUUUUUCAUUUUGUAAUUUCUUACAAAGCACUUUAAAUGCAUCAAGAGCAUCAUCCUUAUUGGCUAAGAAUAAUACCCAUGUAUAUCUAGAAUAAUCAUCCACUAUCACAAAAGCAUAAUAUUUGCCAUUUAGACUUGCAUAUCUAGAUGGCCCAAAAAGAUCUAUGUGAAGAAGUUCAAGUGGUUUUGAAGUAGAAAUAUGGUUUUUAUUCUUGAAAGAAGUUUUAAUUUGUUUUCCAAAUUGACAAGCUUCACAAAUCUUAUCCUUUUGAAAACCAAUUUUCGGAAGACCUUUAACUAAAUCAUCUUUCGAAAUUUUUGAAAUCAAAUCCAUACUUGCAUGUCCUAACCUUCUAUGCCACAACCAACAAUCAUCAUGCAAUGCCGAAAAAUAUUUAUCAAGAGUAGAUGCACAUUCUAUGUCAAUGAUAUAAACAUUACCACAUCUAUUUCCAACAAAUAAGGUUUUGCCAUCACAUGAGUUCUCAAUAACACAACUAAAUUUAUCAAAGAUAACUUUAUAACCUUUGUCACAUAAUUGACUAAUGCUAAUUAAGUUGUGUUUCAAGUUUUCAACCAAACAUACAUUCUCAAUUAGAGUUGAAGAAACUUUACCAACAUUUCCAAUUCCAAGGAUUUUUCCUUUUGAGUUGUCUCCAAAGGAUACGUCUCCACCAUUUUCAAUUUUGGUAAAGCUUGAGAACCAUGCAUAGUUUCCGGUCAUGUGCCUUGAACAACCGCUGUCCAAGUACCAUUUAUUCUUCUUCUUCUUCAAGCCCUACAAGAAAAAGUCUCAAGUUUUAGGUACCCAAAGCUUUUUGGGUCCUUGAGAGUUAGCAACGGUUCCUUUUGGAACCCAAAUGCACUUGACACCAUAAUAUGCAUUCCUUUUCACGGGACAUUUAAAUUUCAUGUGACCAUUUUGAUUACAAUAAUGACAUACAAUCUUAUGAUCAUUUGUGGAGGUAGCUUUAACAAAAUAAUUCUUAUAAUACUUUUGCUUCAAAUUUGGCUUAUAUCCAAGUCCUCCUUUAUCAAAAACACAUUUUUGUGAGUUAAGCAUAUUAUCCAACAUCUUUUGCCUAUUUGUAAAUUUCAAAACAAUUUCAUUUAAUUCAUUAUUCUUUUUCUUGAGCAAUUCGUUCUCAUUUUUCAACUCAUCUAUGUGUGAUUUCAAAUGCUCAUGUAAGAUGCUAGGUUUCUCAUUUGAUAAUGCAAUUUCAUCAUGCAAUGUUUUGUUUCCUACUUCUAGGCAUACAAUUCUUGCAUUUAGAGAUUCAUUUUCAUUUUUAAGCUUUGCCAUUUCCUUUUUAAGACAUACAUUCUUUUUACUAAUUUUCAUCAACUCAUUAUGCAAAUCUUGAAAAGCAUCAUAUAAUUCAUCAUAGGUAGGAUCACUUACCUCAUUGAGAUCAUCAUCUCCUCCUAUUGCCAUGAGUGUUAGGUUUGAUACUUCUUGCGAUCCUUCUUCAUCAUUUGAUUCUUCCUCACUAUCAUCCCAAGUUGCAACCAUUGCUUUCUUCUUGAGUUUGUUGAUAAGUGGGCACUCCGAUCUUAUAUGUCCAGGCUUCUUGCAUUCAUAGCAAGUGAUUGCCUCCUUCUUCUCCCUAUAGUUCUUGAAGUUUCUGAAAUUUCUUCGCUCUCCGGUUUUCUUGAAGAAUUUUCUGAACCUCCUUGCUAGCAUGGCUAGUUCUUCAUCAUCCGGUUCACUCUCCUCAUCACUCUCAUAUUUUGAAGCUUUGAGAGCAAUGCUUUUCUUCUUCUCCUCAUGUCCUCUUUCUGCAGCUAAAUCCUCUUCAUACGAAAUAAGAGAACCAAUUAAAUCAUCAAGAGGUAAAGUAUUUAAAUCUUUGGCCUCUUCAAUAGCGGUUCGUUUAGGUCUCCAUUCUUUUGGAAGAGACCUAAUGAUUUUCUUAACUUUCUCACUAUUUGAGAAGGUUUUCCCUAAGGCACCUAGGGUGUUCACUAUGUCCGUGAAUCUAGUAUACAUAGAAUACACAUUUUCAUUUUGUUCCAUUUGGAACAACUCAUAUUGACGAGUGUAUCUACUGAUUUUAGACUCUUUCACUUGAUUUGUCCCUUCAUAGACAACUUCAAGUUUGUUCCAUAUCUCUUGUGCACUUUCACAACUAGAUACUCUAUGGAAUUCUUUCUUAUCAAGGGCACAAAACAAAGCAUUCAUAGCCUUGGAGUUUAGAGACAUCUUUCUCUUUUCUAACUCACUCCAUUGACUCGAUGGUUUAGGAAUAUCAUCUCCUACUUCAUCUUUGAACGUAGGCAUGAAUGGACCAUCACAAACAACUUCCCAAAUUUCAUAAUCUAAGGCUUGCAAAUAAAUUCACAUUCUAGUUUUCCAAUAAGCAUAGUCAUUACCAUCGAAAAAUGGUGGUCUAGUUGUGGAUUGCCCUUCUCUAAAGGUUGAGUCAUUUAGGGUUGCCAUGGAUCUUUUACUCUAGACGAUUAAGUCUUAACAAGAGAACGAGGCUCUGAUACCAAUUGAAAUACAAGAAUGCAACCCAAGAGGGGGGGUGAAUUGGGAUUCUAAAAAAUUAUUCAAUUUAUUAAAGAAAAUCUUAAUGCAAUUAUAAAUCAAAUUCAAAGCAAUAACAAUUAAGAGAAUCACAAUAUAAAAAGAUAAGGGAAGAGGGAUUCAAACACCGAGAUUUUUACGUGGUUCGGCCAACCUCGCCUACGUCCACGCCUCCAAGCUUUCCGGGCUUGAGGAUUCCACUAAGCAAGCCUCCAAGGCUUCAAAUGCUUACACUUGACUUCCAAGGUGUCAAUGAACCUUUACAACAAGAGAUUAUCCCCAAUCUCUUAACCCAAGUGUAUCCCAACACUUACAAUCACUCAAAAUAAAAGAUUAUAAAUUGUUUUGCCUCUCACAAUAUAUAAGAUUACACAAUGAUGCUUAAUAUGUGAAUAGAUGAAGCAAGAAUAUGUUCUAAGCUCUAUGAAGAUUGUAUUCUCGAAUAUUAGCUCAAAUGGUCGUGUUGUGAUCAAUCUUCUUUGAAUUUGAAUGAGCUUAUUUAUAUUUGGAGCCGAAAAUCUAGCCGUUACAAACUGUCGGACAGAAAACGGUUCGCUGUUAACCAUAAACGGUUAACCGUUUAGGCUGGUCAAAGUUACCGUUGGGCCAGAUUUCAAAUAAACGGUUUGCCGUUUAGGGUUGCCCUUUCGCCGUUAACUUCCAGAGACCUGCAAAAUGAGUAUUUGUUAUCCGUUUACGCUAAACGGUUAAGGACUUGCGUGAAGUGGCUUCUCUGGACAUUAUCGGUUAACCGUUUGAUAUAAACGGUUCGCCGUUUGUCUCCAGUAACCUGCAAAACAAUUUAGCCUUAUCAGUUUUCGUUAAUCAGUGCCAGAGGAGGACAACCUUCAAUUCUGGACGUUAUCGGUUAACCGUUUAAAAUAAACGGUUCACCGUUAGGUUCCAGUAGCCUUCCCAUCUUGGGUGUUUUCCGGUAAGCAUAAACGGUUAGAGCUUAGGUAAUAUGUUGCUCUCUGGUGAUAAUCGGUUAACCGUUUAAAAUAAACGGUUCACCGUUAAGUUCCAGUAACCUUCCCAUCUUUUGUGUUUUCCGUUUUUCAUAAACGGUUAGAGGUUUAGGAAAUAUGUUGCUCUCUGGCUGUUAUCGGUUAACCGUUUAAUAAACGGUUCACCGUUUAUAACCAGAAUUACAUUUUAAACCAGUUUUUUAUUUUUGCAGAGAAUCUUUUUCUAAUUUUAAAGUCCAUCUUUUAUGAAGCAUGAAUUGAAUGAUUACUAAGGCUCUCGUUUAUUAAGAAAUAGCUCCAAUACUUUUAUAAAAAAUCAUUUAAAAUUUGUUAUCAUCAAAAUCAAUAUUAUUAACAUAUUUAUGUUAACAGAACUAUUACUCAUUUUCGUAAUAGUUGGGGGCUUAGGCCUAAGAUGCAAAGGUAUGCAUCCAACUUAAAUGACUAGUUUUUCACUAGUGAAUUUGGGACACACAACUCAAUAGAGAGAACACAGCACUCUCUCACAAAGCUUAGGCCCUGUUUGGCAUUAUUUUCUAAAUGAUGUUUUCAUGAAACAAAAAUGAGAAUGGAAAUGACGUUUUCAAAUUUGUUUUUAAAAUUUAAAGUGUGUUUUGUAUCAUUUUAAAAAAUAAUCUUGAAAAUGAAAAAAGUUAAAUACUUUCGAUAAGAAAAUCUUCAAGAAUUAUUAUUAGAAUAAUUUUCCUAAACUUAAAAUUGAGUAAUGAAUAAUUAUUUUUAUUAUUUAAUCAGUUUAUUUUUUUAAUUUUAAGAAUAAAUUAGGUGAUCCCAUUAUUAUUUUUUGUUUAAAGAAAAGUUAUAAACUCUACAUAUUUGAUUUAAUUAAUAUAUAAAAACAUAAAUAUUAUAAUGUAUAUAAAAAGAAAAGAUUAUUGUGGAGGAGGGAAAUCAAUUUUUUGGGAAUAAUAAUAAUAAUAAUGUUGAAAUUAUUAAUAUUUUUUGAGGUGUUGGAAGAAAAUUGUUCAUUUUGAAACUUAAUACUGUAUUGGAAAAUAAGGAAAACAAUAAAAAGCUGUUUUCCUAUUUCUUUUGUUAAAAAUGUAGAAUGAAUUUUAUAUUUUCAAAAAUAUGUUCAAAAAUGAUCUACCGAACAAGUAUUUAGUGUUUUCUGAAUGCAAAAAACAAGAAGCAGGAUUUGGAAACAAUACUAACGUACCUUUACUUGCUCUCAAACAAUGAUCUUGCAGAUACUUUAUUUUAUCGAAAUGAACCUCAAACAACUUUAUUUGCUUCUGGCUGUCAUUGACUCAUUGACCAUUAGCAAUAUAGCAUUAGGUAGUGCCCUCUCUUUUCUUUUUUGUCUUUGUCUUCUCCAAUUCGGGCUACAAAUGUUGCGAAGAAUUCCUUUUCCAUCUCCUCUCCAUUGUUUGGCUUCAAUAUUUUGGAGUUGAAUGGAAUCACAAUUUCUCACCUAUUGUCACACAAAGUUUCGAAUACAUUAUUAUAUAAAAGUGUAAGUUAAAAAAAAUUAGAAUAAAAUUUAAUAAUAUCAUAAAAAAAUUUAUAUUUUACAUCAUCCAAUUUUUGAUAAAAACUCAAGUAGAUAUCACAAGUAACGCAGCACCAACAUUUGAUUUUUUUCUACUUUUGUACCCAAUUUUGAGCCAGAGUUAAAGUAAAUAACUUUUAAUUAAUUAUGAAAAAAUAAUAAUAAUAUGAGAUCGACGGGUCCCAUCGAGAUUUUCUUAUCUCUUUAGUAAAUUUCCUGCAUAUUUAUUUUGCAUCAACCUUAACAUUGUAUGUGAAAAAUUUCUGCAUAUUUAUUUUGUCCUACGGAGACAAUAUUUUGAGAUUCAUAUACAAUUAACAUAAGGAAGCUUCCAAGAAAUUUCUGGGUGGACUUCAAAAUGAGAAAAGAAAUUAAAUUUGUUGGACCACCAUCAUGAAAUUUUAAAUUUUUUGGACCCCAAUCUGCCUUUGUCUUUUCAUCUGAUUGGAAGCCACUUGAUGACAGUGACUGAUCAUUGACCAUUUGGUGCUCUCUUCUCUUCGUCUUCUAAUUCAACUUACCCUCAUCAAAUUAAACGAUCAUUCUAGGCAUCUUCUUUGAAAUUAUUUGUUGCGACAAUCCCAUAAUAUACGGCAAAUAUCAAUCGCAUAAAGCAUACAAGGAUAAGUCAAUGUUUACGGGGAAAUAUAAAAAAAAAAAAUAUUUCACUAUAAAAAUAUAUAGUGAAAUAUUUGAUCAUUUCUCUAUCUACUCUAAAUAAAGACAAUCUGCCUUUGUCUUUUCAUCUGAUUGGAAGCCACUCGAUGACAUUGACUGAUCAUUGACCAUUUGGUGCUCUCUUCUCUUCGUCUUCUAAUUCAACUUACCCUCAUCAAAUUAAACGAUCAUUCUAGGCAUCUUCUUUGAAAUUAUUUGUUCCGACUAUCCCAUAAUAUACGGCAAAUAUCAAUCGCAUAAAGCAUACAAGGAUAAGUCAAUGUUUACGGGGAAAUAUAAAAAAAAAAAAAAAAAAAAAAAAUUCACUAUAAAAAUAUAUAGGGAAUACAAAUAUUGAAAUAUUUAUCACAUAAACCAAAUUCUUAAUAAAAUCAAGUUCUUAGAUCACUCGAAAACAUUUUAGUUAUCUCAAAGCUAAAGAAUUGCUUCUCAUAGAACACACGUUAAGUUUUCAAAUUGUUGGAGACUUUUCUAACACUGGCUCAUGGAUUCUGCAUCCAAUUUAUAGGCAAAUCUAGAUUUCAAAUGUCAAGAAUAACGGAAUCUAAUAGCUCGCAAUUAGAGCAUGCAAAUCUUGACUUUUAGAAUGCGAAAUCUCUGACUUUUAGGCCUGGUGAAAAAGUGAACAACGAACAUGGCUUGUUUCCAAUUGCACGAUAAAAAAAUUCUAGUGGACGGUAAUUAUUGAAACAUGAAUAACGAGAAAUAUUUUAGAUGGUGUAUUAAUUUAAAGAAAAAAACGUACUAAAAAAUCUAAGUCGUGUAUUGAUGCGCAUGGGAGUUGUUAAUAGACCCAAUUGUUGUAGUUAAUUAGAUGACUCAAUGUAUCGGCUUUGACUGUGAUCUGAGAGAUGAAAUUACAAAUAUAAAUGUGGGUAAUAAAAGAAAUUUUCUUGUCAAAAUCUUUAAAAAAUACGCUGAAAUGUCCGGGGAAAAUUUUUGUUUUUUUUUUCCCCUCAGACGUGUAGUUUGGGGCAAGCAAAGUUUUUUCUCUUCUAAUAUAAAUAGGAAAAUUAUGAUUUUUUGUCCUUCACAUCCAGAAAGGCUCAAGGAAAGUAAGUAAUCGUGAGUAUGAGUUUAUUGAAAAAUAUGCUGUGAGAUUAAUUGGUCUUUUAUUUUAUUUUUAUUUUUAUUAUUUUCUUUAGUGACGGUGGCGAAUAGUAUUUACACCUUUUUUUAAUAUUAAUUUUUAACCAUCAUUCACUAUUUCUUUUGUUUUUUUGGAGAAACGCGGUUCAACAGUAACCAUAAAGCUGCAUUUAAUUGUGGAGGGUGCACAAGAGUAAUAUAGAGUGUUUUAGUCUAUUCAGUGUGCAAAUAACCCAAUGUUAUAAGAGUUAUGAAUAUAUGUUGUAUGUAUUUGUAAUAUUUUUGUUUUGGGAGGGGCUUAUAUUAAUUUAAGAAUUCAACUUCAAUCUAGACAUCAAAAUAUGACCAUUUAUUUCGUUCAAUCAAUUAACCCACGAAUUUAUGGUCAGACCCUUGGAUUGUUUGUUGAUUGGAGAGGCUAAAAUUGAGUGGGAAAGUAAAGCAAUGAGGAAUAGAAAAGAUCUAUGGCAAAGAUCGAUGAACAGUGGGCAUGAUUUAAUAAUGAAUUACAGAUAUGUUGGCGUUACGGAAUAUGUUGUUGACAAAAUUAUGGAGUCUUGAUUUCUUGGGGAUGAAUUUUUUUUGUUUUUUCAAUUUAGGUUAGGAAUUGUUAUUUACUAGUAUAAUCGUUGAGGAAUGAGGGAAAAGAGUCGGUAUUCUUUCUCUCUUUCUUUAUUAAGUUUUAAUAUGUCAUCUAUGCUUUUUGUUUUCUGAAUCUUAUUUUAUUAAAGUUUUAUUAUCACAUAAUCAAUUAUCUCAUACCGUGGAUUGAAUUAAAUAAAUUUUCAAGUUUUCAUGCUUAGAUUACAAUCAAAUUCUUAAGUUAAAAUCCCCCUCCCGUUUGUUUUGUCUCUAAAAAAAAAACAUUGGUACUAAAAAAUAAAUAAUCUUAUUUUUAAUGAAAAUAUAAUAUUUUUAGUCUUCUAAUUUGUUUAUUUUAAAAGUAACUCAUUCACUGCUUUGUAAAAUCAAAAUCUCAUGUGGCAAUGAAUUUAUUUUACAAGAAGUAAUUUUAAAAAGUUUUUAUCAAACACUUAAAUUAAUCAUUAGCUUUUCAAUAUCACUUUUGAACAUCCCAACAACAAUCUCAAAUUGGUCAUAAAUUAUUUCGUUUUCUAGAUAAUAAAUGUAAAUUGAUGGAAAUAAUUUUUAUAUCAUAAAAGUAAAAAUAAUUUUAUUAUUUGUAUCAAAUUAAUAUUAUUUAGAUAUAUUUAUAUUUAAUUAUUAUGUUAGUAAAUUAUCAAAUAAUAUUUUUAUUCAUAAUAAGACAAAUUUAUGGUGUGUUUACUUCAUGGAAUGAGAAAUGGGAAUGAAGGAAUGAGAAUGAAACCCAUGUUUACUUGGCAAAAUGUAAGUUGGGAAUGGAAAUAAAAUGUGUGGGUCUCACAUAAUUUGGGAAUAAGGAAUGGGAAUCCCAUUUCCAUGGGGGGGUUGUGAAUGAAAAUGAGGGAAUAUGAAUGAAAUAUAUGUUUACUUUUGUAUCUCUCUAAUUUUUUCAUAUUUCCCAAAUUACCCUCAUUCAAAUCACAAUUAAUUUUAUUAUUUUAAAUGUCAUUAAUAAUAAUAAUUAUUAUUAUUAAAUUUUAUUAACUUUAUUAUUUUAGUUAUUAUUAAUUAUUUUUAUUAAUAUUAUCUAUAUUAACAAUAAAAAAUGAUAAAAAUAAUAAUUAAUAAAAAUAAUUAAUUUAUCAUUAUUAACAAUAUUAUCAUUAUUGUUGUUAUUAUUAAUAAUAAAAAUAAUAAUAACAAUAAUUAAUAAUAUCUAAAAUAAUAAAGUUAAUAAAAUUUAAUAAUAAUAAUGUAAUUUUCAUUAUCUAGAUACAUGUAUAAAUUAUAUUAUAAAAAUGAUAUUAAUUAAAAUAAUAAUAAAUGUUAAUAAUGAUAAUAUUAAUAAAAAUAAUAAUAACAAUAAUUAAUAGUAACUAAAAUAAUAAAUUUAAUAAAAUUUAAUAAUAAUAACAAUAAUAAUAAAUGUUAAUAAUGAUAAUAUUAAUAAAAAUAACAUUAAGAGUAAUUAAUAAUAACUAAAAUAAUAAAUUUAUUAAAAUAUAAUAAUAAUAAUAAAUAUUAAUAAUGAUAAUAUUAACAAAAAUAAUAAUAACAAUAAUUAAUAACAACUAAAAUAUUAUUAAUAUUAUUUUUAUUAAUAAUAAUAAUAACAACAAUAAUAAUGGUAAUUUUGUUAAUAAUUAUAAAUUAAUUAUUUUUAUUAAUUAUUAAUAUUAUGAAUAAUUUGGUAAAUUGAUUCUCAUUCUCAUUUAUUAUUCUAAUUUAUUUUGCCAAAUAAACAUAUCAAUGACAUUCCAGCACAUUUUUAUUUCUAUUUAUUUUUGUCAAAUAAACAUUAAAAUUUCAUUCUCAUUUCUUAUUUUCAUUCGAGUCCAUUCUUAUUUUUAUUUCUUAAAGUAAACGCACCAUUCGAGAAAAAUUAGAAGGUGUUUGCUAGGAAACUUAAGAGAAAAAUUAAUAUGGAACUGUCCCACCACUUGGGAUUCUUUCACGUAUUGUUUCAGUGGAUCUGAUUGAAUUUUAUUUUGAAAAAUCAAUUGAUAAUACUCGGAUGGUAUAGCCUGGUAGGGUGAUACUCUAAGCGGUCCCUUUAACCUUUUUAGUUGUCGUACACGAAUUAUUUCUUCACUUGAAAUAAAAGUCAACAAAGCUGCAUCUUCACUGAAAUUAUUGUCCACAGUGCUUCCUGGAAAAUGAGAUAAAGAUAAUUUUAAAGAAACUUUUAGGAAAUUUUCCGGGAAAUUUUUGCUUUUUCUCUUCAAACGUAAAGUUUGGGGGCAGAAAUGUUAAAGGUUUAAAGGUGGGUACAAUUAUUCUUCUUCUUGUUAUUUAAGCAUUUCCUUCCAUUCACAUUAGUCGGUCUUCAAUUAAUUUUAGAUAAGGAGAUGAAACUACCACAAAAUUAACUCCAAGUGAAGGACUACUAAAGUAGCCAUAUAUUCCACGCACAUUUUAUUCAAUUAAUUAAUUUAUGAUCACAUCCCACAUCAUAUUAUUAUUGUAUCAACUUGCACGGUCGUAACAAUUAACAUAAAUUUUCAUUAAAAUUAUUACAUUAAUUUUUAAAUAGAAAUAAGAAAAAAAUUCUUAAUACUGAAAAAACAUAAGAUGAAAUCGUGUGUCGUUUGUCACGAGUCAAACUUUUGAGAAAAAUACACGAAUGAAUGUGGCGCGUAAAAGGUGUUGAUGUACUAUCAACAUUUUCAUUUUAUUUUUAUUGAACUUUCAUAUAUUUUUUUUAUAAGCUGUCAUCAAUUAUUUGUUUCUUGCUCUGCGCGUGCACGACAAGACCUACUAUUUGCACCCUUUUAACCCUUUUAGUUGUCAUGCACUAUUUUCCUUCUUCACUUGAAAUGAAACAGUCUGUAAAGCUGCAUCUUCAGUGGAAUUCUUAUCCGCAGUGCUUGGAAAAUAAGACGAAAUUGAUUAUUAGUUGGGUCUUCCUAAGCUACAACUCAUGUAAUUUGAACUUUACAUGUUUCGCAUGAGUUGUAAAUUACAUAUUUUUACAUGUUUUGCAUGGAUUGUAAAUUAUAUGAAUUGUAAAUUAGCAAAACCCUUAUCACGAAACUUAAGUCUCAGGAAGAUUCCCCCUUCCAAGCAUAAUGUGUUCUUGAUUUCAUCUCGUCGAAAUUUCGAAGUUGGUAACUGCUUUUGGUAAUUAUAUCUUCAUCACUUGCAAUCUUUUAUUGCUUUUCCAAGUUAAUUUUUAGGGUAAGUAUCAUAAACCUCUGCUAGAUUUGAUUUAUUCACAGUUUCAUAGAUUGUAUUCGUAUAUUCUCAAAUACCUCCCUUAACGUUAGUAUAAUGUUUCUUUGAUUGUUUGUUGCAUAAUAAAUUAUCAAAAUACUCCAGCAAAAAUUAUUUUAUACUGAAAAUAAAGAAUUCUGUACCAACAUGUUUGAUUUGGCGCCAAGGGAUGUAAAUAUAAUUAAAAUACCAAAUCACCCCCCACUACUUUUUAAAAUGACUUUGAUGGAUGAAACAAACAAAAGAUUUGACUUAUGUCAAAUAUCAGCGAAUUCGAAAGGAAGCUUUUUUGCACUUUGCCUCAUUGCUCUGCUUUCUACAUCAAAUUUCUUUAAUCUUGGUGAAGAUUUUGGUGUCCCGAUUUGUGUCUCUCUCUCUAAUUUUCUAUUUUUCAUUUCAUGAGCACAUCUUCCCUUAAAAUUGUAGAGAUACUAUAUGAAAUCACCAAACCAUGAAAAUAUUAUAUUAGAGAAAAAAAACAAUUAUAACUUAAACAAUAUUUGUAAUCAGCAUUUGCACUUUCAUUCAUGGUUAAUUUCUUUUAUACAUAACGAAAGCUUGAUUAGGGAGAGAGAAUUUUAGUCGAUCCCAAAAGAUAUUCAUAAGAAGAAAAAAUUAUUGGCUAAAUUCAAGCCUUGAGCAAUAAUAAAUUUUUGGCCAAAUCGAAAUAUAUAACAACUUCAUGCAAUUUUAAUUCAGUUGAAUAAUAUAUGGGUUUUCAUGAUCACGUAUAAAUUUUCUCGCGCUAUCAAUUAUCGCGUCGCAGUCAGCUUUCUAUUAUCCAUUCUGCAUUCAAUCAACCUAUCAUAUUCUAUCUCUUCAAUUAAUUUAUUUCGUGAGCUUUGUCAAACUAAUCAAAUUAAUUCAUUAAUGGAGCAAAACCGUGAAGGAUUAUUUUUCAAACUUUUUAAGAAAAUAAACAUGUUAGCAACCAAUCAGGGGCAUGAAAAUGGUUGUGCAUAUAUAUCUUUGUUGACAAUUCCUCUUUGAAAUUAAUUGUCUUGUUUAGGUUAUAAUAGUAUUUUAUGUUAGAGUUAUUUUAUUAAUAAAAAAUUUAGUUAAAAAAGGGUCUAAUGAAUAUUUUGGAGGGUUUAAAUAACCUCACCUUUUUUUUUUUAUCAUUAAUAGAUGCUCUUAUGAUUUUAUCCUCACCAACCUAAUUUAUAUGAAAUAGUAUACUAUCGCUAGGGGAGAUAUUUAAAAAUAUGUGAAUAUAAUUUAUAAAUAGAGAAUACGCCAAAAAUUAGGGGAGGUUUCCGAUAAUUACCCUUUCAGUUACUCCUCCUCAAUCCGUCCUGGUGCAUGAACUUGAGGGAAGGGUCAGGUUCUGUGGUGGUGUUAAUAAAAAGAUAAAUUAUAUUGGAAAGUAAAUGGUGUUUGUUGGGAAAUUCACACCCUUUAACCUUUUUAGCUGUCAUUCGCUGUUUUCUGAUCAAAAUGAGUCAACAAAGUGAUUCAACUUCCAAGCACCGACAUAUUCCACAGUUCUGUGAUUCAAUUAAUGUUUUAUCUGAUCAAAAUCUAUCUAAUCAAUUGAACUGUUUCUGCUAUGGCUUCAGGUACCAGUACCACAAUUAACAUGUAAAUUAGAAGGAUCAUGCUAAGUUACGAUUUAUAAAAUGGGAUGUCCGAUAUACUUAGAUCCCACCAGUUAAUUCAUUGGGUUUAUUUUAGAGCAUCUCUAAAAAUUUUUAUAAAUUUUAUUUUUUAAAUAUUUAUUUACUUAUUUAUGUAGUAAAUAGAAGGGUGAAAAAAUAUGAUAUUUUUAAAAAAAAUUUUUUUAAAUAAAAUAAAAUAAAUAUUAUUUUAAUUAAAUAAUUAUUUUUUUUAAAAAAAAGUCAAUAGUAAUUAAAGUAUUUCUUUCUCUUUCUCUAAUAAAAAAUAAUAAAAUAUAAAUUGAUGAAAGAGAAAUCAACUCUCUAAAUUUAAAAAGUGAAAAUCAUUUCUUAUUUAAAAAACUUAAUUAGAAUAUCUUUUGAAACCUUAAAUAUUGAUGUGUCUCUUCAAAUAAAUAAUAAAAUCUUAUUUGAAAUUUUUUUUAAUGAUGCUCUUAAUUUUGCCUAACAUAAUUUGUACGGUAGGCGAGCCGAAGGUUUAAUAAAUCACGUGUUCAAUAAGAAGCGAUAAAAAAUUGUUAAACAUAAUUCUAUAUAUUAUGGAAGUGGUGUAAAUCGCGUAUUUAUAGAAAAAAGUCAUAUAUUGAUCUACAAGUGAGUGGUCAAUAGACACUCUGUAAUUAAUUAGAGGAGCUGUGAUUUGAGAUAUGAAUUUACAAAUGUAAAUUUCGGAGGAAAAAAAAAAUUUCUAGUCAAAAUCUUUGAAUACUGUAGUGAAUUGAAUGAAACUCGUCGCUUUUUCUGGGAAAUAUUUUAGUUUUUUGUCAUUGCCUCACAUUAGUCGGUCUUCAGUGGUCGUGAAGCAUCCAUAUGUCUCACGUGCAUUUCAUUCAAUUAAUUAAGUAUUAUCACAUCCCACAUUAUUGUUUCACCUUGCACCGUUAGAAUAACUAACAAGAAUCUUUAUUGAAAUUAUUGUGUCACUUUUAGAAAAGAGAUAGGAAAAAAGUUGAAUUCACAAGCCCAACUUAAUUAAAGUUUUACUGUCAUAUAAUCAAUUAUCUCAUACCUUAGAUUGAAUUAAAUAAAUUUUCAAAAUUUGAUGCUUAGAUUACAAUCAAAUUCUUAAGUUAAAAUAUCCCUUCCCGUUUGUAUUUUAUUUAAAAAAAUCGUUGGUACUGAAAAAUAAAUAAUCUUAUUAUUACUGAAAUAUAAUAGUUUUAGUCUUUUAAUUUGUUUAUUUUAAAAGUAACUCAUUCACUACUUUGCAAAAUUAAAAUCUCCUGUGGCAAUGAAUUUAUUUUACAAGAAGUAACUUUAAAAUUUUUACCAAACACUUAUAUUAAUCAUUAGCUUUUCAAUAUCACUUUUGAACAUCCCAAUAAGCAUAAACAACUAUUUCAUUUUUUAAAUAAUAAAUGCAAAAUGAUUGAAAUACUUUUUAUAUCGUAAAAGUAAAAAUAAUUUUAUUGUUUGUAUCAAAUUAAUAUUACUUAGAUAUAUUUAUAUUUAAUUAAAUUAUUAUAAAAUUAUUAAAUAAUAAAAUAAUCUUUUUAUUCAUAAUAAGACAAAUUUAGAGAAAAAUUAGAUGGUAUUCGUUAGGAAACUUUAGAGAAAAAUGAAUAUGGAACUGUCCCACCACUUGGGAUUCUUUCACAUAAUCUUUCAGUGGAUCUCAUUAAAUUUUAUUUUGAAAAAGGGUAAUUUUUAAAAACUCUCCUGAAGUUUGAGCUUGUUGUAAGUAGAUGGCGAGAAUUUGUUUAUUUGUAAAAAACCCCAUACCAUCAGUUAACUUUAACAUUGACCGUUAGUUGACUGUGCAAAGAUAAUAUUACCCUUAACAACAGUUUGUAGAUGGAAAUAACAAAAAAAAAAAUUAAAAUUGUUGGCUAUUUUACCCUCUUUAAAUUAUUGAUAUUUUCUUAAAGUUCCUACAAGAAAGAUAAAAUUAAAAAUUUGAAAAAUUCUCUUUAAAUUAUUGAUAUUUUCUUAAAGUUCCUACAAAAAAGAUAACAUUAAAAACUUGAAAAUGAAAUAAUUAUAAUUUUUACCUAUGAUAUUGUAAAUCUUUGGAAUUGACAAGGAUAAAAUUGUCAAAAAAUAGGAUUUGUUCUUUUCGCACCAAUAAUUUUAAUUUUUUUUAGUUAUUUUCGUUUACAAACUAUUAUUAAGGGUAAUAUUGUCUUUACAUAGUCAACUAACGGUCAAUGUUAAAGUUAACUGACGGUAGGGGGUUUUUUACAAAUAAACAGAUUUUCACCAUCUACUUGCAACAAGCCCAAACCUCAAUUGAUGGUAUAGCCUGGUAGGGUAAUACUCUAGGUGGUCCCUUUAGCGUUUUUAGUUGUCGUACACUUCACUUGAAAUAAUAGUCAAUAAAGCUGCAUCUUCACUGGAAUUAUUGUCUACAGUUCUUCCUGAAAAAUGAGAUAAAAAAUAAUUUUAUGAUAAAUUAUUUAAAUAUACUCAUAAGAAAUUAUUUUUUAUAAAAAAUGAGUGCUUAAAAUAACUGUUUAGAGUGCAAAUAAUAUCGUCUAAUUAAUUGAUAAUACUCCCAGCACAAAUACAAUUUCUUAAUAGGACACGUGUCAGUAGAAUUGAGCACAGAAGCGUGAUUGGAAAAGUCUAUGGUGGAUUGUUGGGAAACUUAUACCAUCUCCACCUUUUUAUAAGAAAUUAUUUUUAAUAAUAAUAAUAAUUUAUAUCAUGAGUAUUUUUAUGAUAAAUUUUUUAUAAAAAAUGAGUGCUUAAAAUAACUGUUUAGAGUGCAAAUAAUAUCGUCUAAUUAAUUGAUAAUACUCCCAGCACAAAUACAAUUUCUUAAUAGGACACGUGUCAGUAGAAUUGAGCACAGAAGCGUGAUUGGAAAAGUCUAUGGUGGAUUGUUGGGAAACUUAUACCCUCUCCACCUUUUUAUAAGAAAUUAUUUUUAAUAAUAAUAAUAAUUUAUAUCAUGAGUAUUUUUAUGAUAAAUUUUUUAUAAAAAAUGAGUGCUUAAAAUAACUGUUUAGAGUGCAAAUAAUAUCGUCUAAUUAAUUGAUAAUACUCCCAGCACAAAUACAAUUUCUUAAUAGGACACGUGUCAGUAGAAUUGAGCACAGAAGCGUGAUUGGAAAAGUCUAUGGUGGAUUGUUGGGAAACUUAUACCCUCUCCACCUUUUUAUAAGAAAUUAUUUUUAAUAAUAAUAAUAAUUUAUAUCAUGAGUAUUUUUAUGAUAAAUUUUUUAUAAAAAAUGAGUGCUUAAAAUAACUGUUUAGAGUGCAAAUAAUAUCGUCUAAUUAAUUGAUAAUACUCCCAGCACAAAUACAAUUUCUUAAUAGGACACAUGUCAGUAGAAUUGAGCACAGAAGCGUGAUUGGAAAAGUCUAUGGUGGAUUGUUGGGAAACUUAUACCCUCUCCACCUUUUUAUAAGAAAUUAUUUUUAAUAAUAAUAAUAAUUUAUAUCAUGAGUAUUUUUAUGAUAAAUUUUUUAUAAAAAAUGAGUGCUUAAAAUAACUGUUUAGAGUGCAAAUAAUAUCGUCUAAUUAAUUGAUAAUACUCCCAGCACAAAUACAAUUUCUUAAUAGGACACGUGUCAGUAGAAUUGAGCACAGAAGCGUGAUUGGAAAAGUCUAUGGUGGAUUGUUGGGAAACUUAUACCAUCUCCACCUUUUUAUAAGAAAUUAUUUUUAAUAAUAAUAAUAAUUUAUAUCAUGAGUAUUUUUAUGAUAAAUUUUUUAUAAAAAAUGAGUGCUUAAAAUAACUGUUUAGAGUGCAAAUAAUAUCGUCUAAUUAAUUGAUAAUACUCCCAGCACAAAUACAAUUUCUUAAUAGGACACGUGUCAGUAGAAUUGAGCACAGAAGCGUGAUUGGAAAAGUCUAUGGUGGAUUGUUGGGAAACUUAUACCCUCUCCACCUUUUUAUAAGAAAUUAUUUUUAAUAAUAAUAAUAAUUUAUAUCAUGAGUAUUUUUAUGAUAAAUUUUUUAUAAAAAAUGAGUGCUUAAAAUAACUGUUUAGAGUGCAAAUAAUAUCGUCUAAUUAAUUGAUAAUCCUCCCUGCACAAAUACAAUUUCUUAAUAGGGCAGAAUUGAACAUAGAAGCAUGAUUGGAAAAGUCUAUGGUGGAUUGUUGGGAAAUUUACACCCUCUCUACCUUUUUGGCUGCAUUCACUGUUUUCGUAUUUCUUCACUGGAUAUGAAAGUCAGGAAGAAAGCUGCACCUUCAGUGAAAUUAAUUUGUCCACAGUGCCUCGAAAAUGAGAUGAAAUUAAUAAUUAUUCCCGAAACUUUUUUGUAGGGGGGGUAGGAGGGAUAUAUUUUAUUUCAUAUAUUUACUUCUCCGUUUAAGAUCCUUCCACUACAAUCAAUGAUGCAACUUUUUGAACCAUUUCUCAAAUGGAAGGAUUUCAAAUAUCCCUUUCUUUUUUUUUUUUGGGACAGUUCAAUUGCUGUCUUAUUAAUUAUUAUUAUUAUAUAUCUCUCCUUUGAUUGUCUCACGUCUUUAUGAAAUAUUUUUAGAAAAGUAAAUACUAAAUAGCUUUUGUUCACAAAUUAUUUUUGUUAGAGCUCAUAAUUUAACCAAAACAAAAAAAGAGGACAAAAGCAGGACACUAUUGCCAAUAGUUAUGGUCCGACAAAUUUGAGCAUCGAUCAAGAAAGCAAAGGGUAGCCGGUAGCGUAUGAAAUUGCGCGUUGAAAUUAGGGUGCUUUUGGGGAAUUCUUUGACCUUUUUAACAUUUUUCUUUCAACACUUGAAUAGCGCGGAAUAAUUUCAAUUAAAAGUGAACAAAGCUGCAUUUUAAGUGAAAGUAUUGUCCACAGUGCUAAGGAAAUCAAAUGAGAUGAAAUUAUCAAGAAACUCCCUGGAGGGUUCCAAGCAUCGUUUUACUCUUGACAGAUACUACAGUCACUAACAUUUGCUCGAGAAAACUACGCCGAAUUUUCCGGGAAAUUUUUUGCAUUUUCUCUUCAAACGUAAAGUUUGGGGGCAGAAAAGUUAAAAAGUUUAAAGGCGGGUACAAUUAUUCUUCUUCUUGUUAUUUACGCAUGGCAUCCCAUUUAGAUUAGUCGGACUUCAAUUAAUUUUAGGAGAUGAAACUACCACGAAAUUAACUCCAAGUGAGGGCCUAGUAAUGCAGCCAUGUAUUCCAUGCGUACUUUUUGUAUUGUAAGCCCCUUGUAUUCUGUUUUAUUUUAUUAAAACUCUUACAGUACCAAUUCGUCCUUAUAAUUUUAAAUUCCCAAAAUACCCUCCAUUUAAUUAAAAAAUAUAAUAAUUAUUAAAUAAAUUAUAAUUAUAAUAAUUAUUUUAUUAUAACUAUAACUAUAAUUAUAAUUUUAAAUAUAUCAUUAUUAUUAUUAUUAGUAACAAGAAUAAAAAAUAUUAUAAUUAAUUAAUCUAUUAAUAAUAAUUAAUAAUAAAUUUUUCGUUAAAUUGUUAAUAAUAAUAAUUAAUGAUAAUUAUUAUUAUUAAUGAUUCAUUUUUUAAUAAUAAUAAUAAAAAUAAUAACAAUAAUUAAAAUACAAAAUAAUAAUUAUGAUAAAAAUUAAUUAAGGAUUUUAUAGUAAUUUUUUACAAUUUAACUCAUUCUGAUUUUCAUUAUAAGACAAAUAAAACACAUAAAUGCUAAUACGGCUCAUUAUAAUUACGAUUCAUGCAGUUGAAGUAAAUAAAUUUUUCUAAUUUCAAUUCCUCAUUUUGAUUCUAGCUAUUUCGAUUAUAACUCAUUAUGUUUCCAACUAAUUUCAAUUUCUGUUUAGUGAACGCACUAUAAAAUUAUAAGCUACUCUAUAAAAUUCAUAAUACUUAUGAAUAAAUUGUAAAUAAUAUAGAGUGGUCUAAUUACAAUAAUAAAAUGUAAAUAAUAUAAAAUUCUAAUUGAAUGAUAUCAUUAUUCAAAAAUUAAUUAUUAAUAAUAAUGAUCUAUUAUUAUUAUUAUUAACAAUUUAACGAAAAAAUUCUUAUUAAUUAUUGUUAAUAGAUUAAUUAAUUAUAAUACUUUUUAUUCUUGUUAAUAAUAAUAGUAAUAAUCUAUUUAAAAAUCAUAAUUAUAUUUAUAGUUAUAACAAAAUAAUAAUAAUAAUUAUAAUUCAUUUAAUAAUUGUUCUAUUUUUUAAUUAAAUGGAGGGUAUUUUGGGAAUUUAAAAUUAUAAGGGGCGAAUUGGUACUCUAAGGGUUUCAAUGAAAUAAAACAGAGUGCAAGGGGCUUAAAGAAAGUUUACAAUACAGAAAGUUGUAUAAUACUUAUGAAUAAAGUGUAUAUAAUAUAAAGUAUAGGGGCUGAAUGAAAUUUGACAGGGCAGCUGUAACUUACCUCAGCUGUAAGUUAGCCAAAACAAUGGAGUUAACUAAAGUGCAUUUGAAGUCCAUUAGGGAUAUUCUUCUAAUCUUCUCUUCAUUAUUUUGUUUUUGCUCUUUUUUUUUUAAUCCCAUUUUUAGACGAUAUAGAUGUAUAUGUUUGAUUAGUCCUUGUCGAUUAUAUAUACAUAUGUACUUUUGGACUGUCAUGGGACUGUACCAUUUGGAAAUAUCACAUUUUAUUUCCCGAUGCGAUAAAUUUUCUUCUCCAUUGAACGUUCUCUGGAUGCUAUUAACCAAAAAAUGCAACAUUUUGUUCUGUUUAUAAAUUGGGAUUAUUUGCUUCUGACUGUCAUUGACUCAUUGACCAUUUAGCAAUAUAGCGUUAGGUAGUAGUACCAGCUCUUUUUCUUCUUUUGUCUUUCUCUUCUCUUAUGUUAAACCAUUAUUCUAGGCAUCUUCAUUGGGAUUAUUCCAUCUGUACUUUACCAAAGGGGAAAAAAAAUUGUCACGAAACAGCGUGGAAGGUUCAGAGAAAAAUUUGCUUGUGUUUUCUUUUUGUUAAAUUCAAUUGGUUGAAUUUAUUUUUUAUUUUUUUAAAAUAGAAAACUAUAUUACAAAACUUCCCGGUAGGUUCCAAGGAACUAUCUAAUAAAGCAUCUUUAUAUAACCUCCAUAGACUCAGUCGCAUUAAAUUAUUUUCACAUCCCAAAUUUUCUCAUCUGAUCAAUUUUCUCAUCCACUGAACUGUCAUGGCUUCUUCUUCUUUUUGUCCACCUCGAAACGCUAAGAAGAUGUAUGAUGUUUUUCUGAGUUUCAGAGGAGAGGACACCCGUGACAACUUUACUAGCAUUCUUUACUAUGUUUUGUCUCUGAAAAGUAUCAAAACUUUCAUUGAUGACCAACUUAUCAGAGGAGAGAACAUUUCUCAUUCUCUUCUUGAUACAAUUGAAGCAUCGAGCAUCUCAAUUAUCAUUUUCUCACAAAGGUAUGCUUCUUCUAGAUGGUGUCUCGAUGAACUUUUGAAGAUCCUCGAAUGCAAGCAUAAUUAUGGACAGAUUGUGAUUCCAGUUUUCUAUCACGUUGAUCCAUCACAUGUGAGAUCGCAAAGCCAGGAUUCUUCUUUUGGGAAGUAUUUUAGUGAGCUUGAAAAAUGUUAUCCAGAGAAGAUGCAAAGAUGGAAGAAUGCUUUGACCGAAGCAGCCAACCUCUCGUUUACAUAUAUUGAACUAUAUAAUUGCUGUUAUUUUUUUACCAGGUCUGAAUCUAAACUUAUUGAGGAAAUUGCCAAUGACGUUUUGAAGAGGCUAGAUGCGACUUUUCAAAGUAAAAACAAAGGCUUGGUUGGAGUUGAAUGCCCCAUUGAAGAAAUUGAAUCAUUAUUACGCGUUGGGUCUGAGGGUGUUUGCAAACUAGGGAUUUGGGGCAUCGGUGGUAUAGGCAAGACAACAAUCGCUGGUGCUGUUUUUAACAAAAUCUCUAGACAUUUUGAAGGUUCUUACUUUGCGCUUAAUGUUAGAGAUGCAGAAGAAACUGGCGGAAUAAAGGACUUACAAAAGGAACUUCUGUCCAAGUUAUUGAAUGAUGGAAAUGUGAGGAACAUCGAGUUUGAACUCUACAGACUUGCUCGCAAGAAGGUUCUAAUUGUUUUUGAUGAUGUGACUCAUCCAGGACAAAUAGAAUCAUUAAUUGGAUGCCUUGAUCAGUUAGCUUCAGGGAGUCGAGUGAUGAUAACAACAAGGGAUAAACAAGUUCUUGAAAAUUGUUGGGUCAAUCAAAUAUAUCCGAUGAAGGAAUUAGUAGAUGCUGAUGCUCAUAAGCUUUUCUAUCAGUGUGCUUUUAGAGGAGGCUAUCUCGACGCAAGUUACACAGAGGUCACAGCCAAGGCAAUAAAAUAUGCGCACGGAGUUCCUUUAGCUCUUAAAGUUUUGGGUCGCCAUCUAUGCGGAAGGAGCAAAGAGGUAUGGGAAAGUGCAAUGAGAAAACUGGAAAUAGUUCCUCACAUGGAUAUCCAAAAGGUGUUAAAAAUCAGUUAUGAUAGCUUGGAUGACUCUCAGAAGAAUGUUUUUCUAGAUAUUGCAUGUUUCUUCGAAGGAGAGCAUAGAGAUGUGGUGAUAAGCUUUUUUGAUGCCAGUGGCUUCCAAGCUCAAAUAGAGUUAAGUGUUCUUGAAGAUAAGUCCCUCAUAACUUUAGACAACUUUCACCGGAUAAGAAUGCAUGACUUGCUACGAGAUAUGGGAAGAGAAAUUGUUCGAAAUGAAUCUUUCGAUCAUCCAGGAAAGCGCAGUAGGUUGUGCAAUCAUAAUGAUAUUUAUGAAGUUUUGAAGAAAAAUACGGUAAGCAAUAAUAACUUUUCAAUUGUAUCUUGUUUAUGUUACAUUUAUAUUAGUAGUUUGUCUGAAUUUUUCUUUUUGAAUAAGAAUAGCAUUAAUACAGCUUAAAAUUAAUUGAAAAAUAAUAUUAAAAAAUUGGUAAAAUAAAAUAGAUAGAUCCGAUGUUUCCCCAUCUCAGUUUGAAACAUGCCUCUAAAAUCCCCAGCAAACUAGCGCCUUCGGAGAGAGACACCCCCCCUCCAAAAAAAAAAAACACUUCAAUCUUAUUGCAUUUCCUUUUCAACUCUGCCCCUUUCCUUAUUUGUCACUAAAAAAAAUUGAUUGAAUUAAUUUUACAGUUUACAUAUUAAGCAUUUUCUUGAAUUUUCUAUUUUACACGUCCUAAAAGCCUUACCCAAAUAGUUUAUUAUAAAGUGAUUGUAAUAUCUCUAUUUGGGUUUGACGGCUUAAAAAUAAUUGUUCAUUUGUUUGCUUCAAUUAUAUACCAACUUAUGAUCUCUUAUUUGAUUGUUAGGGAACUGAAGCAAUCAAGGGCAUCUCUUUAGAUAUGGAUAAAGUCAAUAGUGAGAUACAAAUAAAUACUUGUACUUUCUCAAAGAUGACUAGAUUGAGAGUCUUAAAAUUCUAUGGAUAUGAGAACAAAUGUACGGUGUCUUCUUUAGUGGGUGUGCCAUUUACUGAGGUGAGGUAUUUCGAGUGGCAUCAAUUUCCAUUGAAAACGUUGAAUAUAUUACAUUGGAAGAAUCUUGUUUCACUUAUCAUGCCAGGCAGCAAAGUUAAACAACUUUGGGAUGACGUUCAGGUAUAUAUUUAUUUGAAAUUCUUUUAGUAAUAAAUUCUAAAUACAAUUGAUGCUAUAAUAAAUAUAUGUGAUGGCAUCUCUUUAUUUAUAGAGAUAACAACAACAACAACAAUAAUAAUAAUAAUAAUAAUAAUUUAUUUUGGGGCGCAGGAUCUUGUUAACUUAAAAGAAAUAGACAUCAGUGGAUCCGAGUCAUUAACGAAACUCCCGGACUUGUCACGGGCCAAAAAUCUUGAGAUUCUGGAGUUAGAAGGCUGUUUAAGUUUGAUGGAGACUCACCCAUCUAUUCAAUAUCUAAAUAAACUUGAAUUUCUUGGUCUAGGUAAUUGCAAAAGCCUGACGAGUCUUCCAACUAGCAUUCAUUCGAAAUAUAUCAAGGAAAUUAGUCUUUGGGGUUGCUCAAAUUUGAAGAACUUCCCAGAGAUCACAUCUUGUCAAACUUCUUUUUUAGAUUUAGGAGAAGUUGGAAUCAAAGAACUGCCCUCAUCCAUUGAGUGCCAGUCCAAUCUGAAACGACUACUUAUUACGGAUUGUUCAGAGCUUGAGAGCAUCUCGAGUAGCAUAAUUAAGUUGAAGUCUCUUAAAUCUAUUGAAAUCUGUAAUUGUUCAAAUUUUAAGAGGUUUCUAGAGAUCCCAUCUUGUAAUGUAGAUGGAGGUGCUGGAAUUGAGCAACUACACUUAUGUGUGUUGGUAUUGAAAGAAUGUCCAAAUAUUGAGAGUCUCCCAAGCAGCCUGUGUAUUCUCAAAUCUCUGACGUCUCUUUGAAUCAUUGAUUGCCAAAACUUCAAGAGAUUGCCUGAUGAGCUUGGAAAUUUAGAAGCCUUGAAGAAGUUGAUCGUUAAUGGAACUGCCAUAAGAGAAGUACCAGAAAGCCUCGGUCAGUUAGCCAUAUUACAGCGGUUGAAAUUGACUAACUGUUCAGAGCUUGAGAGCAUCUCGAGUAGCAUAUUUAAGUUGAAGUCUCUUCAAUUUAUUGAAAUCUCUAAUUGUUCAAAUUUUAAGAGGUUUCUAGAGAUCCCAUCUUGUAAUGUAGAUGGAGGUGCUGGAAUUGAGCAACUACACUCAUGUGUGUUGGUAUUGAAAGAAUGUCCAAAUAUUGAGAGUCUCCCAAGCAGCCUGUGUAUGCUCAAAUCUCUGACAUCUCUUGAAAUCAUUGAUUGCCAAAACUUAAAGAGAUUGCCUGGUGAGCUUGGAAAUUUCGAAGCCUUGAAGAUGUUGAUCGUUAAUGGAACUGCUAUAAGAGAAGUACCAGAAAGCCUUAGUUACUCCUAUUAGUAAAAUUGGACCUAUCUAGCAAUAAUUUGCAGUGAAUACCAGAAAGCCUUGGUCGGUUAUCCUCGCUAAAACGUUUGGUACUGUCUAAUAACAAUUUGGGUAGAUUACCAGAAAGCCUCAAUCAGUUAUCUUCACUAGAAUAUUUGCAACUAUCCGAAAACAGUUUGGAGGGAAUACCAGAAUACCUGAGGAGUCUUCCAAGUAAGUUGACAUCACUCAAUUUAUCUGUUGAGUUGAGAAAUUGUUUGAAAUUGGACCCGAAUGAGCUCAGUGAAAUCGUCAAAGAUCAGUGGAUGAAGCAGGUGUGUCUCUCAACUCACUCCUUUCAUUCUAUUUUCUUUUUCUUUUUACUUUAAAUCAAGUUAUCAUUAUUUUUCAAAAAUUAAUAAUUUUUUAUUUUUGUGUUGCAGUCGUUUGAUGGUAACAUUGGGAUUACUAAAAGUAUGUAUUUCCCUGGGAAUGAAAUUCCAAAGUGGUUUAGGUAUCAAAGUAUGGGAUCUUCUGUAACCUUGAAAACGCCACCAGCAGAUUUCUUCAAUAAUAAAAUAUCAGUAGGCUUUGCUUUUUGUGCUGUUGUGGCAUUUCCUGCCUCAGAGUGGUUUGAGGAUCAAAGAGUGAAGUCUGCAGUGUGCUGUGGUUGGAAACGCAAAUCCAAAUACUAUCCCUACCGUCAGUCUUUGGGGACAAUUAGUUAUGUUGAGUCAGAUCACGUGUUUUUGGGAUCUUAUUUAUUCUGUAGUGAGGAUUUAAGUAAGAGAGAUGACGAGGUCUAUAUUGAUGAGGUCUCUUUCGACAUUUCGCCUAGUUUUGGUUGUAAAGUGAAACAAUGUGGGAUUCAUUUUGUGCACGCUCAAGAUUCUACGGAAUCAAGAGAAGAGGAAGAGGAACCACACACCAAAAGACUGAAAUGUUCUUGAACUCCAAAGCAGCUGGUACUCUUUGGCACGAAAAUCAAUCUGUAGACCUUGUUUUUGUCUUCAUUUUAUAUAUGCGUUUUUCAAAUACGUUCGUUUAUGUAAAAUUUAUUAAUUGUUUGUUGUUGGAUGGAUGAAUCAAUAAAUUCAAAAUAAAUGGUAAUUAACCGAGGAUGUAGAUCUAUGAGUUCUCUCUUUGUUUUAUCUUUAAUUUGUGUUCGGUUCAUGUCUGGAAUAUCCCAAAAAUUACAUAUCCAAUUACUAACUAAAAAUGCGCUGAUUAGAUUAAAGAUUAUUUUAGUUAUUCUUACUUUUUCAGUUUUCAAACUUUAUAAGAAUAAAAUCGUUUUAUUAAGUUUUGAGAUUUGAAUUUAAACCAAAAUACAAAUUUACUCUUGAGGAUUAAAUUUACCAUAUUUUAAAUUAAUGACAAGAUGUAUGAUGUGAAAAUUACUAUUCCUAUGAGUAGUGAUCUCAGCAAGACAGUAAAGUACAUAUUUACUGAGUCAUCAUAUAGUACCGCGCUGUAUGUAAUACAGCAGCUUCAACAGUGAAAAAAAAAUUUGAACAACCGGUAUUUUACCGGUUGUUCAUCUAAAAUUUGUAAAAAAAUUAUUUCUAAUGUGAAAAAAAUGAGGAAAUUUAUAAACAAUUAAUAUUAAAAAGAUUUGAGUGAGAAAAAUAUUUUUAAUUUAAAAGAAAGUUAAAAAAAGAGUAAAAUAAUCAUGUUCCAAUUUUUUUGGUUAAAUAUCAAUAUAUUAGGUGGACGUUUCAAAUUAAUUUUACAUGUCCCUAAUUUUCGUUAAACUUUCUCACUAAUUGGUUUAUUUGUUUCCACUUCUCAAUCCACUAGUUUUAUGUAUAGUAUUCCUACUAAAUUCGUUAAAUGCAAAUUUUUUAGGUUAGAUUCCAAGUAAAUUAAUUUCUCGUUGAAUUAGUUCCUAAAUUUGGUUACACUUUCUCCCUUUUUGGUUUAUAUGUUUCAACUAUUAUUUCACAAAUUUUACUUUCAAUAUUCCAAUUUGCUUGGUAAGAUUUCAUUUAUUUGGGUUAAAUACCGAAAUGAUUUUUUUUUGUUAAACAAGUUCCCAAUUUUGGUUAAACUUUUUCAUAUUUAGUUUCACAUGUUUCAAAUUAUUAGUCCACUAGUUUUGUGUUAGGUAUUCCUACUAAGUUCGUUCAAUACUAAUAUUUUGGGUUAGAUUCCAAGUAAUUUUCAUUUCCCGUUGGAUGAGUUACUAAUUUUCGUUAGAUUUUCUCGCAUAUUGGUUCAAAUGUUUCAUCUAAUUAUUCCUCUAGUUUUGCAUUGAAUAUUCCUAUUAACUUGGACAGAUUCCAAUUAUUUGGGUUAAGUACCGAAUUUAUUUUUCGUAAUUUUAUUUUUGGUUAAAUAAGUCCCUAAUUUUGGUUAUAUUUUCUCCCUUGUGGGGUUAUAUUUUCACUAGUUUUGUGUUCAAUAUUCCAAUUAACUUGGUAAGAUUUCAUUUAUUUGGGUUAAAUACUGAAAUAAUUUUUUUUUGUUAAAUUAGUUCCCAAUUUUGGUUAAGCUUUUUCGUAUUUAGGUUCACAUGUUUCAAAUUAUUAGUCCACUAGUUUUGUGUUAGGUAUUUCCACUAAGUUCGUUUAAUACCAAUAUUUUGGGUUAGAUUCCAAGUAAUUUUCAUUUCCCGUUGGAUGAGUUCCUAAUUUUCAUUAGAUUUUCUCGUUUAUUGGUUCAAAUGUUUCAUCUAAUUAUUCCUCUAGUUUUGUGUUGAAUAUUCUCAUUAACUUGGACAGAUUCCAAUUAUUUGGGUUAAGUACUGAAUUUAUUUUUCGUAAUUUUAUUUUUGGUUAAGUAGGUUCCUAAUUUUAGUUAUACUUUCUUCCUUGUGGGUUUAUACGUUUCAAUUAUUAUUCCACUAGUUUUGUGUUCAAUAUUCCAAUUAAUUUGAUAAGAUUUCAUUUAUUUGGGUUAAAUACCGAAAUAAAUUUUUUUUGUAAAUUAGUUCCCAAUUUUGGUUAAGUUUUUUCAUAUUUAGGUUCAUAUGUUUCAAAUUAUUAGUCCACUAGUUUUGUGUUAGGUAUUCCUACUAAGUUCAUUCAAUACCAAUAUUUUGGGUUAGAUUCUAAGUAAUUUUCAUUUCCCGUUGGAUGAGUUCCUAAUUUUCGUUAGAUUUUCUCGCUUAUUGGUUCAAAUGUUUCAUCUAAUUAUUCCUCUAGUUUUGCGUUGAAUAUUCCCAUUAACUUGAACAGAUUCCAAUUAUUUGGGUUAAGUACCGAAUUUAUUUUUUGUAAUUUUAUUUUUGGUUAAAUAAGUCCCUAAUUUUGGUUAUAUUUUCUCCCUUGUGGAGUUAUAUGUUUCAAUUAUAAUUUCACUAGUUUUGUGUUCAAUAUUCCAAUUAACUUGGUAAGAUUUCAUUUAUUUGGGUUAAAUACCGAAAUAAUUUUUUUUGUUAAAUUAGUUCCCAAUUUUGGUUAAGCUUUUUCAUAUUUAGGUUCAUAUGUUUCAAAUUAUUAGUCCAUUAGUUUUAUGUUAGGUAUUCCUACAAAGUUCGUUAAAUACCAAUAUUUUGGAUUAGAUUCCAAUUAAUUUUCAUUUCCCGUUGGAUAAGUUCCUAAUUUUCGUUUGAUUUUCUCGCUUAUUGGUUCAAAUGUUUCAUCUAAUUAUUCCUCUAGUUUUGUGUUGAACAUUCCCAUUAACUUGGACAAAUUCCAAUUAUUUGGGUUAAGUACCGAAUUUAUUUUUCAUAAUUUUAUUUUUGGUUAAGUAGGUUCCUAAUUUGGGUUAUAUUUUCUCAUAUUUGGUUUUAUAUGUUUCAACUAUUAUUUCACUAGUUUUGCGUUCAAUAUUCCAAUUAAUUUGGUGAAAUUUCAGUUAUUUAUGUUAAAUAUCAAAAUUACUUGUAUUACCGGAAACAAUAAUUUUAAUAAGUUGAAUUAUGUUUGAACCCUUACUAUUUUGUAAAAUAUCAACUUACCAUAUAAUACUAAAAAAAUUUCAUUGUAACACUUAAUCUUUUCCAAUAUUUUGGGUCCUUAACCUAAUUCCCUUUUAUAUAUAUCAUGAGAUCUCUUGAACUUGAUUGUAUAUAUACUUGAGCUUUUAGUCUCUAUACAUAUUUAUUCUCAUUUUAUCAUUUUAGUUGAUUAUUUUUAGUUAUUGUUAAAAUAAAUUAAUGCUUUUAUUUUCAUCUCUCUUUACUUUUUAAAAUAAUUUUUUAAUUUUUCAAAACUUCGACAGCAAAUAAAAAAUAACAUGUAAGAGCGCAUGGAAUUGCUAUGCUUCUCCAAAAAAUUAUUUUUAAAAAUUAUGACGGCAUAAGUUAUAAAAAAUAUUUAAGCUAACAAAAAUUGAAACUUUCUUAAUCUAUUUGUGUUGAAUUUUUUUUUUUUUUUUUGGAAUCAAUUGACUUCAGGAGAUUUCUUGAACUUGAAAUUAUUUAUACUUAACCUUUGAUCUUUAUAAAUGUUAUGCCCAUUUUAUAAUUCAAUUAAUUAUAUUUAUUUAUCUUUAAACUAAAAUAAAUCAAGAAUUAAGAUUUUUUUAUUCAAAUUAAAUUUUUACCACUAUGUUUUCUUUUCAAAUUAUUUUUCUUAAUUUCUUAUUACUUCAACCAAAAAUUUAUGCUAUUAAUUAUAAAUAUUAAUAUAUUAUACUUGUAUUAUUAUCACUAUUAUUAUUUUUUUUACUAUUACUAAAAGCUUAAUAUUUUUACUAUCUUGCCCCAUGAGAUUUGUUAACAAUUUUUUUUUUAAUAAUGAGUAUCCUUCUUUUUUGUUUUUAAGUAUGGAUAUAAUUUUUAAUUUAUAUAAUAAGUUCUUAAAUUUUCAAGACUUAACUAAAAUAAUUUUUAAGAGUUUGUUAUGACUAAUAUGGUUAUGAAAAUUUAUUACUAUGGUAGCAACACUUUAUACCAUACCAUUUUAUAUUUAUUACUAUACCAAAAUUUGUUUAUUUAUUUUAUGAUUAUCCCAUGAACUGUGAAAAUUAACUUUUAUAUUAAAAUUGAAAAUUUUUAAAUUAGUAUUACAUUGAUCCAAUUCUACUAAGCCACAAUUUAUUUAUCUUUAACGAAUGCUUUAAACACAGUAAACGCAAUUCAAAUUCAAAAAUAUUUUGUAAAAUAAAAAAAUAAAAAUCAAUGCAAUCAAGAAAGAAGAAAAUAUAUUAAACAUUAAUUUUUCUUCCUAAAUUAAAUAUUGAAAAGAUAUUUUUCUCUAGUAGGUAAAUUCAACACCGUAAUUUAACAAUAAUGUCGACUUUUAUUUUUAAACUAUUUUUUUAUUACUCCGAAUUGCAAUACAUUUUUAUAGGUCAUAAAAAUUAAUAACCAAUAAUGAAAGUAUCUUUAUUUAUUCAAUAUCAAUAUUCAUUACUUCAGGAGAUAUGAUCAUAAAUUUGAUUAUCCCUAGUACAAACAAAAUAAGUUAAUCAUUUUUCACGACUUAAACAAAAAUUAUCUUAGUAGCUAAAAUUAUUUUUAAAAGCUUAAUAUUUGGAUGGAUAUUCCAACUAAUAUGGUGUUACAACAUAACACUGUGAUAUAAGAAACAACAUUCACUUAUAUGAUUUUGGUCUGCACUUAAUAAUGGAGUUUCACAUUAAUAAUUUCACUCAAAUUCGAAGAGUACAAUUGAACCUUUAGAUAUACUAAAAAGUAAAAAAAAUAAUACACAAAAAUCUCUCAUUUCAACUUUUCAAUGCUUGCUUGCUCUUUAAAGAUGGAGAAAUCAUAGAGUACCUGUAGAAUAAGAACUCAAUUUAUAGAUUAAAAGAAGUUAAAGAGAAUUGCUCAAUUGGAGGAUGAAUUAAACAAAAAUUAAGUUCAUUUACAACUGAAUUAGAUGGUAGCCAAUUCUUGUUCAUGACUCAACUAUAUAGCAUUAGUUCAUUCAAAAACUUAUAAUUUUUAACAUUAUUUUUUUUAAUUAAGUAUCAUUCUCGUUUAAAUAUCCCUAUAAUUUUUCAUUUACCAAAAUAAGUUAUUCAAUUUUUAGGACUUAACUAGAAAUACAAUUAUUUAGGACUCAACUAAAAGAGUUCUUCAAUUUUUAUCAUGACUAAUAUGGCAUUAAAAAAAUAUCUUGUUGCAAUGCCUGCCCAUAUUUUUAACUCUGGUUAGUGAGAGUAAAACAAUUUCAAAUAAUAAAAUUCUUAUUUUUACACCUAUGAAUAAAGAAAUAAAACCGCACCUGCUCAGCUGUAAAUUCCUCGGGCGCAUCUGAGUCAAAUGAAAAUUUAUAUUGUAAGCAUGCGAGUCAGUCGGGCGUCAGCGGCUUUAUUGUGAUGGGUGUGGCGGCAGCCAGCAGCUUCAAAUUUGCGAGAGAAGGAACCCAGAUGAAUGGGUUAGGCUGUGGCUAUGUUAAAAGUGUUAGGGUCUGUUCUGUUUUGUGGCUUUAGAAAAUUGGGAAUUUAGGGAUCGGGUUUGGGUUUGGGUGUUUGGCUUUGAACAAUUUAUGCUUUUUUCUUUCAAUUAUAAGGUAUAACCCGAUUAGCUUCAGUAAAUUCAAUCUCCAACCUUCUUCGUGCUUUGGUAGCGCAAGAGAUGAUGACUCUUUUAAACGGUCAACGACAGCCUUUGAUUGACCUCCACUUGAUUUAGCUCACAGGUCUAGGAUUUGCGUGCAGAGAAAGUGAGAUACGGAAACAGCUAGUGGCUGAUACAUAGGACCGUAAUGGGCGUAGGAAUGAAGACGGCGGCAACUGCUCGCUUGUUGGCUUGUGAGGGUUUGACGUGAGUGAGCGUCUUUGAUGGUUUAAGGAGAGCGGCUAGGGUUUCCAAAGAAAUGUCAUAAUGUGAGUAUUUAUAUUAUCAGUAGAAAUUGGAAAAAAAAAUAUGAAAGUUUUCAAAUUAAUAAAAAAGAUAAUAAAAGUUUGAUGAAUAAUAAAACUUCCAUAGAUAGAUUUGUUGUGACCAUUCAAAAUCUCAAAAUUCAUUUUUGUAAUUUGGUAAAUAAUAUUUUCAUUUUUACCUGCCAAGAUAAAACUUUUUUAUGUGAAAAUUUUACAUAAUACAUACAUACAUACAUACAUACAUACAUAUAUAUAUAUAUAUAUAUGUGUGUGUGUGUGUGUGUGUGUGUGUGUGUGUGUGUGUGUGUGUGUGUGUGUGUGUCUAUAUGUAUAUAUAUGUAUAUAUUUUGUUGAUAUAAAAUUAAUUAUUUACAACUAUAUUAAUAAUUUAAUAUAGAUGAGAUACACUACUAUGUAAAUAUAUUAAUAAUCAAAUUAUGGCUAUUAGUUAAUUUAGUUGUAAAUCAUUUGAGUUCAAAACAAAACAAUUGAGGUUUGAAUCUAUGGGCACAAAUUUAGUUGUUAUUAAGCUAUAUUGAAAAACAAUCAUAUUCAAAUUCAAUUCCUUUUACCACUAGAAUAAAAUUAUAUAUAUAUAAUUUAGUUAGAAGUAUAACGAAAACAUUUUUCACUGCACAUAAGAUAAUAUUAUAACAAGUUCAACAUGCAUAAAUAAAAAUAGAUUCAUAAGAUUAUAUUUCUCUCCAAUAGAAUAGAGAGUUUCAAAAGUAAAUUUAGUCAAACAUACUACUUAAUAUGAAAAUGGAUAUAUAAUUUUUAUAUUUUUAUAUGGUUUUAUAUAAUUUUAUUAUUUUUAGUUGUUAUAUAAAUUAACUUAAUUUUAGAAAAAUAUGGAUAUAAAUGUAAGAUUGAACAAAUUUUGUGAUAAUUGUGCAUCAUUCAAUAUAAAAAAUUACAAAUCAUGUAACUAUCUAGUGAGUGCAGUAUUACUCAAAUAAUUUGAUUUAAUUUAGAAAUAUAUUUGCCAUGCUUAAAUUAUUAUAUUGUAAGUACAAUAUAAUAUAACAUUAUUCAAUAUUAGUUGCAUUUAAAUUGUAAUUACCCAUGUCAUGUACCAAUAUGAAUUUGAUUAAUGUUUAACAAAAAAAUUAUUAUAGCAAAAAAGAUUAAAUAAAGUAAUUAAUUUACAUAAGUUUGUAUGAAUUAAUUUGCAUAAGAGAUUGUUUGUGAGUUUUAUUUAAAAAUAUCAAAUAUUAGAUGCUUUAUAUUUGUGGUAUAUAUAAAACAUAUUAAUGUUAGCCUCUAAUAAUAACAACAAUAUUUGAGGGGUAAUUACAUGUUUGGAAUCAUAAUAAUUCGAUAGUUGGAUGAACAUUACCAUCAUUUUAGUAGGUAGAGAUUUAAAUCCCUAUAUGUGUAUCAUGAGAUAGUAAGAUUGAUUUCUUCCAAAUAUUUAGAAAUAAAUUGAUUUCAUUAUGUGUUUAGAUAUUUAGAUUGUAAUGCAAUUAAAGAUGAUAAAAUUGUUUUGAUAGUUUCUUAAGAAAAAUAUCAUUACAUUUAUAACAUAAUAAUAAAAAUAGCUUAAUUAAUAUAUAAUUUAUUUUAAUUUAUUAUAUUUAAAUAUUAUUCUCAUUAGUACAUAAGUUACGUUUUUUAAAGCAAAAUAUCAUUUAAUUUAUAACAUAAUAUUAAAAAAUAAUAUAAUUAUAGUUUUAAAUAUAGUAGUUUAAUUAAUUUUAUUUAAUUAUAUUUUUUCAUUAGUACAUAGCUUAAAUAUAUUAACUAUAUUUUCCAUGAAUUAAAAGAAAAAAGAAGUAUUUUCAUUUUUUAAAGUUGAGGGGUUCUUUGAUAGUUUAAUAGUUUUGAAUUGCUUUUCUUAAUAUUUACCUAAAAUGAGGGAUCUGUGUGAUAGUUACCUUUUAAUUUUGACCUCUUUAACCAAUUAAAACGAUGGUACCGGUGGCCGGUUACCUGCUGAAUUAAAAAAAUAAAAAAAUGCGGCUGUACGAGAUACAGCGGCUGUAUUUUAAGCGGACCCAUACUACUUGUGAUAAAUUACAGGCUCUGUUUAACAUAUAAAAAUAACAAAUUUUAAAUAUUACAAACAAUAACAGAAUCAUAUGCUGUUAUUGUAAAUAAACCCCACCAUUCCGUUUCAAGUUUCCACAGUCAGUUCCAUUGAUCAUAUGCUGAAGCUACGGUGGAAUGAUAGAUCUUCUUUUAGUUUCCUGCACAUCGAAACUCUCUAAUUGGUGUGUUGUUUUUUCGUGAAAUUUCUAAUAUCUAUUAAUAAUUUCUUAAUGUAAAUGAGAAGUUAGUAGAUCAUGGGAUGAGAGCCGAAGACUUUUUGGCUGAUCUAACUCCUAUUACAAUCAAGUUGGUAACUGCAUUUGGUAAUUACAUCUUCAGUACUUGCAAUCUUUUAUCGCCUUUAGUAAGAAAUCAGAAAAAGGAUGUUUGGAAGCUGAGAAAAUUUAAGAACUGAAAGCUUUUAGCUCACACGAUUUUAUUCAUCUAAAACUUACUUAUGAAACUGUACACAGAGAUGCUUAUAUACACAACUGAUGCUCAGCUCAAUUAGUUAACUAAUUACAAAACUAAUUCUAGCUAGCUAUAACAACUUCAACUAAUUAUCACGUGAACAAGUGAUUACAUAACCACCAGGUGCCAGCUGGCAUGCCAUGUCAUCAACUCUUAACUGUAAGCUGGAGCUGCUGCUAUCCUCUGCUUUACAGUCUAUGCUACUGAUGUGUGCUUCCUUAACAUCCCCUCUCAAGCUCAAAGGUCUACUAACGACAUUGAGCUUGGAUCUAAAAAAGCUGAAUUUAGAAAAAGAUAAGGGCUUAGUCAGAACAUCAGCUACUUGUUCUUCAGUAGGAAUGUAUCUAACCUCCAAUUCUUUUCCAAGCACUUUGUCUCUAACAUAAUGAACAUCCAACUCUAUGUGCUUAGAUUUUGAGUGAAACACAGGGUUGCGAGCUAGCUCCCCUGCACUUUGGUUAUCACACCAAAGAACUGGAGUAGGUAGUUUAGCAAUGUUGAGUUCUGAAAAUAAAGACUGCAACCAAGAAAUUUCUGAGCAUGCUGCUGACAGGGCUCGAUAUUCACUUUCUGUGCUUGACUUUGCUACAAUUGCUUGCUUUUUGGAAGACCAUGAAAUCAGAUUGUUACCCAAGUAUAUACAAUAGGCUCCAAUUGAUUUUCUGUCGUCAAGAUCACAAGCCCAGUCAGCAUCUGUAUAGCCUGUUAUUCCAAUUUCCAGAGUUGCUUCCUUUCUAAGAUAGAGACCAUAGGUGAUGGUUGACUGGAGAUAUCGAAGAACUCUUUUGCAGGCUAACCAGUGCUGAACAGUAGGAGAACUGAGGUAUUGACUGAGCUUAUGAACUGAAUAAGCUAUAUCCGGCCUGGUGAGAAUUAGAUAUUGUAACCCUCCAACUAUGCUUCUGUAUUGUGUUGGAUUUUCGAACUCCUGACCCAAAGGACCCCUGACAUUUCUUUCUAGCUUCAAACCAGUACUAAGAGGAGUAUCAGACCCUUUGCAAUUCUCCAUAGAUGCUUUACUCAGCAAGUCUUUAAUAUACUUUGUUUGAGAUAGAUGCAUACCUUCAUCAAAGUAACUAACUUCAACACCUAGGAAGUAAGCAACUAAUCCCAGAUCUUUCAAGGCAAAUGUCUGACUGAGUUUAACAAUAAAAUCCUCUAGUAAAGCAGAAUCUGGUCCAGUGACUAGAAUAUCAUCCACAUAGAUCAAUACUAUGAUUAAGCCCCUUGUAUCAUGUUUAAUGAAUAGAGAUGUAUCAGCCUUUGAAUUAAGAAAUUGCCAAGUAGUUAGACAACCCUUCAAUUUUUCAUACCAGGCUCGUGGAGCUUGUUUUAGACCAUAGAGAGCUUUAUUGAGUUUGCAGAUGUACCCUUCCUUAGUUACAAAGCCUUCUGGUUGUGUCAUAUAUACGUUCUCAGAAAGAUCUCCAUUAAGGAAUGCAUUAUUUACAUCAAUUUGUCUGACUUUCCACCCUUUUAUAACUGCCAAGCUGAGUAUGACUCUAACUGUUGAAGACUUCACCACUGGACUGAAAGUUUCUGAAUAAUCUACCCCUGCUGUUUGGUGAAAUCCCUUUGCAACCAAUCUAGCUUUAUACUUGCUGACAGUUCCAUCUGUGUUAUACUUUGUUCUGAAUACCCACUUACAACCAACUAGCUUGUAUGUAGAAGACAUUGGCACAAGAGUCCAAGUGUUGUUGUGAAUAAGAGCAUCAUACUCAGUUUGCAUUGCAUCUUUCCAUUUAGGAUCUGAUAAUGCCUCAGGGACAGUGGAUGGUUCUAAGCUGUUGUGAGUUGUUAGAAAGGUCUUUGGUUUGAAAAUACCAGCUCUAGCUCUGGUUAUCAUAUGAUGGGUGGAAGUAGAAGGUUUAGGCUGAGAUGUUUGUGUUGUGCAGGGUAUUUGUGGUGCUGGUGACUGGGGUGCAGGUGAAGGCAAAGAUGUAGAGGUCUGAUUUGUGGGUGACUGAGAUUGAGGUGAAUUUGAUGAUAAAGAAUGAUUGACAGGGAAUUGAUCUGCUGCAGUAGCUUCAAGACUGUUCAGAUUGCUAUUAGGAACUGACAGAGUAAACCUUUGAAAAAGAUUAUAUUGAAAAUCAGAGGAAGUGUGUUUAGAAGAGGAAGAAAAAUUUGGAUCUGAAAUGUAAGGGAAAGUGGUUUCAUCAAACAAUACAUGACUGGCAAUAUAAAUUUUGCCUGAUGAAUGUAGACACUUAUAGCCCUUAUGUGAAGGACUAUAUCCUAAGAAGACACACUUUGAAGUAUGGAAAUGGAAUUUAUGGUUAUUGUAUUCUCUGAGAAAAGGAAAACAAGAACAUCCAAAUGUUCUUAGAAAGUUAUAGUCUGGUUGAUGAUGAAAGAUUGAUUCAUAUGGAGUUUUCAUUGCUAGAAUAGGUGUUGGUAAUCUGUUAAUGAGAUAGGCUGCUGUAUGAAAAGAAUCCCACCAGAAUUUGAUAGGUAAUUUAGCUUGUGCAAGAAGAGUAAGACCUGAUUCAGUAAUGUGUCUGUGUUUCCUUUCUACCAAACCAUUUUGGUUAUGUGUAUAAGGACAAGAGUGUCUAAAUUCUAUCCCUUCUUCUUGAAGAUAUUUGCUAAAGGAUCUGAAUUCCCCUCCCCAGUCAGAUUGAAGACAUUUAAUGGGCUGUUCUAAUUGUUUUUCAACUUGAGCUUUGAAAAUUUUGAACACAUGAAGAGUUUCAUCUUUGGUUUUCAGGGGAAAUAUCCAAGUGAAUCUGGUAAAAUCAUCCACAAAGCUCACAUAAUAUUUAUAACCUUGUGUGGAAACCACUGGAGCUGGUCCCCAUAAAUCAGUAUGUAAAAUGGCUAAAGGUUGUUUUGUUUUUGUUUCAGUUGCUGGAAAGUGUAAUCUAUGCAUUUUCCCAAAUUUACAAGCAUCACAUGAAUCAAACUCUUUAUUUCCAUUGAUAGGUUUGAAAGAGGAACAAGAUUGUAUUACAUGGUUUAAGAUCUUAGAGUUAGGAUGACCUAGCCUCUGAUGUAAUACAGAAGUGCUUAAAAGACACUUAGAGUUCAUACAAGGUUCUGCUGCCACAUUUUGCAAGCAGUGAUUAUUUGACUGACUGAGAUUGACAGUUGAUAGCAUUGACAAAGGAACAAAUGACUGAAAAGAAGACUCAAUAUUGGCAACAUGACCUUGAAAGGAAGACUGAGCAGAAGUUUUAUUUGAGGACACUAAUAGCAAUCUGUACAAGCCUUUUUCAGCCUUGCCCUGCAGUAUGAUCAAAUUCUUCACCUUGUCCUUCACAAAACAAGAUUUGUCAGUAAACUCAACUGUGAUAUUGUUGUCUUUGGUUAGCUGAGAAAUGCUUAUAAGGUUCUUGGUUAUUUGUGGAACUAAAAGUAUAUUGUUUAGUUUAAUCACAGUGGAAUCAGUGCAGUUGUGCAAUCUCAGAACAGCUUUUCCAAUAUUUGUAAUAUUCAAGCCAGUACCAUUACCAAUAAUGAGUUUAGAUGUACCUGUAAAUGAUUCAGAAAUCUGCAUAUUGUUCAUGUCAUUUGUGAGAUGGUGAGUGGCACCACUGUCAAGGUACCAAUUUGUAUCAGAUGAUCCUUCCAUGUUUGCCAGAUAUGCAGAUUUCGGAUUCCUGUUUGGAGGUGGUCUAUAAGCUCCUGAAGCAAUAAAUUCUUCCAGCUUCCAGCAUACAUUAGCUGUGUGGCCUAUUUUGAGACAAACUUGACAUGUAGGCUUAGAAGGAUUCCACUGAGAUUUAGGAUUUCCAGGUGUUUUGCCAUUAUUGACAGCAUUAUUAUUAUUCCAGUUUCCUCCUCCUCCUCCUCCAUAGUUUCCUCUGUAACCAUUAUUUCCAGCACUUCCAACAGCAAAACCAGAUGAUCCAUAAUUUCCUCUGUAACCACUAUUUCCAGAAUUUCCAGCAUUAUUGUAGCCUGUAUUAUAUCCAAGACUACCAAAACCUUUUCCUCCUGAGAAGUUUCCUCUCUUAGGUCCUCUAUUUUGUGCAAAGUUAGCUUCUAAAUUGUGUUUAACAUCCAUAUUAGCAAGUGUUGUGCAAAUUUUAAUGAACUCGCAAGCGCACGAAUCUAUUGUAGUGUAGAUCAAUGGUGACGAGUGUCGAUCCCACGAGGAGGUGGAUUUUAAUUGUGUAUAGAAUUAAUUUUGCAAAAUGGGUGGUUGGAAUUGUGGUGGAAGUGAUUUAAAAUAUGCUAAAAUUGGAAUUGCAAUGGCGAGAAUAAAUUGUAGAGAAAAUCGAUUAAAUUGACGUACUUGGGUAUCUGGAUCCGUAUCAACAUGCAUCAUGGGCUAAAUAAUCCGUAUUAAUGCCAAUUAAAUCAUGAUGGGGGAAUCCACACAUCAUGAACCACGCUCUAAUCAAUAUGGUGCUAAGGGCUUAUCGUGCCAAAUAAUAAUAACCUUAUACUAGAGAGCCGGUGUAACCAAGGCGGUAUCUAGACAAGAUCAGUAUUAUUUGUCGACGAGAAGUCAAAACAUCCACAAAAACUAGAGGGGAAGAGAAAAUAAAUUUACCAAAUUAAGCCCAUGACACAUGUUGAGACUUCACCUUCAACCCAAGCUUGAAAGAAAAUUAGCCACUCAUAAUUGAACUAGGGGCAAAAUGGGAAUUUAUUAAAAUACAAAGAAAAUACAAGAUGGAGAGGGAAUUACAGAAAAUGGAUCCCAAAAAUGGAUUCAGAGAUAUCAAAUUAAGGGGGGAAGGCCCCCUUUUUAUAGAUACAUGGAGUAAAUCAUGGCCAUCGGAUUAAAAAUAGUUUGGACGCUCAGGAUUGCGCCACGUCAUCAGUCAACAGUCCACGGUUUGACCACGCGGAUGAACAGUAACACGGUUUGACCCGGAUGAACAGUAACGCGGUUUGGUUGAAAAUAAUCCUGUGUGAUGCAUGCACCGUACGCGAGAUUUUUCGUCCACUGAUAUGCUGCCACGUCACCAUCAACAGUACAUAAGAAUUUUAGUCCAACAGGAUCGUGACACCUCAUCAGUCAAUGCCACAUCAUCGGUCAAUGCCACGUCAUCGAUCCGUCUAUGUGAACAGUGCCGUGAACAGUAACAUAUACAGUACCGUAUACGUGAAUAGUACCGUACAUGUGAAUAGUGCCAUUUUUCCUUUUAUGCCCCUCCUAAGGUUUUCGACCGUCCUGAGUUCAAAAGUGAUGUCUGUUUUGCCAUCUGAUCUCUCCUUUAUUGUGAAAUGACUAUAAUGCCCCUAAAAUACAUAAAAUACUUAAUUAAAAUAAAACACAUGUAAUUAAAUCACAAGAAGGUUAAAUACAUAAAAGUAAGGGUUGUUAAUAAGACUUGAAACGUAAAAUGACAGUUUUCUCCUUUAUAAAUAUGCAUUUUCUAACACUCAACACACCCCCCAACCAGCUUAUUGCUAGUCCCUAGCAAAUAAAGCGAAAACAAAAUUCAAAUUCAAAAUGAUUUUUUUUUUUUUUUUUUUUUUUUGAAACACUCGUGUUUAUUCAAUCAGAUUAAUGAUAGCAAUCAAAUAAAAAUAUAAGCAUUAUCUCCAGUCUAAAGCAACAUCACACCCACAUCAACCAUCCACAUGAAUUAGCCCAGUAGACUUUGUUAUAGCUACUUUCAAGAAUGACAUGUCAAACCCCAAAAUCUCACUGGAAGUAGUGACACUCUCACAAAGAAAUUAAAACCCAAUAAACAUAGUCACUCCAAUGAAUGGUAAUUGAGAGAGAAAAUAAUAAAGAAAUGAUAUCACAUGCUCUCACCAAGAUGAAAUAAAUAUGCCCUCAGCUUAGAAAUAAUACGAUCUCAAGUCAAAUAAAAUGUUAGUCAACCCACUUUAUUUAUCUUUUUUUUUUUUUUUUUUAUUAUGCAUCACUACAUCUUUUUAGCCCAUAUAACUAGCUUCUACUUCAAACUAUAGUUCCCUAAAAUCAAGAAGGACUUUUAUUAGGACGUAACGUAGGCUAGGGAUAUGGCUAACAAAGAAAGGAAAUAAGGAAAACAAAGUGUAUGUUUGAGAAAAAUGCAGAAUUUUUUUUUUUUUUUUUUUGGAACUUGCAAGGUGGAUUUCACCUAUUAUUGUUAUUUUUAUUCUUUUGAAACAACAACUUUUGUUUUUGUUUUUUUUUUUUUUUUUUUUUGCUUUUAUUUGGCAUAACUUCACUGAACAACAUAAUUAUUUACAUUUUCUCAAACAUAAAUAGGUGAUGGAACUUAAAAGACAUUGGGUAAUACUCCAAAUCGGAGUGGGUCAAGAUGAUAAGUUGACAAAGAAAAGGUUUUUGUUCUUUUUUUUUUUUUUUAAAGGCUCAAAAGGGGUAACUAUGGAUAUUUAAUAAAAGGGAUGGCUAGAAAGGCUCAAACGGAUCAAAGAUGGCCUUUCCAUCGUCUUUUAGGGCUCUAAAUAAUCAUCCAUAUCUACUAGUUAGAUGGGCCUCCCAAUGUAGCAACACACAUUUUUUUUUUUUAAUUUUACCAUUUUUUUUUUUUAAGGGUUAACUCAAAAGAAAUCUAGAGAUCGUGUAUAAAAUAAUAAACUACUAAGCUGUAUAGAGAAUGGGCAAAAGGGUUACUCUCCAAGAAAAUAAUAGGCUCAACUACUCACUUGGCACUUAUUUAUGACAUGUUCAUUCCUUCAAGCAACUCAUAUUUGUCUCCGACAUCAACAUGUAAAGUAGCAAACAUAGCGUAACAUCACUUAAGACCAAAGAUAAUACAAAUACUAAAAUUUGAAAUUAAUCAUGUCAUCCAAUGUUAAAACAAAUAACACAAAUUUUUUUUUUUUUUUUUAAACAACAUUCUACCCCCCAACCUAUUCUAAACAUGAAAGGAAAAUAUGCAUGCGGAAAUGUGAAAAUGAUGUAGAAAAAUUAAUUAGAAAAAGAAUUUUUUUUUUUUUUUUUAAACUAAGAAGAUGCGUUUCUAGAGGCACUACACUCCAUAUUCAGCCAUCUUCGACUCAAAAAUUUGAAACUACAUAUUUAUAAAGGAGAAAGAGGAAGAAAACAGGUUUUUUUUUUUUUUUUUUUUUUUUUUUUUUAAAACGAUGAAGAUGCGUUUCUAGAGUAACUACACUCCAUAUUCAGCCAUCUUCAACAUAAAAUGUUAGCAACUGUUAGUUUCUACAACAAAAAAUCAGUAAAAACUUAACCAAGAUUCCACAAUUGUCGACUAUUCCCUCCCCCCAACCAGAACGAAACAUUGUCCUCAAUGUUUUAAAGGAAAGAAGUAGAGUUUAGAAGACAUCACCUGGGUGGUGCAACACAGAAGAAAAUAUUUACAGGCGGAGAGUUAAAUCUAAUUUGUACUUCUUACUGCGGCUACUGUUACCAUCAUUAUUUGGUCGCUCCAACACAAAGGUCCAGGGGUCUGGCUCCGGUUUAUAAGCUUGUAACAUAUCAAGUAGCUCAUUAGCAGUGUGAGCACAAAUAAAGAGUUUUUUCACAUUAGAAGGAAUGAAAUAGUUUUUUAUUGCAUGGUUAAGAAAUGCGAUAAAGCCAUCAUAAAAGUUAUUGACAUUUAACAAACCGAUGGGUUUCUGGUGGAUGUGCAGAUGGGCCCAAGAUGCUAGUGUCAUAAGUGCCUCUAGUGUUGCAAGAUCUCCUGGAAGGAAAAUAAAAGCAUCAGCAUGAUUAAGCAUUUUAGUUAUUCUUUCUUGCAUACUUGAGACGACUAACUCUUCUCCUGUUGAUGAGUCAGACGAACUGCCCAAUGGUUUUAGGACUCUUGGGAUGAUGCCUAACACUUGACUUCCUCUGAUAAAAGCUGCUUCUGAGACCAUUUUUGAUAACCCUCGGUUACCUCCUCCAUACACCAAAUGUAAUUUUCUCGCUGCUAUGCUUCGACCAAGAUCUAUGGCUGCCUCAACGAACUCUUUAUGUUUGCCAUAGGUAAAUCCAGAAAGCACACAAAUGUUCUUGAAUUGUCUAUUGGGAGUGGCUGCCAUUGUGAUACUUCUCAAAAAUAAUUUGUGAGUGCUUGACAAAAAGUAAAUCACAUUUAAGAAUCUUGGUGACAGUGGAUCACAGCUGUGAAUGAGGUAACAUGUCAGUGUCAAAUAACGCGUAAAGCACGUGGCUCGCGAGUCAAAAAGAAAACAGUAAAAAGGAAAAAGCAAACAGUAAUAAAAUUAUUAAAGGCAAUAAUGCAAACGAUAAAACAAUAGUGAAAUAAAAUAACAGAAAGUAAAAGGAUAUUUACACGUAGUUGCGACUGUGGCUCACAUCUUCCUCUGGUUUUACGUCCAGAAACGGCUUGAACGCCCUCUAUGGGUCGAGGAUGGGCUUCCCAUCCAGUUUUCUUAUAAACUGGCAAACAGGGUCGUUUAUAGUCAGAUUCCCGAGACUAUAUCGUGCAUGCUCUUUCUGGAAUAAUGGCCAUAACCGGAGAAUCGCUCCUUGCACAUAUCCACUGGGAUGCGUUUCAAGAGACAAAAGGAUAUCAUCCAAUGACUCCUUAUUCAAGCCAUCCCUAAUGAAUUGAAUCUUAUCUUCCCUGUUAUCAGACACCAUUCCUAAAGAACAUGGGUUUCUAUCGCAACUCAUUCUGGCACACUUAUGACAAGCAACAGAAAUUCUUCGAGCUCGUCGUUUUCUUGCAUAAUUUCCUUUACCACAACCAGGCAUGUAUGCAAUAAAUUUAGGAGGUAACUCACCUGCCAAUCGUACUUUAGCCUCGAUUAACCAACGGAUGUCUGCAGGUAUGUUAUUCUUCAUGAGCAAUCGCAUGCGUUCAGACCGGGCUUUAUAGAUCGUAAGGAGGGCAUUCUGAGGAAGUGAAGGGAAUCGCUUGUGAAGCUUCGCUAGAAUCUCGUUUCUGUCCAUACCUUCGCCUCAGAAUGUCAGUUAUUAUGGGAAACUGAAGUUAACCGACUUGAUUGUCACGGAGUACCGUUAUCCGCCACUUCACCGGGGUAACAAACUAAAGCACACAAACAGAAAAACAAAUUAAAACACACAAAGAAAAUUAAAAUCGUCCUCUUAUUGAAUUUACCUCAAGCUCCAACUGGAUGUCGUAAACACUUCUCUCAAUGUCUCUGAGUUGGCGUUCUAAACCCUCAACAUAGGCUACUAACUCUGGUGGUUGUAGAGCCCAAAUGCGUUGUGUUUUACAAAAUUGAAUCUGCUUUUUGAGAUGAGUUUUGACACGUUGAAGUGGUUUAAGAAUGUUCAGAAGGAACGGUCUAAGUAUGGUACUCAUGAUUAACAAUGAUAAGAAAAAAAGAAAACUUAAUGGUAAAACAAACACACUUAUGCAAAAAUAAUUUCAAUUAGCAAAAGACUAAUAAAAAGAAAGAAAGAAAAAUCAAAUCAACAAAAAGAAAAAAUCAAUUCAAAUCUGGUGGGUCACUCAAAUUUAUUUCGGUGUCUUCUCCAUGUGGUUGGUACUCUAGAUAUGGCUUUAAUCUUUGACCAUUAACUUUAAACGUGACACCGUUCUUUGGGUCUUUAAUUUCAAUUGCCCCAUGUGGAAAAACAGUAUGAACAAUAAAGGGACCAGACCAUCGAGAGCGUAACUUACCUGGGAAUAGGUGCAAGCGAGAAUUGAAUAAAAGUACUUUCUGACCUGGAGUGAAAGAUUUUCUCAUAACGUGCUUGUCGUGGAAGACUUUCAUUCGUUGCUUGUAAAUCUUGGCAUUUUCGUAUGCAUCAUUGCGAAUUUCUUCAAGUUCUGCCAGCUGUAAUCUUCUUUCUGAGCUGGCUUGCUGCAUGUCAAAGUUGAAUUUCUUGAUGGCCCAAUAUGCACGAUGCUCGAGUUCCACAGGUAGGUGGCAAGCUUUUCCAUACACUAGCCUGUAGGGUGACAUCCCAAUCGGGGUCUUGAAAGCCGUUCUAUAUGCCCAUAAUGCAUCAUCAAGUCGUAAUGACCAAUCUUUCCUGUCUGGCCUCACCGUCUUUUCUAAUAUGUGCUUUAUUUCUCGAUUGGAGAUCUCAACUUGGCCACUGGUUUGCGGAUGAUACGGGGUCGCCACUUUGUGUGUGAUUGAAUACUUUGUCAAAAGAGUCUUGAAUGCUUUGUUACAAAAGUGGGCACCACCAUCACUGAUUAUCGCUCGAGGGAAUCCAAAGCGUGAAACAAUGUUGCUUUUCAAAAAUCCUAUCACCACUUUGUGAUCAUUGGUUCUGCAUGGAAUUGCUUCCACCCAUUUCGAUACGUAGUCAACAGCAACCAAGGUAAUACUUCCACAUUCAUUAAUUGUUCAUCUGGAAAUGACUCAUUUAAUAUUAAUGGCUCUGUAAUUGUGUCAAAAUGGAGACGAGAGAGGUGGUCCGCCACAACAUUUUCUGUGCCUUUCUUAUCCUUGAAUUCCAAGUCAAAUUCCUGCAAAAGUAACACCCAACGAAUUAGUCUAGCUUUUGCAUCUUUUUUUGUGAGAAGAUAUUUAAGAGCAGCAUGAUCUGUGAAUAUAAUUAUUUUACAACCAAUGAGAUAAGAUCGAAAUUUCUCUAAUGCAAACACUACUGCUAGCAUUUCUUUUUCAGUAGUUGAAUAGUUCAACUGUGCAUCAUUCAAUGUCAUACUAGCAUAGUAAAUAACAUGGGGAAUUCGAUCAACUCUUUGUCCUAAAACUGCUCCUACUGCAUAAUCAGAUGCAUCACACAUAAGCUCAAAUGGUAAGCUCCAGUUUGGGGCCUGAAUGAUGGGUGAUGAUGUCAACAAUUGCUUUAAUUUUUCAAAAGCCAUAAGACAUGAAUCAUUAAAGAUAAAAGGUACAUCCUUAGCAAGUAAAUUGCAUAAGGGUCUAGAAACUUUGCUAAAAUCUUUAAUGAAACGUCUAUAGAAACCAGCAUGCCCAAGGAAAGAUCUUACUUCUCUGACUGUUUUAGGUGGAGGAAGAUUAGAAAUGAGAUCCACCUUGGCUUUGUCAACCUCAAUACCUUUGCUCGAAAUGAUGUGACCGAGAACAAUACCUUGUUUUACCAUAAAAUGGCACUUCUCCCAAUUCAAGACUAAGUUCUUCUCGGUACAUCUCUGCAGAACUAGUGUUAGAUGAUGUAAACAUUGAUCAAACGAGUCACCAAAGACAGAAAAAUCAUCCAUAAAGACUUCAAGGAAUCGUUCAACCAUAUCAGAAAAAAUGCUCAACAUGCAUCGUUGAAAUGUAGCAGGUGCAUUACAUAAUCCAAAUGGCAUUCUCCUAUAUGCAAAUGUGCCAAAAGGGCAAGUGAAAGUAGUCUUCUCUUGAUCUUUUGGUGCUAUGGGAAUCUGAUUAUAUCCUGAGUAGCCAUCUAGAAAGCAAUAAAAUUCAUGGCCUGCUAAUCUAUCAAGCAUUUGAUCAAUAAAUGGUAAAGGAAAAUGGUCUUUACGUGUGACAGAAUUCAACUUUCUAUAAUCAAUGCAUACACGCCAUCCUGUAGUUACUCUAGUUGGUAUCAAUUCAUUAUCAGCAUUGGUAACUACUGUGACUCCUGACUUUUUGGGGACGACUUGUACAGGACUGACCCAUGAACUAUCAGAAAUUGGGUAAAUGAUACCUGCAUCUAAUAGCUUAAGGACUUCAGUUCUAACAACUUCUUUCAUGUUAGGAUUUAACCGACGUUGCAUCUCCCUAGUAGUUUUAGCAUUUUCAUCAAGGUGAAUGUAAUGCAUGCAGUCUACUGGGUUUAUACCUUUUAUGUCUGCUAUGGUCCAUCCUAAUGCCCCUUUGUGCUCUUUUAAAACAUCCAACAACUUACCUUUUUGUUCGUCAUUUAGGGAUGAUGAGAUGAUUACCGGCAGAGUACUUUCUUCUCCCAAAAAUGCAUAUUCCAGAGUGUUGGGUAAUGGUUUGAGCUCGAGUUUCGGUGGUGAUUCUGAUGAUGGGAUGAGUUUCUUCUCUGAUGGUGCUAGUUGUUCAACUCUUGACUUCCAUUUAUUAGUGUCCAUGGAUGGUGCUGAGUCAAGUAGGGCGUUGACCUCAUCGACCGAUCUGUCAAUAUCAAAAUCCAAACCAAAGUGAGUUAAACAUGUUUGUAAAGGAUCAUCACUAAUGUUUGAAAUAAAAGUAUUAUCGACUAUUGUUUCUAUUAAAUCCACAUCAACAAUUCCAUCAUCUGCACUGUGAGGUUGUUUGGCAAUGUUGAAAAUAUUUAGCUCCAUAGUCAUGUUGCCGAAGGACAAUUGCAUAUUUCCGGUCCUACAUUGAAUAUGAGCAUCUGCAGUUGCCAAGAAAGGUCGGCCUAGAAUAAUGGGGAUGUGCUUCUUUGAGUCCUGUAUUGGUUGAGUGUCAAUUACAAUGAAAUCAACAGGAAAAUAAAACUUGUCUACCUGAAUAAGCACGUCCUCCACAAUACCACGAGGUAUUUUCGUGGACCGAUCUGCAAGCUGUAACACCACUGGAGUUGGGUGUAAUUCUCCCAGUCCAAGUUUCACGAAAACAGAGUAAGGCAACAAAUUUACACUAGCUCCUAAAUCCAACAAAGCAUUCUCAAUUGUGUGGUUCCCUAUACUACAUGAGAUAGUGGGGGAGCCUGGGUCUUUGCAUUUUAAAUGAAUUUUGUGUUGGAGUAUAGAACUAACGUUUUCUGUUAAAAAUGCCUUCUUUUGAACAUGCAUAUUUCUCUUUUUAGUACAAAGGUCUUUAAGAAACUUGGCAUAAGAUGGAACUUGUUUAAUCGCAUCAAGUAAAGGGAUGUUAACACUUACCUGUUUGAAGAUUUCAAGAAUCUCACCUGUGGAUUUUCCCUUCUUUCCUUUCGCUAACCUAUGAGGAAAUGGAGCUUUCGGAACGUAUUCUCGUGGGUUGGUUUCUUCUUUCUCCUCCGGUGGUGAGUCUUCAACAUUCACAGGUACAAUUUGAUUUUCUUUUGUCACCGGCAUUUCCACUUUGUUGUCGACUUCUUUUCCUUUUCGCAAGGUCAUGACUGCUUUGACCUCUCCAUGCUGCUGUGGUGAACUGGUACUUGCUUCAUGCACUCCUUUAGGAUUAGGCACUGGUUGACUUGGAAACUUACCUUUCUCAACGGUUAUUGCCAAGGUCUGAACUGAAGAAGCGAGCUGUCCCACCAUCUUCUCGAGGCUUGAAACUGAUUGGGCUUGUGAAUUGAAGCCUGCUCUCAACUCAUUUCGUAGUCCAUCAAUAGUGCGGUUCUGUUGCUCAAUCGUAGAGUGAGUAACAUUCUUGAGAUUCUGGAAUGAAUCCUCCCACGGUCUGGGCUGAGUGUAGUUCUGGUUCUGAUUGUAUGGUCUGAAUGGGGGCUGAGAGGCUUGAGGAAUUGGUUGCAUUGGUGGAGCUGGAGUUGUUGGUCCAUUCUGUUGGAAUCCUUGAGACCAUGAAAAAUUGGGGUGGUCUCUCCAUCCAGGGUUAUAUGUGUUGGAGUAUGGGUUGUAAUUUGAUGGCUUUCUCAUUAUCCCUAUGGCAUUGGCUUCAUUUGAAUAUGAGUCAUGGUCAUGUGGUUCUGUUGAUUUAGCAGUCGAUAACGAUGCUAUUUGUCGAGCAAGACCUUCAACAAUCUCCUUGACUUCUUUAAUUCCCGAAGUUGACUCGCCAAUUUGAACCUCAUUUACUCCUUUAAUUCUUCUGGUAUUCCUGAGUGACCGACUCCGUUGUUGGGAAUUAUCCGCUUGUCGCUGGAAGAAUUCCCAAAUCUCUGAUGCACUUUUUGACAUUAGCUCCCCUCCACUUGUUGCCAUUAGCCAUUCUUGCACGUUCGACAAUAAUCCCUCCAAAAAGUAUUGGCAUUGGUGCCAUUUCUCGUACCCAUGAUGUGGACACUUCAAGAGUAGCCCAUUGAAUCGCUCCCAUGUUUCAAAAAACUGCUCGUCUUCUCUUUGAGUAAACUCUGAGAUUUCCCUGCGAAUAGCAUUGGUUUUAUGCACUGGGAAAUAUUUAUUUAGAAAUUUUGUUACCAUUUGUUCCCAUGAUGAAAUGCUAUUAGCAGGUAAUGUAUUAAGCCAUGAACGAGCUCUAUCCUUUAAAGAAAAUGGGAAUAAUCUGAGUUUAACAUCAUCGUCUGAAAAAUUUUCGUAUUUAAAAGUUUGACAAAUGGCAUGAAAAUCAUUCAAAUGAUUAUAUGGAUCCUCAUUUUCUAGGCCAUAAAAUGUGGGGAGACAAUUUAACACACUAGGUUUUAAUUCAAAACUCCUAGCAGCUACAUUUGGGUAUCUUAUGCAUGACGUGCUCAAAUUAGCUAAGGGACUAAAAUAGUCCUUAAAUGGCCUCUCCUGUGGUGCUUGUAAAUCCAUUUUAUUUUUAACGUGUUUGUGUGUGCGAAGUGUUUUUUCUAAUUCAAGGUCUAUAGGUUCAAGAUUUGGUAAUAAUGACCUACGACCAUGCAUGCAAAACAAAUAAAAUAAAAAUAAAGAUGCAAACAAAAUAAAAAUAAAGAUGGGAACAAAACAAAUAAAAAUAAAGAAGAGGGAGAAAUUACGAUACUAACCUUAUUGCGCUAUUACAACCUUUCUAUAAAAAUACACAAAAAUAAAUACGUGAAAUAAAUUAACUAAAAAUUAAAUUAAUAAAAUAAACAAAAAUUACAAAGAAAAAAAUAAAUUGAAAAUUAAAUUACAGAAUUUUAAAGAAGAGAGAGAGAAAAAAAUACUAACCUUUAAAUGCGGAUUUACUUUUUUUUUUUUUUUUAAUAAAAAAAAAAUACAAGAAAACAAAUAAAAGAAAUUAUUCACAAAAAUUAAUUCUAUGAAUUAAAAUUACUUACCUCCCCGGCAACGGCGCCAAAAACUUGUUGUGCAAAUUUUAAUGAACUCGCAAGCGCACGAAUCUAUUGUAGUGUAGAUCAAUGGUGACGAGUGUCGAUCCCACGAGGAGGUGGAUUUUAAUUGUGUAUAGAAUUAAUUUUGCAAAAUGGGUGGUUGGAAUUGUGGUGGAAGUGAUUUAAAAUAUGCUAAAAUUGGAAUUGCAAUGGCGAGAAUAAAUUGUAGAGAAAAUCGAUUAAAUUGACGUACUUGGGUAUCUGGAUCCGUAUCAACAUGCAUCAUGGGCUAAAUAAUCCGUAUUAAUGCCAAUUAAAUCAUGAUGGGGGAAUCCACACAUCAUGAACCACGCUCUAAUCAAUAUGGUGCUAAGGGCUUAUCGUGCCAAAUAAUAAUAACCUUAUACUAGAGAGCCGGUGUAACCAAGGCGGUAUCUAGACAAGAUCAGUAUUAUUUGUCGACGAGAAGUCAAAACAUCCACAAAAACUAGAGGGGAAGAGAAAAUAAAUUUACCAAAUUAAGCCCAUGACACAUGUUGAGACUUCACCUUCAACCCAAGCUUGAAAGAAAAUUAGCCACUCAUAAUUGAACUAGGGGCAAAAUGGGAAUUUAUUAAAAUACAAAGAAAAUACAAGAUGGAGAGGGAAUUACAGAAAAUGGAUCCCAAAAAUGGAUUCAGAGAUAUCAAAUUAAGGGGGGAAGGCCCCCUUUUUAUAGAUACAUGGAGUAAAUCAUGGCCAUCGGAUUAAAAAUAGUUUGGACGCUCAGGAUUGCGCCACGUCAUCAGUCAACAGUCCACGGUUUGACCACGCGGAUGAACAGUAACACGGUUUGACCCGGAUGAACAGUAACGCGGUUUGGUUGAAAAUAAUCCUGUGUGAUGCAUGCACCGUACGCGAGAUUUUUCGUCCACUGAUAUGCUGCCACGUCACCAUCAACAGUACAUAAGAAUUUUAGUCCAACAGGAUCGUGACACCUCAUCAGUCAAUGCCACAUCAUCGGUCAAUGCCACGUCAUCGAUCCGUCUAUGUGAACAGUGCCGUGAACAGUAACAUAUACAGUACCGUAUACGUGAAUAGUACCGUACAUGUGAAUAGUGCCAUUUUUCCUUUUAUGCCCCUCCUAAGGUUUUCGACCGUCCUGAGUUCAAAAGUGAUGUCCGUUUUGCCAUCUGAUCUCUCCUUUAUUGUGAAAUGACUAUAAUGCCCCUAAAAUACAUAAAAUACUUAAUUAAAAUAAAACACAUGUAAUUAAAUCACAAGAAGGUUAAAUACAUAAAAGUAAGGGUUGUUAAUAAGACUUGAAACGUAAAAUGACAGUUUUCUCCUUUAUAAAUAUGCAUUUUCUAACACUCAACAGCAAGCAUAUGAGUUUGUUGAUCAAUCCUAGCCUCUUGAGUUAACAGCAUAGCAUAAGCCUCAUUAACAUUCAUUUUUCCAGUUCCUACUUGUCCAGUGAUGUAAGUAGCAACAGAAUUAUAAUCAGGACCUAGACCAGAGAGUACAUGUAAAAUCAAAUCAUCAUUGCUUAAUGCACUUCCUGCUGCAGCCAUGUUAUCAGCAAUAGAUUUCAUUUUAAUGAAGUAUUCAGUCAUUUUAAGAUCAUCCUUUCUAGUGGAAUUCAUCAAAUAUCUCAAAUGUAAUAACCUAGACUUUGAUUGAGAUCCAAAUUGAGUUUCAACAGCUUUCCAUACCUCCAAUGAAGUCUCAAGAUUGAACACCAAACUGAUGAUACCUUCACUCAUGGAUGAAAGAAGCCAACCGAGAAGUAUUUGAUCUUGUGCUCUCCAGGUUGCAAAUUCUGGAUUCUCCACAGAUCUAAGCUCAUCAUCAUAUCUCUGAGCAAUAUGAGAAGGAGGUGGAGUGAUUGACUCAUCGAUAAAUUUCUCAAGUCUAUUUCCUCGAAUUGAAGCAAGCACUUGAGAUCUCCAGAUCAAAUAGUUUGAUUGAUCAAGUUUAACGGGAGUAUUGAAAGUGAAAUUGACUGUUGUUGAAUGUGCAGCGGUAUUAUGAACUUGAUUUAAGGAAGAGGCAAGAUUCACAGAUGCCAUUGUGGCUCUGAUACCAAGUAAGAAAUCAGAAAAAGGAUGUUUGGAAGCUGAGAAAAUUUAAGAACUGAAAGCUUUUAGCUCACACGAUUUUAUUCAUCUAAAACUUACUUAUGAAACUGUACACAGAGAUGCUUAUAUACACAACUGAUGCUCAGCUCAAUUAGUUAACUAAUUACAAAACUAAUUCUAGCUAGCUAUAACAACUUCAACUAAUUAUCACGUGAACAAGUGAUUACAUAACCACCAGGUGCCAGCUGGCAUGCCAUGUCAUCAACUCUUAACUGUAAGCUGGAGCUGCUGCUAUCCUCUGCUUUACAGUCUAUGCUACUGAUGUGUGCUUCCUUAACACCUUUCCAAGUUGAUUUUAGUUAUUUGUUCUUAAUAUGUCUAAGCGUAUGGACUUGAUGGAAGGUGGGGUUUAUUUACAGGUUCCGUCAUGAUAUUCUCCCGUGCCAUAUAAAUCAUCAUUGUUUUGCAAGUGCUCUACGGCAUUCUUUACUGGAUAGGCUAGCCAGGGUGCCUUAGAGGCAAGCGUCAAGACGGAAAUGAAAUAUAUCUAAAGCUACACACAAGCACAGGUUGGUCAUUUUAUCAUUUAUAAGUCUUCUAUCUCUUUUAACUUAGUCUAACAUCUUGUUGAACCCAAGCACGAUUCAUUUCACAUAGGCUUGACUGCUAUGUGGUCCAAACUUCAUUUGAAACAUUGGAAACUCCUUGGCAACGUUUUUUAUAUUGCAGAUUCUAUAGGUCAAUCCUGUUGCUGUGCAGUUAGGCACGAGUCAACAGCAAUGAUAGACUUGAAAGUAAUUUUUGCUGGGCAAGAGACUGAGGAAACAUUUUGUAUUUUGCUGGUCUGAUAGUGCUGUGCCAUAAAGCAAUUUACCAAGCAUAGCUUUACAAAUAGAUUGCAGAAUUAUUCAAGGUGUUCUGCAUUUUCCAUAAUUGGACCAACGAACUAUUCACGAGGCAGUAGUGAACGAGUGUUCUAUAUGGUGGUUUGCUUUAAAUACUGAACGAAAAAUGUGGUCCAUUGUGUUUUUUUUGUGUCGUUAUAGCUCUAAUCUUUUCUUAUGGCCCCUGUGUAGGUUAGUUAUAUGUUGAGCACAAUGAUGCUAUUUUAGUAGUCAUAAUUCCUGCAGCCAAGCACCCGAAACUGCUUCAUCUCAAGUUCUUACAUUUUGGAGCUGUAACCCAAGAUGUAUUAAAUAUAAUUUUCAUAAGCUUUAGUGAACCAGGGCAUUCUUUGCAGUUCUCUUCAAAUGACAAGACAUCUAUUGGGAUCUUACUUUUGUUGAUGAGAGGGUCUGAAACAGCUGGUGCAAUAAGUAAAAUUGAUUUUAUGUAGACUAGAAAGCUCUGCCCGCUGUGAAGGCUUUCCUGUUAAAUGAAGGUCCUCCAAAGCUGCACAGUCUGAAUCAGAGAGCUUCCUAGAAACUGCAUGGAGGGUAGAGUGCUGAGGGCACGAGAUAAGCUUUGCAAAUUUGCUGCAAAUUUGAGGAUAAGUUUCUGCAGCACAUUACAACUGCUGACUGCUGAGGUGAGUUUAAUUUGUUUUAGAUAUUUAUUAUUGUUCUUGCGAAUUUCCAAGUAGCAUAUUAAAAAGUUUGAUUUUUUAAUGACUUUGCUUAUAUUCUUUUCAUUCAUACAAUUUCAGAGUUGAAAAAGGAGAAAACCAAGACGUAAAUGAGAAUGUGAUAAUAUCCUCUCUUAAACUGAAGCCUUGAAGAAAAUUUCUUGAUUAGUAGCUGUCAUGAUGCGUGGUUCUGGUUGGAAAGCUGUUGCCAAUUUUGAGCGGUGUUUCUUUAACGAGAUCAAACAGCUCUCUUUGGACGGACAUUUUGAUUCGAUAAUGUCAAGAGGGAUUGUCUUGUGCCAAUUCCCUUCCUGAUCUUUUAAUCUUUUCAGGAUUUGCAAGUCAAGCAACCUUCUUGUAUUCAUUUUCUAUUCGAUUGUGUUAGAAGCUGAUGGCUAACAACUAUAUCUAUUAUACCCUGAGAUCUUUAAUAAUAGGUUUCCUCGAGCUUGCAAAAGACCUAUCACGGCUUUGUGUUGAUGAGGCAAUGGAACCAUCUGUAUCCGAAGCUCCUUACUUCUAAUUCUUAGAGACUUUUGCCCUUCUACCCUUUUCAUGAUGCUGGAUGUUCGAUUUUUUGUUUUGGUCAUAGUUUAGAUUCUUUACAUCAGAUAUAUUGAUGGGUCCUACAUGGAUAGUAUUGCUCUCUGUUUGGUGCAUGAUUUGAAUAUUCUUAUUCUACACUAAUAUAAUACCAAGGCAAUUCUUGUUUCUAUUUAUUGAUGAAGUUACUGGCUGACUUAUGAAACAGGUACGUAUAGUUCUGGUUAAGGUGGUUUGUGGUGCUGCAAACGCUACACCAAGCUUGGAAGAUAUCCUUUGUUCAAGAGAGAGGUGUGACUCUUAUUGUUAUGUCACAUAAUAUUGUUGUACGUACAUGCAUGAUUUGACCUGUAUGUGGUUCAAAUUUCCUUUUCUCCUUGUCACAAUAGUAUUGUUUGGAAAUGAGGCAGAGCAAGCUUGCUAUCAUGAACAGUGUCAUUUUCCUUUUGUUUAACAUUUUGGGAUCAAUGGUUGGAUCAAAACUGCUAAAUGGUUGCGAAGAUCUUUUCCCAAAUUCCUCUGAAAUCUGUUUGCUUUUACUAGAAUGGAAAUACAGUGCCAAGAAGAGGAGGUAAAGACUUGAUCUUCGAAGAAAGCAAAUGAGGCAGAGCAAGCUAGCGAUUCUGAACAGGGUAUACAUGCAGGACACGAUGGCUUGUACACUUGCUAGCAUUGAAGGAGAACUAUGAUGGAUGUGUGUCAAGAAGUAGGUAGUUAUAUCAUAGAGAAGAUUUCGACAGUUUGGCUGCUUUGCCAAUUAAAUUUUCACUUACAAGUUCUAAGACUUAUGUGACUGCUUGCAAUUGUUUUUUUUCCAAGUUGAAAAAGCAAAGGAAGAAAUGUUGAAUCAGUUAAAUAGCUGUGUCAGGUUGAUGCUCUCUGCAUCAAUUCUUGAAAGGGGAGGGAUGUAUUUUAUUUCAUAUACUUACUUCUUUAUCUAUUCUGUGCAUUGAUAAUAUUCCUGAAAUUUUCUUAUGAUAAUUUGCAUAGUGCACAAAGCAAAGCAGGGAUUAAAGAGCUUCUUCAGGAGGAGGGAUUGCUUUCAGAGACGGUCUGAACUCCUUUCUAAACUAACACGUACGCCAAUUUAGCACCCCAUGAUCUUUGCUGAUAAUUCAUAUUUUCACUGCAUAUUUUUAUUGGGUGAAAAGGUGCUUAACAACUCCAUGAUCCCACCAGCGCUUUGCUUAAACUUCACUUGAUUAUAAUCACUAGAAGAGGGUACGGGUUUGUGAUUGUGUACUUAGGACUAUGUAUAGUUUUCUGAAUGUUGUGAUUUUACGGUGUGUCCCUAUGUCAGAACAAUGGAUUUAAAGUGUAUUUGAAUUCCAUUUAUCAUAUUCUUCUAUUCAUCAUUUUGUUUUUGCUUUUUCGUUUUCAUUUUUCAAUCAUUGAUUGCCCAAAACUUGAGAGAUUGCCUGAUGAAAUAGGAAAUUUAAGAGCCUUGUCCUAUUUAAGAGUUGAAGGAGCUGUUAUAAGAGAAGUACCAGUAAGCCUUGGUCAAUUAACCUCGCUAGCAAAGUUUGAUUCUAAAUGACAAUCGCAACUUGGAGAGAAUACCGGAAAGCAUCAGACAUCUUUCUAAUUUGGAAUUUCUCGAAUUAAGCUGUUGCACGUCACUGGAAGCAUUAUCUGCAGGUUUACCAUCAAUUUCAUUCGAGUUAUCUGGAGGUUUAAUACUUAUGAUAAAUUUAGAUAGUAUUUCAGCAAAUUACAAGAUCUGUUUAACCUACCAAAUUUUAAAAAUUACAAAGAAUAACAAAACAGAACAGAGGUGUUCUACAUCAUUUUUAUUUCUAUUUUGGUGCCAUGUCUAGAGACUUUUUCUAGCAGCGAAUUUUAAACAAGUCAAGGUUGAGCGUUUGUUAAUGUUUCUAGAUCUCGAUCUGCUUUAAAAACUGAUGUGGCAUACAUAUUUUUUUUAUUUUUUAUUUGGUAAAGAAAUAGCUUCGUCAGUCAGUGUCAAUCGCUUGAAAAGUCUGAAUCUUUGAGAGCUCCUUAGAAACCUCACGACACUGUCAAGUUCGCACUGACUAGUGAUUCGCAGAACAAGUUUGGUAGAAUAGCUCUGCUAGAUGCUCUAGCUCCGCAGAUUCGCAAGUGUUUGAAAGUCCGGGUUCUAAAUCUGCUCCGCAGGUUACAAAUGAAAUCUCAAAUAUUUCAGGAUGAGUUAUUACAGCUGUUAAGGUUAAAGAGAAAAAGAUGGAUGAAAUUCUAAGCUUAAACCAAAGUACAAGAAUGAACAACAACCAAUCAAGAACUAGAGACUUAAAGAAUAGCACAAUACAACCAAUUUGAAGGAACAAUCAGUUCACUUUUAUUGAUAGAAUAACACAGAAAUUGACCAAGAAUAGAGUAGAAAAGCUUUACAAAGAAACAAAUUUUUCACAAAAUGGCUAAGUGAUUAUAGAGAACAAUGCGAAGAAACAGGGCCCAACGCUCAGCACAGAUUUUUGUAACAAACUCUUAUUAGAUUCUUAUUUUGUCGGUUAUGCACCUCAGUUUGGAUAAUGUAACAAAGGCCCCAAACUAUAUGCCUUUAUGACAUAGUCCAGCUGACUUUCAAUCUUUUGCAAAACAGCCCAGCAACAAUAGCUGGGUGAGUUGAUGGUCCGGAGCGCUGAGGGGACGAGAUCUCUGGCUUUGCAACUUUGCUGCAAAUUUGAGGAUAAGUUUCUAUAACACAAUACGACUGCCGAGGCGAGUUUAAUUUCUUUUUGUUAUUUCUUCUUGUGCUGGCAAAUUUUCAAGUAGCUUAUUAAAAAGUUUGAUUCUCUAAUGGUUUUGCUUACACUCUUUUCAUUUAUAUAACUGGAGAAAUGUGAAAGGCAAAACCUAAUACGUAAAUGAGAAUGUGAUAAUAUCCUCUCUAGAACUGAAGCCUUGUAGAAAGUUUCUUGAUUUCAAGAUAUAUAGUACUAGUUUUAAAUUUGUGAUACAGGGGAAUUUUCUGAGUAGGAUCUAACAGCUCCAUUCGCAUGCAACUGCAAUCAAAGAGCUGCCGUCAUCCAAUGAGAUCUUAUUAGUUAAAUUUGAGCUUAUUUACUGUUCAAGGAUUUAGAGGAUUUCGAGAAGCAUAUGAAAGUUGAAAUGUUUUUGAGAUAUUGCUCUUUCCGAUCGUUUAAAUCCGAAGAGGUUUCCAGAGAUCUCAUCUGGUAACACAAAAGGGUUUUAUUUUGAUGGAACUGCAAUCGAAGAACUGUCCUCAUCCUUAGUGUCUAUCCAGUUUAAAUUUAAUAUACAAGAUGACAUAUCUCGAGAAGCAUAUUUAAGCUUAAAUAUCUUGAAGAUCUUAAUCUCUCUAGUAGCAUAAAUCUAAAGUGGAUACCAGAUAUGUCAUCUUGUGUAUUAAAUUUUUAUAUUUAGAUGGAACAACAAUCAAAGAAUCGCAUGCCUUGAUGCACUGCAUGUCCCUCCAGACCAGUUACCUUGACUCUUUCAAAUUUUAAAAGGCUUAAGAGUCUCCCAAGCAGCCUAUACAUGUUGCAAUGUCUUUGAGAUCUUUAUUUCAAAUGGUUGUGAGCAAAUGGCUUCAUCAUUGCCAAUUUCACGGACUUACCUAAAAGUCUUGACCGGUUACUAUCUCUAUGGCAUUUGUAUCUAGAUGAAAACCAUUACAAGAGAAUAUCAGAAAGCAUUGAUGAAUUGGUUUAUGUGCCCUACGCCAAAGUCCUUGCUCAUUACGGGAGUUAAUUGUGCUCAUUAAGAUAUUCCUGUUACUAAAAUCUCUAUUUAUUCAAAUCUUCUUUGCCUCUGGCCAUUUUUUUUCUAAAUUUUUAUAGGAUUCAGGAACAUAUAUGAAUCAUUGUCAGUUCUUCGGAUUAGCUUCCUGUAUGCGUUGUCGUCCAUUUCCAAAUAAUAUACGACAGCUAAUUCCAAAACCACAGACCACAUUGUCUGUCGCUCUGUUUUGAGAUCACAGAUUCAACUUUUCAGUGUUAAAAAAUUUUGGAAAUGAUAUGUCUUUCCAUGGAAAAUAUGUGUUGCGUCGCGUUAUCAUUCAUUAUUUCACUAUUCUUUAGUGAAUUACUAUUUUGGUAUGGGGACGGCUACAGUAAAUGCAUGUAUGUGACACAUGCAAGCUAGGGGUAUUCGCGGAUCGGAUUUUACGGAUUGGACAUCAAUCCAUAUCCAAUCCAUGAUUUUGCGGAUUAUAAUUUUUCAAUCCAAUCCAAUCCACGGAUUGAUAAAAUUCAAUCCAAAUUCAAUCCAUACAUCUGCGGAUCGGAUACGGAUUUGACUCAAUCCAUAUCCAAUCCAUACGUCUACGGAUCGUAUGCGGAUUUGACUCAAUCCAUAUGCAAUUCAUCAUUUUGUGCAUUAGUUUUCGAAUUAAAAAUUUUUAGUUCUCUCCAACUAAUGAAAUAAAAAAAUCUAAUAUAAAAAUAAUUUUGCUACCAAUUAAAUUUAAAAUUGAAAAAAAUUUAAAUAAAUUAAUUGUUUAAAUAAAGCUAAAAUAAUACAUUUAAAGUUUUAAAAUAUAACACAUCGAGACUAAUUAUUCAAAUAAAGCUACAAUAAUACGUUCAAAGUUUCAAAAUAUAACACACCAAGUUUAAUUGUUCAAAUAAAGUUACAAUAAUACGUUAAUAUAACACCGAAAUUAAUUGUUCAAAUAAAGCCACAAUUAAUUGAAAUGACGAAGUUUCGGAAACCAAACACAAUCUGAUCAUUCACCAGGGCUGUUGUACCUAUUGAAAAGUGGUGAUUACGGAGCCAUCUACGAUGGGAACCAGGAGAAGCCGUACGGGUGGCGAUCUUGAAGGUUGUGAUAGUGAAAUUGUUCAGUUAGAACCAGUGAAUGUGAAGUGGCUCGAUGGACUUGGGAAAGAAGAUGGCUUGCUCUCGCCAGAAUCGCGUGGCCGAUAUCCUUUAAAUCUGUGUCGAGAGUGUAUCCAACCAGUAUUGAGUGUUGCUAGUGUGUGUGACGGCGGGGAAGCUUAGGGUUUUUUGUUUGUAAAUUGUUGGUCACUUGGUGUUAUGUUACUUUGCUUUUAUUUUAUUUUACAAUUUUUACAAGUUAUAUUUGUAUAUUUGAUUAUUUAAUUAUUUUUCAUUUUAUAUUAUUAUUGGGCAAUGGUUAAGAUAUGUUAUAAUGCUUAGUAACUAUGCAAUGUCACAUUUGUAAUUUUUUAAUUUUAUAUAUAUAUAUAUAUAUAGAUAUAUUUUUUUUUUUUUACGGAUUCACGGAUUUAUGCGGAUUUACAGAAGUAAAUCCAUAUCCAAUCCAUCGACUGCGGAUUUUUAAAUUUUCAAUUCAUAUCCAAUCCACCAAUCCACGGAUCGGAUUUAUACGGAUCGGAUUCAGCGGAUCGGACGGAUUGAGCGGAUCGGAUUGGAUUCUGAACACCCCUAAUGCAAGCAAUAAAAAAAGGAAAAGGGUUAUUAUCAAAAACCUCCCUUGAGGUUUAGCGUAUUCUCAGUUUGAGAGAUUGGAUUCACGUAUUAUCAGCCACCUCCCCUGACGUUAGUAUACCGUUUAGUAUAAUUUGAGUUGGUGAGGAUAAAAUGGUAAUAGAACUCAUUAAUAAUAAAAAAUUCUAACAAACUUUAAAUUAUCACAUUCGAAUCGAGAAUGAUUUGAAGUUUGUUCAAAUCCAUUGGGUUUAAAAUCGAAGCAAGCAUUUAACCAAAAGAUAUUACCACUCUACCAAAAAAAAAAAAAUGGUUUGAUGUUCGUUCAUAUCCAUUGAGUAAAAACCAGAAGCAAGCAUUUAACCAAAAGAUACUAUCAAUCCACCUAAAAAGAAAGAGAAAUGGGUAUCUCCUUGCUCAGCUCAAACCAAUGCUACCGAGAACAACAUUCCAUCCAUUUUCUCCAUCUCUGUUAUGCUUUAGUAGAGAAAGAGUGCCAUAAGCAAGAAACAAUGACGACAAACCUGAAGACGCCAACACCAGGAACAACUGAAUCACGACCGCCAGGUGAAAGAAGACUGACCAGUGAGUUUCGUCGUCGACCCACAAACAACCCCAACUCGUCUGAGCCACGAAAAGGGUAUGAAAAUAAGCACACAUUUUAUAAAAGCAAAACCCAUAACCUCACUUGUUCAUGCUUUGAAACGAUGAUGUAAUAAUUAUUGCUUCGUAUGUGUGCUGUUAAAGUGGCCAAAUUUUUUUUUUUUGAACUUCUUUCGAACAUUUAGUAACGAGAUUAUGGUUUCAGAUCCCCAGUUGAGCAAUUCCCUGUUUCGUUGGAUAAAGAGGCUGAAUUUGAGUGGUUUGACCUUGCUGAAGUGAAUGAAAUUAUAGUGCCUGACUUGAAUGAAGCCGUAAUAACUUCAGAAUUUGAGAGCAAUAGUGUUAUUGUAGAAGAUUCAUUCAAAAAGCGGCAGCCAAUUGAGAUUGUACGAGAUGGGUCAGCCAAGAAUAUAACUGUUGAUGACUAUGUAGGGUGUGAAGAAAUAGUGGACAGUGAUAGUGGGGAUGAUGCUGGAAAUAAUAAUACUUGGGAUGCUGGUUUAGAUGACUACGAAUCAGCAGAUUAUAGUGGUUCAAACUCAGAUAUGUUGUCAGAUGAUGAAGUUCAGGAUGCGUGUAAUAGAUAUGAGGCCAAUUCAGAGGGUUUUGAGUUCAAUAUAGAUGGGGAAAUGAUUAUGUUGAGGGUUGGAGCAGUGUAUAGGAACGUGGAUGAGUUUAGGAAUGUGGUGAAAGUUUUUGCGAUACAAAAUGGUUUUAGGCUAAAAAGGGUAAAAAUGAAAAGAGUAGAGUCACACUGGCAUGUGCAGCAGUAUGUUGUACUUGGAGGGUUCACGCAAGUCCAAAUUGGAAUGGUAAACACUUUCAAAUCAAAACAUUCCGGCCUGAACACAUUUGUGCUAGAGGUAAUGAUAACUACGAAGCAAAUUCAACUUAGAUUGCUGCAACAUUUCUUCAUCUAUUUAGAGCCAACCCUCAGCUAAACAUUGAAGUAAUAGCAAGUGAGCUGCUUAGGAGAUUUGGUAUUAAAUGCAGUAAUCAGCAGUUGUAUAGGGCUAACAACAAGGCAUUGGAGCUGUUAGGGCAGGAUCAUAAGGCCAGUUAUACCAAACUAUACAGGUAUAUGCAUGCAAUUCUCAUCUCUAAUCCUGGUUCAACUGUAACUAUAGAUAGAGAUUGGUUAGGUGGUGGGCAGAACCCUCAUUUUAAAAAGUUCUUUGUUAUGUUUGAUGCAAAUAGGAGGGGGUUCUUUGAGGGAUGUAGACAGUUUACAGGGCUUGAUGGUUGUCAUCUAAAGGGGUUAUAUAAAGGUGUAUUGUUGUCUGCAGUUAGUAUAGAUGCUAAUAAUGGUAUCUACCCACUAGCAAUGUGUGUUGUUGAGAGUGAAAAUACUAACUCUUGGGUGUACUUUAUGAAUAAAUUAUAUGAGCAAAUAGGCUGUAAUGAUGGUAGUGGGUUGUGUUUCAUGAGUGAUAGGCAGAAGGGAAUUUUAAAUGCUUUGGAGAUAGUGUUUCCUGAAUCUUUGAAAAGGUAUUGUUGUAGGCAUAUAUAUGCUAACUUCAAGCAGAAAUUUCCUGGUGUACUAUUACGUAAUUCAUUCUGGAAAGCUUGUAGAAGUUCAAACCUAGCAGACUUCAACACUCACAUGUCUGAGUUGAAUAAUAUUCAUUCUGCAGCACAUGAUUGGCUGAUGCAGAUUCUAGUUUAUUGCUGGGCUAAGCAUAAAUUUCCAACGCACACAAAAUGCUCCCAUGUGACUAACAACAUGUCAGAGUCAUUCAACAACUGGAUUAAUAAUUUUAGGGGAUUGCCUAUUGUUAGGAUGGUAGAAGAGAUAAGAAGAAAGGUGAUGAAUCUGAUUCAUAGAAGGUAUGAGCAGGCUGUCAUGUGUCAAGAUGAACUGCCACUACAAGUUAGGAGGAGAAUACUAGAUGGAAGGGUGAAGUCCAGGUCCAUGUCAGUUAUAUUUGGGCAUAAUGAUACCUUUGAAGUUAUGGAGGAUGUUUCCAAGAGAAAAGUUGUCAAUUUAAAGGCCAAGGAGUGUGAUUGUGUGGAGUGGCAAUUGUCUGGUUUGCCUUGUGCUCAUGCACUAUGUUGCAUUGAUGCUAUGAGGUACAACGUCAAUGAUUUUGUGCAUCCUUUAUUGAAAGAAUGAAGCAUUGAAGAAGACUUAUAAGCAUCAGUACUAUCCAGUGCCUGAUGAAAGUAGGUGGCCUCCUGAAUUGCAUGAUAACAUGCUUCCACCUAUAAUCAUUAGAACUACUGGCAGGUCUCAAACGAAAAGGAGAAGAGAGGCGGAUGAAAACAGGGCAUUCAAGAGGAGUUCCAAUGUUAGGUGCAGUAAUUGCGAAGAGUGGGGGCAUAAUGUGAGGACAUGCAAAGUUGAUAAAGGGUUUAAAAAAAAUGACAAAGAAGAAAAAUUUAAAGUCAACACAGGUUACUUUGUGUAAUUAUAAGUUUUGAAGUUCUCUUUAUUUAAAUUUCCAGCUUAUAUAUCUGUUUAAUAAUCUCAUGAUUUGUUUACACUUCAACUCAAGGGAAAUGGAUCGGGGAUCAAUAAUGAAAGAGGACAGAGCUCAGGAGCCUAGAAUCAACUUGAGGCAGCAGCUGUCAUUGAAUCUGGAACGCAAGAAUUUGUCCAUGAUGAUGGUUUGAAUUUACUGAUUCAGCAACUCACUUUUCUUAAUUUAUUUGUUUAUAAACUAUUUCAUACUUGCUAAUACAAAUUUUUAUUAUUGAAGGACAAUUAACCCAAUCAUAGAGAGCUUGUAGAUGAUAAAUCCUGCAGCAACAACUUUAGUGGUAAGAAAUUUUUUUGUAUAGUAAUGACAGAGCCUAGACUAAUCCCAUACUACAAAUUUUUUGGAGGGAUGAGAUGAUACUUCACCUUACCUAUAUAAGCUUUAAAUUGUAUAGAUGUUGUAUCAUCUUUUUGUUCUUUUUUUUUGUGAACUGUGUGAUAGUGAAAAUACUCACACCAUUAACAAAGCAUUUCAGUUAAGUCAAAACUUAACAAACUGUUGAAAGUUGAUUUUUUUGUAAAUAUGGGUUGCUGUUGAUGUUGUAUUGGCUGAUUGUUUCACAGCCAUUGGUGACAGUUAACACUUGUGUUGUUGCUGGAUUUUAUUAAUAUUGAAAUAUCAUAUUACUACAUUUGGUUGCUUGAUGUUUUUAAGUUCAGUUUUAUUUGUUGAUGGAUUGGUUACAAGUGAUAUUGGAAUAUCACAUGAUUAGAUGUGUGAAUGUUCUUUGACAGAUGCUCAGAAAUUAUUAUUGUUUACUUUGUAGUUACAAUUUCUUUUUUGCUCGAACACAUUUGGAUGCUGAUAAUAGGUCAACUCAGUUAGUUUUUUUAAAAAAAUAUAUGAGUGGCAUGAUUGACUUUGUGUUUCAUUGCAAAUUAGAUUUAUAAAUAUAUUUCACUUAGAAAACACUAUUGCAUUUGAGUUAUAAAGUAGCAAAAAAAAAUUUAGUCAUCACUGGAACAUUUAGUUUAAAAAGCAUUAGACUUGGUGACACACUACAUAAGGUACAUCACAACAUUUAAAAGAAAGAAUAACACAUUGAAUACAACUAUAACCUUAGCAACAGUUGCAACCUUCGUAGGUUUUCGUGAUUUCUCCACUAUGGUCUUCAUUGUCUUCACGUCAUUUUCAAUUCUAGAUAGUACCGCAUAACAUACAUCUGUUGACACACAUCCUUCAAAUAAAGCUUCAUUGUUAAAAUCAUCUCUAUUUGGUGCCCACCACUUAAAAUAUCCACAACCAUUUUUUUUGGCACAACGGUAGUAAAGCAUAUGUGGAUUGUCAUCGGAUUCUGAAAUCUUCAAAUCAGCUCUCAUAUAGCAUUUGCAUAUCUUGUUUGAGAACCUAAUGAGCUUGCCAUUGACUGUAUUCCUCCAAGCAGGCUCAUAAAAUGUGCUUGAUCGAACAGAAUUGUUUGAACUUUGUGACUCCAUUGAUGUGCAAGAAUGUUCCAGCUUUGAAUAAUGCUGAGUUUUUUAAUUGAUUGAUGAAUAUAUCAGAGAUGGUUGAUAAAGAGAUGAAGUGAUAUUGGUAGUGUUGGGUUGGUGCCUUUGAAGUGAAAUGAAAGCUAAUUUUUUUCUUCAGUUUGAGUUCAAAGUGUAUGCUGCUUAUUUAGCUUGUUUAUGGCAGGUUAUAUAGCCACUGGUAUUGGCAAUAUAACCAUUAAAGGCAACAGUAAUAAUGUCAGUAACAACUGCAGUUCAAUUUCAAGUAUUAACUUCAAUAUUUCACAUCCUGUCCAAUAAUUAAAAAAAAUUGUAAUUGUUUGUUUAAUUCAUCCAAGUCAUUUUAGAAAGUCCAAAAGAUGAUUUGGUAUUUUUAUUGACCAUUUUGGCACCAAAACAUACAUGUUAUUAUCAACGCACAAUUCUUUAAUUUGUGUACAGAAAGAUAUUUUCCCACAAUAGGGGUAUUUUCAUCAUUUUAUUAAUCAAUAAACGGUCAAACAAACAAGUUAUUAACGUCGGGGGAGGUGGCUGAUAAUAUGCGAAUACAAUCUCCCAAACUGAAAAAUACGCUAAACCUCAGGGGAGGUUUCUGAUAAUAACCCAAAAGAGCAGGCAGCCAAACACCAAAAAAAAAAAAUUGGGAGCAACCGGUUGCAAAUAAAUUAAAUAAUAAUAAAAAUAAUAAUAUUCAAUUAUAAGAAAUAAAAUAAUAAUAAAAUAAUCAUUAUUAAAGGACAUAACAAAAAAAUUAUUUUUAUAAUAAUAAAAAAGGAGUUUCAAGUUUAAUGGUAUAGGUAUCAAGUUAAUGGUCUUAAUUUCAUGUUUAUUGGUUCAUUAAUUUCAUUAUUUUUAUGGUUGCGAGUUAAUGAUCUCAUGGUUCAUGUUUAUUGCCCUAGGUUUCAAUUUCCUUCAAUUUCAAGUUUAAUGGUCAAGGUAUCAACUUAGUGGUCACGGUUUCAUAUUUAUUGGUCCAUUAAUUUAAUGAUUUUUAUGGUUGCAAGCUAAUGAUAACAUAUUUUAUGUUUAUUACCAUCCGUUUCAUGUUCCUUUGGUUUCAUAUUUAAUGGUUCGGGUAUCAAGUUAAUGAUUAUGAUUUCAUGUUUAUUGAUUCAUUAAUUAAAUAAUUUUUAUGGUUGCAAGUUAAUGAUCUCAUGUUUCACGUUUAUCUUUGCAUAUAUAUAUAUAUAUAUAUAUAUAUAUAUCUAAUCACCGUAAAAUUUUGACAUGUUUUUUGCACCACUUUUGUUUCUCAACUUGCAUCGGUCAACCACUUUGAUACUAAAAAUGACUAUUUUACCCCCAAAUAAAUUAAAAUAUUAUUUUAUUUUUUAAAAUUUUAAAAAAUAAAAAUAUAAUUACAAGAAUACCCCUAAAUUAAUAAAACAAAUAAAUCUCAAAAUCUAAGAUGUUAAUGUUUUAUAAUUAUAAUUUCAUUUAAUUUUUGUAAGUAAAUUAAGUAUGGCAAAGUUUACAAAAAUUAACAUGAAGAAAAGAGUACCUUAUAAUUAUUGUAAACUUCCCUAUAAUUAAAAUUAACAAAUUUUUCUAUACAAAUUGAAGAUUCUACUAUAAGAAUAACUAGUUUUGAAGUCCAACAAAAAUACACUCACUAGUUGUGUUCUUGGAAUAUCGGCUUACAAAGUAGGACUUGUUACAAAUAUAACAUAUACAAUCACCAACAUAUAGGUUUUCUAUUAACCAUCAGCAGCAGAUACAAAACUUCCAAACCCAUAAUUAGAUAGUGUUAUACAUGAUCAUAUUAGGCAAGGAUUUGUGACAAAUGUCAAAUAACCAAAGUUUAGAUAUAAGCAAUAAAAUGAAAAUAUUAUUAAAAUAGUUGUAAAGCUUACCUAUUGAAGGAAAAUUACAGCAAGAAACAAUCACAACAUAUUCAAGUUGGAGUUGGAUUGCACUUGGAGUGGUGAUACUUGACCCUCUCAUUAUAUUUCACUAACCCCUAUUUUUUUAGUAAACCCUAUUAAAAAUUUUAAACUAAUCUUUAUCUCUCAACAUAUCCCAUCUUAUAUCGAAUUUACCCUUAUUAUAAUUUUUAUCUUUUUUCCAUAACAUCGUAUAAAACUUACAAAAUCUAUUUUAAAAGAAAAAAAAUUUAGAGUUACUAUAAUCUCUCUCUUUCUUUUUAAAAGUUUUAUUCACCAUGACCAUAACCGUAAAAAAAAUUGAGUUUUCUUCAUCAUCCUCUAUUGAGUAUUGCAAAUUAACUUCUUUCAUGAUUACAAAAAUAGAGUAUACAAUAAUUGAGAAGAGAAAAUAAUUUAAAAAAAGUUAAAAUAAAUUAAGGUUAAAGAAAUUAGAUUAGCUAAAUUAGAUAUUAAUAGAAAUUAUCAUUAUGAGUACACUUAAAAACUAUUUAUCCUUUUAAGUCAUUUCAUAUAAGGAUAAAAUAGUUAUUAGUAUAAAAAUGAUUAGUGAAGGUUGGUGAAAUAUAAUGAGGGAGUCAAAUAUGACAACUCUUGCACUUAAAGAGCAUCCAAGCACACACAAAAAAAAAAAAAAAAAAAAAUUAAUAAUAAUAGUUAUGUUCUUUCCCAUAGCUUUUAUAAGUUUUCCUAGCCCAAGUAUCUCCUCAUUCUUGCUUAAUUCUUUCGGCCCUUUUAACCCUUCAAGUUAUUUGAGCCCACUCCAGCUUCAAUCACCAUUUCAUUUUCCCGCCUCUGUGUUUUGUGCUCCAGACACAUAUGGGUGCUUUAUUGCACUUUAAGAAAUUAGAUUAGCUAAAUUAGAUAUUAAUAGAAAUUAUCAUGUGGGUGUAUUUUAAAAGCUAUUUAUCCUUUUAAGUCAUUUUAUAUAAGGAUAAAAUAAUUAUUAGUAUAAAAAUAAUUAGUAGAGGCUGAUGAGAUAUAAAGAGGGAGUUAAAUAUGACAGCUCUUGCACUUAAAGAGCAUCCAAGCACACAAAAAAAGAAAAAAAUACUAGUAAUGUUUUUCCCGUAGUUUUUAUAAGUUUUCCUGGCCAUAGCAUCCCUUCCGUCUAGCUUAAUUCUUUCGGCCCUUUUUACCCUUCAAGUUGUUUGAGCCCAUUGAGCCCACUGCAGCUUCAAUCAUCAUUUCAUUUUCCCGCUUGUGUGUUCUGCUCGGCGGAUAUUGUCGGCCAUUAGUGUUCCUGAAUUAUUCCUUUUUUUCGUCAUUUACGCAUCUCACGGUCUUCAAUUAACUUUAGAAAAGUAGACAUAUCACAAAAUUGAACUCCUAGUGAAAAGAGUGUAGUAAUUAGUAAAGAGAAAAAUCAAUUUCUCCUUGCUUUUUUUUUUUUUCAAGUGAGAGAGUUGUUUUCUCUUUUUUUUUUUCAUUUUAUUAAAAAAAUUGUUUAAUCCUCUAUUCUUUUGUUUAUCGGUAAUUUUUUAACCCAAUAAGUUUAAAAAUUUCCCACAUAAAGUGCUUGUGUAUAAUUUUAUCUUCAAUAUUUUUUCAAAUUUCACUAUAAUUAUUGCAUGUCAUAAUUCCCUAACAAACACAAAAUUCCUCUGCAGCUAAUAUAAGGCAGCUUCUGAGAAAUUAUUGGGCGUACUUCAAAAAGGAAAAAGAAAUUAAAUUUUGAAAUUUUGUUUCAAAAUAAUUUUCAUAGAUAUUUAUCAUAAAUCUUUUUUUCUAAGUCUUCUAAUUCCAACUCACAGUCAGCAAGUUAAACUGUCAUUCUAGGCAUCGUCAUUGAAAUUACCGAAUCUUUAAUUCGAAGAGGGUGUUUGUGUACUUAGGAUUUUAUAGUUCCUGGACGUCAGGAUUUUAUGGCUUUCUUCAUGCCAAAACAAUGAAUUCAAAGUGUAUUUGAUCAUUCCCUUUUUAUCAUAUUCUUUAUUCAUUAUUUUGUUUUUGUUUUCACAGACGAGAUAGGGACUCAGCUAUCUUGCAACAGUUGCAAGGUACCACCAAAUUUUGUCUUUUUCUUGAUUUCAGUCAUUUGCCAUUAGAUUUAAUAAAAAUGUAGUUUCAAUGGUAGAGAUUUGUACAUUUAAAUAUUAACAUUACACUUCUUGAUAUUUAUUAAAAGCACAAACAAGUUAAAAAUAUAAAAAUUUUAGCACAUAAGUCCGGAUUGUUUACAAUUUAUAUUGUUUAAUUAGUAGUGAGUAUUAAAAAUAAAUUUUAUUUUUUAAUAUUAUAUAUUUUAUUUAAAAGAAUAAAUUUUUAAUAUUACAUUUUAAAGGUCACUAGCUAAACUAUAUAAACUUAUAAAUAAAAUGUAAAUAAGAAAAAAAAUAAGCGGUUAAAUGAAAUUUAACGUUACAUAAGAUAAAAAAUAGUGGCUAGCUGGACCCACGAGAUAGUUGUAUUUACUUGUAUUUAUAUGCGUACUUUCGGACUCAUGUCCCUGUGUGAGUGGGAGAAAUUUCUUGUUAGUGCAGAGAUAUAUUUUAUUUCGUAUAUUUACUUCUCUAUUGAAGGUUCUGCUAUUGUAACCAAAAAUGCAUUUUUUUGAACUACUUCUGAGUUGAUAUGAUACUAGAGCUUGUGGCGAUUAUUUAUUUUGACAGUUCAAUUGGUGUCUAAUUAUAAUUUUAUUGAAGAAAAGAUAAACAGAAUGUAGAAAAAGAUAAAAGAAAUAAAAUUUCUGGAUGAAUAAAAGUCUGAAAAAGAUAAAAGACAAAAUCAUCUGCUUUGGGAUUCCAAAUUUAAUUUCUGAUCAAAAUCUCUUAAUAUUGUCCGAAUUUAGUUUAAUUUCUCCUCAAAAGUAGAGUUUGGGCCGACAACAGAAUUUUAGAAAAAUUAAAGAAUUAUUUUCUUUCUUUCCUGCGGUCCAUGAAUCAUUCUUUUUCUCAUUUCAAUUUCUACCUGCGUUGUCACUACUUUACUCAUUGCCCAACCUCACAUUAGUCUUCAGUGAAAUUAUUUAAUAUCACCUUUUGAAAAGUAGACAAUUUAUACUUUACCGGAACAAUCAGAUGAAAUUAUCACGAAACUUGCUGGUAGAUUCGAGGGAGUAGCCUGCUAAAGGCAUCUAUUCUCCGAUUAAAGUAUCUUUUUGGCCUAUUGUGUUUGCCUCUGGUCUAUUACUGUCCAAGCAUUUAGAGAAGUAAUUAAUCCAAAGAGGUGCUAUAUCGUAGAGAUAAGAUGCUCGAUUCAGUAUGUUCCAUCAAACAAUUGCUCCACCAUUUGGCAUUUUUGUAGAUAAGCUAUCUUAAUCUGAUUAUUUUUUCUUUUGAAUUGGUGUGCACGUCAACGUGGGAUUGUUUUUAAGAGCACAAAUACAGAAUUUUAUUGCUAGCCAAUUGCGAUAUGGAACAAUUAUGUGGUGAAUUGUUUUAUGCUCUCUGACAAACUCUUUGUUACAAGAGUUGAUUUUGAACAUUCAGUUAAUCCUGUUAAAAGCUCUGUUCAGUCAUUCUUCUUUGCCUUUGGUCUACUGUGUUGCAUAUUUUUAAAGGAAUCAGUUCACAAAUAUUGGCCAUAUGGAACACUGUUGCUCUUCAUAUUAAGUUUUAACUUCACAGCUUCCAUAAAAUUUACUGCCACAUCAACUAAGUUAACUGCAUGUUUUAUUUUAUUGGUUCUUCCUUAUUGAAGUUUACUUGCUUUUGACUCUAAAGUCCAAGCACAAUUUGAACUUGGACCUUGGCUGUAUCUUUCACAGCAUGACAAUUUGAUUUUCCCCUCAAUCUUUUAUAAUGUCUCUGCCUUUUCCUACUUGAAAAAAGAUAGCCACUGGCAUCAUUAGACCAAGACUGCACUCAUAAGAUAUGAAAAAAGACACAGAUAUCCCAAUUAUAAACAAAGAAUUAGCAAAAUAGAUCAAGAAAAGAAGAUGAACACAUACAGAUUUUGAUGGUUCAGCCACCACGUGGCCUACUUCCAUGCAAGUGACAAAUCGAUUGAUUUAUUGAUUUAACGAUCUAAAGAUUACAAGAAUAUUAAAAACUUUACAUAGAACAAUUUAUAAUAGGAAAUAUCCCUGUAAUCGCUCUCUUAAGUCAAGAAACCGAUUUCAGAGAUUUGCCGCUCUUUCUAACACACUUGACAGAGGUUUGGCAAAAUUUAGGUCAGAACAAGCGACUAACGUGUGUAUCACAUGUGACCACAAUUUUGCUAUAAAACCAGACUUGCAUUGGACUUGAACGAUUAAAAUGUAAAACUUCAAUGUACAAAACUCAGUCGUUUUGCAGCCGUUUGAUUAACCAUCAACAACUUGUAAUCCUCUGACAGUUUGAAACCAGAACAUAAUUAGUAUAAGCACAUAAAUUUUAGGAUCGAUUUAGACAUGGUAUGGUUUGAGUAUUUCUAACACUUCCUAGUGAUGCAUCUAUAGGAGUUUCUUUUAGAAAAUAUAUCAUUAAAUUGACCAUCUUGACCAUUGACCAUCGUCUGAUUAUUAUUUUUUUUUAUCUCGCUUACCACGUUGAUAGUGCGGCAUUUUGGGUACUACAAAAAGCACAACAACGAUUAAAGAGCUGCUUCAAAUAAUUCAUCUUUCACUUUUGUUGGGUGAAGUGCCGCUUAACUACUCCAUGAUCCCCCCAGCACUUGAAGAGGGUACGUGUUUGUGUACUUAAGACUAUCUAUAGUUUCUAUUUGUUGGGACUGUACGGUCUGCCCUUCUGUCAUAACAAUGGAUUCAAAGUGUAUUUGAAUUCCACUUAUCAUAUUAAUUAUUCUGUUCAUUAUUUUGUUUUUGCUUUUUCGUUUUCAUUUUUCAUUAAUCCUCCCCUCAUUUUUUGAGGAUAUAAAUUACUUAUUUGAUCAGCUCUAGUGGUAUGUACAUAUACAUACAUACAUACAUACAUACAUACAUACAUAUAUAUAAAUUUUUACAAAAAGAUGAUUUUGUCUUUGUAAUGUAAGUUUAACAAAGGUUAUAUUUGUUGAUUUAUACAUAUAAUAGAUUGUUUGAAUCUCCUAACAAGAGGAACAAAAGUAAUUACAAAUGAUUUGUCAAAUUUUGUUAAGUUACAAAAUAGUAUAUUAUACACUCAAAUCUAACAUCAAAUACAUAGCAAACAACAACUUCAAAAGCAAAAUCCCUAGAAGCAACUCCCAUAUCUUCAUCAACCAACGGCUUCAAAAGCAUCCCAUGAUUUUUGUUAAAAAUUCAUAGUUUCAUGACUGCAUAUUUUUAUUGAGUGAAGCCUUGCUUAAAAAACCCAUUCCACGAUCCCAGUCCCACCACGCACUUUGUAUAAAAUUCAAUUUAUUAGAAUAAUUAAAAUCAUUAGUAGAGGAAUUCAACCAACAACUUCAAAAGCAUCCCAUGAUUUUUGUCGAUAAUUCAUAGUUUCAUGACUGCAUACUUUUAUUACGUGAAGCCUUGCUUAAACAACCCAUUCCAAGAUCCCAGUCCCACCAUGUACCAUUUGGAAAUAUCACAUUUUAUUCCCCAAUGCGACAUAUUUUCUUCUCCAUUGAAGGUUCUCUGAAUGCUAUUAACCAAAAAAUGCAACAUUCUGUUCUGUUUAUGAAUUGGGAUUAUUUGCUUCUGGCUGUCACUGACUCAUUGACCAUUAGCAAUAUAGCAUUAGGUAGUGCCAGCUCUUUUCUUUUUUGUCUUUGUCUUCUCUAAUUCGAGCUACAAAUCCAUGUUCCGAUGAAUUCCUUUUCCAUCUCCUCUCCAUUGUUUGGCUUCAAUAUUUUGGAUUUGAAGUAAAUUUUCCGCAUAUUUAUUUUGCAUCAACCUUAACAUCGUAUGUGAAAAAAUUCUGCAUAUUUAUUUUGUCCUACAGAGACGAUUUUUUUGAAAUUCACAUACAAUAACAUAAGGCAGCUUCAAAGAAAUUACUGGGUGGAGUUCAAAAUGAGAAAAGAAAUUAAAUUUUAUUGGACCACCGUCAUGAAAUUUUAAAUUUUUUGGACCACAAUCCGCCUUUGUCUUUUCAUGUGAUUGCAAGCUACUCGAUGACAUUGACUGAUCAUUGACCAUUUGGUGCUCUCUUCCCUUCGUCUUCUAAUUCAACUUACCGUCAUCAAAUUAAACUGUCAUUCACAUAAUAUACGGCAAAUAUCAAUCACAUAAAGCGUACACGGAUAAGUCAGUGUUUACGGGGAAAGAUAAAAAAAAAAAAUAUUCCACUAUUAAAAUGGGGAAUAUAAAUAUUGAAAUAUUUAUCUUACAAUCCAAAUUCUUAAUACAAUCAAGUUCUCAGAUCACUUGAGAACAUUUUAGUUAUCUCAGUUACUAAAGAAUUGCAUUUUAGUUAUCUCAGUUACUAAAGAUUGCUUUUCAUAAAACACACGUUAAGUUUUCAAAUUGUUGGAGAACUUUUCUCACACUGGCUCAUGAAUUUUGCAUCCAAUUUAUAAACAAAUCUAGAUUUCAAAUGUAAAAUUAUGAUUUUUUGUCCUUCACAUCCAGCAUCCAGGAAGGCUCAAGGAAAGUAAGUAAUCGUGAGUAUGAAUCUAUUAAAAAAUAUGCUCUGAGAUUAAUUGUUCUUUUAAAUUAAUUGGUCUUUUAUUUUAUUUUUAUUAUUUUCCUUAGUGACGGUGGUGAAUAGUAUUUACGCCUUUUUUUUUAUUAUUAAUUUUUAGCUAUCAUUCCCUAUUUCUUUCCUUUGGAAAAACGCGGUUCAACAGUAACCAUAAAGCUGCAUUUAAUUGUGGAGGGUGCACAAGAGUAAUAUAGAGUGUUUUAGUCUAUUCAGUGUGCAAAUAACCCAAUGUUAUAAGAGUUAUGAAUAUAUGUUGUAUGUAUUUGUAAUAUUUUUGUUUUGGGCGGGGGUUAUAUUAAUUUAAGAAUUUAAUUUAAAUCUAGACAUUAAAAUAUGACCAUUUAUUUCGUUCAAUCAAUUAACACACGAGGAUUGUUUGUUGAUUGGAGAGGCUAAAACUGAGUGGGAAAGUAAAGCAACAGAGGAAUAGAAAAGAUCUAUGACAAAGAUCGAUGAACAGAAGUGGAGAGGAACAACAGUGGGCAUGAUCUAAUAUUGAAUUACAAAUAUGUUGGCCUUACGGAAUAUGUCGUUGACAAAAUUAUGGAGUAUUGAUUUCUUGGGGAUGAAUAUGAUUUGUGAGAAUGGGGAUGAAUUUUGAUUCCCCCAAUUUAGGUUAGGAAUUGCUAUUACUAGUAUAAUCGUUGAGGAAUGAGGAAAAAGAGUCGGUAUUCUCUCUCUCUUCCUUUAUUAAGUUUUAAUAUGUCAUCUAUGCUUUUUGUUUUCUGAAUCUUAUUUAUUAAAGUUUUACUAUCACAUAAUCAAUCAUCUCAUACCUUAGAUUGAAUUAAAUAAAUUUUAAAGUUUUGAUGCUUAGAUUACAAUCAUAUUCUUAAGUUAAAAUAUCCCCUCCCGUUUGUUUUUUAUCUAAAAAAAGAAAAAAAACAUUGGUACUAAAAAAUAAAUAAUCUUAUUUUUACUAAAAAUACAAUAUUUUUAGUCUUCUAAUUUGUUUAUUUUAAAAGUAACUCAUUCACUGCUUUGCAAAAUCAAAAUCUCCUGUGGCAAUGAAUUGAUUUUACAAGAAGUAAUUUUAAUAGUUUUUACCAACCAUUUAAAUUCAUCAUUAGCUUCUCAAUAUCACUUUUGAAAAUCCCAACAACAAUCUCAAAUUGGUCAAUAAAUUACUUCAUUUUCUAAAUAGUAAACAUAAAAUGAUGGAAAUAAUUUUUAUAUCAUGAAAGUAAAAAUAAUUUUAUUAUUUGCAUCAAAUUAAUAUUAUUUAGAUAUAUUUAUAUUUAAUUAUUAUGUUAUUAAAUUAUCAAAUAAUAAAAAUAAUAUUUUUAUUCACAAUAAGACAAAUUUAGAGAAAAAUUAGAUGGUGUUUGCUAGGAAACUUAAGAGAAAAAUUAAUAUGGAACUGUCCCACCACUUGGGAUUCUUUCACGUAGCGUUUCAGUGGAUCUCAUUGAAUUUUAUUUUGAAAAAGGAUAUUAUCAUUUUCCCACCAAAGUUAUUCUGACACAUCAUGUCAAUACCACGGUUUGGUAAAACUAUCAAUUUACUACCAAACAUUUAAACUGUUAGCAUUUUCCUACCAUUCCGUUAAAACUCAGUUAAUAUGUAACGAAAUUUUUUUAAAAGGUCAAAUUUACCCUUGGAGCAUAAAAGAUCAUGUAAUUAAUCUUUUAUGAAUUUUGUAAUUAAAUCAUCAUUUGUUGUUCUUCCUUCUUAAAGGAUAAAAAUUACCCUUUAUGAAUUUUGUAAAAUUGACCGUGUGGUGUUAGGUACUUCAUAAAUUGAUUUAAUUUAUUUAAUUUUUAAAGGGCAAAUUUAUUUAUUUAAUUUUGUGUAAAAUUAUUAUCAUCAUAUCAAAGAUUAAAUUGCUUCUUUUGCACAUUCUUUUUUUUUUUCCCUUUCAUAAAUUGAUUUUUAGUAGUAGAAUAAAUUGUCUUUAGCUCGUCAAUUUAAUAAAUAAAUUUGCCCUUUAAAAAUUAAAUAAAUUAAAUCAAUUUAUGAAGUACCUAGCACCACACGGUCAAUUUUACAAAAUUUAUAAAGGGUAAUUUUUGUCCUUUAAGAAGGAAGAACAACAAAUGAUGAUUUAAUUACAAAAUUCAUAAAAGGUUAAUUACAUGGUCUUUUACGCUACAGGGGUAAAAUUGACCUUUUAUGAAUUUUCUAUUACAUAUUAACUGAGUUUUAACGGAAUUGUGGGAAAAUGCUAACAGUUUAAACGUUUGGUGGUAAAUUGAUAGUUUUACCAAACUGUGGUACUAACAUGAUGUGUCAGAAUACUUUUGGUGAGAAAAUGAUAAUAUCCCUUUUGAAAAAUCAAUUGAUAAUACUGGGAUGGUAUAGCCUGGUAGGGUGAUACUCUAAGCGGUCCCUUUAACCUUUUUAGUUGUCGUACACGAAUUAUUUCUUCAUUUGGAAUAAAAAUCAACAAAGCUGCAUCUUCACUGAAAUUAUUGUCCACAGUGCUUCCAGGAAAAUGAGAUAAAGAUAAUUUUAAAGAAACUUUUAGGAAGAUUCCAAGCAUUAAUAAUUAUUUAUAUUUAUUUAUAAUAAAUUACUUUUAAUAAUAAUAAUUUAUAUCAUGAGUAUUUUUAUUAUAAAAUUUUUAUAUGAAUGUAAGUGCAUAAAAUAAUUGUUUAGAGUGUAAAUAAUCUCGUCUAAUUGAUAAUCCUCGCUAAUCAAAUACAAUUUGUUAAUAGGGCACGAGUCACUGCCCCCUUGAGAAUUGAGCACAGAAGCAUUUACUAUUUUCUAUGGUGGAUUGUUGGGAAAUUUACACCCUUUCCACCUUUUUAGCUGCAUUUACUAUUUUCUUUCUUCACUUGAUUAUACAAUUUGAUUAUCAAGAAACAACCUGGAAGGUUCCAAGCAUCGUUUUACUCUGCACAGAUACUGCAGUCACCAACGUUUGCUCGAGAAAAAUACGACGAAUUUUCCGGGAAAUUUUUGCUUUUUCUCUUCAAACUUAAAGUUUGGGGGCAGAAAUGUUAAAGGUUUAAAGGUGGGUACAAUUAUUCUUCUUUUUGUUAUUUACGCAUUGCCUUCCAUUCACAUUAGUCGGUCUUCAAUUAAUUUUAGAUAAGGAGAUGAAACUACCAUAAAAUUAACUCCAAGUGAGGGACUACUGAAGCAGCCAUAUAUUUCCACGCGCAUUUUAUUCAAUUAAUUUACUUAUGAUCACAUCCCACAUCAUAUUAUUAUUGUAUCAACUUGCACGGCCGUAACAAUUAACAGAAAUUUUCAUUAAAAUUAUUACAUUAAUUUUUAAAUAGAAAUAAGAAAAAAAUUCUUAAUAGUGAAAAAACAUAAGAUGAAAUCGUGUGUCGUUUGUCACGAGUCAAACUUUUGAGAAAAAUACACGAAUGAAUGUGGCGCGUAAAAGGUGUUGAUGUACUAUCAACAUUUUCAUUUUAUUUUUAUUUUUCUUGAACUUUCAUAUUUUUUUUAUAAGCUGUCAUCAAUUAUUUGGGUCUUCCUAAGCUACAACUCAUGUAAUUUGAUUUUUACAUGUUUCGCAUGAGUUGUAAAUUACAUAUUUUUACAUGUUUUGCAUGGAUUGUAAAUUAUAUGAAUUGUAAAUUAGCAAAACCCUUAUCACGAAACUUAAGUCUCAGGAAGAUUCCCACUUCCAAGCAUAAUGUGUUCUUGAUUUCAUCUCGUCGAAAUUUCGAAGUUGGUAACUGCUUUUGGUAAUUAUAUCUUCAUCACUUGCAAUCUUUUAUUGCUUUUCCAAGUUAAUUUUUAGGGUAAGUAUCAUAAACCUCUGCUAGAUUUGAUUUAUUCACAGUUUCAUAGAUUGUAUUCGUAUAUUCUCAAAUACCUCCCUUAACGUUAGUAUAAUGUUUCUUUGAUUGUUUGUUGCACAAUAAAUGAUCAAAAUACUCCAGCAAAAAUUAUUUUAUACUGAAAAUAAAUAAUUCUGUACCAACAUGUUUGAUUUGGCGCCAAGGGAUGUAAAUAUAAAUAAAAUACCAAAUCACCCCCCACUACUUUUUAAAAUGACUUUGAUGGAUGAAACAAACAAAAGAUUUGACUUAUGUCAAAUAUCAGCGAAUUCGAAAGGAAGCUUUUUUGCACUUUGCCUCAUUGCUCUGCUUUCUACAUCAAAUUUCUUUAAUCUUGGUGAAGAUUUUGGUGUCCCGAUUUGUGUCUCUCUCUCUAAUUUUCUAUUUUUCAUUUCAUGAGCACAUCUUCCCUUAAAAUUGUAGAGAUACUAUAUGAAAUCACCAAACCCUGAAAAUAUUAUAUUAGAGAAAAAAAAACAAUUAUAACUUAAACAAUAUUUGUAAUCAGCAUUUGCACUUUCAUUCAUGGUUAAUUUCUUUUAUACAUAACGAAAGCUUGAUUAGGGAGAGAGAAUUUUAGUCGAUCCCAAAAGAUAUUCAUAAGAAAAAAAAUUAUUGGUUAAAUUCAAGCCUUGAGCAAUAAUAAAUUUUUGGCCAAAUCGAAAUAUAUAACAACUUCAUGCAAUUUUAAUUCAGUUGAAUAAUAAAUGGGUUUUCAUGAUCACGUAUAAAUUUUCUCGCGCAAUCAAUUAUCUCGUCGCAGUCAGCUUUCUAGUAUCCAUUCUGCAUUCAACUAACCUAUCCUGUUCUAUCUCUUCAAUUAAUUUAUUUCGUGAGCUUUGUCAAACUAAUCAAAUUCAUUAAUGGAGCAAAACCGUGAAGGAUUAUUUUUCAAACUUUUGAAGAAAAUAAACAUGUUAGCAACCAGUCAGGGGCAUGAAAAUGGUUGUGCAUAUAUAUCUUUGUUGACAAUUCCUCUUUGAAAUUAAUUGUCUUUUAUAUUAUCUAUCGAAAUGUAACAUAUCUGAUCGCAUGGAUUAAUUUAGAGGAUACAUAAUUUCAAUGAAAGACUACUAAUCGAGGGCAAUUUCGAUUCUGAUUGAAUGGUAGAUGUAUAUAUGAGCAUCAUUCUAAUCAUUAAAUUGAUAAAAUUAGGAAGUUAACUUCGAUCCAACAAUUAACUUUAAUGGAGCAGCAGGGAAUUGUUUUGUUUAUGUUAGAGUUAUUUUAUUAAUAAAAAAUUGGGUUAUUAUUAUUUCACUACUUCAAAAAUUGUGAAAUAUCAAAUGACUACAACAAGUAUUGUCUCUUAUCAUUUUUCUAUCAUAUCUGUAUAAAAUUAUCAUUUAACUACUUUUUUAUUAUAACCAUUAGUUGACCAGUUAAUUGACUAGUUAAUUGUUGAAUAAUUUUAACCAUUAGUUUAUAAAAUUAUCAAAAUUUUCUGGUCAAAAUCUUUGAACACUGUAGUUAAUUGAAUGAAACACGUCGCAUUUUCUGGGAAAUAUUUUAGCUUUUUGUCAUUGCCUCACAUUAGUCGGUCUUCAGUGGUAGUGAAGCAUCCAUAUCUCUUACGUGCAUUUCAUUCAAUUAAUUAAUUAUCAUCACAUCCCACAUUAUUGUUUCACCUUGCACCGUCCGAAUAACUAACAAGAAUCUUUAUUGAAAUUAUUGUGCCACUUUUAGAAAAGAGAUAGGGAAAAAGUUGAAUUCACAAGUCCAACUUUAAAAAGGCAGAAAAAAAAAAAAGGACUGGAGUAGAUGUCACAGGUAUUAAAUGCAUUGAUGAGGUUUCAACAUUUUUUAAAAAUAUUUUUAUAUAAUUUUUUACCAAAGUUCAAAUAACUAUUUUCAAUUAGUUUUAAAGUAAUAUAUAUAAGAUGAUGAUGAUAAUACGGGAUCAACAUCAACAUAAAAUUCAUUGGUGCUCCAUCAACAUUGAUUUUCCCAUCUCUUCAGUAAAUGUUUUACAUAUUUAUUUUGCAUCUAAUUUAAUAUUAUUGAAAGUUAAUAGACGUGAUUAGUAAUAAAUAGAAGACUAAAAAUAUUUAAAGAAAUAGAGCUAAGCGUGCUGCGUGCAUGAAAUUGCAUCUAUACUUUACCAAAGGGAAAAAAAAUUGCCACGCAACAGCGUGGAAGGUUCAGAGAAAAUAUUUGUUAGCGUUUUCUUUUUGUUAAAUAUAAUUGGUUGAAUUUUUUAUUUUUUAUUUUUUUAAAAUAGAAAACUAUAUUACAAAACUUCCCGGUAGGUUCCAAGGAACUAUCUAAUAAAGCAUCUUUAUAUAACCUCCAUAGACACAGCCGCAUUAAAUUAUUUUCACAUCCCAAAUUUUCACAUCUGAUCAAUUUUCUCAUCACUGAACUGUUAUGGCUUCUUCUUCUUCUUGUCCACCUCGAAACGCUAAGAAGAUGUAUGAUGUUUUUCUGAGUUUCAGAGGAGAGGACACCCGUGACAACUUUACUAGCAUUCUUCACUAUGUUUUGUCUCUGAAAAGUAUCAAAACUUUCAUUGAUGACCAACUUAUCAGAGGAGAGAACAUUUCACAUUCUCUUCUUGAUACAAUUGAAGCAUCGAGCAUUUCAAUUAUCAUUUUCUCAGAAAGGUAUGCUUCUUCUAGAUGGUGUCUCGAUGAACUUUUGAAGAUCCUCGAAUGCAAGCACGAAUAUGGACAGAUUGUGAUUCCAGUUUUCUAUCACGUUGAACCAUCACAUGUGAGAUCGCAAAGCCAGGAUUCUUCUUUUGGGAAGUAUUUUAGUGGGCUUGAAACACGUUAUCCAGAGAAGAUGCAAAGAUGGAAGAAUGCUUUGACCGAAGCAGCCAAUCUCUCUGGCUUUGAUUCUAAUGUCAUUAGGUACGAUAAUUUUCUGUCUAAUUCUUAGUAUUAAUCUAGUACAAGUAAUAAUAUAUAACAUUAACUAUGACUAUGUGUUUAAAUAUUUAUCAAUAAUAUAUCAAUUAAAUCGUUCUUAAUUAUAAGGAUUAGGUUAUUUUCUUGCACAUUUGAAUAAGUUUCCAAUUAAAUAGCUAUUUGAUGAAAUUGAUCUUCACAUUCUAUUAAUUAGCCAUUUUAUAUUGCAACUAAUUAAAAACACACGAUUCUCUGUCUCGUUUACAUAUAUUUGAACUAAUUGCUGUUAUUUUUUUAACUAGGCCUGAAUCUAAACUUAUUGAGGAAAUUGCCAAUGAAGUUUUGAAGGGGCUAGAUGAAACUUUUCAAAGUGAUAACAAAGACUUGGUUGGAGUUGAAUGCCCCAUUGAAGAAAUCGAAUCAUUAUUACACAUUGAGUCUGAGGGUGUUUACAAACUAGGGAUUUGGGGCAUCGGUGGUAUAGGCAAGACAACAAUCGCUGAUGCUGUUUUUAACAAAAUCUCUAGACAUUUUGAAGGUUCUUACUUUGCGCAAAAUGUUAGAGAAGCAGAAGAAACUGGCGGAAUGAAGGACUUACAGAAGGAACUUCUGUCCAAGUUAUUGAAUGAUAGAAAUGUGAGGAACAUCGAGUCUCAACUCAACAGACUUGCUCGCAAGAAGGUUCUAAUUGUUUUUGAUGAUGUGACUCAUCCAAGACAAAUAGAAUCAUUAAUUAGACGCCUUGAUCGGUUAGCUUCAGGGAGUCGAGUGAUAAUAACAACAAGGGAUAAACAAGUUCUUAAAAAUUGUCGGGCCAGGCAAAUAUAUCGGAUGAAGGAAUUAGAAGAUGCUGAUGCUCAUAAGCUAUUCUGUCAGUGUGCUUUUGGAGGAGACCAUCCAGAUACAAGUCAUACAGAGCUCAUAGACAAGGCAAUCAAAUAUGCGCAGGGGGUUCCUUUAGCUCUUAAAGUUUUGGGUCGCCAUCUAUGCGGAAGGAGCAAAGAGGAAUGGGAAAGUGCAAUGAGAAAACUGGAAGUAAUUCCUGACAAGGAAAUCCAGAAGGUAUUAAAAAUAAGUUAUGAUAGCUUGGAUGACUCUCAGAAGAAUAUUUUUCUAGAUAUUGCAUGUUUCUUGGAAGCUCCGCAUAGAGACUAUGUGAUAAGCUUUUUUGAUGCCUGUGGCUUCGAAGCUAAAAUAGAGUUAAGUGUUCUUGAAGGUAAGUCUCUCAUAAAUUUAGACUUAUCUGACCGGAUAAGAAUGCAUGACUUGAUACGAGAUAUGGGAAGAGAAAUUGUUCGAAAUGAAUCUAUCGAUCAUCCAGGAGAGCGCAGUAGGUUGUGGUAUCACGAGGAUAUUUAUAAAGUUUUGAAGAACAAUACGGUGAGGAAUAAUAAGUUUUUAAUUGUAUCUUAUUUGUGUUACAUUUAUAUUAGCAAUUGGUCGAAUAUGUCUUUUUGAAUAAGAAUAGCAUUAAUACAGCUUAAAAUUAAUUGAAAAAUAAUAUUAGAAAAUUGGUAAAAUAAAAUAGAUAGAUCCGAUGUUUCCCCAACUCAGUUUGAAACAUGCCUCUAAAAUCCCCAGCAAACUAGCGCCUUCGGAGAGAGACCCACAAAAAAAAAAACACCUCAAUCUUAUAGCAUUUCCUUUUCAACUCAAGCUAUGCCCCUAUCCUUAUUUUUCACUAAAAAAAAAAAUUGAUUGAAUUAAUUUUACAGUUUACAUAUUAAGCAUUUUCUUGAAUUUUCUAUUUUACACUUCCUAAAAGCCUUACCCAAAUAGUUUAUUAUAAAGUGAGUGUAAUAUCUCUCUUUUGGUUUGACGGCUUAAAAAUAAUUGUUUAUUUGUUUGCUUUAAUUAUAUACCAACUUAUGAUCUCCUAUUUGAUUGUUAGGGAACUGAAGCACUCAAGGGUAUCUCCUUGGAUAUGAAUAAAGUCAAUGGAGAGAUACACAUGAAUUCCAAUGCUUUCUCAAGGAUGCCUAAAUUGAGAUUCUUGAGAUUUUAUGGAGAUAAGAACAAAUGUAUCAAGGGUAUCUCCUCGGAUAUGAAUAAAGUCAAUAGAGAGAUAUACAUGUCUCAUUUGGAGGGUGUGCCGUUUGCUGAAGUGAGGCACCUCGAGUGGCCUCAAUGUCCUUUGAAAACGUUGAAUAUAUGUGCGGAGAAACUUGUUUCACUUAAAAUGCCUCGCAGCAAAGUCCAACAACUUUGGGAUGAUGUUCAGGUAUAUAUUUAUUCAAAAUUCUUUCGGUAAUAAAUUCUAAAUACAAUUGAUGAUAUAAUUAAUAUAUGUUAUGGUAUCUGUUUAUUCAUAAAGAUGAUGAUGAUGAUGAUGAUAAUAAUAAUAAUAAUAAUAAUUUUUGGGGGGGCGCAGGAUCUUGUUAACUUAAAAGAAAUAGACCUCUCUGGAUCCAAGUCGUUAACGAAACUCCCAGACUUGUCACAGGCCGAAAAUCUUGAGUUUCUGAUAUUAGGCGGCUGUUUAAGUUUGAUGGAGACUCACUCAUCUAUUCAAUAUCUAAAUAAACUUGAAAUUCUUUCUCUAGAAAAGUGCAAAAGCCUGAGGAGUCUUCCAACUAGCAUUCAUUCGAAAUAUCUCCUGAUACUUGAUAUUUCGGAUUGUUCAAAUUUGAAAAACUUCCCAGAGAUCACAUCUUGUCAUAUGUGGAGUUUAGAGUUAACAGAAGUUGGAAUCAAAGAACUGCCCUCAUCCAUCGAGGGCCUAUCCAAUCUGAAAGAACUACAUAUUAAGGACUGUUCAGAGCUUGAGAGCAUCUCGAGUAGCAUAUUUAAGUUGAAGUCUCUUGGAUCUAUUGAAAUCUCUAAUUGUUCAAAUUUGAAGAGGUUUCUAGAGAUCCCGUCUUGUAAUAUGGAUGGAGGUACUGGAAUUGAGCAACUAGCCUCAUGUAAGUUGGUACUGGAAAAAUGUUCAAGUCUUGAGAGUCUCCCUAGCAGCCUGUUUAAGUUCGCAUGUAUUUUAGAGUUAACAGAAUUGGAAUCAAAGAACUGCCCUCAUCCAUCGAGUGCCUAUCCAAUCUGAAAGAACUAUAUAUUAAGGACUGUUCAGAGCUUGAGAGCAUCUCGAGUAGCAUAUUUAAGUUGAAGUCUCUUGAAUCUAUUGGAAUCUCUAAUUGUUCAAAGUUGAAGAGGUUUCUAGAGAUCCCGUCUUGUAAUAUAGAUGGAGGUACUGGAAUUGAGCAACUAGCCUUAUGUAAGUUGGUACUGGAAACAUGUUCAAGUCUUGAGAGUCUCCCUAGUAGCCUAUGUAUGUUCAAAUCUCUGACAUCUCUUGAAAUCGUUGACUGCCAAAAUUUCAAGAGAUUGCCUGAUGAACUUGGAAAUUUAGAAGCCUUGGAGGCGCUGACAGUUAAUGGAACAGCUAUAAGAGAAGUACCAGAAAGCCUUGGUCAGUUAUCCUCACUAGAAAAUUUGGUACUAGCUAAUAACAAUUUGGAGAGAUUACCAGAAAGCCUCAGUCAAUUAUCCUCACUAGAGUAUUUGCACCUAUCCGGAAACAGUUUGGAGGGAAUACUAGAAUACCUGAGGAGUCUUCAAAGUAAGUUGACAUCACUCAAAGUUUUAUCUGUUGAGUUUAGAAAUUGUUUGAAAUUGGACCCGAAGGAGCUCAUUGAAAUCGCCAAAGAUGAGUGGAUGAAGCAGGUGUGUCUCUUAACUCACUCCUUUCAUUCUAUUUUCUUUUUCUUUUUUCUUUAAUUAUUUUUCAUAAAUUACUAAUUUUUUAUUUUUGUGUUGCAGUCGUUUCAUGGUAACAUCAAUAGCGCUAGAAGUAUUUAUUUCCGUGGGAAUGAAAUUCCAAAGUGGUUUAGGAAUCAAAGCAUGAGGAUCUUCUGUAACCGUGAAGACGCCGCCAGCAGAUUUCCUCAAUACAACCUCAGAGUACUUUGAGCAUCAAAUCCCAAGGAAAUCUCGACCUGGGAAUUAUGGCGUGUACUGUCAGUGGGAACACAAAUCCCAAAGAAAUAUCUUCCGUCGGUUUUUGCGGAGAAUUAGUUAUGUUGAGUCAGAUCACGUGUUUUUGGGAUCCUAUUUAUUGGGUUAUGAGGAUUUAAGUAAGAGAGACGAUAGUGAAGUCUAUUUCUACAUUCGGCCUCUUGAUUUUGAUGAAGAGGGUGAAGUGAAACAAUGUGGGAUUCAAUGUUAUCGAAUUAAUAAUUCAUUUAACUCAAAGAUUCUACGGAUGAAGAGGAAGAGGAAGGAUGAAGAGGAACCACACACCAAAAGACUGAAAUGUUCUUCAACUCCAAAGCAGCUGGUAUUCCUUGUUACGAAAAUCAAUCUGUAGACCUUGUUUUUGUCUUCAUUUUAUAUAUGCGUUGUUGAUGCGAGAUUUUGGUUAUCCCUCGAUCACGACCAGGAUCUCUGCUCAACCAACUCUACUACGAUCAGUAUUUCUCCUUGUAUGACUUCCUCCAAAGGUUCUUGCGUACACAGAAAAAGGUCAGAGCACGCCGGUUGUUUUCCCAGUGUAAACCCUCCGACGCUCAAGUCAGAAAUGAAGGUUUCUCGUUCCCGGGAAUGUUGGCCAGUAAUCUUAUGGCUUCCUUUUUUGGUACUGAUUAGCCAGUACUCUUUUUUAUCUCAGUUUCAAUGUCCAAAAUUCUAACCCUUUUACCUUCGUUGGCUACUUUUUUAUAGACCUCUCCUGAAUUUAGACCUUCCCUCCAUUCACGCUCGUUAUCCUCCCACCUCUCGAAAGUGGAUGCUGCAUUUCUGUGAUCGUGGGUGGUUGUGUGGCCUUCGUGCCUUGAUUCUCGGAUUGGAGAGCACGUCUUGCCAACCGUCGUUGACUGGGUCUCCUCGACUCAACCCUUAGCAAGAAUGGCUUUAUACCUCCAACAGGAAAUCGGCCUCGCGGAUGAGAUAUUCGUGGACGAGCAUAAUAUUCCUGCUCCUGCUCUCUUGCUACUAGACUCUACUACAAGAUAUACCUGCUCGCGGGACCCUGCUACCAGAUGUCUGCUCAUCAUUGUUAGUCCUCGCCGGAGUACAUCCCCCAAACAUGCAUUUUUUCAAUAUGUUCGUUUAUGUAAUAUUUAUUAAUUGUUUGUUGUGGAUGGAUGAAUCAAUAAAUUCAAAAUAAAUGGCAAUUAACCGAGGAUGUAGAACUAUGAGUUCUCUUUUUUUUGUGUUUCAUUUCCAUUCGGGUCAUGUCUGGAAUAUCCCAAAAAUUACUUAUCCAUUUACUAACUAAGAAUGCGCUGAUUAGAUUAAGAUUAUUUUAGUUAUUCUUACUUUUUCAGUUUUCAAACUUAAUAAGAAUAAAAUCGUUUUAUUAAGUUUUGAGAUUUGAAUUUAAAAGAAAAUACAAAUUUACGCUCGAGGAUUAAAUUUACCGUAUUUAAAAUUAAAUUAAUUACUCUCGAGGAUCCUAUUAGUAGUGAUCUCAGCAAGGCAGUAAAGUACCUGUUUAACUUGUGAUAAAUUACAGGCUCUGUUUAACAUAUAAAAAUACCAAAUUUUAAAUAUUACAAACAAUAACAAACAGAAUGCAGCUCCUAAUCGGUUAUUUGUUUUAGUAAAUAAACUUCACCGUUCCGUUUCAAGUUUCCACAGUCAGUUCCAUCGAUCAUAUGCUGAAGCUACGGUGGAAUGAUAGAUCUUCUUUUAGUUUCCUGCACAUCGAAACUCUCUAAUUGGUGUGUUGUUUUUUCGUGAAAUUUCUAAUAUCUAUUAAUAAUUUCUUAAUGUUACUGAGAAGUUAGUAAAUCAUGGGAUGAGAGCCGAAGACUUUUUGGCUGAUCUAACUCCUAUUACAAUCAAGUUGGUAACUGCAUUUGGUAAUUACAUCUUCAGUACUUGCAAUCUCUUAUCGCCUUUCCAAGUUGAUUUUAGUUAUUUGUCCUUGAUAUUCUAAGUGCAUGGACUUGAUGGAAGGGUCAGGUUCUGUGGUGGUGUUAGAAUUGCUAGAAAACUUGUUGUAUAGGUUGUCAUGAUAUUCUCAUGUGCCAUAUAAAUCAUCAUUGUUUUGCAAGUGCUCUAUGGCAUUCUUUACUGGAUAGGCUAGCCAGGGUGCCUUAGAGGCAAAAGUCAAGACGGAAAUGACAUAUAUCUAAAGCUUCAGACAAGCACAGGUUGGUCAUUUUAUCAUUUAUAAGUCUUCUAUCUCUUUUAACUUAGUCUAACAUCUUGUUGAACCCAAGCAAGAUUCAUUUCACAGAGGCUUAAUGUCAUGACCCAACCCAGACCUGGCAAGAUAUUGUCCGCUUUAGGCCUUAACAAGGCCCGCACGGAUUUGUUCUUGGGGUGCCCAUACACCCCAAAACGCGUCUUGCCAAUUAAGGUGUGGAUCACUCCUUAUAAACCCAGCAUCUCUCCCGUGCUUUGCCGAUGUGGGAUUCGCCUAGGGUGUUACAUACACCCCCCCUUGGGGACUCAGCGUCCUCGCUGAGGUUUGCCCCACCAUCGCUCAAGAGGACACGCGGAGCCGCUCUGAUACCAUAAUGUCAUGACCCAACCCAGACCUGGCAAGAUAUUGUCCGCUUUGGUCCUUAACAAGGCCCGCACGGAUUUGUUCUUGGGGUGCCCAUACACCCCAAAACGCGUCUUGCCAAUUAAGGUGUGGAUCACUCCUUAUAAACCCAGCAUCUCUCCCGUGCUUUGCCGAUGUGGGAUUCGCCUAGGGUGUUACAUACACCCCCCCUUGGGGACUCAGCGUCCUCGCUGAGGUUUGCCCCACCAUCGCUCAAGAGGACACGCGGAGCCGCUCUGAUACCAUAAUGUCAUGACCCAACCCAGACCUGGCAAGAUAUUGUCCGCUUUAGGCCUUAACAAGGCCCGCACGGAUUUGUUCUUGGGGUGCCCAUACACCCCAAAACGCGUCUUGCCAAUUAAGGUGUGGAUCACUCCUUAUAAACCCAGCAUCUCUCCCGUGCUUUGCCGAUGUGGGAUUCGCCUAGGGUGUUACAUACACCCCCCCUUGGGGACUCAGCGUCCUCGCUGAGGUUUGCCCCACCAUCGCUCAAGAGGACACGCGGAGCCGCUCUGAUACCAUAAUGUCAUGACCCAACCCAGACCUGGCAAGAUAUUGUCCGCUUUGGGCCUUAACAAGGCCCGCACGGAUUUGUUCUUGGGGCGCUUAUACACCCCAAAACGCGUCUUGCCAAUUAAGGUGUGGAUCACUCCUUAUAAACCCAGCAUCUCUCCCGUGCUUUGCCGAUGUGGGAUUCGCCUAGGGUGUUACAUACACCCCCCCUUGGGGACUCAGCGUCCUCGCUGAGGUUUGCCCCACCAUCGCUCAAGAGGACACGCGGAGCCGCUCUGAUACCAUAAUGUCAUGACCCAACCCAGACUUGGCAAGAUAUUGUCCGCUUUGGUCCUUAACAAGGCCCGCACGGAUUUGUUCUUGGGGUGCCCAUACACCCCAAAACGCGUCUUGCCAAUUAAGGUGUGGAUCACUCCUUAUGCCUUUUGGAUUAACUAAUGCUCCUGCAGCGUUCAUGGAUUUGAUGAAUAGGAUCUUCCAACCUUAUCUUGACCAGUUUGUCAUCGUCUUUAUUGAUGACAUAUUGAUUUACUCUAAGAAUAAGGAGGAGCAUGAGACGCACUUGAGGAUUGUAUUAGAAACAUUGCGGGAGAAGAAGUUGUAUGGAAAAUUUAAGAAAUGUGAGUUUUGGCUUGAUCGUGUGAUGUUUUUGGGACAUAUAGUGACGAAGGAUGGUAUUUCAGCAGAUCCAGCCAAAUUGGAGGUAUUUCAGUUUGAAGCUUAUGAGUAAAGAUUAUGAUUUGUGAGUAACCUCCUUCUUCACGUGCUUCGCACGUGUUAGAUUUGGGGUGUUACAAUUGUGGUAUUGUUCUUGGGGUGCCCAUACACCCCAAAACGCGUCUUGCCAAUUAAGGUGUGGAUCACUCCUUAUAAACCCAGCAUCUCUCCCGUGCUUUGCCGAUGUGGGAUUCGCCUAGGGUGUUACAAGACAUCUAUUGGGAUCUUACUUUUGUUGAUGAGAGGGUCUGAAACAGCUGGUGCAAUAAGUAAAAUUGAUUUUAUGUAGACUAGAAAGCUCUGCCCGCUGUGAAGGCUUUCCUGUUAAAUGAAGAUUGUGAAGGCUUUCCUCUAUUGGGAUCUUACUUUCCUGUGCAAUAAGUAAAAUUGAUUUUAUGUAAAAUUGAACCUUAGAGAACAGAUUUUUAUUAAUUUUUAAUAGAUAAUAAUCAUAUUAAAUGGAAUUAGACUGUCGAAAAUUGUGAAAUACUGCUUCCUUUUGGCCAUCCUUCGCACUGUUGUUCCUAGCAGACUAGGCCACCUGGGACCCUGCACUGGCAAUCAAGGCUGCUUGACCCUAAGAUGAUCCUAGUGACCUCAAACUUCUGCAGACUUGGAUUUUCCUCUUAUGUUAUCUUGAGCCAGAGGCUUGACUUUUUAUAUGGUUCAAAAAUUGAUUAGGAACUUUGAUAAGUGCUGUAUGAAGGGCAGCUGAUAUUGAUGAUUCUAUAGCUAAGGUUCUGUUUGAAUUUUAGAGAACGUCCUGGACCAUAAUGCAGUUCGUUGUGAGCUGUCAGUGUUCUUUGUCUAUAAAUGACAAAAUAGGAAGUAGAAUACCUGCUGAAGAGGUGGGGUUUAUAUUGCUAUGCCCUAAGCCAUUGUCCUUUGUUGAGUAAAGACAUUCUUCAUGUGUUUGAACCUUCUUCUUUUCUGACACUGAAUUCUCUUGUUCUAAUCUUCAGCUUGUUAGCCAUCAAAAAGGUAAUAUGGGAAGGCUAAGCAAUAGGUUGGGAAUGUGGAUGUUUGAUCAGGCGCUCAUGAUGGAUGAUAUUUCACGCUUUUUAAAUUGAAACUUGUCUCUUACUCAUGUCUUGAAAUUUUGUUUGAAACCUUUAAGAACAGGAUUCUGUAUUGCUUAAGAUUUUUAAUGAGUAGAAACUUUGAAUUAUGAGGGAGGAGGAGUUUCCACCUUGUGAGUCAUCUAUCAUAUCAAGGGUUUUUUCUUUAAUUUCUACACGGGUAAAAUAAUCACAUGACAACAUGAACAUUGGUGUGUUUUGAGGUUUUUAAUAAGUUCUUAGCUAGUAUCUUAUUUAUUCAAUCAUUUACGGAAUGCAAUGCCAAUAAGAAAUUCAAGUAACCAUCAUUGAAUUGGAAUUGACAGGUUUGGCCGCCAAAUAUUUGCUUAAUUUAUUGUUAACAUAUUGUUAUGAGCUCGCGCUGAGAGGAAAAAGGAAAAAGUUGCAUAUUGUUAGCAUGCCUCAGAAAUUCAGAAUAAUGUCUAAGUGCAGUUGAUAACCCUUGAAUUAUAACUUUUAGCAUGAGAGAUAUUUUAUGAGCAUAAUUUCCAUCUUAUCAUUUAAAAAAAAAAAAAGGAUGCUCCAAUUUUGAGGGCUCUUGUAGGUUAGCUUCAUGAAGCAUAUCAUCUUGUAGAAUAUCUGCGGUUUGAGUAUUUUAUAGAAUGACUUUGGGAUGGGGAUGAACUGGCAUUGUUGUCAAGGUAAAAUUUAUACUUGGAAAUUUGGCAGUCUGAAAUCAUGUUGGCUCAGUUCUCUUCAAAAUUGCUAUAUUGCAUGCAGCUAUAUAAAGCUUUUGUAAUCUGCUGUUAUAAUCAUGCUGAAUUUUAAUCACUACAGGGACUGAGCUCCCUGUAUGUGCUGUGGAUUACAGUUGCUUGAUUCAUUUAAUGGCACGGUGUUUUGCAUAUGGUUUAUUAACUUUUUUGGUGCCUUAUCUAAUGGUUUUUUUUUUUUGGGUCUUGAUUUUGCAGCACCACCAUUGAAAUUAAUUGACUUGCCUGGAUUGGAUCAACGAAUAAUGGACGAUUCAUUGGUGAGGGCUUGUUUAAUUUUUUUAGACCUUGAUGCUCUAAAUAUUCAUGUGUCCCAUUAUAUAUUUAUUUGAUAGAUGUUAUUUGCUUGUGUUUUCAAUGGUGGAAAGAUGUGGUCUGUUCUUUGCAUGUGAAUUAUGGUUGGUAACUUAUAAGUUAGUAACAAUAAUUUUGUGAUGUCCCUCAUAGGUUAGUGAAUAUGCCGAGUACAAUGAUGCUAUUUUACUAGUAAUUAUUCCUGCUGCCCAAGCGCCUGAAAUUGCUUCAUCUCGAGCUCUUAGAGUUGCCAAGGAGUAUGACGGAGAUGGUAAUAUGCUUAGACAUUUUUAUACCUCUAAUUUUGCUGUUAAAUUUUUUGAUUUGUAAAUCAAAAGAUAUGCUAUUUAUGAUUUUCAUAAUCUUUGGCACACUAGUACAUUUUUUGGUGCAUCCUUUGAAGUUGCAGGAAUGUAACUCUGCCUUCUCCUUCCUAUUGCUAUCAUUACUGUUUCCUUGUUAAUUCUUUAUCUCGCUAAUUUGGGAGCUUAUUUUGUUAACGUCAGGAACCAGAACUGUUGGUGUAAUAAGGAAAAUAGAUCAAGCUUCUGCAGACCAAAAAGCUCUUGCUGCUGUGCAGGCUCUCCUGUUAAAUCAAGGUCCACCAAAAACAGCUGACAUUCCGUGGGUUGCAUUAAUUGGUCAAUCGGUAUCAAUAGCUACUGCUCAGUCUGGAUCUGAGAGCUCCUUAGAAACUGCUUGGAGGGCAGAAAGUGAGUCUCUUAAGUCUAUAUUGACUGGUGCUCCUCAGAGUAAGUUAGGCAGAAUAGCAUUGGUGGAUGCUUUGGCUCAGCAGAUCCGCAAGCGUAUGAAAGUCCGGUUGUUAAACCUUCUCUCUGGGUAUUAAAUGAUUUCCACAUGCUGCACGAAAAGUUUCAAUUUUACGCAUGUUUUAGUUUAUCUUUGGAAAGUUGUAUUCUUUUUUCUUUUUUUUUUUUUGACACAUGAAAAUGAUUUUCUUGAACACACUUAGAUCCUUGGAACUUGUUUUACUGUCACAAAUGGAUUGUGAGAACUUGGCAAUAGGAAGUUCGAGAUACAUUUAACCAUUAAAAUUUCUCUUCUGCCUGGUAGGCAUGUCAUUACUAAUCAUUGUGCUUGUACUUGUCCUCGAUGGUUAGAAGAUGACGAUUAUUAUUGUUGUUAUUAUUAUUAUUAUUUUAACUUCUAUCACCCCUAUAACUCUGUCUUGCACUUUGCAUUGUAGUUAAUAAACGCAGUUCAGUGGGAGUUAAAAUUGAAAAUAAAGAUAUCUUAAUUCAUAUAAUUAAUUAUUCCUCGACCCUUUUUCAUGACCCAGCUUAAUGAGUAAAUAUGUAUUCAGUUUUUCCUUUAUGAAGGGUAUGAGUACUUCUUCCAGUUAAGGUAACUCCUUUAUUACGUAUACCUGUGCAGGUUACAAGGAAAGUCUCAAAUAGUUCAGGAUGAGUUAGCGUGGCUUGGUGAGCAGAUGGUCCAGAGUGCUGAGGGCAGGAGAUCUUUGGCUUUGGAGCUUUGUCGUGAAUUUGAGGGUCAGUUUCUGCAACACAUUACAACUGGUGAGGUGACUUAUUUUUGUUUUUGUGCUUGGUGACUUUCAUGUAGCAUAUGUCUUCUUUCUUGGCUUGCUUAUGUUGUUUUGAUUUCUCAAUUUGUUUUUCAGUAAUAGUGUAUAUUACCAUGUACAAGAAAAAGCUUUAUAUAGAAAUUUGAAGGAGGAAAUCUAAGACAUAGAUGAGGGGAAUAUGUUACUUUUUUUGAUAAGAGACGGGAUUGUGAUACUAUCACCUCUGGAAUUGAAGCCUUCUAUAAAAUUAGAUGGAAGUGAGCUCCAUUACUUGUAUCAAUUUGUAAUCCCUCUCAUUGUAGAAGUUUACCUGGUUCUUGGACCUCUAAUGAGAAGCUUCUUAAUGUAUAACGUGGAUACUGCUUCUACCUAAUGGAAUGUGUGAAGCUGGCAGGGACUAGGGGUCUUUUGUAGGAGAAACGAUUUUUUCAAACCUAUUCAAGUGCUUAGAGGUAGUGCUUGUUUUUACUAGGUCAGCUGAGGAGGGGUUGAUGUCUGCUUUGCGGUCAUUGUAACCUUAUUAGUUCCAGGUAGCUCCUUUAAAGUUGUUUUUGCUCUCUAACGCUUUUUCGGUUGACGAGUGUGUCUGGUCAUGGAAAUGUAGGGGCUGGAUUCCAAGUGUUGGAAGUUCAUAUGGUAGUAUGAGGAUGCCCCUUUUCCAAAUUUGGUUAGCUAAAAUGGAUCUAAUUGGUACUUCAUGCUUGUUCUGUUCCUUUGGUCUUUUAUUAUUUUUUCCCUUUUUCUUACUUAUAAGUUUCAGGCCAUGUCUAAUUGAUAAAUCUCUAAGUAUCAGUACUUCUUCUGGUUAAAAUAGUUAAUGUAUCCAAACUUUGUUUAGUGUCCUGCUCUCUGUUUUUAUUGGCUAGUGAUUUUGGUCGUGCUUUUUUGAGUGGCCUAUGGUAUUUUCCUCCGUCACUACCUGAAAAGUAGAGGAUACUGAUUUUUUGAGAUAUCAGUUGUCAUAACAUUAUGUCGAUGCAGGGUUCUGGUUGGAAAAUUGUUGCCAGUUUUGAGGGGAAUUUCCCGAAAAGGAUCAAACAGCUUCCUUUGGACAGACAUUUUGAUAUUAAUAAUGUCAAGAGGGUAUGUUGGUGCUCUACUGCUUAUAUCUAUUGUGUUCCUGUUGCUUUAAUCUAAUUUUUUAGAUUUUGCAUUUGCAUUGAUCUUCUCAUAUUCAUUUCUUAUCAGAUUGUGUCAGAAGCGGAUGGCUAUCAACCAUAUCUAAUAUCCCCUGAUAAGGGUUUGAGAUCUUUGAUCAAAGGUGUCCUGGAGCUUGCAAAAGAACCCUCUCAUCUUUGUGUUGAUGAGGUAAUGGAACCAUGUAUAUAAAGAUUUUACCCUUUUUCUCUUUUUAUGAUGUUGAAUGUUAAAUUUUUUGUUUUGGCCUUAACAUGUGGUUCCUUCAUAGUAUUGUUAGUCAAUAGUAUGCUCUCUGUUGGAUGCAUGAUAUGGACAUCCAAAUGAUACACUUUUUAAUAUUUUUCCGAGGCACUACAUUUUAUGUUCUUUUUGUUCCUCAAGAACAUGCUUAACUAAUGACAAGUACUUCAGGUUCAAUAAGAAGGAUUUGUCAACUUUUAUUUGACUUAAGAGGUCAGAUAUUCUUAAAAUUUGUUUUUCUAGAAUAGGUACAUCAGGUCAUUUGAUGUCUUUUACCCAAUUUUCUUUAUGGAUGGCAGUGAAAAUCUGAAGCAAUUAUUGUUUCUGCUGACUGAUAGAGUUCCUGGCUGACUGGUAAAACAGGUACACCGUGUUCUGGUGCUGCAAAUGCUACACCAGGCCUGGGAAGAUAUCCUCCUUUCAAGAGAGAGGUAUGGCUGCUUUUGAUUAUGUGUCACAAUAGCUUUUCUGCAUUUGUACAUGAUUAGACCUAUAUGUGGUUCAAAUUUCCUUUUCCGUGUGGCAAUAGUUGAAUGGUUUGAAACUUUUACAAGGUUGUGGCCAUUGCAAGUGCUGCCUUAGAUGGGUUUAAGAAUGAAGCAAGAAAGAUGGUGGGUGCACUAGUUGACAUGGAGAGAGCUUUUGUCCCUCCGCAACAUUUCAUUCGUUUGGUGCAGCGGAGGUGUGAUAUGAUUGAACUUCUUCGAUAUAUUUGAGAUAUGUGCAACAUUGUCUUCCGGAUAUCUGGGUCUGAGUUCUUGUGACGGGAUGGCUUGUCAAUAUUUAUUUCUGGAACAUUUUGCUUAGAAAAUGCUGACAUUACCAACUUUUCUGAAAUUUAUGUCAUAGUCUAUUUCUUCUCUCUCCCCAAUUUUGCAUGAGCUGAGUUUUGAAUGCAUGCAAAUGCAACUCCACGAAUUUAGAAAAUUUGGUAUUUAUUAGUCUCUAAAUACUAUUGUUGGGUAUUUUCCUAUCAACUUAAAGCUAGCAGUUUUGUAUUUGACUUUUGUUGUCAGUCGGGCUAGUGUUUAGAUCCGAUUGUGUUUGUGUGGGUUUGGUUCCAGAUGAUAUCAAAUUCUCUAUGCAUGAAACCAGCAUUUUUUCAGUUUAAACUCAGUUGUUUGGGCCUUUUCUAUUAGUUUAAGCCUUUGGGACCUAUGGUUCCUUAGCAUUACUAUUUUUUUUUUUUUUCUGUAAGUUCUUUCCUGAAAUUCCUGUGCACCAUGCUUAUUGCGUAAUCUAUUUAUUUUGUUAGGAUGGGAAGACAGCGGCGAGAGGAGGAGGUGAAGACGCGAUCUUCGAAGAAACCAAAUGAGGCAGAACAAGAAAUACUGAAGAAGGUACGAUUUCCUUUUCCUAAUGUAAUUGGAGUAUGACAUGAGGAGAAUGGGACAUACUGAGGAGGCACUAGUUCCUUUUAAUUUCUCCUUAAGAAACGCAUUUAAAUCUCUAUUUUAUGUUUUUCCAUAUAUUCUCUUUCAGGCAACCAGUCCUCAAACAGGUGGUCAGCAAACGGGUGGAAGUUUAAAAGCAAUGAAGGAUAAAUCCAGUCAAGCAGUGAAAGAAGCAAAUGAAGCUUCUGCUUUAAAGACUGCAGGCCCUGAAGGAGAAAUAACAGCAGGUUUGUGGAAAAAACUGUCACUGUGUGUACUCAGACGAGCCUAUCAUAUUUCAUCAUAUAUGUGCAUGUAUAAUCUAGUCCCCAAAGGACAAAAGCACCCAAGCACACGGCCCAAAACCUCUGUGUGUACUUAGACGAGCCUCAAAAGCUUGUAUCUCAUCUGUAUCAUCUGUAUCUCAUAUCUGUAUCUCUGUAAUCAUCAUACCGCAUGCAUAUGCCCCCAAAAGGCAGAAACGCCCAAACACACGGCCCAAAGCCUCUAUGUGUGUUCAGACGGGCCUAAAUGCCUCUAUCUCAUCUCAUUUUUAUCACUGUAUCUGGAGGGGAAGGAUACUAUCUAAUUAUUUAAAAAACAAUCAUUAUACUCAUAUUCACAUACCUUUUAACCAUACUUUAAAUCAUACCACAUUUGAAUCCACUUUUCUUGUCUUUAAAAUACUAUAAUGUUUUAUUCAAAAUCGAUACACAAAAUCAUUAAUCAAACAUUUUAAUAAAAUACCAAUGCGUGAAUAAAAUCUAUUUUGAGAAAAUCAUUAAAUUAGAACAUUUAAAACACUUAUUUCGCAAACAUACUUUACUUUCAUAAUUAACUAUGAAAAUAUGUUUUAUAUAUUCCACUCACAGUGACGGUGUUCACGCUCGGUUAUUGUCCACGUCUGCGGAUCAGUACUCGCUCGCGGACCCCCCUAAAUCAAGAAAACGAAAUAAUUAUUUUUCGUAAAUUGAAAUUAGGACUAAAUUUAUGCAAUAAACUCGAAACGAAUAUCUAUCCAUAAUUUACAACUCCUGUAUCGAUAGAAUUACCAAAAUACCCUCGAAUCUGUAAAUCGUUAAAAUACUUCAAAAUCGUAAGUCACCGAAUUACUCUUGGAAUCAUAAUUAUACUCCACUCCUCAAUUUUAGGAAUUAUUAAAAUAUUCAUAGGCUCAUAAACUAUAAAAUUGCCCUCAAAGAGUGAAAUUACCGAAAUGCCCUUGCCGGUCAACGGUCACCGGAAUUUAGUCAACGCUGGCCAAGAAGCUCAAGUCUGAAAGUUCCAAUCACGCUGAAUCUAAUAGUGCCGCAACGACGCCGGAAUCUAGCUCGGCAGCCGUGAAUUUCCAACAAUUGGCCGGCGGAGAAACAGUGACUCCCGGUGACUGUGGAUGGUUGGGAAUUGAAGAGGGAGUCGUCGGGAACAAAACUGAGGUGGUGACGUGGUCAAAUUCCGGUGGAAUCAACGGCGGUGGUGAUGGGUUUCGGCUCAAGCCUUAAACGGCGGUGUUCCGGUCAAUUUUCGGCGAAGAUGACAGCUGCAAUAUGACCAACGUCUCACGGGCUUUCGAUUGAUACCUUGAUCAACCGGAGGGGUGGCCGGAAAUUGGAGACAUGGCCGGGUCACGUUCGCGGGUCGGGUCGGGUUUUGGGUCUGUUUUUGGUCGCUUCUCCCCUUCACACGUGUGCCUCUGUUUUCCCCUGUUUUCUCUUUCAUUUAUUUUAACUUUUAGCCGCCUCAUCUUAGUAUUUAUUUUUCUUCUAUUUUCACAUAUGUUUACUUAAACAACAUUUUUGAACUAUUGAAAGAAAUGAUCAUGGGUUACUAGAUGGGCCUGAUUCGUUAGUCUAUUAACCUUGGAUGCAUUUGAUCCAUAACAAUACCUGUGGUACGUGAUUGACUGGAAUCAUUUGCAUUCAUAGUCGUUCACUAGAAUCAUUUGAAUACCACCACACUGCUUUCCGAUCCUCUAGGGGUAACCUUGCUGUUUUGCUUGUGUUGAAAUAAGCCGAGAUUCAUAGGGGUGGAUGAAGUUUUGAACAUCAAACUCUUUCUUGGCUGAGUGUCAUCGUCUUCUAUCUUAUGCUGCAUUGGCUUGUUCAUUUUGUUCCUUGGACUGCAUUUGGAGAAAUAGAUGCCUGAAUUCAGUAUGAGCAAAGUUAAGAGUAGAUAAUAUACAUCACAUAUUUUCUGAUUGCUAAAAUAGUAUUAACUAGGGUUGGUCCCUGAUGUGUAUCUUGACAUGGUCUUAAACCUUCAUUACUUUUUCAUCAAGCCAUAAAGUGCCUGCAUACAAGUUGAAAACCAGGAAACUUGCAACUGCUGCCCAAGACUAUAUACUGUUGUAGCAGAUAAUUAGCUAUUCAAUAAUUUUGGUAUAUCUCAUUAGUAUUUGUGGAAUGCCUUUGAAAUCCUUGCAUGCAUGCUUCAUAUCCCAGCAGUUUAUGGAUAAAGGCACGUUAAUCCCCCUCUAGAUGAAAUUACUUAAUUGCUUAAAUGAUUUUUUUUUUCACACAUUUAUAUUUAGAAGUUUGUGACUAUUUUUUGUUGUCCAGGUUUCUUGUUGAAGAAAAGUGCAAAAACUAAUGGAUGGAGCAAGCGAUGGUUUGUUCUGAAUGAGAAGACUGGAAAGGUUUGUAACUAACAUUUUGUCCCAUACGCUUACAUUUUUUAGACAUGGAGUAGUUAUGCUAUUCAUAUGUUUUAGGUGCUUUUAGGCAUGGUAUCUAACCUUUGUUAAAUGAUUUUAGCAUUAUAAAAUUUUUAAAAUGAGUUACAUUCUAGCCUCCAUUCUCUUAUUUUUUAUGUUUUUGCAUUAAAGAAAUAUAGGACACUGUUAUGAUAGGCAUGAUUUAAUCUCAAUCAUCCUUUGUUAGACAGCUGGGCUACACCAAAAAGCAAGAGGAAAGGCAUUUUUGUGGUGUCAUUGCUUUGGAGGUAUGGAGAAUUACUACUCUGUUUCAGUUUUGGUAUUAUAUUAUCUAUUCUUUUGUCACAACCUUUUUUCACCAUUUUGUAGUUUAUUGCCAUCUUACUGGCUGGGCAGGAGUAAGUUGUAUAUGAAUAGGCCUAUAAAUAACCUUUAUGAAUGAAGUUUGCCUUAUUACUGCAAUAGGAACACUUUCUAAGUUAAAAUGGAUAAAGAUGGCCAAUGAUAAAUUUAACAAGUUAACAGUUGCCUCACAUACUAACGAACUUCAAGUAAAAUAUUUUAAGCUUUUUCUUAGUUUUCUAACUUCUAGUAAAUUUUUUUAAGCUUUUUCUUUGGAUACAUGCUACCCAGUGUUCAUUCCUUUGGAUGUUACUUUAAAUAUUUUACCAAGUAGCUUCUGUUUUGAGCUAUUUUUAAUCGUACUUCGCAAUAAUGUAUGUACAUUUGCUGGCGCAGGAAUGUAAUAUUCAGGAGAUUCCGGAGGAGGAGGAACCUCCAGCUAAAAGUUCGAAGGAUAAAAAGGCUAAUGGACCUGAUUCUGGGAAGCACCAAGUCUUGUAUUUAAGAUUACUAGCAAAAUUCCUUAUAAAACUGUUCUGAAAGGUAUUCUUUAUGUUUAAAUCAUGGAGUUCCUCUGGUGGUAAAUUUUCUUUUUUUAUUCACUUUAUCUUGCAGCCCACAAUGCUGUUGUUUUGAAAGCUGAGAGCACCGCUGAUAAGGCGGAAUGGAUAAACAAGAUAAGCAAAGUUAUUCAAGCUAGGGGAGGACUUGUUAGAGUUGCUGAAAGUGGUCAUACGAUGCGUCAGAGUCUUUCUGAUGGUUCUCUUGUGAGUUUACACUCUCUUAACUUUGCAAUACAAAUUUUGAAGUAAAGAGCUACUUACCUGUGAAGGAUGUUGUUCCUUUUGCACAUGCAUAGAAAUUGUGAUCGAGUGUUAAUUUCUCUUCUUGGUGGUUUUUCUAGGAUACAAUGGCUCGAAGACCUGCUGACCCUGAGGAAGAACUUCGAUGGAUGUGUCAAGAAGUACGUGGUUACGUUGAAGCAGUUUUGAAUAGUUUAGCAGCUAAUGUGCCCAAAGUAAGCGCAUUCCUUAACUUUGCCAAUUUAGUAUUUUCAGUUGGUUACUUAAUAGAUCUGAUAUUUUUGUGAAUGGUUGAGCAGGCAGUUGUACUUUGCCAAGUCGAGAAAGCGAAGGAAGACAUGUUGAAUCAGUUAUAUAGCUCUGUCAGGUUGAUGGCUUUCUUAUUUCUCUCUUAUCAAUUAAUGAUCAUUUUGUUUGUAGUAAUUGUGCAUGGAUUCAAUAUAUGGUAACAUUAUUGAAAUUUUGUUAGAAAGCUGAUUGAUGCUAAAUAAUUUGUAUUUUACCUUGGGUAGUGCACAAAGCACGGCAAGGAUUGAAGAGCUGCUUCAGGAGGACCAGAAUGUGAAGCGUAGGAGGGAUCGCUAUCAGAAACAGUCUGAACUCCUGUCUAAACUAACCCGCCAACUUAGCAUUCAUGACAACCGAGCGGCUGCUGCCGCUAACUGGUCGGACGGUGGUGGUGGAGCAGGUACGUGGUCUUUUGUUCAUAUACCAAGUGGAAAAGAUUGUUCAAUUUAACAUUUCCCUUUUGUCUGUUUAAAAAAUUAAACAUUGAACUUUGAGUAAAUAUCUAUAGUCUAAUGACAGUGGAUCUUUUCUUAACCUAAUUGUUUGCUGAUUUUGGAAUUAAAAAUUUUGUUCUGAACUUGAAUUAAAUUAUUGGAAAGGUUUCUCAGGUGACACUCAAGAAAUGCUAACCAAACCUAUUAAUUGCUUGAACAGUCUUACUAUUGAGCUACUUUCUGACAAAAGAUUGUUAGAUUGAUUUGUUUAUACCGUUGGAUUUUAAAAUUUUUCUUUAUUUGUACCAUUUAAUUAACAAUUUUUUUUUAUAAGACCGUCAUUUUGAUUUUAAAAUGUUACUUUGUUAAGUCUCUAUUUGAAACAUUUUGAUGAUGGAAGUAUUGGGUUAUGUAAUAUGCAGAAAGCAGCCCUAGAACAAGUGCCGCAUCAGGUGAUGACUGGGGAUCCGCAUUUGAUGCUGCUGCCAAUGGACCUGUAAGCCUUCGCAGCUACUCUCGGUCUGCAUCCAAUGGUCACAGCCGGUGUUACUGUGAUCCAGCCGAGAAUGGUGAUGUGAGAUCUGUUUCAAACUCGGGCAGUCGUCGUACUCCUAAUCGGGUGCCGCCGCCUCCACCACCAACACAGUCAGGCUCCAAGUACUUUUAGGUGGCUUACAGAUUUUGGUUGACAAUUCAUAUUUUCUCUGCAUAUUUUUAGUGAGUGAAGGCCUGCUUAAGCACUCAUGAUUCCAGUAGUUGGUUAAUCACUUCUUUAGAAUCUUCAAAAGAGGGUGCUUUGUGUAAAUAGGACUCUAUAGUUCCUGAGCUGAAAGUCAGGAUUUUACGGCUUGCCACUUGUCAAAACUAUGAAUUCAAAGUGUAUUUGAAUUCCAUUUAUCAUAUUCUUCUAUUCACUAUUUUGUUUUUGUUUUUGCCCACGUGCUUAUUAAAAAAGUAUUUCUGAAAUAUUUAGUCGCUCAAGUAAUUCAUCAUUAAAAAAAAAAGUUUAUUAUUUUAUUUAUUUAUUAUUAUUUUUAAAAAAAAAUUAAAAAAAUAAAAAUAAAAACAAAAAAAGGUUUUUUUCUUUCUUUUAUUUUUUUAUUUAUUUGAAAAAAAUAAAAAUAAAAAACGAAAAAAAAUUCAUUGUUCACAAAAUCCCUAAUUCACCAGAAUUUUGUUUUCUUCUCUAGCCACUUGCAGCACACCAGCAGCAAACCAGCCCGCGUGAACUAGCAAGCAUCUCCCGCAGCAACCGGCCGCGCGUGCGCGCAACACCAGCAUCGAGCACCAUCCGCGCAACGUCAGCACGCAUCUCAGCAUCCCGCGCGCACAACCAGCUCCAUCUCGAGUCUCGCAGCACCAGCAUCACCAGCGCAGGCGCCAGCAUCCCGCGCGCAGCUCUGUGCCGCAAUCAACCGCGCAGUAUCCCGCGUGCAAGCAGCCCGCGCGUAGUUUCAUCCGCAACCAUCCCACGACCAUCAAGCACCGGCGCGUGCGUGCAAGCAUCUCAUGAGCAGCAGCCCGCACAAGCAACCAACGUCAGCCCAGCAGCGCAAUUUCAUCCGCAACCAGUCCGUGCAAUUCCAGCCGCGUGAAUCGAAACCCAUGAGUGAAAUUACUGUAACAAUGCCGAAGAGGAAAGCAUCAACUUCCAAGCCAUCAACGUCUAAAAAGAAACCCGUCGCAAAGAAAUCUAAGAUUGCCGCUCCCACUACGGUCCCAUGGAAUACAGUUUCAAAUUCACGCUAAGCCGUGAGACAAAGAUCGAAACAUGGAAAGGGCAUGAGUGUUUUGCCACUUGCGGAAUCCAAUCUCGGAGGAUGCCUUACAUUUACGACUCAACAAGAGAAAGAAAUGUACAAAGAUAUUUCCAAAUGAAAAAUACUUCCAGCUAAGUAUAUUCAUUACCCAACUCUUGAAAAAUUGAAUGUUAAGGAUAAUUUUGAUUAUUUGAUAGAUAAGAUUGGUUUGCGUAAGUUUGUUGAUAUUGAUUGUUUGGGUUAUGUUGAGUUGAUUAGGGAGUUCUAUGCUACUUUUCAAUUUAAUAUACCGAAUGAUUUUACUUUGCAUACUCCAGAUGUUAUAAAGUUUAAGUUAAUGGGAUGAAAUUUUUCACAAUCUAUCACAGAUUUUAACCUAGCUUUAGGAUUCAUUAAUGAUGAUUAUUCUUCUAGUGAUGCAUAUUUAGGAACAACUUGUGAUUUUAGCAAAAAUUUUGAGCCUUAUGGUCUUUAGCGUAAUUUAUUGGUUGAUCACAAUGCCUAUGACCCCGAGUAAAUCAAAGAGUUCUUUCUUACGUGAUUUUGUUUUGAAAUGUGUGUAUCGGUUCUUAGCAUAUAUUUUUUUAGGAAAGAAAGAUCACUCGGGAGUUUUCUCUAAAACUGAGUUUUAUUUUAUCUGGUGCAUGUUAAAUGAUGUGAGGCCUAAUUUGGGUUUUUGGUUAGUAGAUCAAUUUCAAAGUGUGCUUAAACGGUAUAGGACUUUAUUUUAUGGUCCAUACAUUACUCUGUUAGCUAUAAACUUAUGUGUGCUUGAUCCUGACAAUAAUGAUUUGCAUCCUGCUUACAAAAAGGAAUUUUUGGUUAUGUAUGUGUUUGAAAGAAUAGGUGUGGUCGAAUUUAAGGAGGGGAGAUUUCAGUUUACUGAACUAGGACCCACUCAACCACCAAAGAAGCUUUAUGCUAGGAGUGGUGCUACCUCUGAUGACGAGUUUGACGACGAAACUGCUGCCCCAUCAACUAUUCCUUCUACAUCCGCACCACCUUUGAGCAUUCAGUUAGAGAAAAUGGAGCGCAAGCUGAACAAGAUGGAGCAGAAUUUGGCCACAUACUUCGAGAGUGUGGGAUUUAUCCCACCAUUGCCGCCAAGCCCAUAGACGUUAUGUGGAUCAAAGCUCACAAUUCAGAGAAGGUUUUGCCUUUAAUCUUUUAUCUUUACGCUUUAAUUUUUAUGUGAGCUUUGAUUAUCUUACAUUGGAGACAAUGUAAGUACUUGAUGUGGGGGAAGGAUAUUUGCAAUAAUGAUGUCUGAAAGUAUUAUUUUCACUCUGCUCAUCCUUAAAUUAUUUUAGAGUUAGUAUGCUUCAUAUAUUAUUUUUUUUAUUUUCUUUUCUUUUUCACUACUUUUUUUCUCAUCUAUCUCAAAUUAUUUACAUCUAUUUUUAUUCUAUCAUACUCUUUCAUCACUCACAUUUUAUCUUUCACUUUUUAUAUUACUACAUACAUCUUUCUCGCUUCUUAUCCUUUUUACCUUUCCUUUCAUAUAUCACUUCUACCUUCUUCUCAAUCUAUACCACUAUUGAUGGUUGAUUCAUUUGAAGAGUGUACAUGAUUUGAUGGCAAAUUUACCAACUUUGUGAGGAUUUGAGCCUAUGAGCAACCGCUUUGCUCUAAUUAUUUUUGUUAUGUUAAUAUCAAUCUUAGUUUGUUUAUUCUAAAACUUGCUUUGUUAUGCAUGUUGAAGCCACAUUAAAAGAUUUUAUGCAUUAAAAUGAUAAGGGCAAACCAUUUUCCAUUUUUCUAUUCUUGCAUUUUUCUUUUUUUUUUUCCUCUACCCGAAGACCUUUCUUUGCUUCUCUCCAUCUAUUUACCCAUUUUCCUUCUUUUUGAGCCUCAAUUUAAGGAGAUUUUUGGACUCAUUGUUUGAAUAUAUUUUGUAUAUAUUUUGUUGCUCUUGCUACCUUGAAUUAAAGUUUCUCAAUUAGAUCAACAAGCAUUAUGCUUGAAUUAAAUUGUGAAAGGUUCAUUUCUUUUGUUUGAUUAAAAAAAAACAAAACAAAAAAACCAAAAAAAAGAAAUCGAAAAAAAAGAAAAAAAUGUGUUUACAUUCUUCGUGACUUGAGUAGAAAUAAGCAUUUCGAUAUCAUAAAGUUCAUUCAAUGAGUUCAUUCUUCUCAUUUUGAUCUCUUUUUCUUUCAUAAACCUUUCUUUUUCAUUUAAUCCAUUUAACCUCGUUACAACCUUUUUAAGACCCUUAGAUUUUUGCAUUUAAUUCAUGUUUUGUGGAUUGAGAUGUGAUAUAUGAGCAAGCUUAUUGUAAUAGCAUUCUUUGAUUUGAUUUGAGUGCAUAAAUGAUACCCUAAACACUUUGAGUACAUGGAGUGAAGUCAUUGAGAGAGCUAUUAAAUCUUGUUGCACUUGAAUUUUGAAUGGAUCUUCUUAGUGGUUGAAUGUUUUUCUUUUAUUUUAGUUUAUGAGAUCCUAUGCUUUAAAAUCCUUGUCUCACGAAUGUUGAUCGACUUAAAUUCUUGAGGUAUGCUUGCUUAAGAUUGUUUUUGGAUGAGUUGAGAUGAGAAUUGAGUGGAGAUUGGGAUUAGUCUUGAGUUAUAUGCUUGAGGUCAAGCAUCAUCUUGGUGUGGGGGAAUUUGUUAGAGUGCAAUUUAUGCACUAGUUUUGCAUUGUUUACUUCUCUUAAUAUCAAUGUUUUGCACUUAACAAUAGUGAUUUACUUGUGUUUUACUUUUGUAGGUGCAAUUCCAUUUAUUGGUGAUAAAAUUGAGCUACAAGAUAAUGUUUAAGGAUGAUUGUUCUCUUAGAGAAAUUAUUAGCGUUAGAAGAACUUUUUUGAUAAGACGUGGGUGCGUGCUGUCAAUUACGGACUUGCAGUUUUUAGUUUAACGUGUUUUGUAUUUUUGGUUAUUUUUAUAAUUACGAAUUUAAUAUUUCAGAUAUUAGUAUUUAUUUUAAAUAGAACUCUAGAGGAGAAGAGAUGGAGAGUAUUUAAGGGAAGAAUCUAUUGUGAAAAAGGGAUAUUGGAGAAAAGAAAGAAACCCUAUAUCUAAAUUUUUCUCUUCUCUCUAUGAAGAACUAAACCUAUUAUUCUCGUUGAAGGUUAAUGAAGCUUUGAUUCAUUACUGCUGUGAGAUCUUUCUUAUGCUUUAAUUGUUUUAUUACUUUUUGGAUAUUUGUUUAUUCUCUGAAUUAUUGUCAUGAUUAUGUUUGUUAAUUAGAUAAUUGACCACUAAUUAACUAUCAACUUAAUCUAUUGUCAAUUAAAGGAUUCAUCGUAUGAAGAUUUUAAUGUUUGUGACAAAUAACAUAGCAGUGAGUUGUGUUAUGAGAAUAAACAAUCUAAUUUAAAUGAACUAUCAUAUGCAUUUGUUGAUUAGGAUUUGGGUCUCUCUGGUUUUUCAGGCUGUCAAUUGAUUAAAUUCUAUGAUCGUAUCUAGGGUUGUCUAUUGAUUAGGGAAAUAACCAAAUGUCGUACCUUGGUUAUCGACUAGUUAAGGAGAGAUUGGCUAUUAGAGGGUCUCAGUAGCUAUAACCGGUCUAUUCAUAAGUAGUAAUCAUUUAUAUUUGAAUCAAUGAUCAGUAGUCGAAUCAAGCUGAGUUAAUUCCUUCAACCAGAGCUUUCCCCAAUUUGAAUUAUAAUUUUAAUUUGUGCCCUUGUUAUUUUAAUUUGAUUUUUAUUAUUGUCAACAAUUCCCCCAUUUUGCAUUUUAUAUUUUAAAAGGAUUUAAAUAAUUACCGAUCUUUGUAGACACGACCCUUCUCAAUCACUAUACACAAUUUAUUUAGAGUAGGUAUUUAUUUUUGUUGGCUUCAACAACCAUCACAAAUUAACUACAUUAGGGUGCGUUUUAGAGCCAUCAAAUCCACAGUAAUGUGGCAACUAAAACAUGUGAAUAAAUUUCUUCGGUCAAUGGUAACAAAGUCCAAGAGUGAUUUAUGAUGCCUAAUUACCACGAGCACACGUAAUUUGCAUGCAACAUGCCUAGCUCAUUUGAAAAUUUGGAUCAAUGAGUGUUUCACAAAACACCAUUCAAGUUUUCACAUCAUGAAAAUAGGAAUUAAUUUGAACCAAUUGUCAACACUAUACAGCAUGUUUAUUGCUCAAAUUGAAGAAAAUUAAGAAGACAAACAGAUCGAAGAUUACAGAAAAGUCAAUUCAAGGAAAAGGCUCUUAUAUGUGACGUCAUACUUUGCCGUCUCACAUAGCUACAAUCAAAUUUUCUAUUUUCUUAAUGCUAGCUAAUAAAAGAAAAAUGUAGAAAUAUAUGACAGAAUCCAUCGCUUUCAUCAGUGGAAUAAGCAAGAGAGCAACAUGAAACAUGUAAAAAAGGAAAAUAAUAUUUGCCUUUUAAAUAAUUUUAUUGAAUCAGGAGACGUAACUUUAUACAAGAGAUUUCCUAUAAUCAUGCUAAUCUAUUCUAGGUAGUCUAAAUAUAAAAGGCAACUGAACAAAUAUACAACUAAUACAAUAUAUUUGUCAAUGAAUGGUCAGAUAUCAUUGACCUUUCCUUCUCAAUACUCCCCCUCAAGUUGGAAAGUGAAUGUUAAGAACUCCCAACUUGCAUAUCGUAGUUGAGAAAGCUUCCUUUCCCAAUGGCUUGGUGAACACAUCUGCAAGUUGAUCUGUUGAGGCAACAUGUUUGGUUACAACUGAACCAUCUUGUAUUUUGUCAUGAAUAAAAUGGCAUCCAUCUCUAUAUGUCUGGUUCUUUCGUGGAAAACGGGAUUGGCAGCUAUAUGUAAGGCUGCUGUGUUAUUAUAAUAUAAUAAUGCUGGCUUUGGAUGCAAUAUUCUCAAAUCCUUCAAUAAUGAGCGUAGCCAGGAUAAUUCACAACAUGUACCUGUCAUGGCUCUAUAUUCAGCUUCUGCUGAGGAGAGAGAUACGGUUUUCUGCCUCUUUGUCUGCCAAGAAAUAAGAGAAGAUCCCAGAAAACACAAUAACCCGUAGUGGAUCUACGAGAUAUUGGACAACUAGCCUAAUCCGAAUCAGAAAAAGCUUGCAAAGAUAAAUCAUUCUGAGAAGGGAAAGACAAACCUUGCCCUGGACUAUUUUUCAAACAACGCAAUACACGUAAGGCAGCUUCCAUGUGUGGUCCACGUGGUGCAUGCAUGAAUCUACUUAACACAUGGACCGAAUAGGUGAUAUCCGGCCGGGUAAUAGUCAAAUAAAUUAAGUGUCCAACAAGUCGCUUAUACUGAGACUGAUCUUUAAGCAAUUCACCUGAAUCCGAGAGCUUUAUGUUUUGUUCCAUGGGAAAGUUCACAGGUUUAGCACCCAAAAAUCCACCAUCUUUUAAAAUUUUCAAAGUAUAUUUUCGUUGCGAGAUGGAAAUGCCUUUUUCAACCGAGAAACUUCGAUGCCCAAAAAAUACUUCAAAUCACCCAAAUCUUUAAUUCGAAAAUGACUAUGUAGAAAUUGCUUGAGGGCUACUAUGGCAUUGACAUCAUUACCCGUAAUAAGAAUGUCAUCGACAUAUAUCAACAAAGUUGUAAAACAUUUGCCUUUCCAACAUGUGAAUAACGAGUAAUCGACUUUGGAUUGAACAAAGCCAGCAGCUUGGAUAGCUGUAGAGAACUUGGCAAACCAUUGUCGGGAAGCUUGCUUUAAGCCAUAUAACGACUUGUGAAGGCGACACACUAGAUUCUCCCCCUGUCGUCGAAGACCAGGAGGUGGAGACAUAUAAAUUUCUUCAUGGAGAUCGCCAUGAAGAAAAACAUUGUUGACAUCAAGUUGGUGAAGAGACCAAUUAUGGGCAGCUGCUAAAGCCAAUAAACAACGAACAGUAAUCAUUUUAGCAGUGAGAGAAAAAGUGUCAUGGUAAUCUAUACCUUCCAGCUGUGUGAAACCUUUUGCAACCAAACGAGUUUUAAAAUGCUCAAUAGUACCAUCCGAGUGCUGUUUGAUUUUAUAAACCCAACGACAACCAAUAGGCUUCUUACCAGGAGGAAGAGAAGUGAGGGACCAAGUGUGGUUGGCUUCUAAAGUAGCCAAUUCAGAUUGUAUUGCUUCUUGCCAAUGGGAAUGGGAAGCUGCUUUAGCAUAAGAUGUAGGCUCAAUAUCUUGACUGACAGCAGCAGUAAAAGAGUGAUGUUGUGGUGAGUAACGAUGAUAAGAGACAAAAUUACAAAGGGGAUAUCGUGUACCUUUUUGUGGACCUGAUGACAAAGGCGGCAAGUGAUUGUUAGAUGUUACUUGGUUAUAGACAUAAUCACGUAAAGCCAUGGGAGGGUGAUGAGGUUUUUGGGAACGGCGUAAAAUGGGUUCGGGAAGAGGACUAGUAGGUGAUAGCUGAGUAGAAACUGGAUUCAGUGGUAAGGGUUGUUGGAUAGUAGAAAUUGGUUUUGGUGGUAAGGGUUGUUGAACUGGUAAGGAAGGAUCGGAUAUAGAAAGAGGAAUCACAAGGUCUGAAUUUAAGGAAGGGGAUGGAAUGGACUCAUAAGGGAAAAUAGUUUCAUGAAAAACAACAUCACGGCUAGUGAACAUAUAGUGGGUGUCAAGGUCAUAGAGCUUGUAAGCUUUUUGACCAAUUGGAUAGCCAAGAAAAAUACAUCGUUUGGCUCGAUGAGCAAAUUUAUGGGGGACGUGCACAUCAGUAGCAUAGGCAAGACACCCAAAAACUCGGAUAUGAGAAUAAGAAGGAAGUUUUCCAUAAAGUCGUUCAAAAUGAGUUUGGCGAGAAAGGAGUGGUGUGGGCAAACGAUUAAUUAUAUGAACAGCACUAGAAACACAUUCUGCUAAAAAAUGUAAAGGAAUGUGGGCUUGAAAAUGAAAAGCUCUAGCGGACUCAAGAAUAUGGCGGUGCUUGCGCUCUACAACCCCAUUUUGUUGAGGGGUAUAGACACAAGAAUGUUGGUAAGUGGUCCCUUUUUGUUUAAAAAAUUCCCGCAGAGAGAAGAAUUCUCCACCAUUAUCAACCCGAAUGUUGGCUAUAGAUACAUGGAAUUGUGUUUGGACAAAUGAAAAAAAAAAUUGACUAGUAAAUGUUGUGUUUCACUUUUGUGAUGCAUAAAAAAUACCCAUAUGAAUCUAGAAUAAUCAUCCAUAAUAGUCAAAAAAUAUUUCGCACCAAAAAGAGAGGCAAUUUUAUAGGGGCCCCAAAUGUCACAAUGAAUUAAUUCAAAAGGUCUAAUAGACGAAAUUGAACUAACAGAAAAUGGAAGUCAACUUUGUUUCGCAAGUGCACAAACAUCACAAGCAUUAUUAGACUGGAAAGGGAAAUUUAACAAAGGUUUUGCCAUAAAAUCUAAUCUAGAAGAAGACAAAUGCCCUAAACGGUGAUUCCACAAAAUGGUGGAGGAGGUGACCUGAGAACUGGGUGAACAGCAAAAAGUGGCUGCUGCGGAUGGAGUUUGAGGUUUUGGCUUCUCUGAUGCUAACGCAACCAAGUAAUAAAGUCUGUCUCGUUGUUCAUCCAAACCAAUCGUCGUCCUCGUCAUCAAGUCCUGCAAAAUACACCGAUGAGGGAAAAAGGUUACUGAACAAUUGAGAUCUCUGGUAACUCGACUCAUAGACAUUAAAUCCACCUUAAAAGAUGGCACACCAAGCACAUUUUGUAAAGUAACAGCAGAAUUCAAAGGUAAAUUCCCAAUGGAUGUAAUCGGAGCCUGUUCUCCACUUGGCAUAGCAACUAGUGGCAAAAAGGUGUUCUUAUUGAUGUUGACAAGCAAAGUUGGAGAUGAAGUAAUGUGGUCUGUUGCACCACUAUCGAUAAUUAAUUGAUGGAGGCGCAACAAUAUUUGUAACAAACCUGAGGUAGCAGUAUUAGCUUUAGGAUUGGUGGAUUGUGUUGUCCCUUUACCCUGCAUGAUAGACAAGAUUUGCUGGAUUUGCAAAUCAGAGAGCCCAUUUGUCACCGAUGGCACUUCCUGCAUUACUGGACUUUCCUUGACAUUGUUGGCUAAAGAUUGAUGGCUAUUGUUGCGCUUGAAAUGAAUGCUUCCUUGAUUAUACCUGUUUGAUGCAUGUUUAGGGUGUUCUGGUGGGUACCCAUUCAGCUUCCAGCAUUUUUCUCAUACAUGAUGGUCACGGUCACAAUAAGAGCAAUGCAAAGGUUUUCGAUUAGAUGGGUUGGAACGAGAAGAAGAACCUUGUUCAUGUCGAACAGCUAGAGCCACCGGUUCAGCCCUUCGAACAACCAUGGCUGAGUGCUCCGUCGUCUCACGUAUAGCCCCCAGGCUUCGCUGCUUCUCUUCUUUUACAAUGGAAGACUAAGCCUUGGCAACAUCAGGUAGCGGAUUCAUCAACAAAAUCUGCCCUCGAAUUGCACUGUAGGACUCAUUGAGUCCCAUGAGAAAUUGCAUCAAUCUACAUCUCUUAUGGUCUGCCCUACAAAAGCAAACGGGGUCAUUAUAGGAUCCUAGUUCAUCCCAUAAUUUUUUUAACCUUGUGUAAUAAGUUGCAAUAGUCAUCUGAUCUUGAGCAAGACAAGCAAUGUCCCUCUCAAUCUGAAAAAUACGAGGGGCAUUGCUUUGAGAAAAACGAUCUCGAAGGUCUUCCCAUACCUCCUGGGCGGUGGUCGAAAAAAUGACACUGUCUGCAAGGUCCUGUGUGAGUGGAUUGAGAAUCCAAGAGAGGAUCAUAUCAUUGCAUUUUUUCCACGAAGCGUAUUCGCCUAGUUUGGCUGUGGCAGACGACAUUGUGGUGGUCCCGUUUAUGAAACCUAACUUGGAUUUGGUGUUCAAAGAAAUCGUCAUGGCUCUAAACCAUGUCGAAUAAUUAUCCCCAUUGAGGGGCUUGGAAACAAGUACCAUUCCUGGAUGAUCAGAAUGGUGAAGAAAAUAUGGAUUGGCAGCAUCAAGCUUGCCUCCGUUCGAAGGUUGCUGUUCCGUCAUGAUAAUGAGAAACAACAAAAAAAGAAAGGCAAAAAGAAAGAGGGCAGAGAGCUAGGGUAUCGUUCCCUUCUCUGAUACCAUGUAAAAAAAGAAAAUAAUAUUUGCCUUUUGAAUAAUUUUAUUGAAUCAGGAGACGUAGCUUUAUAAAAGAGAUUUCAUACAAUCAUGCUAAUCUAUUCUAGGUAGUCUAAAUAUAAAAGGCAACUAAACAAAUAUACAACUAAUACAAUACAUUUGUCAAUAAAUGGUCAGAUAUCAUUGACCUUUCCUUCUCAACAAAACAAGGGUAAAAAGAGUGAAACCUUCUUAUUGUUUGAAAAAACUAAUUGAAACUCCCCUAAUGUUUUAAAACACACACACACAUUAGUUUUGCAUUUAAUUUUUCAUAAAUUUGAAAAAAAAUUCAGAAUUAAUUAAUAAUACAAUACAUUUGUCAAUGAAUGGUCAGAUAUCAUUGACCUUUCCUUCUCAACAAAACAAGGGUAAAAAGAGUGAAACCUUCUUAUUGUUUGAAAAAACUGAUUGAAACUCCCCUAAUGUUUUAAAACACACACACACAUUAGUUUUGCAUUUAAUUUUUCAUAAAUUUUGAAAAAAAAUUCAGAAUUAAUUAAUAAAUGACGACACUUUCCUUGCUUUUUCCAAUAAUUUUAAAUUUAAUUUUUCAAUCAAUUAUGAUUUAAAAAAUUCAAUUAAUUAAAUAAUUAAAGGUAUUUAUAUUCUCAAUAUCAAACAACCAUCAAGAAUAAAAUGGUAUUAAAAAUUUGAUAAUUAGAGAGUUUAAAUGUAUUUUAAAACAUCAGGAGAGUUUUAAUUAGUUUAGUCAAAUAAUAGGGAGGUUUUACAUUUUUUUCCCCAUUAAACAAGUGUCUAAGAAAUUAAACUUUUAACAAGUGUCGAAUGCAUCUUAAUUUCUGAAUACUACAAAGUGUCUGACUCAGAUCGGAAGAAUGAAUCUGAAAUUUUCUUUCAGGCAUGGAAGAAUCACUGCAUAAUCAGUGUGUAUGGAAGAAAAAAUUAAUAAGCCAAGUGACAUGGAAAUAAAUGAAUUCACAUUAAACAUGUACCAUGUGCGUCGGUUGUCGCAAAAAAGAACAACAUUUUCCAAGAAAUAAUCAUGCCAGUCUACACAGAAGCACAAUUCACGUUUAAACUUUCACCUUUUUUUUUUUUUUUUUUUUUUUUUUUUUUUAAGAAACGAACAUCUACACUCUAAAACUUAAGAAAAUGGUCACCAAUACCAUCAAGUUUUAAAAAAGGAGCAUUAAGACCUAAGACCCUCUUUUUAACUAUAAUACCUUUUACCUCUACGAUCCCAAAAAAUUAACUCUAAUAUUUUUAUAAUAAAUAGGAAUAUAACAUUAAAAUAAAUGUAAUAUUAUAUACAUUUUAAAAUAAUUUCAAUAUUUAAAUUUUUUAAUAUUUUACAAUCUAUUGGAUAUAUUUUAUUAUAUUAAAGUAAAUUUUAUAAUAAAUAGAAUCAUAAUAUUAAAAUAAAUGUAUUAAAAUUUAAAUUAUUUUGAAUAUUAUGUAAAAUAAUAAUUUUAAUAUUAUUAAUAUGUGAGAUUUAUUUUAAGUGUAAAUUUAUUUAAUGAAAAUAUUAAUUUAAAAUCUCCACAAUAAAUAAAAUUUAUUAUUAAAAUAAAUAUAAUAAAUUUACAUAUUUAAAUUUAUUCAAAAAUUAAAAUAUUUUAAUAUUGUUGGUCUACUGCAUAGAUUACAUUAUAUUUGUAUUUAUUAAAAAUUUUAAAGUCAAUUGUUUUAGGAAUAAUAGAGGUAAAUGGUAUAAUGGUCAAAAGGGAGUUUUGAUGUCUUUUUUAAAAAAACUUGGGUGUUGGUGACUGUUUCCCUAAACCUUGAGGAUAUAGAUGUCCUUUUUCCUUUUUUUUUUUUUUUUCCAUUUCACACACCAUAACCCCCAUUCACGUUUAAAGUAAAGCUUCCCGAUUGUGAGGGGAAUCGAUCUCAACUAAGCUAUGUGAGCUUAGAUGGAUUAGAAUUUUUACCAUUCAAUUGUGUGUUUUUUCUAGAAUGAUUGGACAUUGGCGAUGAAAUGAAGUAUUAAAAAUUUAUCAAGGAACAAAGUAGUAAAAAUAAAUUCAAGAAAUUGUGUUUUCUGUAGCAGAUGUGAGAUCCUAACAGGUCAUUUGGAUUAUUUUUUUAAAAACAAAAGUCUUAAUAAAUUAAACUUACAAAAUUUUAGUGAAUUAAUAAUUUUUUAUAUUUAAAUAAAUUAACUUUCUGAAAAUUUUAAUAAUUCACAAAUGCCCUAAAACUUAUCGAAUGUUUGGCAAGGGUUUACUGCAUGGGGAUAAACUUGGUGUACUAAAUUUGGCAUAACAAACGCACCCUAAAUACAAUAGAAAUAACUCGUGCCAUUCCUCCAAAUAACUCCAAUGAUUUUUCCCGAAAUUAAAAUCAUAUUCUUUAGACUUUAACCUAUACCAAAAAAAAAAAAUUAGUAUCUUAAUAAAGAGGCAUAUAAUGACAAAAUUAAAGGGUAGUGAAAAGACAAUCCCAAACGGUGUGUUAUUUUCCUUUCAUUUACUGGCAUGAAUUUUCGGGAGACAAAAGCCCAGUAAACAAGUUUGUUCGGUACAAUAGGAUCCAAAAAAACCUUAGUCAAUUUGUCCAUUAAUCUUGACCACAAAUAUUUUUUUAUUCUAUUUCGUAGGAUGACUUUUCAUGUUAUUCUAUGAAAAAAGAGAGAGAGAGAGAGAAGAAUUUUUGUGGAAAAACUUUGAUCAUUAUUCUUGAUUGUUUGUCAGCUUUAGUGGAAAUGCCCAAGCGUUUUCACAUUUUCUGAAUUGUUGCUAUCCAAAUGAGAAGAAUCUCUGAGAAAAAAUUUUGAGCACUAAUCUAACAGUUUGUUAGCUUUAGCGGAAAAGGCUAGAUAUUUUAACAUUUUAUGAAUUGCACAUUGAAGACGCAACGCGAAUAUAGUUUUGUGACACCAAGCUAAAUUAACCAGAUUAACUUACUCUCAUUUACCGUACCAAAGAAAUUUACCCUACAAGUUAAUUAACCAACAAGUAGUAGACGGACAGCUACAAGUUGUACAUUGACGUAGAAGAAGAUGCAUUCGAUACGAAGAUUGAUUUGACAGAACUGCAACAAAGUGAACCAUUUUUGGGAUAAGUUUAGAGCAGUACUAAUAUAUAUCAAGAAAGAAACAGUAUUACUGUUUUCUCUCUUUAGCAUUUCUACUAAUUUUAAUACAUUGAUCUUGGAAGACUUUUCCACAAUAUCAAUUGAUGCAUUGACUUGUUGACCUCUCAAUUGCUCUUGUAUGUGGUUUCUAUAAAUUUGGCAUCCUAUAUGCUUGUUUUCUGCACCGUUGUUAAUUUGUACGUUUUUGAAAGCUGAGAGUCCUCAAGUGAUCUUAAUUUUGAAUUUUAACACAUUUUGGUUUAUCUUACUUUGUUUUAUUGUGUUUUAUAAUGUCAAUGGGGGCAACAAACAUGAAUAAAGUAGUUUCUUCACUAGCUUUGUUGAUCCUAUUUUCUUUGCUAGAUUUUUCAAUUGCUGUUUCUUCUGAUUCUAAUGAAGAAGCUGAUGCUCUUCUCAAAUGGAAAGCCAGCCUUCAAAGCCACAACCGAUCUCUCCUUCCUUCCUGGACUAACGCCACCACCAAUGUUUCAUCCAAAAUAAGCUCGUGUGCUUGGUAUGGAAUCAGUUGCAAUGACGCUGGAAGAGUCGUCAACAUUAGCCUCCCAGCUAAAGGAUUAAAAGGUAAGCUUCAUGAUUUCUCAUUCUCAUCGUUUCCUCAUCUUGCUUAUCUUGAUCUUAGCUAUAAUAAACUCUUCGGUACUAUCCCGCCUCAAAUUAGUAACCUUACGAAUCUCAUCUACCUUUAUUUCGGAGGCGAUCAAUUUUCAGGAAAUAUUCCACCAGAAGUUGGUCUUAUGAGUCAUUUGAAGUUCCUUUACAUUGAUACGAACCAAUUAGAUGGCUCAAUUCCACCAGAAGUAGGUCAGUUAAGUUCUCUGGUGGAGCUUGCCUUCUUCUCUAACAACUUGAAUGGUUCACUCCCUCCUUCUUUAGGUAAUUUGACACACCUCUCUAAAUUGUUCCUUCAUGAUAAUUCAUUUUCUGGUUUUAUUCCUCCGGUCAUUGGAAACUUGAAAUCUAUGUCCGUCUUAAGUUUGGGCAUUAAUCAAUUUAGUGGUCCAAUCCCUCUUUCUUUAGGUAAUUUGACCAACCUAAAAGUAUUAGGCCUCGUUGAUAACAACCUAUCCGGUUCCAUUCCACCCUCCCUCGACAAUCUUGUGUUAACCAACCUAUCAUUGGAUUUCAAUCAUUUUACAAGUUAUUUACCGCACAAUGUUUGUCGAGGUGGAGCAUUACAGUAUUUUCGCGUUUCUGAAAACCAUUUUCAGGGAACAAUCCCUAAAAGCUUGAGAAAUUGCACAAGCUUAAUCCGAGUACGCCUUGAUGGAAACAAACUUACUGGAAAUAUAUCAGAAGCUUUGGGCAUUUAUCCUAACCUAACUUUCAUAGAUCUCAGCCGCAAUAAUUUUUACGGCGAAAUCUCAUUUAAUUGGGGGAAAUGCCCAAAAUUAGGCACUCUCAAUGUUUCUAUGAAUAACAUUACUGGAGGUAUACCGCGUGAGAUUGGAAACUCGUCUCAACUACAUGCACUCGAUCUUUCAUUGAAUCAUAUAGUUGGGGAGAUUCCAAAGGAACUUGGGAAGUUAAAUUCUCUAACCAAGCUCAUUUUGAGAGGGAAUCAACUUACAGGACGCCUGCCUACAGAAAUCGGGGCAUUCAAUGAACUUGAAUACCUCGACUUAUCUGCAAAUAGAUUCAACAAUUCAGUCCCAGAAAGUCUCGGCAACUUGCUGAAAUUGCACUACUUGGGUUUAAGCAACAACCAGUUUGUCCAAGAAUUGCCAAAGGAAUUGGAGAAGCUAGUUCAACUUUCAGAAUUAGAUGCAAAUCAUAACCUCUUUGGAGGAGAGAUACCAUUUCAAAUAUGCAGUUUGAAAAGCUUGGAAAAGUUGAAUCUCUCCCACAAUAAUCUCUCUGGUUCGAUUCCAAAUUGCUUUGAGGGAAUGCACGGUCUAUCAGUCAUUGACAUUUCCGAUAAUCAAUUGCAAGGCCCAGUUCCAAAUAGCACAGCAUUUCGCAAUGCCCCAGUGGAAGCCUUAGAGGGGAAUAAGGAAUUGUGUGGAAGUGUGAAAGGAAUGCACCCAUGCAAAGUUUUCUCGUCACACAAGCAAAAUUCUGGAGCCAAGUGGUUUGCAAUAGUGUUCCCUGUUUUAGGAGCACUAUUUGUUUCAAUGGCGUUGAUAGCAAUUUUCAUUCUUCGAAAGCGGAAGUCAGACUCAGGAGAUCGACAGAGUAGCAACCAGAACCCUAAGGGAUUGUUUUUUAUAUUAAAUUUUGAAGGGAAACUUGUGUACGAUGAAAUUGUUAGAGCAUCAAAUGAUUUUGAUGCAGAGUAUUGCAUUGGAAAUGGUGGACACGGAAGUGUUUAUAGAGCUGAGCUACCAUCUGGGGAAGUCGUAGCUGUUAAGAAAUUUCACUCACCACUCCCAUGCGAUCAGAUUUCAGAUCAAAAAGAAUUCUUAACCGAAGUUGAGGCCUUGACAGUGAUACGACAUCGAAACAUUGUGAAGUUUUAUGGAUUUUGCUCACAUGCCCGACACUCUUUUUUGGUCUAUGAAUUUCUUAAAAGGGGUAGCUUGGCUGCGAUCUUGAGCAGUGAUGCAGCAGCACAAGAACUGUGUUGGAGUCAGAGAAUGAAUGUGAUCAAAGGCAUAGCUGAUGCCUUGUCUUACUUGCACCAUGACUGCUUUCCUCCAAUUGUCCAUCGAGACAUAUCAAGUAAGAACUUGUUGCUGGAUUUGGAAUAUGAAGCUCAUGUUGCAGACUUUGGAAUUGCUAAGUUCCUGAAGCCAGACUCGUCCAACUGGACUGAAUUUGCAGGCACAUAUGGAUACGUUGCACCAGGUAUUUAGUAUUUAUUUGUUACCAUUUUGAGGAAUAUUUUUGUGUUAUGUGUGCGGUAGCAGAACAAUGCAACUAGAUAUUUAUCUCAGAAACAGAGUAAACAUUUUUUUUUUGGUCCUUGACCUUGCAGAGCUUGCUUAUACAAUGAAGAUCACAGAGAAAUGCGAUGUGUACAGUUUUGGAGUGUUAGUGUUGGAAGUGAUCAAAGGGACGCAUCCAAGAGAUUUUCUUUCUUCGACUUCAUCUCCAUCUCUCAACACGGAUAUAGCACUUGAUGAAAUGUUGGACCCGCGUCUUCCAGUUCCAUCAUGCAGUGUUCAAGAAAAACUGAUAUCAAUCAUGGAGGUUGCUUUUUCAUGCUUAAAUGAGAGUCCGGAGUCUAGACCAACCAUGAAGAUAGUCAAUCAACAAUUACGGAUUUAACCUCAGCUGCCUUGAUUGAGUCUUAAUUUUCUCAUUAUGCUUGUAAUUUGCUUGGUUUAUUUUUCUCAUCUAUUGUAGUUUGUUUGUUCUAGUUUUCAAGAACUGGGAGGCGUUAGUUAUUACGUCAUCCAUAUAUGCUUGGUAUGGGGUGUACUCAACUCUUUCAUUUAUAAAUAAAGUUUGUUCAUUCCUUAGAGGUUUAGUUAAAAGAACGCAUGGGGCAGUGGUGAGCACAUUUGAGGACAUGUGGAGUCUGUACAAUGAAGACCAAGAUCAGUAAGAUACUUUGUAAUAAUUAAAAAAAUAAUUUCUUGCCACAUGUACAAACAUGUGAACCCCUCAAAUGUAAACUUGAAAGUGUGUACCACUGUACUAAUUAGUGGGUGGCUCUUACUUAUUGAUAAUAUUAAAUUAAAUGUUAAAAGAAAGGAAUAGAUAAGGAAAAAAAAUUAAAUAUUGAACAUAAUUUACAAUGUAGUCCUUGUGAUUUAACCAAAAAUCAAAUAAACCAAUAAUAAUUAGUUUUUUUUGGGUGGGGGGUGGGGGGGAGUGGGUGGUGAAGGAUGGAGUUUGAUUGUGAAUCUCGGUUAAAUGACUUAAUUUACAUUUGUCAUGUCAGAGUUAGCCGAUGUCCUAUAUUUGAUCAAUGUGGAUGGCUGAUCAAAAUUAAAUAAUCCUUGAACGAGAUUGAGGCCUUGACAGAGAUACAACAUCAGGGCAUUGUAAAACAGAGAGAAGAUGCACGUGUGACAGAGAGUGAGAGAGAAGCUGCCAAACCGACCCAACUACAGACCCAAAAACCCGACCCGAACCACAAACGUGACCCGGCCGUAUCUUCCGAUUCCGGCCACCCCACUGGUCAAGCUUGUUACCAAUCUGAAGCUUAGAAGCCGACUGUCGUUUUCGGGCCAUCCUCUCCGCCGCAAACUAACCGUAACGCCGACGACCAAAGCUUGAAAACCCGCGACUGUUUCGCUUUGUUCCGCCGAGAUUUUCGCCGGUUUUGGGUGACACCACCGGUUGGAUUUUGUUCCCCACGACUCCUUCUUCCAUUUCCGACCAUCCACUGCUGCCGGGGACAUCGUUUUGCCGUUGAUCGGCCGUUGGAGGACUUGCGGGUUUGGGAGCUCAAUCCGGAGCCAUCGCCGAGCGUGGCAGGUCACCACCGCCACCGUUGGACUCAGUGUGGCCAGAAAUUUUAGACUUGAGCUUCCCGGCCAGCGUUGACCAAAUUUCGGUGAAUGUUGACAGGCAGGGGCAUUUUGGUAAUUUCAUACUAUGAGGGCAAUUUUGUAAUUUCUGAGCCUGUGGAUUUGUUAGUAAUUCCUAGAAUUGAGGAUUGGGUUUAAUUAUGAUUCUGAGGGUGAGGGUAAUUUGGUGAUUUACGAUUUCAGGAUAUUUUAAUGAUUUAUGAAUUUGAGGGCAUUUUAGUAAUUUUAACAACACAGGAGUUGUAAAUUAUAGAUAGAUGUUCGUUUCGAGUUUAUUGUAUAAAUUUAGUCCUAAUUCUUAUUUACGGAUAAUAAUUAUGUCAUUUCCUUGAUUUAGGAGGAUCCGCGAGCGAGAACCGGUCCGCGGACGUGGAUGAUAACCAAGCUUGAACACCGUCACUAUGAGUGGAAUAUACAAAACUUAUUUUCAUAGUUAAUUAUGAUAGUAAUGCAUGUUUGCGAAAUAAGUGUUUUAAAUGUUCUGAUUUAAUAAUUUUCUCGAAAUGGAUUUUGUUCAUGCAUUAGUAUUUUAUUAAAAUGCUUUAUUAAUGAUUUUGCGUAUCGACUUUGAAUAAGCAUGAUAGUAUUUUAAAGAUAAGAAAAGUGGAUUCAAAUGUGAUAUGAUUUAAAGUAUGGUUAAAAGGUAUGUGAAUAUGAGUAUAAUGAUUAUGAGUAUAAUGAUUGUUUUUUAAAUCAUUAGACGGUACCCUUCCCCUCCAAAUACAAUGAUACAAAUAAGAUGAGAUAAAGGUCUUUGGGGCCCGUCUGAACACACAUAGAGGCUUUGGGCCAAGUGUUUGGGCGUUUCUACUUUUUGGAGGCAUAUGCAUGCAGUAUGAUGAUUAUAGAGAUACAAAUAUGAGCUACAGGCAUAUAUUGAGAUAAAGAUGAUAUAGAUGAGUUACAGGCCUUUGGGGCCUGUCUGAACACACGUAGAGGAUUUGGGCCGUGUGCUUGGGCCUUUUUGUCCUUUGGGGACUAGAUUAUGCAUGCACAAAUAUGAUGAGAUAUGAGAUUGUUAGAGUGCAAUUUAUGCACUAGUUUUGCAUUGUUUACUUCCCUUAAUAUCGAUGUUUUGCAUUUAAUAAUAGUGAUUUACUUGUGUUUUACUUUUGUAGGUGCAAUUCUAUUGAUUGGUGAUAAAAUUGAGCUAUAAGAUGAUGUUUAAGGAUGAUUGUUCUUUUGGAGAAAUUAUGAGCGGCAGAAGAACUUUGUUGAUAAGGCGUGGGCGCGUGCUGUAAACUGCGGACCUGCAGUUUUUAGUUUAACGUGUUUUGUAUUUUUGGCUAUUUUUUAAUUACGAAUUUAAUAUUUCAAAUAUUAGUAUUUUAUUUUAAAUAGAACUCUAAAAGAGAAGAGAGAGAGAGUAUUUAAGGGAGGAAUCUAUUGUGAAAAAGGGGGAUUUUUGGAUUGGAGAAAAAGAAACCCUAGAUCUAAUUUUUCUCUUCUCUCUAUGAGGAAAUAAACCCAUUUUUCUGGUUGAAGGUUAAUGAAGCUUUGAUUCAUCACUACUGUGAGAUCUUUCUUGUGUUUUAAUUGUUUUAUUACUUUUUGGGUAUUUGUUUAUUCUCUGAAUUAUUUUCAUGAUUAUGUUUGUUAAUUAGGUAAUUGGCCACUAUUUAAUUAUCAACUUAAUCUAUUGUCAAUUAAAGGAUUCAUCGUAUGAAGAAUUUAAUGUUUGUGACAAAUAACAUAGCAGAGAGUUGUGUUGUGAGAAUAAACAAUCUAAUUUAAAUGAAUCAUCAUAUGUGUUGAUUAGGAUUUGGGUCUCUCUGGUUUUUCAGGCUGUCAAUUGAUUAAAUCCUAUGAUCGUAUCUAGGGUUGUCUAUUGAUUAGGGAAAUAACCAACGGUCGUACCUUGGUUAUCGACUAGUUAAGGAGAGAUUGGCUAUUAGAGGGUCUCAGUAGCUAUAACCGGUCUAUUCAUAAGUAAUAAUAAUCUAUAUUUGAAUCAAUGAUCAGUAGUCGAAUCAAGCUGAGUUAAUUCCUUCAACCAGAGCUUUCUCCAAUUUGAAUCACAACUUUAAUUUACAUUCUCGUUAUUUUUAUUUGAUUUUUAUUAUUGUCAACAAUUCCCCCAUUUUACGUUUUACGUUUCAAAAGGAUUUAAAUAAUUACCGAUCUCUGUGGACACGACCCUGCUCAAUCACUAUACACAAUUUAUUUAGAGUAGGAAUUUAUUUUUGUUGGCUUCGACACCCAUCAAAUUUUGGCGCCGUUGCCGGGGAUUGGUGUCAUUUAUUUAAUCCUUUUUACGUUUUACUUGGUGUAUGGUUCGUUCUUCUCGUACAGGUACACUUUCGUUUGAUCCUGAAAUUGAGAAGACAGCUCGCCAGCUGAGACAGCAGACAAAGCGAGCUAAGCAACGAUCCUCGUCGCCUUUGCUUUCUGAAACAGAUACGGUGCCUGAUUUAGUUCAAUCAUCUAGCGAUUCGGAAGAACAAGUGAUGGAUAGAGCUGCACCUGUAGAAAGAACUCUUAGAGAGUUAGCUGAACCAGACUUGAAUCAGCAACCACUCUGCAUUCAAUAUGUAGACUUGGAGGUAAAUUUUGAAUUAAAGUCUGGUCUUAUUCAUUUAUUACCCAAGUUUCAUGGUUUUGCAGGUGAAGAUCCUCAUAAACAUCUUAAGGAGUUUCAUGUUGUAUGUUCAAGUAUGAGACCACAAGGCGUGACUGAAGAGCAGAUUAAGCUGCGUGCUUUUCCGUUCUCUAUAGAUGGGCUAGCUAAAGAUUGGUUGUACUACUUGCCUCCUGGAUCGAUUACAACGUGGAAUGGUUUGAAGAAGCAGUUCCUCGAGAAGUACUUUCCUGCUUCAAGAGCUGCCAACAUCAGAAAAGAUAUUUGUGGGAUCAGACAACUUCCUGAGGAGACUUUGUAUGAGUAUUGGGAGCGAUUCAAACAAUUGUGUGCCAGUUGUCCUCAGCAUCAGAUUUCUGAUCAACUUCUUAUUUAAUAUUUUUACGAAGGACUGUCAUUGAUGGAUAUGAGUAUGAUAGAUGCUGCUAGUGGAGGCGUGUUAGUGAACAAGACCCCUACUCAAGCAAGGGAGUUGAUAUCAAAUAUGGCUGCCAACGCACAACAAUUUGGCAGCAGGCAAGAUCCUACUUCAAGGAAGGUGAAUGAGGUAAAUAUUUCUUUUGUUGAACAACGUUUAGAUAAACUUACUUCUCUUGUGGAAAAGUUUGUUGUAGGCAAUGUGCAACAGGUGAAGACUUGUGGCAUUUGUUACAAUAUGGGUCAUUCAACUGAUAUGUGUCCUACACUUCAAGAAGAACCCGUUAAACAAGCCAAUGUAGUUGGAGGAUUUCCAGGCAUGCCUCAGAGGAGGUAUGAUCCUUAUGCACAAACAUACAAUCCGGGAUGGAAGGAUCAUCCCAACUUCAGCUAUGGAGUUAGGCCGUCAGGAUUCCCACAACAGUAUCCACUAAGACAACCAGCACCUCCACAGUCAACCUCCAAGUCAGGUAUAUGUCUUGAAGAAAUUGUUAAAUCGCUUGCGACUAACACUCAACAAUUUCAGCAGGCAACUACAGCAAGCAUUCAGAACUUGGAGAACCAAAUGAGUCAAUUGGCGACUACAGUGAGCCGUCUGGAGUCUCAAGUAUUAGGGAGAUUGCCUUCACAAUCUGAGGUGAAUCCAAAGCAAAACGUUAGUGCUGUCAUCCUUAGAAGUGGGAAGGAGUUGCAAGAGCCUAGUAAGAAAGUGACAGAGCAUGUAGAAGAUGAGCUUGAGAAGAAUGAAUUGAUGCCUCAAUCUCAAGAUGCACAACCCACUAGAGCGAAACCCCUACCUAUUGUGAUACCUCCUCCUUUUCCAAGCCGGUUUGCAAAAUCCAAGAAGGAGGAACAAGAGAAAGACAUCCUUGAGACAUUUCGCAAGGUUGAGGUAAAUAUUCCUUUAUUAGAUGCUAUAAAACAAAUACCUCGAUAUGCUAAAGUCCUUAAGGAACUAUGCACCUCUAAGAGAAAAUUAAGAGGAGAUGAAAAGGUUCAUAUGGGGGAGAAUGUUUCAGCAGUUCUCCAAAAGAAAUUACCUCCUAAGUGUAAGGAUCCAGGUAUGUUUACUAUCCCUUGCAAAAUUGGUAAUGUCAAAGUUGAAAAGGCUAUGUUAGAUCUAGGAGCUUCUAUUAAUGUCAUGUCUCGUUCCAUUUAUUCAUCUUUGAAUGUUGGUCCAUUAAAAGAAACUGGCGUGAUAAUUCAACUAGCUGAUAGGUCUAAUGCAUAUCCUGAUGGGGUAUUAGAAGAUGUCCUAGUACAAGUUAAUGAGUUGGUUUUUCCUGCUGAUUUUUAUGUACUUGAUAUGGAAGAGGAUAACUUCUCUAAUUCUGUCCCAAUUUUGCUAGGAAGACCUUUUCUUAAGACUGCUAGGACUAAAAUGGAUGUACAUAAAGGGACUCUCACUAUGGAGUUUGAUGGAGAGGUUAUAGAAUUCAAUAUGAAUGAUGCCAUGAAAUAUCCUAGUGAGGAACAUUCAGUAUUUUCUGUGGAUGUUAUUAACCCUAUAGUGCAGGAAGUUAUUUACAAGGAAAAAACGAAGACAUUUCAUGAUAGAAUGAUUUUGAGAAAUGAGUUCUCUAUUGGUCAAAAAGUUCUUCUUUUUCAUUCUAAGCUUAAACUUUUUCCGGGUAAAUUACGUUCUUGCUGGGUUAGACCUUUUAUUGUUACUAAUGUUUUUCCUCAUGGUGCAGUUGAGAUUCGGAGUCCGACCUCUGACAAAGUUUUUAAGGUUAAUGGUCAUCGCUUAAAACCUUUUUAUGAAGGUUUUUCGGUGAAUAUUGUGGAGGAUGUGGCUCUCGAGAGUCCCAAUUAUGGAGAUUGAUGCAUAAAUGUGUCUAGCCAAAGACAUAAAACAAAGGCGCUUUUUGGGAGGCAACCCAAAUGAUUUAUUUAUUUUGGUUUUUGUUAUAUCUUUUUUUUUAAUUUUGAUUCAUAUUUUUUUUUAAAUAAUGUGUUUGCUUAUUUUGGUCAGAAGAAAAUUUUUGAUAAGGCGUGCCCACGUCUUAACUAAUAAAUACUUCUGUGAUUUUUAAAGUAAAAUGGUUUUAAGGCGUGCCCACGUGCUUAUUAGAAAAGUACUUCUGAAAUUUUUAGUGUUUCAAGUGAUUCAUCACUAAAAAAAAAAAAAAAAAAAUUUGUUUUCUUUCGCAGCAACAGCCGCUCUAGCCUUCACCGAGCAGCCCGUGCGCAACUAUCUCACCAUUUCCGCCAAGCCCAUAGACGUUAUGAGGAUCAAAGCUCACAAUUCAGGGAAGUUUUUGCCUUUAAUCUUUUAUCCUUACGAUUUAAUUUUUAUGUGAGCUUUGAUUAUCUUACAUUGGGGACAAUGUAAGUUCUUGGUGUGGGGGAGGGAUUUUUGCAUUAUUGAUGUCUGGAAUUAUUAUUUUCACUCUGCUCAUCUAUUUUCACUCUACUCAUCCUUAAAUGAUUUUGGAGUUAGUAUGCUUCAUAUAUUAUUAAUUUUCUUUUCCUUUCUCUCUCACUACUCUUUUCCCAUCUAUCUCAAAUUAUUUACAUCUAUUUUUUUUUCUCUAUCAUACUCUUUCAUCACUCACAUUUUAUCUUUCAUUUUUUUUAAUACAUACAUCUUUCUCGCUUAUUAUCCUUUUUACCUUUCCUUUUAUAUCUCACUCAUACCUUCUUCUCAUUCUACACCACUAUUGAUGGUUGAUUCAUUUGAAGAGUGUACAUGAUUUGAUGGCAAUUUUACCAACUUUGUGAGGAUUUGAGCCUAUGAGCAACCACUUUGCUCUAAUUAUUUUUGUUAUGUGAAUAUCAAUCCUAGUUUGUUUAUUCUAGAACUUGCUUUGUUAUGCAUGUUGAAGCCACAUUACGGGAUUUUAUGCAUUAAAAUGAUAAGGGCAAACCAUUUACCAUUUUUCUAUUCUCGCAUUUUCCUUUUUCUCUACCCGAAGACCUUUAUUUGCUACCUUUGUUUGAGCCUUAACCAUUACCCAUCUAAUUCUCUCCGUCUACUUAACCAUUUUUCUUCUUUUUGAGCCUCAAUUUAAGGAGAUUUUUGGACUCAUUGUGUGGAUAUAUUUUGUUGCUUUUUCUACCUUGUAUUAAAGUUUCUCAAUUAUAUCAACAAGCAUUAUGCUUGAAUUAAAUUGUGCAAGGUUCGUUUCUUUUGUUUGAUUAAAAAAAAAAAACAAAAACAAAAAAACAAAAAAAAGGAAAAAGAAAAAAAGAGAAAAAAGAAAAAAAAAGAAAAAAAAGAAAAAUCGAAAAAAAAAAGUUUACAUUCUUGGUGACUUGAGUAGAAAUAAGCAUUUUGAUAUCAUAAGUUCAUUCAAUGAGUUCAUUCUUCUCGUUUUGAUCUCUUUUUCUUUCGUAAACCUUUCUUUUUCAUUUAACCCCAUUACAAACCUUUUAAGACCCUUAGAUUUUUUCAUUUUAUUCAUGUUUUGUGGAUUGAGAUGUGAUAUAUGAGCAAGCUUAUGGUAAUAGCAUUCUUUGAUUUGAUUUGAGUGCAUAAAUGAUACCCUAAACACUUUGAGUGCAUGGAGUGAAGUUAUUGAGAGGGCUAUUAAAUCUUGUUGCACUUGAAUUUUGAAUGGAUCUUCUUGGUGGUUGAAUGUUCUUAUUCUAUCUUAUGAAAUUCUAUGCUUUAAAAUCCUUGUCUCUUGAAUGUUGAUCGACUUAAUUUCUUGAGGUAUGCUUGCUUAAAAUUGUUUUUGGAUGAGUUGAGAUGAGAAUUGAGUGGAGAUUUGAGAUUAAUCUUGAGUUAUAUGCUUGAGGACAAGCAUCAUCUUGGUGUGGGGGAAUUUGUUAGAGUGCAAUUUAUGCACUAGUUUUGCAUUGUUUACUUCCCUUAAUAUCGAUGUUUUGCAUUUAAUAAUAGUGAUUUACUUGUGUUUUACUUUUGUAGGUGCAAUUCUAUUGAUUGGUGAUAAAAUUGAGCUAUAAGAUGAUGUUUAAGGAUGAUUGUUCUUUUGGAGAAAUUAUGAGCGGCAGAAGAACUUUGUUGAUAAGGCGUGGGCGCGUGCUGUAAACUGCGGACCUGCAGUUUUUAGUUUAACGUGUUUUGUAUUUUUGGCUAUUUUUUAAUUACGAAUUUAAUAUUUCAAAUAUUAGUAUUUUAUUUUAAAUAGAACUCUAAAAGAGAAGAGAGAGAGAGUAUUUAAGGGAGGAAUCUAUUGUGAAAAAGGGGGAUUUUUGGAUUGGAGAAAAAGAAACCCUAGAUCUAAUUUUUCUCUUCUCUCUAUGAGGAAAUAAACCCAUUUUUCUGGUUGAAGGUUAAUGAAGCUUUGAUUCAUCACUACUGUGAGAUCUUUCUUGUGCUUUAAUUGUUUUAUUACUUUUUGGGUAUUUGUUUAUUCUCUGAAUUAUUUUCAUGAUUAUGUUUGUUAAUUAGGUAAUUGGCCACUAUUUAAUUAUCAACUUAAUCUAUUGUCAAUUAAAGGAUUCAUCGUAUGAAGAAUUUAAUGUUUGUGACAAAUAACAUAGCAGAGAGUUGUGUUGUGAGAAUAAACAAUCUAAUUUAAAUGAAUCAUCAUAUGUGUUGAUUAGGAUUUGGGUCUCUCUGGUUUUUCAGGCUGUCAAUUGAUUAAAUCCUAUGAUCGUAUCUAGGGUUGUCUAUUGAUUAGGGAAAUAACCAACGGUCGUACCUUGGUUAUCGACUAGUUAAGGAGAGAUUGGCUAUUAGAGGGUCUCAGUAGCUAUAACCGGUCUAUUCAUAAGUAAUAAUAAUCUAUAUUUGAAUCAAUGAUCAGUAGUCGAAUCAAGCUGAGUUAAUUCCUUCAACCAGAGCUUUCUCCAAUUUGAAUCACAACUUUAAUUUACAUUCUCGUUAUUUUAAUUUGAUUUUUAUUAUUGUCAACAAUUCCCCCAUUUUACGUUUUACGUUUCAAAAGGAUUUAAAUAAUUACCGAUCUCUGUGGACACGACCCUGCUCAAUCACUAUACACAAUUUAUUUAGAGUAGGAAUUUAUUUUUGUUGGCUUCGACACCCAUCAGAGAUGAUAUUUCCCUGUCUAUCUGUGUAGCUUCAGGGCGUGACGGUACCCAGAUAGUACGUCAUUGCCCGUUCGUUGAGGUCCGGAUAUGACGAGAUUAUUCCCCUGAGUACUUGUUUGGUGAUGAUUUUCAGAUUUGUGUAUUCUAUAUGAUAUUGUGAUAUGAUUUCCAUAGUUAGUAAUCUGAUUUAAAGGUUAAAUGAUUUAUGACUAGUUUCUCGUAUAUGGUUUGAUGAAAUUGUGUUUGGAAAUGACAUGAUUAUUUCUUUUAAAGUAAGAAUUAAAUUUUCAAAAACUACUAUCCACUCACUGAUCUCACUGAGUUUUAAACUCAUCCCGUUUUUAUUAUAUUUUUCCCCCCGUCAUCAGGAGGUUGCAGGUACACCAAACCGACCCAGCGACUGUAAAUAUAUUUUGAGUCUUAACUACGUAAUGAUGUUAGAAGAUAUAGAUGUUUUUGGUAGGACAUCUUGGUUAUCUCAUCUUGUUGGGAUUGUAUAAUUUUGUUAUAUUAUUUUUUUGGGAUUAAGAAUAAAUUGAAAUAUUAAUAUUAGUUAUAAUAUUAUCUUUUGAAACUCAUAAGAUAUAAAACUCAGCAUUUUGGUUGAGGAUGUUGAUCACUAGAGUUUGUUAUAUAUUGAAUUAUAUUGGGAGUUUUAUAUUCAUAUUUAUAGAUUGGGAGUGUUAUAUUUAUAGAGGAGAUUUUGCCAAAUUUUCGACAGAAUCCUUACUAAUAGAAUUAUUAUCGAGUCCGUUUUGAUGAGACUAGAUUAACUCGUUAGGGGGAGAUUUGGGCAGGUCGUUUCAAUUUUAGUUUAUGAAUUUCUUGAAAGGGGUUGGAGUCAGAGAAUAAACGGGAUAAAAGGCGUUGCCGAUGCCUUGUAAAAUUCGUUUGUUGCCAUUAGAGGAAUAUUAUCAUGCAACACAUUCUAUAGAGAUAUAAAAGCUUACUAAUUUAUACGCAUUGAUCUUUAAAAAGAGCAUUGAUCUUUAAAAAGAGAGUAAACAUUUCUUAUUUUCUCUUUUUUAUUUGUCCUUGACCUUUCAGAGCUUGCUUACACAAUCAAGAUCACAGAAAAAUGACGUGUACGGUUUCGAAGUGUUAGUAUUGGAAGUGAUCAAGGGAAAGCAUCCAAGAGAUCGGAUGUUCUUUCCGCAGUUUCAGCUUCGUCUUCCAAUGCCAUUUGAUGAAAUAUUGGAUCCUCGGCUUCCACCUGAUCCAUUAUUCGAUGUUCGGAGGAAGUUAGUAUCAAUCACGAAGGUUGCCUUCUCUUAAAUGGGAAUCUAGAAUCCAGACUAAUCAUAUUAUUAUUGUUCGAGUUUCAAAUAUUUGCCUUCAUUUCCCAUUGUUUGUUACUAUAAAUAAACACGUGUGCUAUACGUGGCUACUCAACUUGCUACGUGGCCUUGAAUUAGUCUUUGUUGAAUAAGUCUUGUUUGUUAGUUUUGGUUAUUAAGUCUAGAUUCCAUUUGAAUGAGUCUUCCUAUUUACAAGAAACUGAAUUUGUAAUAUUUCUAUUUAUUUGAAGUUCAGUGAAUAAUAGAAGGGGUUUUUACCAACUUCACUUGAAGUCUUACAAAGGAGGAUUUUGGGUUUCCCUCGAAGUACCCAAGUGUUAUAACUUUAUUAAUUCUCUGUUGAAGAAAAACUGUGAAACGCCAAAAUAGGUAGAACUAAGGACGCCAUACCAUUAUUGCACGAGUUAAUUAUACGUAUCAUGCUUAUGCAGGCCUUAAUUUGGAAUAAAAGAAUGUUAGUUGACAGAAUUUUGCAACUAGAGGAUGAUGUACUUCAUAAUUAGUCUGCCUUCAACACAAAAUAGAAAAUUUAGUUGACAGAUGGCCACAAAAACUAGCUUUGUUUUUGCUAAAAAAGAAAUAAAAUCUGCUUCUAUGGCCUCUGUCAACCAACUGCUUCAAUGCCCCCAAUUUCAAAACUAUCAUUGAUAUAGAGCCAUUGACCCUGGGCUUCAUAUUCAACUUUUCAUAGUUCCAUUUCUAGCGCGAAGCUUUUGAGAGCGUGGGCACACUUGACACUAGAUAACCCUCGCGAGACAGGUCCCAAAUCUCCUCGGCCAUAAUUUUGCUGCAAAAGCCGAUAUAAUUAAUGAACCUUAUUUGCACAAUUUUGGAAAAAAUAUUUGGACCAAUUUCGGUGUUCAGCUGAGCUUGUGUUGACUAUUAAGCACUAAAUCAAUAGUCAAGAAUUUAUCCAACACGAGUUUCACAUGGAUUCCAAUGAACUCUUGACCAUAGAUUAUGUACCCAACACAAUAUGCUUGUGGUUUAAAAAUAAAAUAAAUCAUGUUAAUACUUUGUAUUAAUACUUAAUGCAUGGACAAUCGUUUUCUUUGUGCACAUACUUGUCGAUAAAAAAAAGCUUAAUGGUCCAUCUAUUAGUUAUUAGUUUACAUCUGCUUAAUCUGAUUAGGAUGAAACGAAAUUAAUUGUUUCUUUGUUUUAAAAAAUAAAUAACUAAAACUUCUUGAAUAUUCGAGAAUUAACAAAACAAUUGUGAAUGAAGUUUUGUUUGAUAUUAAGGUAUUGUUAUCUUUAAAUCACAAUUAUUGUGAAUAAUAAAACUAUAACAAAAAGUAAAAGUUGAUAAUAUAUAAUAAAUAUUACUUUUAAAUGAUAGUUUUGAUUUAAAAAAAAUAUUAUAAGUUUUCUAUCAUUAAAAUCAAAUCAUUUUAGCUUGCAAGUCAUAAUAAUGAUAACUAUGAACUCUUUCAUAAAUUUAUUUUGUAUAAAGUGACAUGAAAUAAAUUCAUUGGUUAAGUAAAAAAUAUGAAGCAAUAAAAAUAAUUUAUGUAAGAUAAAAAUAUUUUAUUUAAUUAGUUUGUAUAAAAUAAAUUUAUAUAAAAGAUUUGUAAUUAGUUUGCAAGUGACAAUGAUGAUAGCUACAAACUCUUAUAUAAAUUUAUUUUAUAUAAAAUAAUAUGAUAUAAAUUUAUUAAUUAAGUAAAAAUAUAAAAUAAUAAAAAUAAAUUAUGUGAAAAAAAAUAUUUAAUUUAAUUAAUUUAAUUAUGUUACGUUUGUAUAAAAUAAAUUUAUAUAAAACAUUUGUAAUUAGAUUAUUGCUUCUGUGAACCAGCACCGAUAUGUACAUUAUGUUAUUUUCCGUCCAAUACGAUUACUAUUAAAAAAAGAAAAACAUGGACCCCAUCGACGAGACCUCACGUGGGCCCACUAAUCUUGAUGAUCACAUCUUUUUCAUGUGAAAAAAAACACCCCCUUACAACGACACCGUCUUUUCUUUGGCUUUCCUUUCAUUUUCGUCAGCCUCCACAAACACUUACUUAAUAGCCGCCCCAUUUUCUUUCACUCCUAUCCAUUGUCCACGCGUCCGACGACGAUUGCUUUUCCGGUUCUAAUCACAAGAUUUUCGUCAAAUGGACGUACGAGAUGGGCCCCAUCUCUGUGCAGACCACACCGUCUAUUCUCUUUGUGAAAAGAAAAUAAAACUAUUUAAAAUCUCUAAAUCACUCUAUCUUCUCGUGAUAAAUUGAAUUCAACUCUUUUUUUAUCCUUUAUUUAUAAACAGUAAAAAAAAAUCAAAAGAAUUCAAUUGAAUAUUCCUUUUGAGAAAUUAUUAAAAAAAAAAUUAUACGGUAGCGAACUUCCUUGCAUGAACAUGACCUUAAUUCAAUUUAUUAAACAUUUGUAUAUGUUACUUUAACAUACUUUUUUCUUAUAGUUUACAAAAUGUAGUGCUUAUUUUCUUUCGUAUACCAAACAGUAGAUGUGUAUAUUAGGUUGAAGCAAAUAUAAUAUUAUAAACUCACACUAUGCUGUAUCAUAUUUGAUAAAAUAUUUUAUUGUUGACAUCUUAUGAUAUUAUUAUUAAAUCUUCAAUAAAAAAUCUUCAUUGAAUUAAACAAUUUUUUAUGCAAUAUAAAGUAUGUAUUUCAUUAUAAUAGAAGCUGUUAAGAAAGGUUGUCUCAACUUUAUAUUAAGAUUUUGUACUUAUAAAUAUAUAGUAUGAUCUAAUUCUUACACGUAUAAAUUUUUUUUCAUAACUUAGCUAUCUAUAAAAGAUUUAACAAUUUCUUAAUCUUUGAUCAUAAGUAUUAACAUAUUAUAAUACAAUAUUAAAUUUAUCUUAAAGUUAAUUUAUUACUGUCCCCGCAUUUAAUUAGAUUCACGGAACUUUUACCUUAAAAAAGCAAAUGAUCCAAAUUAGAUAAAUAGUCAACCAAUUAAUCAAACAAACAAGGUCCCCACAUUUAAUGAGAACUUGAGCUUUUGCUUAAUCUCAACAACAAGUUGAGUUUUAUGUGAUUUAAGAUUAAAAUAUUAAUCAAAGUAUAAAAUUAUGUCAUUGAAGAAAUUAUAUUUAAGUAUUUACUUAAUUAAAGUUUUAGUUAACCACCGAGUGACUUAGAUUCAAGACUCUAGUUGAUCACUCAUCUAAGAAUGUUAAUUCAUUUACUCAGCAUUAUGUGGCAUUUUCUUUAAAGAUUUUGAAUUGUUUGAUGUUUGUGGGAGUAAAAUUUAAAAUAAUAAAAAUUAAUAUAAUUAUCAUGUUAAUGGGACCACAUCAGAGUCGUUAAUUCAUAAAAGAAUAUGAAUUCAAAUAUCACAUAAAUGAAAUUUAAAAAAAAAAGAUUUGUUAACAAUGCAGUUACAAGUUGACUUUAAAUUUCUGAUGAAUCGGUCAUAAUAUUUUUUUUUUACGAAAUACUCAUAUUAAUAUUUAAGUUAUUAGAUAAGGAUCCAAUGUUAACAUUUAAUAAAGUUGUGUAAAUUUGAUAAAAAAAUUAAAUUCAAAUAAAAGUAAAAUUUACAUAUUGUCAGCUAUCUUGGAACGACAUAGUACUCGUAUAGAGUUACAGUGUUCAAUAAUUAUUACGACCAAAAUAAAAUUUUUUGAUUCGCCAUAACUUUCAGAUAUGUAAUCAAAUGACAGAUGUUUUAACUAACUUUGUAUUCUGUUCCUUUGAUUUUUAUGUUUGGCUAGAUUCCAGCCAAUUAUCUUGUUAUUUUUUAUUGGUUAUUCGGAAAUAAAUGAAGUCUAUUAUUCAGAAAAAUAAUUACCUGCAAAAAUCGGACACCAUUUUCAAAAGGUAAUAAUAUUCCGAAUUAAUUAAAAAAAAUGAUACGCACCCAGGCAAGUUCACACGUAACCCACCAAAAAUUGAAAAAAAGAAAAAGAAAAGAAAAGAAACAAGGAACACGUUCAUUCAAUUUAUCGCGAUACGAUAAAUGCUUAACAAAAUGUCAUAUCAAUUUCACCAUAAAAACUACGCUAUUUUUUUUAUAUUAAAGAAUUUUUUUUUAAAAGCAAAUAGAAUUAUAGAAACCAGCCAAAAAAAACCACCACUGUACUGGAACUCACCGUCCCCAAUUUCCCAAUGAAUAAAAUAAGGGUCCGCCUAUAUUUUCUGUUAUUUAUAUUUUAUUCAUAAAUAUUAUAAAUUUUUUGAAAUGUACAAUUUCGUUUAACCCUUUAUACACUCAAUUUUAUUUUAUUAAAAUCUUAGAGUAUGAAUUCGCCCCUAUAAUAUUAGAUUCUCAAAAUAACUUAUAUUUAAUUAAAAAUAUAAUUAUUGUUAAAUGAAUUAUAAUUAUAAUUAUUAUUUUAUUAUAAUCAUAAAUAUUUUUUAAUAGAUUAUUGUUAUUAUUAAUAACAAGAAUAAAAAGCAUUAUAAUUAAUCUAUUAACAAUAAUUAAUAAUAUUUUUUUAUUAAAUUGUUAAUAAUAAUAAUCAAUGAUAAUUAAUAUAUUUAUGAUUAUAAUAAAAUAUGAAAGGAGAGCGGAGACUUUUAUUUUGAAUAAACUAGUUCCGAUUAACAUAUUUAUGAUUAUAAUAAUAUUUUUUGAGUUGUUUGGGCAAGGGGGUCUCAUGCGUGUGUGGACUUUUAGGCUGCUAGGAGAGCGGAGGCUGGAAAAAUACCUUGCGUUUAGAUAGUGACUUGUGUGUGAGUAAUAACAAUUUUUAUUAUAAAAAUAAGUUUUAUACCAAAUAUUAAAAAAAAUCUAGAUAAUCGUUAAUUAUUAUUAUUAUUAACAAUUUAAUAAAAAAUAUUAUUAAUUAUUGUUAAUAGAUUAAUUAAUUAUAAUGCUUUUUAUUCUUGUUAUUAAUAAUAACAAUAAUCUAUUAAAAAAAUAUUUAUGAUUAUAAUAAAAUAAUAAUUAUAAUUAUAAUUCAUUUAACAAUAAUUAUAUUUUUUAAUUAAAUAGAGGUUAUUUUGAGAAUUUAAUAUUAUAGGGGCGAAUUCAUACUCUAGGGUUUUAAUAAAAUAAAAUUGAGUGUAUAAGGGGUUAAACGAAAUUGUACAUUUCAAAAAAUUUAUAAUAAUCAUGAAUAAAAUAUAAAUAAUAAAAAUUAUAAGGGGCUAGAUAAAAUUUCACAGACUGAGUGUACGUUACACUAUAUGUAACGUAGGCGGACCCAUAAAAUAAAUAUAAAGGACUCGUGCGUCCCUUCCCUUUCGCUCCUGUUUUUGUCACCCGCCUCUUCCUCAUCUCGCCACUUGUUCCCCCCACUACGCCCACAAAACGUCACCGUUUCAUUCUCACUCCUUCCUCACACCCUUCCUUUUCCCCACAUUCCUUCGUUUUAUAUCAACUCAAAAAUUCAUUCUUUUAACAUUAAUAAUAAUAAUUUUAUUGAGAUAAGUCGAUCAAAAAGGUAACUCCAACUAUCUCCUCCAGCUUUUUGCUGCUUCUUAAUUUUGAUCGACUAUGAGGAUGUACUAAAGCUUCAUUUUUUUUUCUUUUUUUUUCAGUCAACGCUUUUGCUUCAAGAUUUCGUUUUACCUUCCUUGAAAAUUAAGGCUCACCUAAUUGAUACGAUUAAAAUUCCUUUUUUAGCUGAAGAUUGAUACAAUUUUCACUUCAUUUUUUCUGAACUUUGUAUCCAGAUUUGCUUCUUUUGUUUGCAGUUUUUUUUUUUAAUAUUUUUCUGUGGAGCUAAGCAUGACAUUGGUUGCAGCUUUAUAUUAUUUUAACAUAUAAUUAGACUAAUUUAUUUAUUUGUUGAUUUAUUAUUUUUUAAAUAUGGUUUGAGACUUCUGCUUUUGGCUCCUCCCCUCAUUUUUGGACGACGGUAUAGUUGUAUUUGUUUGUGUCAGUUCUGGAUAUAUGCUUUUGGACUUUUGGACUUUUGGCUUUGUAUCAUUUGGAAAAUUCUUGUAAGGGGAGAGAUAUAAAAAUAUUUCAUAUAUCUACUUCUCUAUUAAGGGUCCGCUUAUAAUACAGCCGCUGUAUCUCAUACAGCCGCUGUAUCUCAUACAGCUGCUUUUUAUUAUUUGUUUAUUUGUGCAUGCAACCGGCCACCUAAAGUAACUGUUAUACAAGGAAAUAUAAAAGAAAAUACUGAAGGUAAUUAUCAUCUACCUACCCUUAUUUCAGGCAAAUAUCAAACUAAUCAAAUCAAACUAAAAAGCUACCGAAGACCCCCUCAACUUUAUGAAAAUAUACUUUUCUAUUUUUUUAAUAACAUGAAAAUAUACUUAAAUAUGAGACUCCUAUACUACUGGGAAUAAGAUUUAAGUAUCAGUUAAUAAAAUUGAUUGUAACUAAUUAAAUUAUUUUAAUAUUACAUUAUAAAUUUAACUAUAUUUUACAUAAAAAAUUAUCAUAAUAUUUUAUUAAUUUUUUAUAGUAUAGUGUAGUUUGAAUAUCUAGAUCCAUAAUUAAUCAUAUUUAUUUUCAAAUAAUUGGAACAAUCAAUCCUAUAAUACACAAAAUGACUCAAAUAUCUACCUACCAAUCUAAUGAUAGUUUUUAUCCAACUAUCGGAUAAUAAUGAAACAAUUAUAUUGGUGAUAGUCCAUUAUAAUUAAAUGUAAAAUAAUUUUUUUCAUUAUUUUUUAUUAAUGAUAGUUGGUAAUAUUAAUAUGUUACUCUAUACCCUAUAACGAAAUAUUUGUAUAUUAGACAAAUAUAAUGUUUCUAAUAUUCUAUAAGUUUAAAUAAUGCUCACAAAUAACCUCUUGUGCAAAUUAAUUCAUGUGAAUAUAUAUAUGAAAUUAAUUACUUUAUUUAUUCGUUUAUCUUUUAUAGUUAUAUUUAUUCACUAUUUUCAAGUCACAACAAUUUCUAUAAAUACUUAAAAUGGACAAUUACAUAUGUACUGAUAAUUUUUUAUCUAUUGCUAUUAGUGGUAUUGUGAUUAAUGAUCUUAUAACAUUAAGCUUUAUUAUGUUGUUACUAGCCAUAAUUGUUAGCCAAUUUAAAUUUGAUUAAACUAAACUUAGUUAUGAUACUUAUUAUCAGAAUAUGUAUACAUAAAUGACAUUGUUCUUAUAAUAAUAAUAAUAAUAAUAAUAAUAAUAAAAGGAGAUGUUUAGAGUCAUACAUGAGUUUAACUCACCCAUUAGGGUUUAGUAUUAUUAUUAGUAAUAAUUACAAUUCAUAUUCCCAUUGUAUAGUAAAUGUUAGGAAAACGUCAACAACAAGCCAUUGUUUAGCAAAAUGAUCAUAAAAAGUCCAUCUUAAUAAUGAUCAUAAAAAGUCCAUCUUAAUCUCAUAAUGAUCACAUACACAUCUUUUUGGACAAUUAUGCUCUUUGAAUAUAGUGACUAAAAUAUAUUUCAUUUGCAUAUAAUUGUUCAAAAAAAGAUCUAAAUGGUAAAAAGUAAUUGAGUGACAUAUGUAUUUAGAAUACAAAUUAGGUUAUAAAUAUUGGGAUCCUAUCAUUAUUAUAAAGUAUUAAUAUAAUAAUAUCAAAUUAGUUUAGGACCCAUGGGUGUAGCUAAGUAAUUUAAAAUUGCUUUAUUUUAAUUGGCUACCUAAAUUUGAAUUUUCGGGAGGUAAGGGAUUAAAAAUAAAUAUAAAAUUUUAAAAAAAGUCAUAUUUUUUUCUAAUAAUAUAAGUGAAUGAAUUAUUUUUCACCUAGGCGGGCAAAUUAGCGCCUAAAUGAAAUAUUUAACAAAUUUUUUCUAUUUUUAAUAUGUAUCAAAUUGAAUUUUUAUGAUUUUUCACCUAAAGUAUAAAUACUUCAUAUUCUAGUAUUUCUUUAGAAACCCUAGCAGCUCUCACAAUAUCUCAGUCCUCACACACUCAAAGCCUCACCGGCCACCAGCCGAGCUGCCAUCGCUAUUCCAACAUGACUAAACUGCUGUCGUAUUGACCAUCGCAAGCAUAGCUACUAGGUUGAUUGGAGCCGAAAAUAGAGACCGCUGGAGCAGCAGGACCCGAUAAUCAUCAAAAUGUAGAAGCAGUUAUGAGUCAUCAAAAGAAAGGGCUCAAAAAGCAUGCAUUCAUCUGUGUUCUUUUGGCCUUGGUUAAUUCAAUUCUAUUGGGUUACAGUGAGUCUUCAUUCAACACCCUUUUCCUGUUUGCUUUUAAUUUUUACUCUAAAUGUUAAUAUAUAAAUAUUUGGCAUGUAAUUGUAAUCGGAUGGUGGCAUGGUGACGUGAAAUGAAGCUUUUGGGGUGUAGACAUUUGAGUAAUGAGUGGUGUAGUUCUUUUCACAAAAGAAGAUCUUGACAAAUGGUAGUCCAAGUAGAGCUUUUGACAAAUUCUUGCAGCAGAUUCACAGUAAAUCCUCUCUCUUCGUUCCUUAUUUUCACAAAUACUUGCAUGUUUAUAUAAGUUUUUAAAUUUCUUUUUAUCUAAUUGGAUAAAUUUGAGAUGAAAUUUCAGUUAAAUGUCACUGAUUUUUUUAAAUUGAAAGUGUUUUACACAGCUGGUUUCUUUGAUUGAUUCCUUCGGUUACUUGUUUACACCACCAAGUUGAGCUAGUUUAUAUGCCUUUAGAUCACAAACUAGCAUACCACAUGAUUUGGUCUUUGAUCCUAAAACCUUGGAUGGGGUCUGGAUUUUGUUUAAUUGUUAAUGUUUCUUGAAUUGUGAUUUCCUAGAGUCUGGUUUUUCAAACUGCGAGACUGAAAAGUUAUUUUAGUUCUUAAAAAAUUAAAAAAUAAUAAUAAUCUAAGCCCUAAUCUUUCCUUCCAUAAUUUUUCGUUGCUUAGGGUCUGUGAGUCAUCAGAAUAUGAGGGGAGGCUUUUCAGGGAGAUCUCCGUGCCCUGACGGUCAUUAUUCUCAUUGUAACAGACAGGUGACCUUAUCCUGUUACCUACUUGUUUUACUUUUGGUUUUUGUUUUUUGAUCGAGCAGCAGUGAAUAUUUUUUGUGUUUAUUUUCUAAUUUUUUUCUUUAUAUAACUCUUGGUUUUAUGUUAAAAUGAGUGGUAAGGGGAUAUUGUUGUCAUUGUAUUUGACUCUGUCUUUAGAAAUGUUUUAUUAAGAUUUACUUUUGCUAAUAUCACUUGGGUAAUUCCCUGGAAAUGUUUAUCAAAUGUCAUUACUGCUAGUUUUAUGCUCAUUGGCCAUAGUUCUUAGUCUCUAAUUAGUUUGGAAUAUUAGGAAUCUCUUUUUAUGGCAUAUUUGUCUUUUCUUUUCGUAUAUCCUUGCUCUGUAUUCAGAGCUGGUUGACUUCUCCUAAUGUUAUUUCAAAUUCUCUCAAGGUUGAAGGGAGUAAUGUCAAACAACCCAAGUGCUUUGAAGCUCCAUAUUCUUUCUAUAGAGAUUAUGAUCUCCAUUCAUCAUCUACUCAGUCUGAUUGUAAGAACAAACAUUCGGAUGUGAGUAGAAUUUGAAUUGGAAUUAUUUUUUAAUUUUUUUUAAAUGAUGAAUAUGUUAGUAUCUAUGUGUCAUUCAAAUAACAGAUAAAAUAAUAUGAUUAGUCACUGAAAGCACAUUUUAUAUCUUCUCUUUCUUGCUCAUCAUUUGCCUCGUUGUUUUUAUUUAUUUAUAAGCUUACUGCAGCUUCAACUUUUGCUGUUGCUUUCUAUGGAUUGCAACUCUUAAUUUAAUCAAAUUGCACAUUUCAGAUGUUAAAAGCUCCAAUACUUCUAAUAGUGGUCCUUAAUUCGAUCAUGCUAUUGAAUUCUAUUUUUUUGCAAGAAUUUUUAUGAUGCUGAGUUUGAUUGUAUUCUGAUUUCAUAUUGAAUCUUACAACUAUUCCAACUUGAAAAGAAAAAGUAAACUAUUGUACGAAUAUGCUAAGUCUUGCCUUCUUGGCUUUUCUCUCAAUUCAAUUAGGGAUUUACUUAAUUAUUGAUUGACUUGAAUUCAAUUAUGAUUGAAUUGAGUAAAAUGAAGGUGAUAAGGACAUUAUUUGAACAAUUUUUUCUGCACAAAAUACUGUGGAUGUUAACAUUGUUUAUGGGGAAGGGAUUGUAAAAUUGUAGAUAUUGAGGUUCUAUAAUGUUUGUUGAUUUUGCAGUGAGAUUGGAUGUGAAGAAGAGGAUAAAGGCUGAUUGAAUUGAACAAUGACAUUAUACAAGGUGCGAAUUCAGAGCUGGUUGACAUAGUUAUGUCUCUGAUUGUAUUUAAUUUUAUCAUUUAGCUAUGAAAAAAGAGUUUCAUCUUCAUGUUAUAUUUAUUGUCUUAGAAUGGAAAAAUGACAACUUGCUCAAGCUGUGAAAGCUUGGUAAGGCUUCUCAAAAACCAGAAAAGUGGGGAUGGCUACAUGCACAUAUUGAGAAUGACUACAUGGGUAAAGGGAACUUGUAUGCAAAGUGAAAGUUAAAAGUCUGUUAAUAGUCUCAUUGCUUCUAGAAUGAUAAGUUCGUAAUGGUGAAAUGUUUAGGUUAUAUUGAUGGGAAUAAGCCCAUGAAUUGAUGUAGUGAUGGAUACUGAAUUGGAAAAUGGUGUUUCUGGUUCAUGGAAUAUCUUGGAAGAAGUACAAAAAGUGAUACAAGACAACAAAGCAUACAUCUUCUUAAAAAUAUUGAAUGGCUUUGUUUGCUUUCUAGGUGUGGUUUAUUUUUCUACUUUAGCUAGAUGGCUUAUUGAUUCUGGUAAUAGAUUGGUUUGUUACCAAUUCCUUGAUUUGAGUUGCCUUUUUUUUUUUUUUUUGGUUUUUUCAACUAUUGUGGUAUUUAUAUUCCUACAUUUCAAAUGCUUUGGUAAUUAGUAAUCUAGUCAUUUUUAAGUAUUUUGGCUACUUGAACAGUGUCUGGGUAUGCUGAUAAAUUAUAAGAAUUGUCGAAACUAUAAUAAACAAAUAAACAAGGCUUUGUUUUGGAUGCAUUUUACUCAUGAAUGAAUCUAUAUGCUUACAAAUUUUUGCCAGUUAUUUUUAGGUGUUUAGUUUCUUUUUAGGUGUUUAGGGCCCGUUUGGUAUUGUUUCUGAAUUAGUAUUUUUUGAAAAUAAAAAUGAGAAUGAAAAUGGUGUUUUGCAGUUACUGUAUUUCGAAUUUAAAUAUGCGUUUGGUAUUAUUUUCUGUAUCCUAUAUUUUAAAACUGAAAACAGUAAUAUGUGUUCGGUAGACACAAUUGAAAAAUAUAAAAACAGAGAAUAUGCGUUCGGUAGUACUAUUUUUAAAAAAUAGUUUUUACUAAACAUUUAAGUUAUAGUAAAAAAUAAUUGUUUAAUUAAUACAUAUACAUACAUACCAUAAAUAAUUUAAACAAAAUAAUUAUAAAAAAUCACAUAAUGAUAAAGUUUUAGUAUUAGCAUUAAUAGAAAAAAGUUUUACAUUAUAAUUGUUUUUACAUUAUAAUUAAGUUACAUAUUACAACACAUAAAUUAAACAAAAUAAUUAUAAAAAAAUUACAUGAUAGACAUCAUACAUUAACACUUACUGGAGAUAAAUCAAAUUCAAUAGUGUACAAUGUACUUUCAAGUUACACUUAUUUUAUGAAAACAAGCUCUAAUGACAACAAUGUAAACUCUGAACUACAAGUGUUUAUCCUCGAAGCGGAUUGAUCCCAAAUGAAAUUGCACAAAACAUAAGUCCAAGCAAAGCCAAGAAUCCAUAUUUCCUGUACAUGAAUUAUUAAAAAUGAAAUUAAAUGCAUGUAUAAAUCAUCAAAAUUAACUAGGAUUGCUCCAUUAAACUUAAUAAAUACAUUAAAGAUUCACUUUAGUACAAAGAAAAUAAUGCACACAACAAAACCGUGAUGAGACAUCACCAUGUCAUAAACAAACAAAAAGCACUCAUGGAAUUUAAUCAUUGAAAAUAGAGGUUUCAAGUUUGUAAGAUCUUUUUUUUUUUUUUUUAAUAUCAAGUUUGUAAAUUCAAGGCUAAUUGAUAAACGUACUUAAUUUUAACUUAAUAUUUAAGGAACUCUAAGCUACAUUUUUCUUCUCUACAAAUUAAGUAAUAUCAAGACAUACUUUGCAACAAUAAUAUAACCAGCAAACCCAACAAUGAAACUGGUAAGCAAAUAGUGUGUGCAGUGAUGAUUGGUACUACUUUUCAAUUUGGUAACUAGUAGUUUAUUUUCAACAAGGAAAUUCUAAUCUGUGACCUAUCACAAAGCAAGUAAAGUAGUAACCUAGUGAGGGUUAUUCACCCAGCUAAACAAACAGAAUUUUGCACACCAUUUAUUAUAAUAAUUGAGCAACUUAUUUUGCUUUUAUUAUUAUUAUUUUUUCAUAGAGCCGAACACUUCUCAAUCAAAUUCAUAGCAGAAUACUGCACGAAGAACAAUAUUAACACUGCCAUCUGCCUAGGCCGAAGGGAAAAAAAUAAUAUUUUGCACAAGGAUUUACAACGAAAGGAAUAAUUGAAAUUGCUCUGUUAACUUUGAGUGAAAGUUUCAGAUAUAAACAUACAAUUUUCAGUACAUGCUAUUAAUCCCCCACUCAAUUUUCAGUAGUGUAAUAACCCCCAAUAUGAUUAAUUUACAAUACUCUAGUUUCAGUACAUGCUAUUAAUCUACAAUAUCAUCCUAUUAAAAACAAUUAAAAUCACUCAAAUAAUUUCUCAAAAAUUUCAGCUCAUAAACAAAAUAAAUACCGGCAAGUGACAGAUCAGGGAGAGCAACAACGGUCGGGCAAGUGACAGAUCUGGGAGAGCAAAGACGGAGCAGCAUCGGCUGGACGGAGUCGGAGCAGCAGCGGUUACGGUGGAGACAGAGCAGCGGCAGUGGCUAGCACACCAAGAGCGACCAAGAGAGAGUGGAUCGGGAGAGAAAGAUGUUGGAUGAAGAUAAGGGGAGGGAGAGAGUGCAGAUUUGCUGCAACUGGAUCGAGAAAAGUGAGGGGAAAGUGAGAGCUGCAGUGAAGAGAAAAGGAGGAGGAGGGUCACGAUUUGCUUUUGUUUUUUAAUUCAUUUCUAGGUUUAGUUUGUGAUAUUUGAAGAACAUGUUUAAGUUGUUUUCAGUUUAGUAGUUAUAAUAAUGAAUCCGGAUUUUGUGUUUUGUAAUUUGUUUUUUGAAAUUAAUUGGCCGAACAUGUAUUAUAUGUGUAUUAUGAAAAUGAAAACGAAAAUGCUGCGUGGAAAAGGGUACCGAACGGGCCCUUAGUUUCUAUUGCGUUUUGUGAGUUUUUUCAUACCGAUGCUAUUUCAUAAUUUAUAUUAUUCAUGUAAUCAUGAAUCAGUACUGCUGAAAUUUUAUUCUUGUUUAUUUGGAUGUAUUCUCCUCUAUCUUUAUCGCCAUGAUCAAUUUGUUGUUAAAUGAAAGUAAACAUAAAAGAGUAUGCCAUUUGAGAAUAUUUUUUAUAUUUUGAAUAUUGCUGUUAAAAAAUUCAUCAAAAAAUAUGUUGUUAAAAUUAGAAUAUAGUUAUGUGUUUAUUUUAUUUUUAAGUUUCAAUUUUUCUAUUAAUACAAUAUAUGACUGAUCCUGACUAAGAAUUUAGAUCAUGCAUUUGAAAUUUUAAUAUUGUUUAUUUUUUUGCAGCCCUUUUUUCUAAUAUGAUUUUUUUUUAUGCAGAGACCCAUGAAAUCUAAAUCUCAAAUUAGCAGCAGCAUUUGAAGUUUAAUUUUGUGUGAUCAAAACUAUUGAUGUUAAAAGUUAUAAAUUGAUUUAAUUUUGUAUUAGUUUAUUGAUGUUAAAAGUUUUUAAAGAGUUAUUUUCUUGUGAGUUUGUAAAAUAAUUUCUCAAUAGAAGUGGUUUUAGGCUCUUCUUCCUCUGCAAUUCUAACUUUUUAGUAGUCCACAUAUCGGUUCACUAUAGUCAUUAACUGCUUAAGUGAAAGUCUAGUAUUGGAAUUUUUUUUUCAUUAAUUUUCAACUACAUUGGAUAAAAUAAUAGGACAUUAUAAUUUUAUUUGUAAAUAAAUGCCAACAAAUUUAAGAAUAAAGGACCAUUUGAAAAAGAUAAGUUAAUUAAACAUGCAAAAGCAUGUUAAAAAAUGUUGGUUACUAUAGUGUUAGAUUUUCAUAAUGUCGUAGUGGCUAAAAUAAACUUUUAAAAAUUAUUUUAGCUAAGUCUUGAAAAUUAAAGAACUUAUUUUAUAAAUUGAAAAUGAUAUGCAUACUUAAAAACGAAAAAGAAAGAUACUCAUUUUAAAAAUAAAAUGUUAACAAAUCUCAUGAGGUAGGAUUGCAAUAAUGAUCGUAGUAAGAGUAAAAAAGUAAAUAAUAAUAGUGAUAAUAAUUUAAGUAUAAUAUAAUAUUUAUAAGUAAUGACAUAAGUUUUUGGUUACAGUAAUAAGAAAUUAAGAAAACUAAUUUGAAAAGAAAAUAGAGAGGUAAAAAUUUAAUUUGAAUUGAAACAAUCUUAAUUCUUGAUUUAUUUUAGUUCAAAGAUAAAUAAACAUAAUUAAUUGAAUGAUAAAAUGGGCAAAAUGUUUUUAAAGAUCAAAAGUUAACUAAAAUAAAUUCAAGUUCAAAAAGUCUAAUGAAGUCAACUGAGGCCAGAAAAGAAAAGGAAAAAGAUAAUUCAACAUAAAUAGAUUAAGAAAGUUUUAAUUUUUUGUUAAAAAAUUUAUAAUUAUUUAAAUGAUAAAUGAGUAUAAAUGUGAAUAAUUGAUCCCAAGGAAAAGAAAAGAAAAAAGAAAAAAUAUUUUUAUAACAUAUACUGUCGUAACUUUUAAAAUUUUUUUUUUUGAAAAAUAAAGUUUUUGAGAAGCAUAACAAUUGCAAGCACUCUUACAUAUUAAUAAAGUUGAAAUUUAUUAACAAAAAGUAGGACUACAAAAAAUAAACUUGAAACAUCUAAUCAAAAUAUUAGAAUUCAAUACAAAUAGUGAGAAUAUAGAACCAAGAAAUGAUAGAAAAAUGAAUGGAAGAGCAAAACUUAAAAGUUGGAAUAACUUGAUAAGAAUUUGAUAAAUUCCAAUGAAAAGUCGAGAUCCGAAAAAUGAACUUAAAACAUUCACCUAAAUGUUGGAAUUCAAUAAAAAUAGUAGAAAUAUAGUAUAGUGGAAAAAAAAAGUUGAAGAGGUUAACACAAUAGUCGGAACAACUUACAAAGAAUUUGAUGAAUUCCAAUGACAAAUAGGGAUCUUAAAAAUGAACUUGAAAUAUUAACCCAAAAUAUUAGAAUUUUGUAAAAAACAGUAGGAAUAUAUAGCCAAAAUGUGAUGAUAAUAGUUGAAGAAUUUAACCAAAAAAUUGUAAGUAUCUACCAAUAAUAUGAUAAAUUCCAACAGUGAAUGAUAUGAAAAAUAAACUUGAAACAUCCACAUAAAAUAUUGAAAUUCAAUUAAAAGAGUAAGAAUAUAGAACCAAUAUAUGGUAGGAAAAUGAGUGGAAGUGCUUAACACAGAAAUUGAAACAACUUGAUAAGAAUUUAAUAAAUUAUAAUGAAAAGUAGAGAACUAAAAAAUAAACUUGAAACAUGUACUCAAAUAUUGGAAUUCAAUAAAAAAAAAAAAGUAUGAAUAUAGGACCAAAAUUUGGUGAGAAAAUAAGUUGAAAACGUUGACCCAAAAGUUGAAACAACUGACAAAGAAUUUGAUAAAUUUUAAUGAAAAGCAGGGGUUUGAAAACAUAACUUGAUAUAUUUACCCAAAUGUUGAAAUUUAAUAAAAAGAGUAGGAUUAUAGAACCAAUAAAUGGUGGAAAGGGAGUGCAAAAGCAUAACCAAGAAGUUGGAAUGAUUUAACAAGAGUUUGAUAAAUUCCAAUAAAAAAUAGAUAUCUUAAAAAUAAACUUGAAACAUUCACCCAGAUGUUGGAAUUCAAUAAAAAGAGUAGAAAUAUUGAACCAAAAUUCGAUGGGAAUAAAAGUUGAAGAGGUUAACUCGAAGGUUGGAAUAACUUACAAAGAAUUUGAUAAAUUUUAACAGAAAGUAGGGAUCUAAAAACUGAACUGGGUAUAUUUACCUAAAAUGUUGGAAUUCAAUGAAAAGAAUAGAAAUAUAGUACCAAAUAGUUGUGGGAAUAACAAUUGAAGAGUUUAAUCCAAAAGUUAUAAGUACUUACCAAUAGCUUGAUAAACUUCAACAAUAAAUAGGGAUUUAAAAAAUGAACUUGAAACAUCUAUGGCAAAUAUUGGCAUUCAAUGAAAAGAGUAGGAAUAUAAAAUCAAAAAGCAGUGGAAAAAAGAGUUGAAGAGGUUAACCUAAAACUUGGAAUGAGUUACUAAGAAUAUGAUAAAUCCAACAACAAGUAGGGAUCAAGAAAUAAACUUGAAACAUUUGGAAAAAAUAUUGAAAUUACGUAAAAAUAGUAGAAAUAUAGAACUAAAAAAUGGUGGAAACAAGAGUUGAAGAGCAUGACCUAAAAGUUUGAAGAACUUAACAAGAAUCUGAUAAAGUUUAACAACCAAUCAAGAUCUAGAAAAUGAACCUGAAAUAUCCAAACAAAAUGUUAGAAUUCAAUGAAAAGAGUGGAAAUAUAGAACCAAAAAGUGGUGGAAAUAAGAGUGGAAGAAAUUAACCUAAAAGUUAAAAUAACUUAACAAUAAUUUGAUAAAUUUAAACGUGAAGUAGGGAUCCAAAAAGUAAAUUUGAUACAUUUACCUAAAAUAUUGGAAUUCAAUAAAAAGAGCAGGAAUAUUGAACCAAAAAGUAGUGGAAAAAUAAAUUGGAACAACUUAGUAAUAACUAGAUAAAGUCAAACAGAAUAUAGAUUAAAAAAUAAACUUGAAAUAUUAACCUAAAAAUAGAAAUUUAAUGAAAGAACUGGAAAUAUAGAACUAAUAACUAAUGGAAAAAUGAAUUGAAACAACUUACCAAAAAUUUGAUAAAUUGCAAUGGAAAGUAGGGAUCUAGAAAUUGAACUUGAAAUAUUUAAACAAAAUUUUGGAAUUCAAUAAAAAUAUUAGGAAUAUAGAACUAAAAAAUGGUGGGAACAAGAGUAAGAAGUUAACCCAAAAAUUGAAAUAAUUUACCAAGAAUUUAAUAAAUUCAAAUGAGAAGUAGAGAUCUAAAAACUAAACUUGAUAUAUUUAUCCAAAAUGUUGGAAUUCAAUAAAAUUAAUAGGAAUAUAGAACCAAAAAAUGGUAGAAAAAUAAAUCGGAACAAUUCACCAAUAACUAGAUAAAGUUUAACACAUUAUAGAGAUAUAAAAAUAAACUUGAAAUAUUCAUCUAAAAAGUUGGAAGUUAAUGAAAAGAGUGGAUAUAUAGAACCAAAAACUAGUGGGAAAAUGAGUUAGAACAACGUACCAAAAUUUAGAUAAAGCGCCACGAAAAAUAGGAAUUGAAAAGUAAACUUGAAAUGUACACUAUAAAUAUUGAAAUGUAACAAAAUAAGUAGGAAUAUAACCAUUUUGUGGUAUAUUUAUAUUUUUUUAUAUUUUUUAUACUAUUUUUAAAUUUAAAAUUAUUACAAUAUUUUUCCUCAUUUAAUUACAAUUUUAUCUUUUUUUUUCAAAAUUUUUCAUAAUUUGUUCACAUUAAAAACAAAUAAAAAAUGUAAUUUCAUUAUAUUACCCGGUUAAAAAUCGAUUGUACCGGUUGCAUGCAUGUGCUGUAUCAGAUACAGCGCGGCAUGGUAGGUUGACUCAUGUUUAAAAUACCUUUAAUAAAGUACUAAUAAUUAUUAAAGACAUGUUUGACUAGACUUGCAGUUGGCAAGCAAAAGAGGAUGAAAUUAUUAAUUAAUUAGAACACAUGAAAGAUUCCUCUCAUUUUUUUUUUUUGAAAAGAAAGUAAACCUUUCAUUAAACUAAACUUUCAGCCAUAAAUAAAACAUCAGCUGGGAAAUUGUUUCUCCAGAUAACAGAUUCUGAGCUACACAAAGCUCUUUUAGCUAAAAAAUGGGCAAAACCAUUACACUUUCUUGGAACAUGUUGGAAAGAUAUCAGUUGGAAAUCUUGUGUGCUCUUGUGGAUGUCUGACAUAGUCCACCAAAUCUCUGUCCUGUUGCUAACUUUCUUAUUUGCUAAGUCAGCUACAUUUUUGCAGUCGGUCUCUAUAAUCACAUUUGACAGACUAAGAUCCUUGGCUACCUCCAUACCCCACUUGACAGCAUGAGCUUCUGCUAUAGCUACGUUCCCCUGGAAAUUCAUGCUUUUUACUGCUGCUGCUAACACUUGCCCUGAUUUCUGAUGACCACGCCCAAGCCUGCACUCUUCCUAUCUUCUUUGACUGCUGCAUCAACAUUGACUUUCACUUUGUUGUUUGGUGGUGGAGUCCAUAUCUGCAUCUUUCCCUCUACUGUAUUUCCAUGGCUCCCCCGUUCUUUAACCUGCUGAGCCUGAUACACUUCCAUAACUGCAUUGCCCCUAGCCACUGACCCUACUGGAUCUAACUUUUUUCCUUGAAAAAGGAGUUUGUUUCUAGCAUGCCAAGCAACCCACCAAAUCGUGGCCACGUAAUCUACCUCAGACGUAGCCCAAUUAUUCAUAGCCCCAAUCAUGACACUAAGCAUGUCUUCUCUGAUGACGCUCUUCACCUCAUUCUCCAAGUGAGUACAUUUCCAGAUUCUCCGAGCCACUCUGCAUUCCAUCAAGGCAUGGAAAACAUCUUCACAACCCGCUUUGCAUAAAUGGCAUGUCAGUUCCUUCAGCACUUUCCUUCUCCAUAGAUUUUUUGCCGUUGGCAGCAGGUUCUUUGCAACUUUCCACACAAAGAUCUUAAUUUUCUCUGGUAAGUUUAACCUCCAAAUAUGUUGCCAGCCCUGUGGAGCUCCUGUAGAUCCGGCUGGAGAUUCAGAGAACUUAAUUUUGAGAGCUAGUUGAUAUCCACUCUUUACUGAGUAUAUACCUUUCUUAUCAUAAUGCCAUAUCACCAUAUCUUCUUGAGGAGUUCUCGGUAAAGGGAUAUUCCUUAUUAUUUCAGCAUCUUCCUUUGCAAAGUUUUGAUUGAUCAUUGUUUCAUUCCAUUGGUGAUUUUGAUCAAGAAGCUCUGAGACUCUAGAUUCAGUAGGCAAGGACUGUACCAGGAUUAGUUUGAAGGUUGAGGGCCUAGGGAAAGAUUCCUCUCAUUGAUUUCGUUGAAACAGACUUAAUUUGUAAUCAAAGUGAAAAUUCGUCAUCUUUCAGCGGUGGUUCCAACUUCUAACAAUCUCUAAGCAGUAAGUUUUCUGACAGUUUUAUAUUUACAUAUCUCUUGUAUUUGUGUAAUUAGUCUCUCACAUAAUUCAAUUUAAUAGGAAGUUUUGAUCUCUUGCUUCCAAGGCUCAAAACUUAUUGCAACAUUGCUGGCAAUUAGUGUGGGUUUCGGCUCUUUAAUUCAGCUUUGCUAGGUUUAAGUUCGACAUCGAAUUUUAUGCGUUUAGUGCAGUAUUUUUAUGAACUAUUUUUAAGAGAUUUUUAAUUAAUUCUUAGGUACUUAAAAUAAACUUCUUGUCGGCAUACAAAGGACUAAAAGAGUAAAAAUUAACUAGAACACAUAAAAUCUUCUCAUUAAUUUCACUGAAACAACGUAAAAAUUCAUCUAACUGUGGUCAAAUACAUGCAUGUGUCUUGUAUUUUCAGCUUAUUUUUUGAACUUUUAUAUGUAUGUUUUUUGUGACAUAUUUUAAUCUUAUUUGGAAUUGAGAUAUUGUAGCUUUUAAACUACAACAGCUAUGAAAAAAACUGUAAUUAUGAAACAAAAGUUAAUAAUAUAUAAUAAAUAUAAAUUUUAAAUAAUAAUUUUGAUAAAAUUAUUAGAAAUAUAAUGAAUUUUUUAUCAUAUAAGUGAAAAAUCAUAUCAAUAUAAUUUUUAAGUUACAGCAGUUAAUAUUUACCAAAUACUUUUCUGUUGUAGCUUAAAUAUCCACCCCCUAUCCCAAAAGCACUCUUUAUAUAAUUUAAUUUUUCACAUAAUUCCAAAAAAUCAAUUUAGAGGAAAUUUCGUUCUCUUGUUGCCAAGACAUAAAAACUGGUUCCAACUCUGCAGGUAGUGUGUGUUUCUUGGACAGGAAAGUUGGCAGUGCAGGUUUUAAGUCUUCUUUACUUUUUUAUAUGUAUGUUUUUUGUGACAUUCUUAUCUUUGCUUAUUCUUUACUUUUUUAACUUUCAGGGAUCUGAAACUGUUGAAGUCAUAUAUCUCAACUUCCCUGCAGAAGCAGAAGUGCAUUUCGGAGCAAGUUCUAAUACAUUUUUGAAGAUGACUAACCUGAGAAUGCUUCUUAUCCGUAAUGUGCAAGUGCAACUUCCUGAAGGCCUUGAAUAUCUCUCCAAUGAGUUACGGUUACUUGAAUGGCCUGGAUAUCCUCUGAAAUCCUUGCCAUCAAAUUUUCAACCGGAUAAAAUUGUUGAACUUAACAUGUGUUACAGUCACAUCGAACAAAUGUGGAAUGGAAUCAAAGUAAGUUUUAUUUCAUUUCUUUUUUUUCCCGUGAAUAAAUGUUGAUAGAGUUAUCAUUCAUCCCUUGAAAAAUUGCUGAAAUCAUUGUUUUUGAACAGCCUUUAAGCAAUUUGAAAUUCAUGAGAAUUGGCAAAUCCAAAAAUCUGAUCAGAACGCCAGAUUUCUCAGGGAUGCCAUAUUUAGAGGAGCUGGAUCUUGGAGGAUGUACAAGAUUGUGUGACAUUCACCCAACAUUGCUACUUCACAAGAAGGUUAUUUUAUUGAAUCUAAAAGACUGUACAAGUCUCACGACUCUUCCGGGCAAGAUUUUUAUGGAAUCUCUAAAAAUACUUGUACUUUCUGGUUGCUUGAAAUUGAAGAACUUUCCAGAGAUUGUGGGUAGUAUGAAGUGUCUGUCAGAUCUUCUUUUGGAUGGAACCGAUAUUAAAGAACUACCAAUAUUACCAUUUGAACUUCUAUCUGGACUUGUUCAGUUAAAUGUGGAAGGCUGUAAUAAACUUGAGCGUCUUCCAAGAAAUAUAAGCGCUCUAAAAUAUCAUCCAACUUGGAAUCUUUCUGGCCUAUUGAAAUUCUCAAAUUUCCCAGAGAUCAUGACAAAUAUGGAGCAUGUGUUGGAGCUUCAUUUGGAAGGAACUGCCAUAAGAGGAUUGCCGAUAUCAAUUGAACUUUUCUCUGGUCUUGUUUUGUUGAAUUUGAGAGAUUGCAAAAAUCUCUUGAGUCUUCCGUGUACUAUUAACGGUCUGAAGUCUCUUAAAAAGUUGUAUCUCUCUGGCUGCUCCAAACUUAAAAAUGUGCCAGAGAACUUGGGGAAAGUAGAAAGCUUGGAGGUGCUAGAAUUAAGCGGGUGCAAAGGACCACCAGUAUCAUCAUCAUGGUAUCUGCCCUUCCCAUUAGUUUGAAGCGAAGCUGUUCAGAUCCUACCGCUUUGAGGCUUCCUUCUCUGUCAGGUUUGUGGUCUUUAAGGAAAUUGGACCUCAGUGACUGUGAUCUAGGGGAAGGAGCAAUACCUAAUGAUAUUGGCAACUUAUGGUCGUUAGAAGAGUUGUAUCUGAGUAAAAACAGUUUCGUUACAGCGCCAGCAAGCAUUAACCGUCUUUUUAAUCUUGAAGAACUAGAGUUGGAAGAUUGCAAAAGACUACAAUCUAUGCCGCAACUUCCACCCAACAUAAAAGAAGUCGGAGUAAAUGGUUGUGCUUCAUUGGAAAAAUUAUCAGAUGCCUUAAAAUUAUGCAAAUCGGAGUACAUUUCAAUUAGUUGUAUAGACAACCUGAAAUUGCUCAGCAACGAUGGUUUGGCAUUUUCAAUGCUAAAAGAGUAUCUUGAGGUCAGUCUCUCUCUCUCUCUCCUCUCUCAUUUGUGCAAAAAAUUAUGCCUAAAAAUGAUGCAUUUUUAUGGGCUCCUUUUUUUCCCCCUUUUUUCGGUUACAGGCAGUGUCACGCCCAAUGCAAAAGUUUGGUAUAGUUGUUCCAGGAAGUGAAAUUCCAGAGUGGUUCAUGCAUCAGAAUGAUGGAUCUUCAAUAAAAUUCAUAAUGCCUUCAAAUUUAUAUUGUAAGAAUAAGGCACUGGGAUAUGCCGUCUGCUGCGUCUUUCAUGUCCGUGAACAUUCCCCUGGUAUCCAAACAAGGCGUUCAUAUCCCACGCAUCAAUUGAACUGCCAGAUGAAAGGUUCUUCUACCAGUUAUUCAAUCGAGUUCAGAGAGAAAUUUGCUCAAGCAGAGUCAGGCCAUCUUUGGCUACUCUACUUGUCUCUUAAAAAAUGCUAUUAUAGCAAUUGGCGUUUUGAUAAUAAUCUCAUUGAGUUGUCGUUUCGGCCUGUGUCUGGCUCAGGGUUGCAGGUGAAGAGAUGUGGUUUCCAUCCCAUUUAUAGGCACAAAGUUGAGUUCUUCAACCAAAUAAGAAACCAAUGGACUCACUCACUACACUGCCUAUAAUAUGAAUGAAUUCUAUCCCGAUUCUGUUUGAUCAAAGAUACUUGUAGCCACAACGUCAAGGUGAAGUGUGAAUGAAUAUUUGGGCUUGAAGAGUGGGAAUGGUGUUCUGUUGAUGAGGAACCACAGCCUGAAACAUUUAAUGCAGAAGCCUGCUUAUUCUCUGAAUUCAUCGAUAAGCAUUCAUCUUCAAAUUCAGUUCAUGUUCUUUGCACUUGGUAAUUCAUUUACAUUAAUUUUAUUAAUUUAUUGCAUCUCCUUAUCGAAAAACAUUUGAUGUUAAAUUACCAGAAAUCCUCUGCUUGGAUCAAAAGCAAAGAGUACCUAUAGUUGUUUAAGAAUGUGCCUUCAUGAAUUGAAAUAGCAUUACUGCUCUAUUAGCUUGGCUCCUCACUUGAAUUUCUUUGAUGUUUGUUAAUAAUUCCAAAUUCCAGUGAACAUGGAUUUUGAUCGAGAUAAUCCUAUGCUUUUGCCCUGUUGAUAAAAUCAAGCAGUUGUUGUGAUUGUUGCAAGUGUUUCUUAUUUUAUAUUUUUUCGUUUUUGUUGUUUGGUUUGUGAGAAGAUGUGGAAUUAGAACUGCACUAGAGUGAGAAGAAAUGAGAAGAAAAAGAAAGCAUGUAAAGUUUAGUGAAUGUGUGUGUGUAUUUUUUUUAAAGCCUUGAAUUUUUUGAUUUCUCAUGAGUUGAAAAUUAAGGAUUGAAACAAAUCUUCUGUUUUGUUGUAUUCUUAUUAUAUUUCUUCUCAUAAAUUUCUCAUUUUUGUAAAUAGUGCAUAAUUUGGUAGAAGCUUAACUGAAAGCCACUAAUUUUACUACAAGAAUAACUUAAUUUUUAAUUCAAUCCAGGGAUUCAAAAUGACUCAGAGUUCUUUCGAACUUAAAUAACAUGACAACUUAACUAUCCAUUCCCUUCUUUUUGUGCAAAAGUUGGCAGAUUCGGAGCCAAUUAGGGUGAGUUUUUUGGUACACUUGAAGGGGCUGGUGUCAUAGUUCAUGAAUUGCAUUGCUAUGAAUGAAUAACAAAGAAAUUAGAUUAGCUUAUUGAAUCUGUUUGAAUUUUUUUAUAUAGCCUAUGCAGUCAGAGGCAUUUAAAUUAUGUGAGUCAAAGUUCUCACAUAUUAGCUGUGCACAGUGCUUGAAAUUGCUUGGUAACAACGGUUUGGCCUUUUCAGUUUUAGAGAGUAUGUCAACUAAUGCCAGCCUUUUCACUCUGUUUCUCUCGAAUGCUCUUGAGCCUUAUGCAUAAAAAUUUAUGCUGUGGAAAAGAUUAAUCUAAGGGCCAGGAGUUUCUAUAGAAAGAAUAUAAAGAUGAUAAGGUUUGUUGUGUCCAUCUCAAAUAUAUUAUGGGUGUUAGGAGUAUCUGAUGAUGCUGAUGAUGUUGUGCAGUGAUGUUAAGCUGAUGGUACUAUGUAGUGAUGCUGAUAUGGUGUUAUGCAGAGUUUACAGAGCAUGAUGGAAGAACAUGAUAAGGCUGGUGGUUUAGCAUGUAGCUUAGUAUACCAGCUGAGAAUUAGUUAUGCUGAGCUGUCAAGUUGGUUAUAACUGAUUCAGUAGCCUUUAACCACGCAUGAAGAUUCCAGAACAAUCUAGCUACUAGAUUCUUGUAUCCAUCUUGUAGUAUAAGUAGAGUGAUCUGUAGAUUCUGUACACAUUGUUAAGUAUGCUAUGAUUGAAUAAAAUACAUUUUUCGUCACUUUCAAUUUCAUUUUCUCUAUAACCAAACACUGUUUUAGCCGAAUUCAAUCAAUGGGAAUUAUAAGAAAAUAAGCAGUAAAAGCAAAUAAACAUUAGGGAAAUGAACACUCAACAAUAUACCUACAUGUAAACAUCCUCGGAAGAUCUAAGAAGUUGAGCAUAGUACACAAACGCACACAGAGAGCAAUUGAAACUUGUAGCAAGUCUGCAGACUGCAGAUACAUGUCCGUAUCAGCACUAGAAUUUUGCUUGGAAGCGUAGCACUUUGGAUUAAAGAUAUACUUGUUGACUUGCUUCUGUCCACAGAAACAAUAAGAACCUUCAGUUGGAAUGAAAUCAGAGAUACAUUCAGAACCACCUUGAGGAAUUCAUGCUCAACAGCAACUUCAGUAAUAAUCAAGAUUAUAAACAGUAGAGAGACUCCAUUCAGCUUCAAUCCCGAGUGUCCCGAGUGUAUGGAAACUGGAUGGAGACUACACUUCUGCACCUUCAAUCCCGAACUAGUUUGAAACAACUAAACUUGGUCAGAUCCAAACUUCCAGUCAAGAUUAUUGCACUGUUGAAGAUCAAGAAUAUAAUGUAUACGAGCUUCUAUUUGAUCAGCUUUCAUGUGGUAGUGGUAGUGAUGUUUAUGUUUGCCUCUGACAGGAUGUGAAUGUUUUUUAACACGAAACGCACAGCAAAUAGCAUAUCCAACCAUCUUCUUCUUAUCGUAUGAAUCUGGAGGACUUAUUAUUGUUAUUGAAGAUCCCUCAUUCGGAUAGUCGAACCACUCCGGAAUCUUACGUCUAGGAAUAGCUAUGCUGAAAUCUGACUCCCAGGAAGAACAAUGGUGAAAACUCAGGUACUUUGUGGGAUCAUAUAACUCUAUUCAAUUAUUUAAUGGAUGAAUGACAUAUUAGUUGAGAAAUUCAACAUUACACGUGGGUAAAAUAAUAGAGUUUUGGAUCAGCCGUCAUCGUAUUCUUUCUUUAAUGUUAAACAAAUUGUUGGUUAUAAAUAAUUGGUGAUCAAAAUUGAUUAAUCUGUUUAUAUAAAUUAUUGAAAUUGAUCUUGUUCAUAAAAAACACUGCAUAUAGCUAGUAUAGUUAAUUUUGAUCUUCCUAAUGAUGGAGGUUGAAAAGUUUUGAGUCUUCGUAUAUGCAUUGUGAGAGUAAUUUUUCUCUUUCUUUCAGAAACAUAUUAAAUUUUUUCAAGCUAUUUCAUACAUAACAUCAAGGGUUUACUUUUCCAAAAGAGAGAUUAAUGCAACUUAACUGGUCAAUAAAAAUUAACAAUAGGUUCAAUUUAAGUUUUAUCUUGACAAAAAGAAAAAUUACAUUAGGUUUAAGAAUUUAAUAAGCUAAAACAAUUAGGAAAUUAAUGGGUUAAAGUAAACAUGCAACUAAAGUGAAAUUAGAAAAAUAAUGAAGAUGAAAUGGAUACAAGUAUUUUUCUUGGUUUCACUUGGAAACCUCCAAUAGUAUGAGUUAAAUGUAGGGAUGGCAAAAAUCCCCAUGGGGACGGGUACCCUCGGGGAUUUUCCUCAUUCGGGGAGGGUAUGGGGAUAAUUUCAUACCCAAUUUCUUAUUCGGGGAGGGGAUGGGGAAAUUUUUUUACCCAAUUUCUUAUUCGGGGAGGGGACGGGGAUGAGGUGGAAUCCCCAUCCCCUACCCAUUUCCCCAUUUUAAUUUUUAAUUUUAUUUUAAUUUUUUAAAAUUACUAGUAAAUAAAUUAUAAAAUUUAAAUUAUAAAAUUAUAAAUAUUGGUAAAAAUAAAAAAUAUCAAAAUAUUUAUAUUAUUAAACUUUUGGGCCUAAUUAACUAAUUAAAGUCCUAAAUUUUUAUUUAGGAAAUUAAAAAGACAGGGUAGAUUCUAUUAGCCCAAAAAAUUUUAAUUUUAAUAUUCUUUAAAUAUUUUAAACUUAAAUCUAUUUUUUAUUUAUUUUUAGAUGUUAUAAUUGCCCACAGCGAAUCACAAUUUUAAUAUCUAAUCUAAUCUAAUAUAAUAUUUGCUCUUGAUUUGCUCCGAUUUAACUAUUGUGUUGUAAAGGGAAUAGUUCACAUUUAUAAAGUGCCCACGCCACCAUUGAAAAAGUUAAUUUUGAAUCUAAAUUCGAUUUUAUUUGUAACAAUUUUGUAUUAGACUAUUAAUUUGUUCAUGAUAGUUUGUAAAAGAAGUUUGUAUCCCUUGCAUGCUGCGUUACUUAUUAAUUUAAUGUAUGUGACUUUUGUAAUGGAUAUUAAUGUAAGAUAUAUUUCGAACUUUAAUUUUAUUUGAAUUUUUUAUUUUAAUAUGAUUAACUCAAAAUCAAAAACAAAAAAAAAUAUAUUAGUUAUUCGGAGAUCGGGGACCCUCGGGGAUCCCCUGUUAUUAUUCGGGGAGGGGAUGGGGAUUCUCUCAAAUAAUUCUGACGGGGACGGGGAGGGGACAGAGACAUACGCAAAAUAUCGGGGAUGAGUACGGGGAGAUUGGUCCCCUCCCCUCCCCUCCCCAUUGCCAUCCCUAGUUAAAUGUUAGAAAAUUGAUGGGUAAAGCUGACACACAACUAAAGUAAAAUUGAGAAACAAUAAUCAUAAAAGAACACCAGUGAUAACACUAUGAAAUGAGAGUUAUCAUGAUAUUUUUAUGCUUAAAUUAACAUUACUUAGAGAGUAAAUGACAUAUUUUCAUUGCAUUUUAGCUACAUUUAUGGGUAGUCAUUUAAGUUUAAUUUUAAUAAAAUUCAUGUGUUUUUAGAUUAUUGUGUGCUUUGAUUACUUGCAUAAUUGUAGGUGACCAAGAAGCUCAAAUUUCAUGGAUGGAACGUUGCUGUAGCAGGCUUGCGGAGUUACAAAAGAACUUGGAUGAGAAGUAAUUUUGAAAUAAUGAAAGAUGCUGGAGCAAUAUGUUGUAGUACUAUUGCUGCAGCAACUCCUGGAGCAACGAUAAAUGAGAUAUCACACGUUAAAUAGAAGACCGCAAUCUAAAGUUUCCAAAAAUAAGAGAUUCACUGCCAUACGUUUCUGGUAACCCUAAUUUUGAUUUAUAAAAAGAGCACAUUACAAUGAAAAAAGGAGAGUUGUCAUUAGAGAAAAGAAUCGAGAAACAGUACAAGAGAAAAUAAAGAUAAAGAGACAGAAUUAAGGGCUGCAUCAAAGGAUUUAUGAAGAAUAUUAAGGGGAUUCAUAAGGACGAGCGGAUUUCAACUCUUAUUCUUACUCUCUUAUUUUUAUCUUGUUAUGAAGACUUGUUUGAUGGCUGAAACUAUUUUGGUUUUUGUUUUAUAACAAAUUAUGAACUAAAAUUACUUAUGGUUGAGUGAUAAACAAUGUUGAUGGUUAACUGACUGAUUAUAUGUGUUGCUGCAUGUGUGCUAUAGCAUGUUGUUUUUAUAAUACUUAUUUCAAUUCACUAUUUUUAGCUGACUACCCAUUUAGUGGUACUAGCUAAGUAAAAGCCUAAAAAAGGUCUGUCUUAGUGGGACAUAUCAAAGUAAUUCUUGGUUUUAGGUUGGAUUUCAUGAGUUGAGUUUAACUUGAUUCAAAAAAGGUCAUGCUUAAUCUAAAAUUAGUGAUGAACUAGACAUAGAGAUUUACCUUGUAGGAUAAUUAGAAUCUAAAACGUGUAAUGCUAUAUUUUAUGUUAGCAUAACAAUUGGUCACUGUUAAGUUGUAUCAAGAUAUAAGACAUCCAAUAAGUGAUAGCUGAUGAUACAUAAGGAUUCUGUAUAGUACUGUAAAAGAUGUUGUAGCAACAUAACCAAAAAUUAGAAAAAUAGUCAAAACCAUUAAGAGAGUUUAAUCACUCAACUACUCUAUUCUCAUUGAUUAUAUCCUUGUAUUUGACGUGAUGAUUUACCUUAUUGCAUUUUUAUUUUAAUUAAUUCAUUAGUUUUAUAAAUUAUUUUAUUUUUAAUUUUGGAACAAAAUAAGGUUGCUGCAGCAAUUCAUAUAACAUCAAUUCCUAUGGAGACAAUCUCGAAUACUUAUCAUUAUAUUACUUGUUGUGUACACUUGCACAAUGACACCCAUAGCAUACAACAAUCAGAAUUUUCAUAGUUAAACUUUUAGCCUACAUUCAUAGGUGAAGACAGAAGGAAAUGUUUUACUAAUGAAAAGAAGUUAUAAGUAUUGUAGUACUUUGUCUCACAAUCCAAAAACCUUAAUAUACCUAAACUCUAAAAACAUUAGAACAAGAGUUUAAAGCUCUCAACACACUCUUAGUCUCCAAUUCCUGGCUCUGUCACUUCACAAUUAGAUUGAGAAUUAAAGAAAAUGAAAUGAAUGAAGAGGACAAAUGAAACCUCUAUUUAUAGGCCAAGCAAUACCCAAAAUCAGCAAUGUUGGACUUUAAAAUAAUAUAUAUUUUCAUUCAACUUUCAACUUUGGUGACAAAGCCAAAAGUUGUGUGCUAGACAAAUGCCUCCCACUUACUCAACAAAUUAUGCCAAAAGUCAAAAGUUGCAUGUUAGCAACAUAUAAUUGUUUGCCAUAUACAUGCACAUGUUCAACAAUUCUCCCACUUAGAGACUUGAUUGAGAACCAAUCAUGUCUCCACACCAUCCAUUCUUUUUCGUCAUUGUUAUGUUGCUUACAUCUCUGCUAGGCUACAAGAGGAUCUACUCCAUACAAACUUGUCAGCAUUGGUUCGCUUGGUCAAAACAUCUCCUCGGUUCUCUUUGGUAUGGAUUUUUUUGUAAUAAAGUGGUAUUGUACCUGAUAACUCUAGAAAAUGAGAGUUAUCAUGGCAUUUUUAGGCUUAAAUCAAGACUCCUUAGAGAGUAAUUGAUGUGUUUUAGUGCAUUUUAACGAUAGUUUGCAUUACAUUCAUUUUAGUUUAAGUUUAAUAAAGUUUACGUGAAUUUUGAAUAAUUGUAUGCCUAAAACAUAUGUUCAACUAUAGGUCAAUGGAAACCUGAAUUUUAUGGAAAAGAUGUUGUUGCAAUGGACCUAUAAAGAGGACAAACGAGCAUGGCUAUAUAAGAAUUGGAGCACAUCUGGAAUAGUGAAGAUGCUAUAGCCAUUGUUGUAGGCUGUAGCAAUCCUUGAGCAUUGACGGAGAAAAUAUGGGCAAGAUUUUCAUAAUAUUGCGAUAUGCAGUUUUCUAAUCUGAAGAUGCAUGCCCUAGAGUUUCCAGUUACCCUAAUUUGUGAUUAUAAAAUGAGGCAUACAUGCAAAGGAAAGAGGAGGCCGUCAAUCGAAACCAAAAUAGAAAAGAAAUGAAGAAGAAACAGAAAUCCCGAGCAGAAUUCAAGACUUCACCAAUAGAAGAAAUUUACAGAUUCUAUUGGAAUUCACUCUUUCUCAUUCUUUUCUUGUCAUUCAUUGAUCAUGACUAUGUACUCGAUGGCUACCACUUGGUUGUUUAAUUUCUAUGCACAAAUUAUGAGCUAAAUUUAUUUAUGGUUGACUGUUAAGCUAUCUUGAUGGUUGAUUGACCGAAAAUAAGUAUUGCUGCAUGUUUGCUAUAGCAUUUUGCUUUAAUAACAUUUAUUUAGAUUCAUUAUUCUGGUUGACCACUUAUUUAAUGAUACAAGUUAAGAAAGAGCCGCAAAAUGGCCUAUUUUAGUGGAACAUAUUAGAGCAAUACUUAGUUUUAGAUUGAGUUUCCUAAAUUGAGUUUAACUUGAGUCCAAAAAGGGUAAUGCUUAAUCUAAAGAUUAGUGAUAAACCGGAUGUGGGGAUUCACCUUGUAGGGUAAAGAGAACAUGAACGUGUAAUGUUAUAUCUUAUGUUGACAUAGCAAUUGGUCAUUAUUAGGUUGUAUAAAGAUAUAAGACAUCCAACAUGUUACUGCUGAGGAUAAAGAUGAAAUAUAAGUGUGCAACCCAAGAGGGGGGUGAAUUGGAAUUUUAAAAAUUAUCCUAGAAAAUCCACACAACAAACAAUCUAAUGUCUUAAUAAAAAUUGAAAGCAAUAAGUUCAAUAAAAGCACAAUAACAAAUGAGUAAGGGAGAAGAGAAACAAACACACGAAUUUUUACGUGGUUCGGUAAUCCCCGCCUACGUCCACGCCUCCAAGCGAUCCAAACUUGAGGAUUUCACUAUCCAAGCCUUUCCAAGGCUUCAACCAUUUACAAUUAACUUCAAGGUGUCAAUGAACCUUUACAACAAAGAGAUUAUCUCCCAAUCUCUUCACUCAAGUGUCUCACACACUCAAACUUUUACAAUUAAGAUGAAGAAAUGAAAGUUACAAUAAAACUCACUCAAAGAUUAGAUAUUCAAAAAUGAAGAACAAUAGAUGAUUCAAUGUUUUGUGAUUUGCAAAUUGAAAGCUCAAGAUAUUUCGUGUGCUUUUUGUUUAUGCUUGCUAGAGAGCUUGAAAAUGAGUUGGAUUUGAGUUUAUAUAGUUUGAUCUAAAAAACUAGCCGUUAUGCACAUUUUGGUCAUAACCGGCUUGCCAUUUAGGAAUUUGGUAAGCCGCUUUUAUGUUGCCAUUAAGGCAAAAAUUUGAAUUUCAGAAUAUCUGGCAUGCCGCUUUUCAUAUCCAGUAAGCCGCUUUUGAAAUCCGGAUUGCCGCUUUGCGAAAUUCGGAUAGCUGUUUAUGCUCCAGAAGCUUACUAUCCAAAAUCCAGUUUGCCGUUUACCAUAUCCGGUAAGCCGCUUGCUACAGUAACUGCUACAGUGAAAUAUUUUCUAAAUUUAUAGUUUGACCCCAAAACUUUAUAAAACUGUAUUAUAGCCCAAAAUAUUAUAUUAUUUUGCAAAUAGGUCCAAUUUCAGAAUCUCUAAAUAAUGCUUGCUAUUCCCAAAACUUUUUGAAAUUAUAAUAUGGCCCAAAAUGUUAUGAAACUUUUCCAAUAAGUCCUCCAAAAUUUCGAGCAAUACUUGUUGAUUUCAAAGUUUUCAAAACUCUUUCAAUUAAAUCAUAAACUUGAAAAACAACUAAUUUCAUAAAAUCAUUUUUCCAUUAAAUAUAAAACCUUUAUAAUGUGAAAAUAAUGAUUUAUUUAAAAUAUAUAAAAAAUAAUUUGAGCUUAAAUAUUAAUCAUUCUUAAUCUUGUUUGUUAUCAUCAAAAUCAACAUUAUGCAAACAUAUAUAUUAACAAAAGAUGGUUUAUGUCCAGUGUUGUAACAGAUGUUGCAGUAACCGUACUCAAUAUAAAUAAAAUAGUUAACACCAUUAUAAGAGUUUAAUCACUCAACCACUCUAUUCCAAUUGAAUUUACUUUUGUGUCUAACAUGCAAUUUUCAUUCAUUGCAUUUUCUUUAUUAUCGCGGUUAUUUUACAUAGUCUAUUAGUUGUAUUAGUUACAUUGAUUUUUAAUUGAGAACAUAGAUUACACUGUGAAAUUGUUGUAGCAAGUCUGAUAGCAUCAAUCCCUAUGGAGACGAUCUUGGAUACUCACCCUUAUAUUACUUGUUGUGUACAUUUGCACAUUGACAUUACUAGCAAUUGAGUUAAAGAUUACAACAGUACCCCUAUGUGCUUUGUCUUGAAAUGAAAUGUUGGAUUCCUUGCAAUGUACAAGAUACUCUAAUUGUCACAAAACAAAAACAUUUUCUCUUGUUUGUACCCAAACUCCUCCAACAACCUUUGUAUCUAAAGAACCUCUUUGCAAGGUUAUGUAGCUACCAUUAUUAUGCUUCUGUUGUAGAUAAAGUCACAAUGAUUUUCAGUUUUGAAACGCAGGUUACAGCUUUUCUUGCAAGUGUAAACACAUAGCCAGUAGUAGAUUUCCUUUAUCAAGGUCCCCUGCAAAAUAUGAAUCCUCAAGGCCUCUGACAGUAAAUUUUAAUCCUCCAUAACAUAAUGCAACAUCUAAGAUUCAUUUGAUGUAUCUGAGAAUCCUCUUUACAGUUUUCCAAUAUUCUUCACCAGGAUUCACUCUAUAUCAACUGACUGCUCACACGGCUUGUGCAAUAUCUAAUUUCGUAUAUAUCAUAAUGAACAUUAAACUUCCUAUUGCUGAUACAGAAGGUAUUCGAGACAUCUCCUUCCUCUCUGCUCUGUUGCUAGAAUAUUUACUUGAGGAUAACUUGAAAUUAACAGGAAGUGAGGUAGAAAUUAGCAUACAAUCUUGCAUGUUGAAGCGUCACAAGAUUUUCUUCAAGUAAUUCUUUUGGGAUAGCCAAAUCUUCUUGUUAUUUAUGUCUUAGUGAAUUUGCAUUCCUAUAUUCUUGUUUGCUAGUUUUAAGUCCUUCAUUUUAAACUACCUAGCUAAUUGUGCCUUUAAUUCUUGGACCCAAUCUUUGUUUAGGCCUGCUACUAACAUGUUAUCCACAUACAAUAGUAUAAUGAUAAAAUUAUUAUCCUCAAACCACUUGUAAUAUGCACAGGUCUAAACCGAGUCUAUUGUAGCCAAGGCUCAUGAUGAAGGAAUCAACUCUCUUAUACCAACAUCUCAAUGCCAGUUUGAGACUAUAUAGAGAUUUGUUCAAUCUACAAAAGAAGUUUUCUUUACCUGUUUCAGCAAAACCUUCUGGUUAGUGUAUAUACAUUUUUUCUUUAAGUUCUCUAUGAAAAAACACAGUUUUCACAUCUAAGUGCUCUAGGUUUAGGUUAAAUACAACACAUAUUGCAAGGACUAUUUUGAUUGUCGUGAGUCGAAUUACUAGGGAAAAUAUAUCGUUAAAGUUAAUGCAUUAUUUCUGAGCAUAUCCUUUCACUACCAAUCUUACACGAUACCGCUCUACUUGGUCAUUGCCAUCACGCUUGAUCUUGUAAACAUAUUUUUUUCCUCUGAUUUUUCUUCCACGUGGUAGUGGUAUAAGUUCCCACGUCUUAAACCUAUGUAGAGCUUUAAUUUCUACCUGCAUUGUUGUCAUCCACAAAACAACAUUUAAGCCAUUUAAAGCUUUAUGGAAAGUUGAUGGCUCUGCAUCCUCUGUUAGAAGAUAGUAUACAACAUUGAUCCUAUAACAUACUCUAAGUGCCACACCGACGGUUGUCUCUCGCAAGUUGACCGAUGAACUUCUGUAGCCUCAGACUCCACUGGUUCUUGCUUCUCAUGCUUUAGUGGUGUUUCAGAAUAAUCUAAAUCUUCUUUUCCCGGAUUAUUUUCAUAUACAUUGGUACAAUCUCUGACUUGUUCUUCAAAGUGCUAUCAUUCUCAUUUUUCUUUUGUAGUCGAUCUUCUACAAAGAUAACAUCUCUACUGAUGACAAUCUUGUGGGCAAUGAGAUCCUACAGACAAUCUUGAUAAGAAUCUUAUAGUCAAUCUUUUUUCUUGAGCAUUGUAAGUGCAUAGGGCAUCCAUAUGCAUGCAAAUGAGAAGAAUCACCAGGCUUCCUAGUCUACAUCUCAAUUGGUGUCUUUAACUUAAUUGUUGUAGGUGGCAAUUAAUUUACUACAUAAUAGGUGGAUUUGGUUAUUUCUAACCAAAAUGAGUUGACUAGAGCAGUCUUCAAUAUAACUUGUAUUCAUUCUGUAAGAGUAUUGUUCAUUCGCUCUGUCACUUCAUUCCAUUGAGGAGUGUAUGCCACAAUGAACUAUUUUUUAAUACAUUUUUGCUUACAGCAUAUAAAAAACUAACUAUUUGUAUAUUCUCCACUAUUAUUUGUUCCCCAAACUCUUGAUAUUUUUCCUGAAUUUAAGUUCCACCCGUGCUUUGUAUUCUUUGAACACUGAAAAUGCAUUUGACUUUUUCUUAAUUAGAUACACCUAACAUCUCCUGGAAUAAUCAUCUAUGAAAGUCAUAAUGUACGUUGCACCUCCUAGGGACAUAUUCCGGUGAUUCCCAAACAUUAGAAUGAACCAAGUCUAGAAUGCAUUUACUUUUGGUAUCAGAUUUGCUGAACUUCAAUCUAUGUUACUUACUCGUAACAUAAUACUCGUAAAACAGUAAGUUCGCCAAUUUGAGCCCCGAAGCAAUUUUCGUUCUAAGAGAAUCUUCAAACCUUAUUUUGACAUGUGGUCAAGUUUGAGAUACCACAUCAUCAUCGACUUUUCUCCAUUUGACGAGACACAUACAUUAGCUUCUUGUAAUGUUUCCUCUUUAAGUAUGAACUGACUAGCACUGAUUUUUUCCCAUCUUCAUCAAUACAAGCAUAUCUCUUAAAAUCUUCAUGAUUUUAUUGUCCACAUGAGUUUUAUAGUUAAAACUAUCUAUUUAUCCUAAAAACAAUAGAUUUUUCUUCAAUCCUUUGAUAUGUUGUACCUUCUGAAUUGUGCGAACUGUACCAUUAAACAUUUUUAUUUUGACAGUAUCAAUACCAACGAUCUCCAAGAUAUGAUCAUCACCCAUAUAUUCUCUUAAGAUGGGUUCAUAUCUGUGGAACCAUUCUUUUCGAGAGGUCAUGUGCCAAGUGGUUCAUAAGUCUAUAAGCCAUACAUUAAAUAAUUGUUUUGUCUUCUGCAACCAUUGCUGCCUUGCUGUAUAAAAUGUCACCAUCAAUUGAGGUACUUGCUACACAUCCCUAAACAUUUCAUGACUCAUGAUUUUUACUCUCUUUUCUCUUUUAGUUACUCCAAAACUCUUUCUUAACAUGCCCCAUCUUACCACAUUUGUAGCACCUAAUUUUCUUCUUCUUGAUUUUGAUCUACCAUGCACUAGAACCACGUUCCACUGAUUUUCGUCUCACCAUUAUUAGUGUUCUGCUUGCUGCAAACUUGCUUGCCUAUCUUUAUUGUUGUUGCAUCUACCCACUUCCUCUAAUACAGAGACUAUAACAUCGUCAAAGACUAAAUACUCUGUGCGGAUAUUAUUUGUCAAGUUGAUGAUGAUUUGAUCAUACCAGUCAGGUGAACUUUGAAAUAGAAGCUUUGCAUGUUCAAUUUUCUCUAUUUUAUGACCUAACAUUGUAAGUUGUAAAAAAAAAAUUUUCAAAGUGUUGAUAUAGUCGGUCAUUGAUAUGGUUUCUACCAUUUGAACACUAUAAAGUCUUCUCUUUAAGAAGAUUUUAUUGUGUAGCGACUUGGCCUUGUUUACUUUUGCAAGGGUAUUCCAAAUACACUUCGCUAUCUUUUGCUUUGCCAUACUGGAUAAUAUCUUAUCUGCAAGUGCCAAGUGUAGAUCAAUAAGUGCAUUGUCGUCCAUCUAAUUCCACUUGUCAUUGGUGAUUUUUAUAAACCUUUCUGCAAUUACUUCUAAAUAAUUAUUUUUCCUCGGGAUUGCUCACAUCUUCAUUUUUCACAAUGAGAGAUUGCUCCUAUUGAACUUCUCAAUUUCAAAUUUUGUUGCCAUUUUGUUAAUAAAUACCAUACACAAGUUAGUGUACCACCUUGAGUAGUUAUGAGUGAUCGCACGUGUGAAAAUGCACAGCAGAAAAGUUUCCAGGAAUGACUGGAUGGAUCACAACGGUGCCAUUUAAAACCCAAACUCUCUAGGCUCUUAUCGCCUUUGUGACGGAACUAUCCUAGACAUGUACAAGACCACGUGAUUACUUCUACUCACACUAAUACUCCUUACUUUAUAUUGUGGAAUUCUUCGAUCGCUCCCACUAUUUUAAGUAAACAGUAUCAUAUACAUGAAGAGUAUUGUAUACGUGAACAAUAGCUGACUCCAAAAACUAUAACUAAAUGGCUCUGAUACCACUAUUAGGAAAUUGAUGUGUGAAGCAGACACAUAAUUAAAUUGAAAUUGAGAAAUAAUGAUCACAGGAUGACACCAUAAUUUAGGUGGUUCUGCUUUUCACCUACAUCCACGGGCAAAGGCAGAAGGAAAUAUUUUACUAGUGAAAAGGAGUUACAAGUACUGGAGUAUUUUGUCUCACAACCCAAAAAACCCAAUGCACCCAAACUCUCAAGACACUAGAAUAAGAGCUUAAAACUCUCAACACACUCUCAAUCUCCAAAUCUUGGCUCUUUCACUUCUCAAUUAGAUUGAGAAUUGAAGAAAAUGAGAUGAAUGAAGAGGGCAAAUGAAGCCUCUAUUUAUAGGCCAAGCAAUGCCCCAAAAUCAACAACAGUGGGCUUUAAAAUAAUAUAUAUUUUCAUUUAACUUUCCCCUUUGGUGUCAAAAACAAAAGUUGUGUGCUAGCUAAAUGCUUUCCACUUACUCAUGUCUCCCACUUACUUAACAAAUUAUGCCAAAGUCAAAAGUUGCAUGCGAGCCACAUGAAAUUGUUUGCCACAUGCAUGUGCAUGUUCAACAGUAAAAACCACAAGCAAGGAUUUAACUAGUUUAAACGAGGACUACAAAACCUUCAACGUUGGUGGAUUUCACUAGUUUAAACGAGGAUCACAAAUUUAUCUUUUCUCUAAACAGUAAGAGAGAACUAUUACUCAUUUUCGUAAUAGUUGGGGGCUUAGGCCUAAGAUGCAAAGGUAUGUAUCCAACUUAAAUGACUAGUUUUUCACUAGUGAAUUUGGGACACACAACUCAAUAGAAAGAACACAACACUCUCUCACAAAGCUUAGGCCCUGUUUGGUAUUAUUUUCUAAAUGAUGUUUUCAUGAAACAAAAAUGAGAAUGGAAAUGAUGUUUUCAAAUUUGUUUUUAAAAUUUAAAGUGUGUUUUGUAUCAUUUUCAAAAAUAAUCUUGAAAAUGAAAAAAGUUAAAUACUUUCGAUAAGAAAAUCUUCAAGAAUUAUUAUUAGAAUAAUUUUCCUAAACUUAAAAUUGAGUAAUGAAUAAUUAUUUUUAUUAUUUAAUCAGUUUAUUUUUUUAAUUUUAAGAAUAAAUUAGGUGAUCCCAUUAUUUUUUUUUGUUUAAAGAAAAGUUAUAAACUCUACAUAUUUGAUUUAAUUAAUAUAUAAAAACAUAAAUAUUAUAAUGUAUAUAAAAAGAAAAGAUUAUUGUGGAGGAGGGAAAUCAAUUUUUUGGGAAUAAUAAUAAUAAUAAUAAUUUUGAAAUUAUUAAUAUUUUGUGAGGUGUUGGAAGAAAAUUGUUCAUUUUGAAACUUAAUACUGUAUUGGAAAAUAAGGAAAACAAUAAAAAGUUGUUUUCCUAUUUCUUUUGUUAAAAAUGUAGAAUGAAUUUUAUAUUUUCAAAAAUAUGUUCAAAAAUGGUCUACCGAACAAGUAUUUAGUAUUUUCUGAAUGCAGAAAACAAGAAGCAGGAUUUGGAAACAAUACUAACGGACCUUUACUUGCUCCCAAACAAUGAUCUUGCAGAUACUUUAUUUUAUCGAAAUGAACCUCAAACAAGUUUAUUUGCUUCUGGCUGUCAUUGACUCAUUGACCAUUAGCAAUAUAGUAUUAGGUAGUGCCCUCUCUUUUCUUUUUUAUCUUUGUCUUCUCCAAUUCGAGCUACAAAUGUUGCGAAGAAUUCCUUUCCAUCUCCUCUCCAUUGUUUGGCUUCAAUAUUUUGGAUUUGAAUGGAAUCACAAUUUCUCACCUAUUGUUAUACAAAGUUUCGAAUACAUUAUUAUAUAAAAGUGUAAGUUAAAAAAAAUUAGAAUAAAAUUUAAUAAUAUCAUAAAAAAAUUUAUAUUUUACAUCAUCCAAUUUUUGACAAAAACUCAAGUAGAUAUCACAAGUAACGCAGCACCAACAUUUGAUUUUUUUUCUACUUUUGUACCCAAUUUUCAGCCAGAGUUAAAGUAAAUAAAUUUUAAUUAAUUUAUGAAAAAAUAAUAAUAAUAUGAGAUCGACGGGUCCCAUCGAGAUUUUCUUAUCUCUUUAGUAAAUUUCCUGCAUAUCUAUUUUGCAUCAACCUUAACAUUGUAUGUGAAAAAUUUCUGCAUAUUUAUUUUGUCCUACGGAGACAAUAUUUUGAGAUUCAUAUACAAUUAACAUAAGGAAGCUUCCGAGAAAUUUCUGGGUGGACUUCAAAAUGAGAAAAGAAAUUAAAUUUGUUGGACCACCAUCAUGAAAUUUUAAAUUUUUUGGACCCCAAUCUGCCUUUGUCUUUUCAUCUGAUUGGAAGCCACUCGAUGACAUUGACUGAUCAUUGACCAUUUGGUGCUCUCUUCUCUUCGUCUUCUAAUUCAACUUACCGUCAUGAAAUUAAACGAUCAUUCGAGGCAUCUUCAUCGAAAUUAUUUGUUGCGACAAUCCCAUAAUAAACGGCAAAUAUCAAUCGCAUAAAGCAUACACGGAUAAGUCAAUGUUUACGGGGAAAGAUUAAAAAAAAAAAUUCAUUAUUAAAAUAUAUAGGGAAUACAAAUAUUGAAAUAUUUAUAUUAUAAACCAAAUUCUUAAUAAAAUCAAGUUCUCAGAUCACUCGAAAACAUUUUUGUUAUCUCAAUUGCUAAAGAAUUGCUUCUCAUAGAACACACGUUAAGUUUUCAAAUUGUUGGAGACUUUUCUCACACUGGCUCAUGGAUUCUGCAUCCAAUUUAUAGGCAAAUCUAGAUUUCAAAUGUCAAGAAUAACGGAAUCUAAUAGCUCGCAAUUAGAGCAUGCAAAUCUUGACUUUUAGAAUGCGAAAUCUCUGACUUUUAGGCUCGGUGAAAAAGUGAAGAACGAACAUGGCUUGUUUCCAAUUGCACGAUAAAAAAAUUCUAGUAGACUGUAAUUAUUGAAACAUGAAUAACUAGAAAUAUUUUAGAUGGUGUAUUUAAAGAAAAAAAACGUACUAAAAAAUCUAAGUCAUGUAUUGAUGCGCAUGGGAGUUGUUAAUAGACCCAAUUGUUGUAGUUAAUUAGAUGACUCAAUGUAUCGGCUUUGACUGUGAUCUGAGAGAUGGAAUUACAAAUAUAAAUUUGGGUAAUAAAAGAAAAUUUCUUGUCAAAAUCUUUGAAAAAUACGCCGAAAUUUCUGGGGAAAAUUUUAGUUAUUUUUUUUCCCCUGCAGACGUGUAGUUUGGGGCAAGGAAAGUUUUUUCUCUUCUAAUAUAAAUAGGAAAAUUAUGAUUUUUUGUCCCUCACAUUCAGGAAGGCUCAAGGAAAGUAAGUAAUCGUGAGUAUGAGUCUAUGGGAAAAUAUGCUGUGAGAUUAAUUGGUCUUUUAUUUUAUUUUUAUUUUUAUUAUUUUCUUUAGUGACGGUGGCGAAUAGUAUUUACACCUUUUUUUACUAUUAAUUUUUAACCAUCAUUCACUAUUUCUUUCUUUUGGAGAAACGCGGUUCAACAGUAACCAUAAAGCUGGAAUUUUAAUUGUGGAGGGUGCACAAGAGUAAUAUAGAGUGUUUUAGUCUAUUCAGUGUGCAAAUAACCCAAUGUUAUAAGAGUUAUGAAUAUAUGUUGUAUGUAUUUGUAAUAUUUUUGUUUUGGGAGGGGGUUAUAUUAAUUUAAGAAUUCAACUUCAAUCUAGACAUCAAAAUAUGACCAUUUAUUUCGUUCAAUCAAUUAACCCAUGAAUUUAUGGUCAGACUCUUGGAUUGUUUGUUGAUUGGAAAGGCUAAAAUUGAGUGGGAAAGUAAAGCAAUGGAGGAAUAGAAAAAGAUCUAUGGCAAAGAUCGAUGAACAGUGGCCAUGAUUUAAUAAUGAAUUACAGACAUGUUGGCCUUACGGAAUAUGUUGUUGACAAAAUUAUGGAGUCUCGAUUUCUUGGGGAUGAAUGUGAUUUGUGAGAAUGGGGGAUGAAUUUUUUUUAUUAAAGUUUUACUGAAAAUAUAAUAGUUUAUUAAAGUUUCCUACAUUUGUGACAAAAUUAUGGAGUCAUCCAUGCUUCUUGUCUUCUGAAUCUUAUUUUAUUAAAGUUUUACUGUCAUAUAAUCAAUUAUCUCAUACUUUAGAUUGAAUUAAAUAAAUUUUCAAAUUUUGAUGCUUAGAUUACAAUUAAAUUCUUAAGUUAAAAUAUCCCUUCCCGUUUGUUUUUUAUCUAAAAAAAUCGUUGGUACUGAAAAAUAAAUAAUCUUAUUUUUACUGAAAAUAUAAUAGUUUUAGUCUUCUAAUUUGUUUAUUUUAAAAGUAACUCAUUCACCACUUUACAAAAUCAAAAUCUUCUGUAGUAAUGAAUUGAUUUUACAAGAAGUAACUUUAAAGUUUUUACCAAACACUUAUGUUAAUCAUUAGCCUCUCAAUAUCACUUUUGAACAUCCCAAUAAGCAUAAACUAUUUCAUUUUCUAAAUAAUAAAUGCAAAAUGAUUGAAAUACUUUUUAUAUCAUAAAAGUAAAAAUAAUUUUAUUGUUUGUAUCAAAUUAAUAUUACUUAGAUAUAUUUAUAUUUAAUUAAAUUAUUAGAAAAUUAUUAAAUAAUAAAAUAAUCUUUUUAUUCAUAAUAAGACAAAUUUAGAGAAAAAUUAGAUGGUAUUCGUUAGGAAACUUUAGAGAAAAAUGAAUGUGGAACUGUCCCACCACUUGGGAUUCUUUCACAUAAUCUUUCAGUGGAUCUCAUUAACUUUUAUUUUGAAAAAUCAAUUGAUGGUAUAGCCUGGUAGGGUAAUACUCUAGGUGGUCCCUUUCGCGUUUUUAGUUGUCGUACACGAUUUAUCUCUUCCUCACUUGAAAUAAUAGUCAAUAAAGCUGCAUCUUCACUGGAAUUAUUGUCUACAGUACUUCCUGAAAAAUGAGAUAAAAAAUAAUUUUAUAUAAACUUCAGGAAGGUUUCAAGCACCAAUAAUUAUUUAAAUUUACUCACAAGAAAUUACUUUUAAUAAUAAUAAUAAUUUAUAUCAUGAAUAUUUUUAUGAUAAAUUUUUAUAAAAAAAUGAGUGCUUAAAAUAACUGUUUAGAGUGCAAAUAAUAUCGUCUAAUUGAUAAUCCUCCCUGCACAAAUACAAUUUCUUAAUAGGGCACGUGUCAGUAGAAUUGAGCACAGAAGCGUGAUUGGAAAAGUCUAUGGUGGAUUGUUGGGAAAUUUACACGCUCUCCACCUUUUUGGCUGCAUUCACUGUUUUCGUAUUUCUUCACUGGAUAUGAAAGUCAAGAAGAAAGCUGCACCUUCAGUGCUUUUGUUCACAAAUUAUUUUUGUUAGAGCUCAUAAUUUAACCAAAACAAAAAAGAGGACAAAAGCAGGACACUAUUGCCAAUAGUUAUGGUCCGACAAAUUUGAGAAUUGAUCAAGAAAGCAAAGGGUAGCCGGUAGCGUAUGAAAUUGCGCGUUGAAAUUAUGGUGCUUUUGGGUAAUUCACACCCUUUUUAACAUUUUUCUUUCUACGAUUGAAUAACGCGGAAUAAUUUCAAUUAAAAGUGAACAAAGCUGCAUUUUAAGUGAAAUUAUUGUCCACAGUGCUAAGGAAAUCAAAUGAGAUGAAAUUAUACUCCCUAGAAGGUUCCAAGCAUCGUUUUACUCUUGAUAGAUACUACAGUCGCUAACAUUUGCUCGACAGCUCGAGAAAACUACGCCGAAUUUUUCGGGAAAUUUUUACUUUUUCUCUUCAAACGUAAAGUUUGGGGCAAAAAAGUUAAAAGUUUAAAGGUGGGUCCAAUUAUUCUUCUUCCUGUUAUUUACGCACGGCCUCCCAUUCACGUUAGUCGGACUUCAAUUAAUUUUAGGAGAUGAAACUACCACGAAAUUAACUCCAAGUGAGGGCCUAGUAAAGCAGCCAUAUAUUCCACGCGUAUUUUAUUCAAUUAAUUGAUUAUCAUCACAUCCCACGUCAUAUUAUUAUUGUAUCAACUUUACUUAUACUUUAUUACAAGGAUCUCCAUAAGUUGCAGCUAGCGUAAGUUACGUCUGUCCUGUCAAAUUUCAUUCAACUCCUAUAUUUUAAGUUAUUUACACUUUAUUCAUAAAUAUUAUAAAACUUUAUAUAUUGUAAAAUUUUGGUAAGCUCCUUGUACUCUGUUUUAUUUUAUUAAAACCCUUACAAUACCAAUUCAUCCCUAUAAUUUUAAAUUUCCAAUAUGCCCUCCAUUUAAUUAAAAAAUAUAAUAAUUAUUAAAUGAAUUAUAAUUAUAAUAAUUAUUUUAUUAUAACUAUAAAAUAAUAAUAAUUUUAAAUAGAUUAUUAUCAUCAUUAUUAUUAUUAUCAAGAAUAAAAAAUAUUAUAAUUAAUUAAUCUAUUAAUAAUAAAUUUUUCGUUAAAUUGUUAAUAAUAAUAAUUAAUGAUAAUUAUUAUUAAUGAUUAAUUUUUGAAUAAUAACAAUAAUAACAAUAAUUAAAAUACAAAAUAAUAAUUAUGAUAAAAAUUAAUUAAGGAUUUUAUAGUAAUUUUUUACAAUAUAACUCAUUCUGAUUUUCAUUCUAAGAUAAGGUAAACACAUAAAUGGUAAUACAGUUCAUUAUAAUUACGAUUCAUGCAGUUCAAGUAAAUAAAUUAUUCUAAUUUCAAUUUCUCAUUUUGAUUCUACCUAUUCUGAUUCUAACUCAUUAUGUUUCCAAUUAAUUUUGAUUUCUGUUUAGUGAACGCACUAUAAAAUUAUAAACUACUCUAUGAAAUUCAUAAUACUUAUGAAUAAAUUGUAAAUGAUAUAGAAUGAUCUAAUUGAAUAUAGAGUGGUCUCCCUGGAAGGUUCCAAGCAUCGUUUUACUCUUGACAGAUACUACAGUCACUAACAUUUGCUCGAUAAAACUACGCCGAAUUUUCCGAGAAAUUUUUUGCAUUUUCUCUUCAGACGUAAAGUUUGGGGGCAGAAAAGUUAAAAAGUUUAAAGGCAGGUACAAUUAUUCUUCUUCUUGUUAUUUACGCAUGGCAUCCCAUUUAGAUUAGUCGGACUUCAAUUAAUUUUAGGAGAUGAAACUACCACGAAAUUAACUCCAAGUGAGGGCCUAGUAAUGCAGCCAUAUAUUCCACGCGUACUUUUUGUAUUGUAAAAUUUUGUUAAGCCUCUUGUAUUCUGUUUUAUUUUAUUAAAACUCUUGCAGUACCAAUUCGUCCCUAUAAUUUUAAAUUUCUAAUAUACCCUCCAUUUAAUUAAAAAUAUAAUAAUUAUUAAAUGAAUUAUAAUUAUAAUAAUUAUUUUAUUAUAAAUAUAAAUAUAAUUAUAAUUAUUAUUAAUGAUUAAUUUUUAAAUAAUAAUAAAAAUAAUAACAAUAAUUAAAAUAAAAAUUAAUAAUUAUGAUAAAAAUUAAUUAAGGAUUUUAUAGUAAUUUUUUACAAUUUAACUCAUUCUGAUUUUCAUUCUAAGACAAAAAAACACAUAAAUGCUAAUACAACUCAUUAUAAUUACGAUUCAUGCAGUUGAAGUAAAUAAAUUUUUCUAAUUCCAAUUCCUCAUUUUGAUUCUAGCUAUUUCGAUUCUAACUCAUUAUGUUUCCAGCUAAUUUCAAUUUCUGUUUAGUGAACGCACUAUAAAAUUAUAAACUACUCUAUAAAAUUCAUAAUACUUAUGAAUAAAUUGUAAAUAAUAUAGAGUGGUCUAAUUACAAUAAUAAAAUGUAAAUAAUAUAAAAUUCUAAUUGAAUGACAUCAUUAUUCAAAAAUUAAUUAUUAAUAAUAAUGAUAAUUUAUUAUUAUUAUUAUUAACAAUUUAACAAAAAAAUUCUUAUUAAUUAUUGUUAAUAGAUUAAUUAAUUAUAAUACUUUUUAUUCUUGUUAAUAAUAAUAAUAAUAAUCUAUUUAAAAAUCAUAAUUAUAUUUAUAGUUAUAACAAAUAAUAAUUAUAAUUAUAAUUCAUUUAAUAAUUAUUAUAUUUUUUAAUUAAAUGGAGGGUAUUUUGGGAAUUUAAAAUUAUAAGGGGCGAAUUGGUACUCUAAGGGUUUCAAUGAAAUAAAACAGAGUGCAAGGGGCUUAAAGAAAGUUUACAAUACAGAAAGUUGUAUAAUACUUAUGAAUAAAGUGUAUAUAAUAUAAAGUAUAGGGGCUGAAUGAAAUUUGACAGGGCAGCUGUAACUUGCCUCAGCCGUAAGUUAGCCAAAACAAUGGAUUUAACUAAAGUGCAUUUGAAGUCCAUUAAGGAUAUUCUUCUAAUCUUCUCUUCAUUAUUUUGGUUUUGCUCUUUUUUUUUUUAAUCCCAUUUUUAGUCGAUAUAGAUGUAUAUGUUUGAUCAGUCCUUGUCGGUUAUAUAUACAUAUGUACUUUUGGACUGUCAUGGGACUGUACCAUUUGGAAAUAUCACAUUUUAUUUCCCGAUGCGAUAAAUUUUCUUCUCCAUUGAACGUUCUCUGGAUGCUAUUAACCAAAAAAUGCAACAUUUUGUUCUGUUUAUAAAUUCGGAUUAUUUGCUUCUGACUGUCAUUGACUCAUUGACCAUUUAGCAAUAUAGGUUAGGUAGUAGUACCAGCUCUUUUUCUUCUUUUGUCUUUCUCUUCUCUAAGUUAAACCAUUAUUCUAGGCAUCUCCAUUGGGAUUAUUCCAUCUGUACUUUACCAAAGGGGCAAAAAAAAAUUGUCACGAAACAGCGUGGAAGGUUCAGAGAAAAAUUUGCUAGUGUUUUCUUUUUGUUAAAUUCAAUUGGUUGAAUUUAUUUUUUAUUUUUUUAAAAUAGAAAACUAUAUUACAAAGAGUGCUGCUAGGUAGCGAGAGGAACGAGAGAAUGACGAGAGAAACGACAUUCUCUCCCGUCGUUUCGCUUCUCGUUCCUCUCGCUAAAGAAUGAAUAAAAAAUAAUAAAGAAAGACUGCUUUAAUCACUUCGUGCCCAGGGAAAUUUUAGCAUUUUGUCUCCAGCCCCCACUCUCCCUCUCUCCCUCACUUUCCUCUCUCCCUCACCAGCUUCUCUCCCUCACGCUUCCAGAAGCUCCGUCACAGAUUCCGGCGUGCCUCACGCUUCCAGAAGCUCCGUCACGGAUUCUGGCGUGCCUCACGCUUCCAGAUCCCUCACGGCUUCCUUCCGGCGUGCCUCACGCUUCCAGAUCCCUCACGGCUUCCUUCCGGCGUGCCUCACGCUUCCAGAAGCUUCCUCACGGCUUCCGUUCUCGGCUAAAGUUCUUGAUCCGAAUCCGAAAACGAGAAUGAGCAUAGAGAAGAUUAUGAACAUUUCUUGGUUCCAGAAAUUAUUGCAACAACAGAGAAAGACGGGGCAAGGAAGCAGUCUUUUUGAAUUAGGGGUAGCUGAUAAUAAUAAAUAUAUUCUUAAGGAGAAGAUACCGGAUAUGGUAUCAAUUUUGUAAAUCAGAUCAGUUUUUUGUUUAGUGGAUUUAGUUUGAAUGGAAUUCUCGGGUGUUUCUUCAGUUGCCUCUUCUGUUCUGCUCUGUUUGUUUAUCAUGCAAACUUUAUUUGUUUUUCUAAUCCCAAAAUGCAUACAUUUCCAGAGGUAGGAAGAAGCUAAAUCUUUAUGUUAAAUGCUAAAUUUUUCAAAAAAAAAAAUAUGGUUGUCUCAGUGCUUCCUGAAGACGCAGAAGCAGCCUAACCAAAGUAUGAACUGUUUUUUUAAAAAAAAAGAAGGAAAAAAGCAGCACUCAGAUGUAGCAUUUUAGCUAUCGGGCUAUCUGAUAUCACUAUCAUGAUUUCUUUAUGUUAGUUGCCUAAUAAGAAUAUGUUCAUCUGCAGCGCUUCUUUAACAACACACCAUCGUCAUAAGCCACGAAAGUUCAUGAUGCAAGUGCUUUACUGAAUCUGUUGUUCAAGUGGAUGCUGGUAUCCAGAAGUGUGGUAGUGACAUUCUAAUACAUAGCAAACCAAUCACAUAAGCCAACCAUGAAAAUGCAUAGGCAGUCGUUUUGAGUCAAAAUUUUCUAUAUCUUUACACAAAAUCAGAGACUUGUGUGUACUCAAAAAAAUGGAUUAAGAGAAGAUCUAAGCAUUGUUGUAAUCAUCAUCACAUUCUCCGAUCACAGAUGACAGGGUCGACAUCCAUGCCUGCAAACCACUCUGAGCAUUCUUCUUCCUUGUUAAUUCCAGCUUGUUUACAGCUCGCUUUGGUGAUGGUGAUUUGCGUGAGAAGAGCGUGAGGGAGAGAGGAAAGCCAGGGCUGGAGAUAAGUUGAUGAUUUCCCUCUGCACGCACUGAUAAAGCACUCUUUUUUUAUUUUUUUUUAUUAUUUUAAUGUUUUAACGAGCGAGAGGAACGAGAAGCAAAACGGCAGCAACUGCUGCCGUUUCUCUCGUCAUUCUCUCGUUCCUCUCGCUACCUAGCAUUUUCCUAUUACAAAACUUCCCGGUAGGUUCCAAGGAAGUAUCUAACAAAGCAUCUUUAUAUAACCUCCAUAGACUCAGUCGCAUAAAAUUAUUUUCACUUCCCAAAUUUUCUCAUCUGAUCAAAUCUCUCAUCCACUGAACUGUUAUGGCUUCUUCUUCCUCUUGUCCACCUCGAAACGCUAAGGAGAUGUAUGAUGUUUUUCUGAGUUUCAGAGGAGGGACACCCGUGACAACUUUACCAGCCAUCUUUAUUCAGCCUUGUCUCAGAAAAGUAUUGAAACUUUCAUUGAUGACCAACUUAUCAGAGGAGAUAACAUUUCACAGUCUCUUCUUGAUACAAUUGAAGCAUCAAGCAUCUCAAUUAUUAUUUUCUCAGAAAGGUAUGCUUCUUCUAGAUGGUGUCUCGAUGAACUUUUGAGGAUCCUCGAAUGCAAGCACGAUUAUGGACAGAUUGUGAUUCCAGUUUUCUAUCACGUUGAUCCAUCACAUGUGAGAUAGCAAAGCCAGGAUUCUUCUUUUGGGAAUUAUUUUAGUGGGCUUGGAGAACGUUAUCCAGAGAAGAUGCAAAGAUGGGGGAAUGCUUUGACUGAAGCAGCCAAUCUCUCUGGCUUUGAUUCUAAUGUCAUUUGGUAUGAUAAUUUUCUAUCUAAUUCUUAGUAUUAAUCUAGUACAAGUAAUAAUAUAUAACAUUAACUAUGACAAUGUGUUUAAAUAUUUAUCAGUAAUAUAUUAAUUAAAUCAUUCUUAAUUAUGGGGAUUAGGUUAUUUUCUUGCACAUUUGAAUAAGUUUCCAAUUAAAUAGCUAUUUGAUGAAAUUGAUCUUCACAUUAUAUUAAUUAGCCAUUUUAUAUUGCAACUAAUUAAAAACACACGAUUCUCUGUCUCGUUUACAUAUAUUGAACUAUAUAAUUGCUGUUAUUUUUUUACUAGGCCUGAAUCUAAACUUAUUGAGGAAAUUGCCAAUGACGUUUUGAAGAGGCUAGAUGCGACUUUUCAAAGUGAAAACAAAGGCUUGGUCGGAGUUGCACGCGCCAUUGAAAAAAUUGAAUCAUUAUUACGCAUUGGGUCUGAGGGUGUUCGCAAACUAGGGAUUUGGGGCAUCGGUGGUAUAGGCAAGACAACAAUCGCUGGUGCUGUUUUUAACAAAAUCUCUAGGCAUUUUGAAGGUUCUUACUUUGCGCUUAAUGUUAGAGAUGCAGAAAAAACUGGCGGAAUAAAGGACUUGCAAAAGAAACUUCUGUCCGAGUUAUUAAAUGAUGGAAAUAUGAGGAACAUCGAGUCUCAACUCAACAGACUUGCUCGCAAGAAGGAUAUAAUAGUUUUCGAUGAUGUGGGUCAUCGAAGACAAAUAGAAUCAUUAAUUGGAUGCCUUGAUGAGUUAGCUUCAGGGAGUCGAGUAAUAAUAACAACAAGAGAUAAACAAGUCCUUAAAACUUGUUGGGCCAGUCAAAUAUAUCAGAUGAAGGAAUUAGUAUAUGCUGAUGCUCAUAAGCUUUUCUGUCAGUGUGCUUUUGGAGGAGACCAUCCAGAUGCAAGUCAUACAGAGCUCACAGACAGGGCAAUCAAAUAUGCACAGGGAGUUCCUUUAGCUCUUAAAGUUUUGGGUUGCCAUCUAUGCGGAAGGAGCGAAGAGGUAUGGGAAAGUGCAAUGAGAAAACUGGAAAAAAUUCCUCACGAGGAAAUCCAGGAGGUGUUAAAAAUAAGUUAUGAUAGCUUGGAUGACUCUCAGAAGAAUGUUUUUCUAGAUAUUGCAUGUUUCUUUGAAGGAGAGCAUAGAGAUGAGGUGACAAGCUUUUUUGAUGCUAGUGGCUUCCAAGCUAAAAUAGAAUUAAGUGUUCUUGAAGGUAAGUCUCUCAUAAAUUUAGGCUUAUUUGAUGAGAUAAGAAUGCAUGACUUGCUACGAGAUAUGGGAAGAGAAAUUGUUCGAAAAGAAUCUAUCAAUCAUCCAGGAAAGCGAAGUCGAUUUUGGCAUCACAAGGAUAUUUAUGAAGUUUUGAACAAAAAUACGGUGAGCAAUAAUAGGUUCUUGACCAUAUCUUAUUUGUGUUACAUUAUAGUAGUAUUUUGUUUGAAUUUUUCUUUUUGAAUAAGAAUAGAAUUAAUACAGCUUAAAAUUAAUUGAAGAAUAAUAUUAAAAAAUUGGUAAAAUAAAAUAGCUAGAUCCAAUGUUUCCCCCACUCAGUUUGCAACAUGCCUCUAUUGGGCUAAGUUCAGAAUCCCCCAGCAAACUAGCGCUUUGGGAGAGAGAUAAUUAAAAAAAAAAAAAAAAAAAACCUCAUCCUUUUUCACUGAAAAAAAAAAAUUGCAUUUCCUUUUCAACUCUGCCCCUUUCUUUAUUUUCACUAAAAAAAAAUUGAUUGAAUUAAUUUUACAGUUUACAUAUUAAGCAUUUUCUCGAAUUUUCUAUUUUACAAUUCCUAAUAAAUUUACCCAAGUCGCUUAUUAUAAAGUGAUUGUAAUAUUUCUAUUUGGGUUUUACGGCUUAAAAAUAAUUGUUUAUUUGUUUGCUUCAAUUAUAUUCCAACUUAUGAUCUCCUAUUUGAUUGUUAGGGAACUGAAGCAAUCGAGAGUAUCUCCUUGGAUAUGAAUAAAGUCAAUAGAGAGAUACACAUGAAUUCCUAUACUUUCUCAAAGAUGCCUAAAUUGAGAUUCUUGAGAUUCUAUGGAGAUAAGAAUAAAUGUAUGGUGUCUCAUUUGGAGGGUGUGCCAUUUGCUGAAGUGAGGCACCUCGAGUGGCCUCAAUGUCCUUUGAAAACGUUGAAUAUAUGUGCGGAGAAACUUGUUUCACUUAGAAUGCCUUGCAGCAGGGUUGAACAACUUUGGGAUGAUGUUCAGGUAUAUAUUUAUUUGAAAUUCUUUCAGUAAUAAAUUCUAAAUAUAGUUGAUGCUAUAAUUAAUAUAUGUGAUAGUAUCUGUUUAUUUGUAAAGAUGAUGAUGAUGAUGAUGAUGAUGAUGAUGAUGAUGAUGAUGAUAAUAAUGAUAAUAAUUUUUUGGGGGGCGCAGGAUCUUGUUAACUUAAAACAAAUAAACCUAAGUGGAUCCGAGUCGUUAACGAAACUCCCAGACUUGUCACGGGCCAAAAAUCUUGAGAUUCUGAUAUUAGCAGUCUGUUUAAGUUUGAUGGAGACUCACUCAUCUAUUCAAUAUCUAAAUAACUUAAAUAUCUUGAUCUAAAUAAUUGCAAAAGCCUGACGAGUCUUCCAACUAGCAUUCAGUCGAAGUAUUUCAAGCAACUUGCGCUUCAUGGUUGCUCAAAUUUGAAGAACCUCCCAGAGAUCACAUCUUGUUUUUGGUUAGAGUUAUCAGAAGUUGGAAUCAAAGAACUGCCCUCAUCCAUUGAGUGUCAAUCCAAUCUGAAAGAACUACUUAUUAUGAAUUGUUCAGAGCUUGAGAGCAUCUCGAGUAGCAUAUUUAAGUUGAAGUCUCUUGAAUCUAUUGAAAUCUCUAAUUGUUCAAAUUUUAAGAGGUUUUUGGAGAUCCCAUAUUGUAAUACAGAUGGAAGUACUGGAAUUAAGCGACUAAACUCAUGUAAGUUGGUACUGAAAGAAUGUUCAAAUAUUGAGAGUCUCCCAAGCAGCCUGUGUAUGCUCAAAUCUCUGACAUCUCUUCAAAUCAUUGAUCGCCAAAACUUCAAGAGAUUGCCUGAUGAGCUUGGAAAUUUAGAAGCCUUGGAGUAUUUGACCAUUGAUGGAACUGCUAUAAGAGAAGUACCGGAAAGCCUCGGUCAGUUAGUCAUAUUACGGCGGUUGCAUUUGGCUAACUGUUCAGAGCUUGAGAGCAUCUCGAGUAGCAUAUUUAAGUUGAAGUCUCUUGAAUCUAUUGAAAUCUCUAAUUGUUCAAAUUUGAAGAGGUUUCUAGAGAUCCCGUCUUGUAAUAUAGAUGGAGGUACUGGAAUUGAGCAACUAGCCUCAUGUAAGUUGGUACUGGAAAAAUGUUCAAGUCUUGAGAGUCUCCCUAGCAGCCUGUGUAAUCUGAAAGGACUAUAUAUUAAGGACUGUUCAGAGCUUGAGAGCAUCUCGAGUAGCAUAUUUAAGUUGAAGUCUCUUGAAUCUAUUGAAAUCUCUAAUUGUUCAAAUUUGAAGAGGUUUCUAGAGAUCCCGUCUUGUAAUAUAGAUGGAGGUACUGGAAUUGAGCAACUAGCCUCGUGUAAGUUGGUACUGGAAACAUGUUCAAGUCUUGAGAGUCUCCCUAGUAGCCUGUGUAUGUUCAAAUCUCUGACAUCUCUUGAAAUCGUUGGCUGCCAAAAUUUCAAGAGAUUGCCUGAUGAACUUGGAAAUUUAGAAGCCUUGGAGGUGCUGAAAGUUAAUGGAACAGCUAUAAGAGAAGUACCAGAAAGCCUUGGUCAGUUAUCCUCACUAGAAAGUUUGGUACUAUCUAAUAACAAUUUGGAGAGAUUACCAGAAAGCCUCAAUCAGUUAUCCUCACUAAAAUAUUUGCACCUAUCCGAAAACAGUUUGGAGGGAAUACCAGAAUACCUGAGGAGUCUUUCAAGUAAGUUGACAUCACUCAAUUUAUAUGUUGACUUGAGAAAUCGUUUGAAAUUGGACUCGAAUGAGCUCAGUGAAAUCGUCAAAGAUCAGUGGAUGAAGCAGGUGUGUCUUUCAACUCACUCCAUUCAUUCUAUUUUCUUUUUCUUUUUACUUUAAUUCAAGUUAUCAUUAUUUUUCAUAAAUUAAUUAAUUAAUUUUUAUUAUUUUUUUUUUUUGUGUUGCAGUCGUUUGAUGGUUUCUUUGGGUUUGGGAUGGCUAAAAGUGUGUAUUUCCCUGGGAAUGAAAUUCCAAAGUGGUUAAGGUAUCAAAGUAUGGGAUCUUCUGUAACCUUGAAGACGCCACCAGCAGUUUUCUUCAACAAUAAAAUAUUAGUAGGCUUUGCUUUUUGCAUUGUUGCAGCAUUUCAUCCUUCAGCAGCAUUUCAUCCUUUAGGGUUUUUUUAUGAAGUGAUCUGUGGUUGGAAACGAAAAUCCAAAAACUUAAUCGACAGUUUUCAGCCUUUGGAGAGAUGGUGGCGUUUGGGGAGAAUUAGUUAUAUUGAGUCAGAUCACGUGUUCUUGGGAUCUUAUCCAUUGGGUUCUCUGGAUUUUUUAAGUAUGAGAGAUAAUGAGGUCUCUUUUGAUGAGGUCUAUUUUGAAAUUUCGCCUAAUUUUGGUUGUAAAGUGAAACAAUGUGGGAUUCAUUUGUGUACGCUCAAGAUUCUACGGAAUCAAGAGAAGAGGAAGAGGAGGAAGAGGAACCUGUUACACACUAAAAGACUGAAAUGUUCUUCAACUCCAAAGCAGCUGGUACUCUUUGGCACGAAAAUCAAUCUGUAGACCUUGUUUUUAUCUUCAUUUUAUAUAUGCGUUUUUCAAAUACGUUCGUUUAUGUAAUAUUUAUUAAUUGUUUGUUGUUGGAUGGAUGAAUCAAUAAAUUCAAAAUAAAUGGUAAUUAAACGAGGAUGUAGAUCUAUGAGUUCUCUCUUUGUUUUAUCUUUAAUUUGUGUUCGGUUCAUGUCUGGAAUAUCCCAAAAAUUACAUAUCCAUUUACUAACUAAAAAUGCGCUGAUUAGAUUAAAGAUUAUUUUAGUUAUUCUUACUUUUUCAGUUUAUAAGAAUAAAAUUGUUUUGUUAAGUUUUGAGAUUUGAAUUUAAAAGAAAAUACAAAUUCACUCUUGAGGAUUAAAUUUACCGUAUUUUAUAUUAAUUACUAAUUAGGUAUGACAAGGUGAAUGAUGUUGUGAAAUUUAGUAUUCCUAUGAGUAGUGAUCUCAGUAAGACAGUAAAGUACCUGUUUAAUACUUGUGAUAAAUUACAGGCUCUGUUUAACAUAUCAAAUACCAAAUUUUAAAUAUUACAAACAAUAACAAACAGAAUGUAGCUCCUAAUCGGUUAUUUGUUUCGGUAAAUAAACCCCACCAUUCCGUUUCAAGUUUCCCCAGUCAGUUCCAUUGAUCAUAUGCUGAAGCUACGGUGGAAUGAUAGAUCUUUUAGUUUCCUGCACAUCGAAACUCUCUAAUUGGUGUGUUAUUUUUUCGUGAAAUUUCUAAUAUCUAUUAAUAAUUUCUUGAUGUUACUGAGAAGUUAGUAGAUCAUGGGAUGAGAGCCCAAGGCUUUUUGGCUGAUCUAACUCCUAUUACAAUCAAGUUGGUAACUGCAUUUGGUAAUUAUAUCUUCAGUACUUGCAAUCUUUUAUCGCCUUUCCAAGUUGAUCUUAGUUAUUUGUUCUUAAUAUGUCUAAGGGUAUGGACUUGAUGGAAGGGUCAGGUUCUGUGGUGGUGUUAGAAUUGCUAGAAAACAUUGUUGUAUAGGUUCCGUUAUGAUAUUCUCCUGUGCCAUAUACAUCAUCGUUGUUUUGCAAGUGCUCUACGGCAUUCUUUACUGGAUAUGAAAUAUUUCAAGAUGGAAAUGAAAUAUCUCUAAAGCUACACACAAGCACAGGUUGGUCAUUUUAUUAUUUAAAAGUCUUCUAUCGCUUUUAACUUAAUUAGUUCGCAUGAUUCAUUUCAUAGAGGGUUGACCUGCUCUGUGGUCCAAACUUCAUUUGAAACAUAGGAAACUCCUUGGUAACGUUUUUUAUAUUGAAGAUUCUACUGCUCAAUUCUGUUGCUGUGCAGUUGGGCACGAGUCAACAGCAACGAUAGACUUGAAAGUAAUUUUUGCUGGGCAUGAGACCAAGUAACCAUUUUGUAUUUUGCUCGUCUGAUAGCGUUCUGCCAUACGGCAAUUUACCAAGCAUGGCUUUACAAAUGGAUUGCAGAAUUAUUCAAGGUGUUCUGCAUCUUUCAUUAUUGGACCAACGAACUAUUCACGAGUCAGUAGUGAACGAGAGUUCUAUAUGGUGGUUUGCUUUAAAUAUUGAUGGAAAAAUGUAGUCCAUUGUGUUUUUUUUAAUUAUAUCUUCAACAUCGUUUAGAAGUUCAUCUUUGUUAUCAAUAAGAGGUAAUAAUCUUGUUCCAUUUCUUGGUUCCAUCCAGCCUUUUAACUGCUCUUUUUAAGUGUUUGACACCCGUAUUGGCUGCAUUCACUAAGCCUUCUUCAAAUGAAUAUUACACAAUAUGAUCAAUGUGAUCAAUGGCGCAGGCUUUUUUAUGAUGUUGGAUGUUUGACUUUUUGUUUUAGUCAUAAUUUAGAUUCUUUGCAUCAGAUAUAUUGAUGGGUCCUACAUAAAUAGUUUUGCUCUCUGUUGGGUGCUUGAUUUGGAUAUUCUUAUUAUACACUGAUAUAAUACCAAGGCAAUUCUUGUUUCUAUUAAUUGAUGAAGUUACGGUCUGACUUAUGAAACAGGUUCAUGUUGUUCUGGUUGAAGUAGCUUCUGCUGCUGCAAAUGCUACACCGAGCCUGGAAGAAAUCCUUCGUUCAAAAGAGAGGUGCGGCUCUUUUGAUUAUGUUACAUAAUAUUUGUGUACGCACAUGCAUGAUUUGACCUGUAUGCGGUUCAAAUUUGCUUUUCCUUGUCACAAUAGUUGAUUGUUUGGAAAUGAGGUAGAGCAAGCUAGUGAUACUGAACAGUGUCAUUUUCCAUUUGUUUAACAUUUUGGGAUGAAUGGUUCGAUCAAAACUGCUAAAUGGUUGCUAAGUUCUUUUCCCAAAGUCCUUUGAAAUCUGUUUGCAUUUAUUAGAAUGGAAAUACAGUGCCAAGAGGAGGAGGUAAAGACCUGAACAGGGCAUACGUGCAGGACACGAUGGCUCAUAGACCUGCGGACAAUGAAGAGGAACGCCUAUGGAUGUGUGUCAAGAAGCAGGUGGUUAUAUCAUAGAAGAGAUUUGAAGAGUUUGGCUGCUAGUGUGCAAUGUGUCCAAAGAGCAAUCUCAUUCUAUGCAGUUCGCGAUGCAUAGCUUCCAACUAGCUCGAAAGGCAAGAACCUUACUUUAGAGGUGUAGGUUGCAAAGAGGGGUUAACUUUGCCAACUAAAUUAUCCCUGCAGUUACUUACAAAAAAGUUCUAAGACUGGUGUGCUUGACCGAGGAGGCAGUUGUUGCUUCCCAAAUUGAGAAAAGGAAGACAUGUUGAAUCAGCAAUAUAUCUGUGUCAGGUUAAUGCCAUUCAUGCAUCAAUUCUUGUAAGGGGAGGGAUGUAUUUUGUUUCAUCUAUUUACUUCUUUAUCUAUUCUGUGCAUUGAUAAUAUUGUUAAAAUUUUCUUACGAUAAUUUGGGUAGCGCACAGAGCAAAGCAAGGAUUGAAGAGUUUCUUCAGGAGGGAUCACUUUCGGAAACAGUCUGAACUCCUUUCUAAACUAACACAUACGCCAAUUUAGCACUCCAUGAUUUUUGCUGAUAAUUCAUAUUUUCGCUGCAUAUUUUUAUUGAGUGAAAAGCUUCUUAACCACUUCAUGAUCCCACCAGCACUUUGCUUAAGCUUCAUUUGAUUAUAAUCACUGGAAGAGGGUAUGAGUUUAUGUUUGUGUACUUAGAACAAUGUAUAGUUUCCUGAAUGUUAUGAUUUUACAUUGUGCCCCUAUGUCAGAACAAAGGAUUCAAAGUGUAUUUGAUUUCCAUUUAUCAUAUUCUUCUAUUCAUUAUUUUGUUUUUACUUUUCAUUUCUAUUUUUCAAUCAUUGAUUGCAUAAAAUUUGAGAGAUUGCCUGAUGAAAUUGGAAAUUUAAAAGCCUUGCGCUACUUAGAGAGCUGAAGGAACUGCUAUAAGAGAAGUGCCAGAAAGCCUUUGUUUGUUCUCCUAGCUACAAGUAUUGAUUCUAAGUGACAAUUGCAAUUUUUGUAUGCUCAAGAUUCUGCAGAAUCAACCGAAGAGGAGCCACACCGCAAAUGACUGAAAUAUUCUUCAACUCCGUUGCAGCUGCUACCCUUUUGCGAACGAAUCAUUCCAUAGGCCUUGUUUCUUUUUGCUUGAUUUGUUUUUCACUUUUAUCUUCUUUUUAUAUAUGCGUGUUUUUUUCAAUUCCUUCAUUUCUUGUAACAUUUAAUAGUUGUGUUGUUAUUUGAUGGAUGAUCAACGAAUACAGAAUUAAUUGUAAUUAAUUGAAGACGUACAUUAACUAAUUCUUUCUUUUUUCGUCUUUAAUUUGUGUUCAGUACAUGUCCGGACCCCAGAAGUUACAUAUUCAUGUAAUGUCUACUACCAUAGUUUGACAUUUGAAAUUACAAAACAUGCGCUGAUUAAGAUUAUUUUAAUUAUGCUUACUUUUCAAAUUUGAAAAUUUAGAAGAAUAAAAUUGUUUUGUUAAGAUUUGAGGUUUGUAUUUGACACAAAUUUACUCUUGAGGGUUUAAUUUAUCUUUAUUUUAAAUUAAUUACUAAUUAGGUAUGAUAAGGUGUAUGAUGAUGUUGAAAAUUACAAUGGAGAGCAAUGAUUACAGCAAGGCACCCAUUUAAUACUUAUGACAAAUUUAGAUGGUUGGCAAAUUACAGGAUCUGUUUAACCCACCAAAUGCCAAAUUUUAAGAAUUACAAACAAUACAAAACAGAACAGACCCCCUAAUGGGUUAUUUGUUUCAUCAAAUAAGCUCCCCUUUCCAUUUCCAAUUUCCCCAGUCAAUUCCAAUGAUCAGAUGAUUAUGCUAAUGAAAUGUUGAAAUUCCUCAGUAAGAUCAGUUGCAUUAAUGCUUUUAUAGCUCAAGUUCUGUUUGAACUCUAAACCUUAGAGGAUAUUUUGCACUGCAGUGCUGUUAGGCACAAAGAAUUGGAAAAAUGAUCUGCUUUCAAAAUUGAUGUGGCAUAGAUAAUUAAUUUAUUUAUUUUUGAUAAGGAAAUAGCUUUUUCAGUCAGACUCAAUAGCUUCCGCAAAAGUCUAAAUCUGAGAGAUCCUUAGGAACUUCAUGAAAGUCUCAGGUCCAUACUGACUAGUGCUCUUCAGAGCAAGUUAGACAGAAUGGCUCUGCUGAAUGCUAUGGCACAACAGAUUCGCAAGUGUUUGAAAGUCAGGGUUCUACACCUCCUACGCAGAUUCGCAACUGUUAAGGUUUGAGAGAAACAAGAUUGAUGAAAUUCUAAUUUAAACCAAAGAACAAGAAUGAACAACAACCGAUCAAGAGUUAGACUUAAGAACAACAUCAAUGCACUUUUAUUGAUAGAAUCACGUAGAAAUUGACCAGCAAGAAUAGAGAGUGAAAACUAAGCUUCACCACGAAACAAAUUUUUCACAAAAUGGCUAAGCGAUUACAGAAAACAAUGCCAAGAAACAGAGCCUAACGCUCAGCUUUACACAGGUUUUUUUUAAAAAAAAUAAUUCUUAACAAACUCUUAUUUUGUCGGUUAUGCACGUCGGUUUGGAUAAUAUCCCGAACCCCCAAACUGUAACUUUUCGAUCAUUUGCAAAUAAUUCCAAUAAUAUCUGCAAAACAGCCCAGUAACAACAGAUAGGUGAGUAGAUGGUUCGCAGCGCUGGGGGGACGAGAUCUUUAGCAUCGCAAAAUUGCUGCAAAUUUGAGGACAACUUCCUGCAAUGCAAUACGACUGGUGAGGUGAACUUAAUUUCUUUUUGUUGUUUCUUCUUGUGCUUGCAAAUUUUGCAAAUAGCUUACUAGAAAGUUUGAUUCUCUAAUGGCAUUGUUUACAUUCUUUCCAUUUAUAUAACUAGAGAAAUGUAAAAGGUGAAAACUAGAUGUAAAGGAGAAUGUGAUAAUAUCCUCUCUAGAACUGAAGCUUGUAGAUUGUUACUUGAUUUCAGGAUAUAUAUCAGCUGUUUUAAAUUUGUGAUACAGGGUUUUGGUUUGGAAAUUGUCGCCAGUUUUGAGACUUUUGAAGGGAAUUUUCUGAAUAGGAUCUAACAGCUCAAUUUGUAUGCAACUGGAAUCAAAGAGCUGCCCUCAUCCAAUGAGAUCUUACUAGUUACAUUUGAGCUGAUUAACUGUUCGAGGAUUUUGAAGUCUUUGGGGGAGCAUAUGUAAGUUGAAAUGUCUUUGAGAUUUACUCUUUCUGGUUGUUUAAAUCUGAAGAGGUGUCCAGAGAUCUCAUCUGGAAACAUAAAAAGUUUCCGUUUGGAUGGAACUGCAAUCAAAGGACUGUCCUUCGCCUUAAGAGUUUCUAUCCAAGGCUUGAACAUCUCCCGAGAAGCAUAUUGAAGUUGAAAGAUCUUCCAGAUCCUAAUCUUUCUCAUCGUUUGAAUUUGAAGAGGCUUCCACCGAUCCCAUCUUGUAAUAUAAAAGUGUAUAAUUAGAUGGAACUGCAAUCAAAGAACUGCCUUCAUCCAUGGUGUCUUUUUGGACUUGUUGCUUUGUCUUAUGAAGAGUUCAAGGCUUCAUCAUCUCCUGAUAAGCAUAUUUAAGUUGAAAUAUAUUGAAGAUCCUAAUUUCUCUAGUAGCAUAAAUCUAAAGAGGAUACCAGAGGUGUCAUCUUGCAUAUGAAAUUUUUAUAUUUAGAUGGAACAACAAUCAAAGAAUUGUCUUCAUCCAUUGCAUGUCCUUCUAACCAGUUAUCUUGAGUCUUUCAAUUUGUAAAAGGCUUGAGAGUGUCCCAAGCAGUCUAUAUAAGUUGCAAUGUCUUCAAGAUCUUUAUCUCAGUGGUUGUUCAAGUCUUCAGAGAUUUCUAGAUAAACAUGAAAAUUUAGAAGGCUCUAAAGGAAAAUGCAGAGACAUAAAUGUUGGUGCAUAAACACUUAAAUUUGUUUGUUGGGCUGACGAAUUAGCACUGCAGCUUUUCUACUCGAGCAGAUAGCUUCGACCAUGAACCUGCUCCACCAUAUCUCUUACAUUCACAAAACUUAGUUAGAGGGGCGCCGAAUGUUUUUUCGGUGAGAACCCUUAGAUGCUCAAAUCAGAAAUUGGGGCUUUUAGGAAAAACUUAUGGUACAACCCUCAUGACUUUCUAUAACUGCUUUAAACAAAAAGCUUUUUAAUUAAUCUAGAAAAGAAAGAAAAAGGAGAGAAAUUAUUAAAAUAGAGAGAGUAAGAUAGUUCAGUCCAUCCCAUUACCUACAUGGCUGGGACUUUUAUAGAUGGACAAAACCACCGCCUCAAAGUCGAUGCAUGAUCGUUAGUGGAUGAGCCAGAUGACCAUUAGUGGAUUAGCUUCGUGCCCGAAUAUUUGGGAGAAGAAUCCCGAGUUGACCUUUGACCAAUUCUUGUGGUUGUCUUCGGCAGAUUUCUCCUCAUGUCACCCCAAUUAACCGCUCGUCCUCGAUAUUCUUCUUGUGAAGGUAAGGAGGAUUAUCCUCAAGCCAAUCCCUUCGCACCUUAUUUGAAGAGAGCACGAUUCGAGCACGACAGCGUCUAAUCAUGCUGUCUUUUUGUCUCCCAAAAGGGAGCCAUUGACUGUUAUUAACCAGAUUCUACCCAUAUUACUCCUCAUAAUUGCUUGGUCAUUACUAGCUUCCACAUCUGGCUUCGUGAGCUUUGCUACAAAAUCUGCCAGUGUUGAAUUAGCUGAUGAAGCUGAACCUCAUGCAACACACGUUGGAGUGCCAGCUGGAAUUAAGCCAGCUGUAAAUCCAGUAGCUAGUCUAUAAGUGAAAGUGAAAGGUGCACGUGAGAAGCUGGAAAAUUCCAGAUGGCAAAACUGUUAUGAAGAGAUUCCCAUGCAGUUGGAUGAGGCUGAAAUUAGUUAACAAAUCAGCUCCUGUUAAUUGUGUUGAAGUUAGUUACAUUAGCAUUUGUUAUUUAGAAGUUAUAUUGCUUAGCUGUAAUUGGCGUGAUUAGCAAGCAUUAGAUUCUACUAUAAAUACUGAGCUAAGCUCAUUACUGUAAUUAGUUUUUGUGAUAAUAAAAAUACAAACAGAUCUUCAUCUUCUUCCUUUGAUCUUCAAAUUCCAACUUGGUAUCAGAGCUAGUUGUUAUAAUGGCUAGCAAUGAAUUUCAAACCACAAGCACUCGAGCUUCAAGCUCAACUGCAAAUCCAAUCACAAACUAUAUUGAUCUACAAGUGAGUGGUCCAUAGACACUCUGUAGUUAAUUAAAUGAGCUGUGAUUUGAGAUAUGAAUUUACAAAUGUAAAUUUGGGAGGAAAAAAAAUUUAUGGUCAAAAUCUUUGAACUCUCUGUCGUUAACUGAACGAAACACGUCGCAUUUUCUGGGGAAAUAUUUUAGUUUUUUUGUCAUUGCCUCACAUUAGUCGGUCUUCAGAAGUAGUGAAACACCCAUAUGUCUCACGCGCAUUUCAUUCAAUUAAUUAAGUAUUCUUACAUCCCACAUUAUUGUUUCAACUUGCACUGUCCGAAUAACUAACCAGAGUUUUUAUUGAAAUUAUUGUGUCACUUAUUAGAAAAGAGAUAGGAAAAAAAGUUUAAUUCACAAGCCAACUUUAAAAAGGCCGAAAAAAAAAAGAAGACUGGAGUAGAUUACAAGUAUUAAAUGUAUUGAUGAGGUUUCAACAUUUUUUUAAAAUCUUUUUAUAUAAUUUUUUUACCAAAGUUCAAAUAACUAUUUUCAAUUAGUUUUAAGGUAAUAUAAGAUGACGAUGAUAAUACGGGAUGAACAUCAACAUAAAAUUUAUUGGUGCUUCAUCAACACUGAUUUUCCCAUCUCUUCAGUAAAUGUUUUACAUAUUUAUUUUGCAUCUAAUUUCAUAUUAUUGACAGUUAAUAGAAGUGAUUAGUAAUUAAUAGAAGACUUAAAAGAAUUAAAGAAAAUGGGCUCAGCGUGCAUGAAAAUAAAUACAAGAGAUUAAAUGAAAAGAAAAGAUUGCGUGGUGGACUUCAAAAUGGACACAUAAAAUAAAUUUUGUAUUUUGUUUCAAAAUAAUUUCCAGCAUACAAAUUUUUUUUUUUUUUUUUGAUUAAGAGGGGCUCUAAACAGAGCUAAGGAAUAACAAAGCGGGGAUAGACUACCCCAUAAUUAUCUUGGGACAUAAACUGAAGCACUCCUUUAUCUUGGGACACACCCCAGAGAUAUGAGUAGAGCCACCUUUCUUCUCAUCAGCACAAAGGAUGGAAUUGAAAUCGCCUCCCACCAGCCACGGGCCAUGAACCGUUCUAGCUAAGAAAUCAAGGUGAUCCCACAAAUGCCGUCGCAAAAUAGGAUUAGGGCUCGCAUACACAGCUGUGAUCCAAGUUUCAAGAAUAUUAUUCUUUGAAAUUUUGAAAUGGACGAAUUGCUUAUGAUUGAAUAAGACUUCCACAUCAAAAUAACCCCGCCAAAGGAUCCAGAUACCUCCGGAAAAACCCGUAGCUUCAAUACGAUGGGAAUACUCAAAUCCGCUGCAUUUAAUAAAAUCAUCGGCUUGCUUCCCACUGAUUCUAGGCUCCAUUAGACUAACCAUGGAAGGGCCAUAAUUCUUUAUAAGGGUAUUAAAAGAGCGACGAAAACCCUUCGAGGCUGUCCCCUGUACAUUCCAAAAAAGGAUUUGUAACUUCAUGAAAGAAAGAUUGGAAAAGAAUAGGACCUUACUGCAGCGGCUGAGAUGCCUCUUCGGCUAGGUCCAUGGCCGUUUCUUCAACAAGGGACACAUCACCUUCUGAGGAGUCAGCCCCGUCCUCACUUGUAGCCACAUAAUCACUAUCAUUCGCAUCGUCUUCCAUGUCCAUGUUAGCAGCUAACCCCGUGAGAUUGGGAGGGUCACCGUCUAAUUCGGGCCAAGUGAUAUGCCCAUCAACACUGUUUUGGCCAUUGGAAGUUUUAGGAUGGACAUCAGUACAAGGGGGGUGAGCAGCGGCGUAAUCAGUAGAGAAAGAGAUGGCCGAAUGAUGGAGGGGGUUUAAACUAGUAGGAACGUGCACAGGUAGAGGUAAAGGAUUAGGGCUCGCAUGGGUUGCAUGGAGGUUGGUAACACCUCGUGAGACAUGUGUGUGAAAAAUGCUUUGGGGAGCUGUGUUUUCUUUAGUAUGGGAUUUCGCAUGCAGUCCAGUAGAUGUUCCCAUGUGUCUCAGUUCUGUUGGCUUAGCUGACUUAUGGGCAUCUUUUCUUCUAGUGGGUUUACUUUUUGUCGGCCAAGUAGGGCUAGAAUUAAUAGUAUUGUUCUCUCGAUGUGUCUGUUCCAUAUGGGCAUCCUGUUUCUCCUCGUGGUUUGAUUCUCCUUCCCCGAGAGUAGCUAAGAUAUUGAAUCUCGAUUCCUUCCCAUGCUGCCCUCGAAAAACUUGCUCAGUUGCCUGACUGGAAUUGCUGUCCUUCUCCACUCUCGGCUUUCCUUUGCGAGCCACUACCAUCCAUGGCCCGAAUUUUGGCUCAUUCCGGCUGUUGUUUCCGGCCUUACUCAUCCACUGCUGCUCCGCCGGACCACCUGGUAUUGGCAUAUCGUCCUCAGUCAGACCAUUAUUCUCCCUCUCUGAACAGUUUUCUUUGUAAUGACCGUACUUCCCACAGUGGAAACAAAUAACCGGGAGAUUCUCGUACUCAACUCUCUGAAUUUUACCAUCCAACUGAAACUGAGAAAUCAGAGGGCUCUUAAGAUCUAUUUCUACUGCUAUUCGAGCGAAUUUACCCCUCUGUGCAGAUUCUGUAGUAUAGUCGAUACGGAUAACCGAACCAAGGAUUUGCCCAAGCCGUCGGAGUAUUUGCUUGUGGUAAUAAUGCAGAGCCAUGCCCGGGAGACGAAUCCAGGCCACCACUUUAUCUAUCUCCCCUUUAGAACUAUCAAAGUGAGGUGACCAUGGUUGUACCGUCAGAUAAUGUCCCAUAACAGUCCAAGGUCCGGAUGUUAAAACAUAAUCUGCAUCUCCUGCAUUCUUGAAACGGACCAAGUAAAAAUCAUUCUCUAGAUCAAUGAUGUUAAAUCCCGGCGUCAAGUUCCACAACGAUUCCAAUCUGUUACACAAAGCCCUGUAUCCAAUGCGGCGACCCAAUAGUUUAACCACAAUUGUAUUCUGCCAAGGCUUGAUCAACUGCUCAUGAACUUUCGGUGAAAAAGUUAUGGAUGGCAUAGAAUCAGUAUUCAUAACAAUUACAUCCUCCGGUUUUAAAUCUAGAUCUUCGUCGCUGCCAAACAACUCUUCCUCUGUAUCCUUUUGUGACUUCAUUAAUUGAUCUCGAAAGGAUAGGCGCUCAGAAGUUUCGCCAGCAUCACUUUGAGCUCUAAACUUGGCCUUCUUGGUGGAGCGAUCAUCAGCCAUGGGUGGGGGAGGGGUUUUCUCAAAGCUUUCCUGCAUUCCUUUCAAGUCUUAAAUAUCUUUUUUACAUCCGCAUUAUUUUUCUUCAUACAAAUUUAAUUAUAUGGUAACUCCUUUUUCUGUGUCUUAUAAUUUCAACCUACAGUCAACAAGUUAAACCGUUAUUCUAGGCAUCUUCAUUGGAUUAUUGCAUCUGUACUUUACCAAAGGGAAAACAAAUUGUCACGAAACAGCGUGUUUCUUUUUGUUAAAUUUAAAAGAAAACUUUAUUACAAAACUUCCCGGUGGGUUCCACGGAACUAUCUAAUAAAGCAUCUUUAUAUAACCUCCAUUGACACAGUCGCAUUAAAUUAUUUUCACAUCCCAAAUUUUCUCAUCUGAUCAAAUCUCUCAUCCACUGAACUGUUAUGGCUUCUUCUUCUUCCUCUUGUCCACCUCGAAACGCUAAGAAGAUGUAUGAUGUUUUUCUGAGUUUCAGAGGAGAGGACACCCGUGACAACUUUACUAGCCAUCUUCACUAUGUUUUGUCUCUGAAAAGUAUCAAAACUUUCGUUGAUGACCAACUUAUCAGAGGAGAGAACAUUUCACGGUCUCUUCUUGAUACAAUUGAAGCAUCAAGCAUCUCAAUUAUCAUUUUCUCAGAAAGGUAUGCUUCUUCUAGAUGGUGUCUCGAUGAACUUUUGAAGAUCCUCGAAUGCAAGCACGAUUAUGGACAGAUUGUGAUUCCAGUUUUCUAUCAAGUUGAUCCAUCACAUGUGAGAUCGCAAAGCCAGGAUUCUUCUUUUGGGAAGUAUUUUAGUGGGCUUGAAAAACUUUAUCCAGAGAAGAUGCAAAGAUGGAAGAAUGCUUUGACCGAAGCAGCCAACCUCUCUGGCUUUGAUUCUCAUGUCAUUAGGUACAAUAAUUUUCUAUCUGAUUCUUAGUAUUACAUUAACUAUGACAAUGAGUUUAAAUAUUUAUCCAUAAUAUAUUAAAUAAAUCAUUCUUAAUAAUGAGGAUUAGGUUUUUUUCUUGCACAUUUGAAUAACUUUCCAAUUAUUUUAUUUGAUGAAAUUCACAUUAUAUUAAUUAGCUAUUUCAUAUUGCAACUAAUUAAAAACACACGAUUCUCUGUCUCGCUUACAUAUAUUUGAACUAUGUUAAGAAAAUGUAAGCUGAGUCAGAUUGCCACGUCAUCAGUUGCCAAGCUGUCAUUCUGUUAUGCAGAGUGUCAUUAGAUUCGAAGUUUGUUAAGUUCCUUCCAAAAGUUUGUUACUAUCAGCUAGUUCUCAACUCAUGCUUUACACGUUGUAGAAGAUUCCAGAUCACACUAUAAAUAGCUCUGUAAUGUUUAGAUUGUUAUGUGAGCUUAAUAGAAACAAAUUUUCCAGCUUCUAGAUUUCUCUCGUUAAGCAUUUUCUUUCUCUUUCUUCUUUAUUUUCUUGUUAAACAAACAGAGUCUGGUACUUCUUAACUAACUAUAUAAUUGCUGUUAUUUUUUUACUAGGCCUGAAUCUAAACUUAUUGAGGAAAUUGCCAAUGACGUUUUGAAGAGGCUAGAUUCGACUUUUCAAAGUGAAAACAAAGGCUUGGUCGGAGUUGAAUGCCCCAUUGAAGAAAUUGAAUCAUUGUUAGGCACUGGGUCUGAGGGGGUUUGGAAACUAGGGAUUUGGGGCAUCGGUGGUAUAGGCAAGACAACAAUCGCUGAUGCUGUUUUUAACAAAAUCUCUAGACAUUUUGAAGGUUCUUACUUUGCGCAUAAUGUUAGAGAUGCAGAAGAAACUGGCAGAAUAAAGGACUUACAAAAGGAACUUCUGUCCAAGUUAUUGAAUGAUGGAAAUGUGAGGAACAUUGAGUUUGAACUCUACAGACUUGCUCGCAAGAAGGUUCUAAUUGUUUUUGAUGAUGUGAGUCAUCGAAGACAAAUACAAUCAUUAAUUGGAUGCCUUGAUGAGUUAGCUUCAGGGAGUCGAGUAAUAAUAACAACAAGAGAUAAACAAGUCCUUAAAAGUUGUUGGGCCACUCAAAUAUAUCAGAUGAAGGAAUUAGUAUAUGCUGAUGCUCAUAAGCUUUUCUGUCAGUGUGCUUUUGGAGGAGACCAUCCAGAUGCAAGUCAUACAGAGCUCACAGACAGGGCAAUCAAAUAUGCACAGGGAGUUCCUUUAGCUCUUAAAGUUUUGGGUUGCCAUCUAUGCGGAAGGAGCGAAGAGGUAUGGGAAAGUGCAAUGAGAAAACUGGAAAAAAUUCCUCACGAGGAAAUCCAGGAGGUGUUAAAAAUAAGUUAUGAUAGCUUGGAUGACUCUCAGAAGAAUGUUUUUCUAGAUAUUGCAUGUUUCUUUGAAGGAGAGCAUAGAGAUGAGGUGACAAGCUUUUUUGAUGCUAGUGGCCUCGAAGCUAAAAUAGAAUUAAGUGUUCUUGAAGGUAAGUCUCUCAUAACUUGCUUCCAUAACCACAUAAGAAUGCAUGACUUGAUACGAGAUAUGGGAAGAGAAAUUGUUCGAAAUGAAUCUAUCGAUCAUCCAGGAGAGCGCAGUAGGUUGUGGUAUCACAAGGAUAUUUAUGAAGUUUUGAAGAACAAUUCGGUGAGGAAUAAUAAGUUUUUAAUUGUAUCUUAUUUGUGUUACAUUUAUAUUAGCAAUUUGUCUGAAUAUGUCUUUUUGAAUAAAAAUAGCAUUAAUACAGCUUAAAAUUAAUUGAAAAAUAAUAUUAAAAAAUUGGUAAAAUAAAAUAAAUAGAUCCGAUAUUUCCCCAACUCAGUUUGAAACAUGCCUCUAAAAUCCCCAGCAAACUAGCGCCUUCGGAGAGAGACCCAAAAAAAAAAAAAAAAAACACCUCAAAUCUUAUUGCAUUUCCUUUUCAACUCAAGCUCUGCCCCUAUCCUUAUUUUUCACUAAAAAAAUUUGAUUGAAUUAAUUUUACAUUUUACAUAUUAAGCAUUUUCUUGAAUUUUCUAUUUUACACUUCCUAAAAGCAUUACCCAAAUAGUUUAUUAUAAAGUGAUUGUAAUAUCUCUAUUUGGGUUUGACGGCUUAAAAAUAAUUGUUUAUUUGUUUGCUUCAAUUAUAUACCAACUUAUGAUCUCCUAUUUGAUUGUUAGGGAACUGAAAAAAUCAAGGGUAUCUUCUUGGAUAUGAAUAAAGUCAAUAGAGAGAUACACAUGAAUUCCGAUGCUUUCUCAAAGAUGCCUAACUUGAGAUUCUUGAGAAUCUAUGGAGAUGAGAACAAAUGUAUGGUCUCUCAUUUAGAGGGUGUGCCAUUUGCUGAAGUGAGGCACCUCGAGUGGGCUCAAUGUCCUUUGAAAACGUUGAAUAUAUGUGCGGAGAAACUUGUUUCACUUAGAAUGCCUUGCAGCAAGGUUGAACAACUUUGGGAUGAUGUUCAGGUAUGUAUUUAUUUGAAAUUCUUUCAGUAAUCAAUUCUAAAUACAAUUGAUGCUAUAAUUAAUAUAUGUGAUAGUAUCUGUUUAUUUAUAAAGAUGAUGAUGAUAAUAAUAAUAAUAAUAAUUUUUUGGGGCACAGGAUCUUGUUAACUUAAAAGAAAUAGACCUCAGUGGAUCCGAGUCGUUAACGAAACUCCCAGACUUGUCACAGGCCAAAAAUCUUAAGAUUCUGAUGUUAGGCGGCUGUUUAAGUUUGAUGGAUACUCGCUCAUCUAUUCAAUAUCUAAAUAAACUUGAAGUUCUUUAUCUACGAAAGUGCGAAAGCCUGACGAGUCUUCCAAUUAGCAUUCCUUUCAAAGAUAUCAUUAACUUCCCAGGUGGAAUUGUUAGAGUGCAAUUUAUGCACUAGUUUUGCAUUAUUUACUUCCCUUAAUAUCAAUGUUUUGCACUUAAUAAUAGUGAUUUACUUGUGUUUUACUUUUGUAGGUGCAAUUCUAUUGAUUGAUGAUAUAAUUGAGCUAUAAGAUGAUGUUUAAGGAUGAUUGUUCUCUUAGAGAAAUUAUGAGCGUCAGAAGAACUUUGUUGAUAAGGCGUGGGCGCGUGCUGUCAACUGCGGACCUGCAGUUUUUAGUUUAACGUGUUUUGUAUUUUUGGUUAUUUUUGUAAUUACGAAUUUAAUAUUUCAGAUAUUAGGUUUUUAUUUUAAAUAGAAUUCUAAAAGAGAAGAGAGAGAGAGUAUUUAAGGGAGGAAUCUAUUGUGAAAAAGGGGGGGAUUUUGGAUUGGAGGAAAAGAAAUAAACCCUAGAUCUUAAUUUUUCUCUUCUCUCUAUGAAGAACUAAACCUAUUUUUCUGGUUGAAGGAUAAUAAAGCUUUGAUUCAUCACUACUGUGAGAUCUUUCUUGUGCUUUAAUUGUUUUAUUGCUUUUUGGGUAUUUGUUUAUUCUCUGAAUUAUUUUCAUGAUUAUGUUUGUUAAUUAGGUAAUUAGCCACUAUUUAAUUAUCAACUUAAUCUAUUGUCAAUUAAAGGAUUCAUCGUAUGAAGAAUUUAAUGUUUGUGACAAAUAACAUAGCAGAGAGUUGUGUUGUGAGAAUAAACAAUCUAAUUUAAAUGAAUCAUCAUAUGUGUUGAUUAGGAUUUGGGUCUCUCUGGUUUUUCAGGCUGUCAAUUGAUUAAAUCCUAUGAUCGUAUCUAGGGUUGUCCAUUGAUUAGGGAAAUAACCAACGGUCGUACCUUGGUUAUCGACUAGUUAAGGAGAGAUUGGCUAUUAGAGGGUCUCAAUAGCUAUAACCGGUCUAUUCAUAAGUAAUAAUAAUCUAUAUUUGAAUAAAUGAUCAGUAGUCGAAUCAAGCUGAGUUAAUUCCUUCAACCAGAGCUUUCUCCAAUUUGAAUUACAACUUUAAUUUGCAUUCUUGUUAUUUCAAUUUGAUUUUUAUUAUUGUCAACAAUUCCCCCAUUUUACGUUUUACGUUUCAAAAGGAUUUAAAUAAUUACCGAUCUCUGUGGACACGACCCUGCUCAAUCACUAUACACAAUUUAUUUAGAGUAGAAAUUUAUUUUUGUUGGAUUCGACAACCAUCAAAUUUUAGCGUCGUUGUCGGGGAUUGGUGUCAUUUAUUUAAUCCUUUUUACGUUUUACUUGGUGUAUGGUUCGUUCUUCUCGUACAGGUACACUUUCGUUUGAUCUUGAAAUUGAGAAGACAGCUCGCCAGCUGAGACAGCAGACUAAGCGAGCUAAGCAACGAUCCUCGUCGCCUUUGCUUUUUGAAACAGAUACGGUGCCUAAUUUAGUUGAAUCAUCUAGCGAUUCGGAAGAACAAGUGAUGGAUAGACCUGCACCUGUAGAAAGAACUCUUAGAGAGUUAGCUGAACCAGACUUGAAUCAGCAACCACUCUGCAUUCAAUAUGUAGAUUUGGAGGUAAAUUUUGAAUUAAAGUCUAGUCUUAUUCAUUUAUUACCCAAGUUUCAUGGUUUUGCAGGUGAAGAUCCUCAUAAACAUCUUAAGGAGUUUCAUGUUGUGUGUUCAAGUAUGAGACCACAAGGCGUGACUGAAGAGCAGAUUAAGCUGCGUGCUUUUCCGUUCUCUGUAGAUGGGCUAGCUAAAGACUGGUUGUAUUACUUGCCUCCUGGAUCGAUUACAACGUGGAAUGAUUUGAAGAAGCAGUUCCUCGAGAAGUACUUUCCUGCUUCAAGAGCUGCUAACAUCAGAAAAGACAUUUGUGGGAUCAAACAACUUCCUGGGGAGACUUUGUAUGAGUAUUGGGAGCGAUUCAAACAAUUGUGUGCCAGCUGUCCUCAGCAUCAGAUUUCUGAUCAACUUCUUAUUCAAUAUUUUUACGAAGGAUUAUCAUUGAUGGAUAGGAGUAUGAUAGAUGAUGCUAGUGGAGGCGUGUUGGUGAACAAGACCCCUACUCAAGCAAAGGAGUUGAUCUCAAAUAUGGCUGCCAAUGCACAACAAUUUGGCAGCAGACAAGAUGCCACUUCAAGAACGGUGAAUGAGGUAAAUAUUUCUUCUGUUGAACAACGUUUAGAUAAACUUACUUCCCUUAUGAAAAAGUUUGUUGUAGGUAAUGUGCAACAGGUGAAGACUUGUGGCAUUUGUUACAAUAUGGGUCAUUCAACUGAUAUGUGUCCUACACUUCAAGAAGAACCCGUUGAACAAGCCAAUGCAGUUAGAGGAUUUCCAGGCAUGCCUCAGAGGAGGUAUGAUCCUUAUGCACAAACAUACAAUCCGGGAUGGAAGGAUCAUCCCAACUUCAGCUAUGGAGUUAGGCCGUCAGGAUUCCCACAACAAUAUGCACCAAGACAACCAACACCUCCACAGUCAAACUCCAAGUCAGGUAUAUCUCUUGAAGAAAUUGUUAAAUCACUUGCGACUAACACUCAACAAUUUCAGCAGGCAACUACAGCAAGCAUUCAGAACUUGGAGAACCAAAUGAGUCAAUUGGCGACUACAGUGAGCCGUCUUGAGUCUCAAGUAUUAGGAAGAUUGCCUUCACAAUCUGAGGUGAAUCCAAAGCAAAACGUUAGUGCUGUCAUCCUUAGAAGUGGGAAGGAGUUGCAAGAGCCUAGUAAGAAAGUGACAAAGCAUGUAGAAAAUGAGCUUGAGAAGAAUGAAUUGAUGCCUAAAUCUCAAGAUACGCAACCCACCAGAGCGAAACCCCUACCUAUUGUGAUACCUCCUCCUUUUCCAAGCCGGUUUACAAAAUCCAAGAAGGAGGAACAAGAGAAAGACAUCCUUGAGACAUUUCGCAAGGUUGAGGUAAAUAUUCCUUUAUUAGAUGCUAUAAAACAAAUACCUCAAUAUGCUAAAGUCCUUAAGGAACUGUGCACCUCCAAAAGAAAAUUAAGAGGAGAUGAAAAAGUUCACAUGGGGGAGAAUGUUUCAGCAGUUUUCCAAAAGAAACUACCUCCUAAGUGCAAGAAUCCAGGUAUGUUUACUAUCCCUUGUAAAAUUGGUAGUGUUAGAGUUGAAAAGGCUAUGUUAGAUCUAGGAGCUUCUAUUAAUGUCAUGCCUCGUUCCAUUUAUUCAUCUUUGAAUGUUGGUCCAUUAAAAGAAACUGGCGUGAUAAUUCAACUAGCUGAUAGGUCUAAUGCAUAUCCUGAUGGGGUAUUAGAAGAUAUCUUAGUACAAGUUAAUGAGUUGGUUUUUCCUGCUGAUUUUUAUGUACUUGAUAUGAAAGAUGAUAACUCCUCUAAUUCUGUCCCAAUUUUGCUAGGAAGACCUUUUUCUUAAGACUGCUAGGACUAAAAUGGAUGUACAUAAAGGGACUCUCACUAUGGAGUUUGAUGGAGAGGUUAUAGAAUUCAAUAUGAAUGAUACCAUGAAAUAUCCUAGUGAGGAACAUUCGGUAUUUUCUGUGGAUGUUAUUAACCCUAUAGCGCAGGAAAUUUUUUACAAGGAAAAGACGAAGACAUUUCAUGAUAGAAUGAUUUUGAGAAAGGAGUUCUCAGUUGGUCAAAAAGUUCUUCUUUUUCAUUCUAAGCUUAAACAUUUUCCGGGUAAAUUACGUUCUUGCUGGGUUGGACCUUUUAUUGUUACUAAUGUUUUUCCUCAUGGUGCAGUUGAGAUUCGGAGUCCGAUCUCUGACAAAGUUUUUAAGGUUAAUGGUCAUCGCUUAAAACCUUUUUAUGAAGGUUUUUCGGUGAAUAUUGUGGAGGAUAUGACUCUCGAGAGUCCCAAUUAUGGAGAUUGAUGCAUAAAUGUGUCUAGCCAAAGACAUAAAACAAAGGCGCUUUUUGGGAGGCAAUCCAAAUAAUUUAUUUAUUUUGGUUUUUGUCAUAUCUUCUUUUAAUUUUGAUUCAGAUUUUUUUAAAAAAAUAAUGUGUUUGCUUAUUUUGGUCAGAAGAAAAUUUUUGAUAAGGCGUGCCCACGUCUUAACUAAUAAGUACUUCUGUGAUUUUUAAAGUAAAAUGGUUUUAAGGCGUGCCCACGUGCUUAUUAGAAAAGUACUUCUGAAAUUUUUAGUGUCUCAAGUGAUUCAUCACUAAAAAAAAAAAAAAAAAAAAUUAUUUUAUUUUAUUUUUUUUUCUAUCUAUUUAUUUUAAAAAAGCAAAAAAAAUAAAGAGAUUUUCUUUUGUUCUUUCUUUUAUAUAUAUAUUUAUUUAUUUAUUUAUUAAAAAAAAUUUCAAAAAUCACUGUUAAAAAAAAAAAAAGUUUUCACUGUUCACAAAAUCCCUAAUUUUCCAGAACUUGUUUUCUUCUCCAGCCGCUUGCAGCACACCAGCAGCACCCGCGAGCGCAGCACCAGCAUCGAGCACCAUCCCGCGAGCGCAGCACCAGCAUCCCGUGUCUCGCAGCCCAGCAACGCGCAACGAAGUCCCAGCAGCGCGCAACGCAGCGCAGCACCCGCAAAGCAAGCCUCAGCAGCGUGCAGCGCGAAUCAGCCCCAGCUGCGAGCGCAGCGCGAACUAGCCCCAGCUGCGAGCGCAGCGCGAACUAGCCCCAGCCCGAGCACGCAACGUAACAAGCGUCACCAGCACGCGCACCAGCAAUCCCCCAGCGCGCAGCAACAGCCGCAGCACGCAGAUCCAGCGUCACCAGUUCUCAGCAUCAGUCCCAUCCGCGCGCAACUGAACCAGCAGCCGUGCACCCGCAAGCUCCAGUCGAGCAGCAAUAGUCCGCAACCAGCCUGCGACCUGCAUUCCAGCCGCGUGAAUCGAAAUCCUUGACAAGAUGGAGCAGAAUUUGGCCGCAUACUUCAAGAGUGUGAGAUUUAUCCCACCAUUCCCGCCAAGCCCAUAGACGUUAUGAGGAUCAAAGCUCACAAUUCAGGGAAGUUUUUGCCUUUAAUCUUUUAUCCUUACGCUUUAAUUUUUAUGUGAGCUUUGAUUAUCUUACAUUGGGGACAAUGUAAGUUCUUGGUGUGGGGGAGGGAUUUUUGCAUUAUUGAUGUCUGGAAUUAUUGUUUUCACUCUACUUAUCUUUUUUUCACUCUACUCAUCCUUAAAUGAUUUUGGAGUUAGUAUGCUUUAUAUAUUAUUAAUUUUCUUUUCCUUUAUCUCUCACUACUCUUUUCCCAUCUAUCUCACAUUAUUUACAUCUAUUUUUUUUCUACCAUACUUUUUCAUCACUCACAUUUUAUCUUUCAUUUUUUUACUACAUACAUCUUUCUCGCUUAUUAUCCUUUUUACCUUUACUUUUAUAUCUCACUCAUACCUUCUUCUCAUUCUACACCACUAUUGAUGGUUGAUUCAUUUGAAGAGUGCAUAGGAUUUGAUGGCAAAUUUACCAACUUUGUGAGGAUUUGAGCCUAUGAGCAACCACUUUGCUCUAAUUAUUUUUGUUAUGUGAAUAUCAAUCCUAGUUUGUUUAUUCUAGAACUUGCUUUAUUAUGCAUGUUGAAGCCACAUUACGGGAUUUUAUGCAUUAAAAUGAUAAGGGCAAACCAUUUACCAUUUUUCUAUUCUCGCAUUUUCCUUUUUCUCUACCCGAAGACCUUUAUUUGCUACCUUUGUUUGAGCCUUAACAAUUACCCAUCUAAUUCUCUCCGUCUACUUAACCAUUUUUCUUCUUUUUUGAGCCUCAAUUUAAGGAGAUUUUUGGACUCAUUGUGUGGAUAUAUUUUGUUGCUUUUUCUACCUUGUAAUAAAGUUUCUCAAUUAGAUCAACAAGCAUUAUGCUUGAAUUAAAUUGUGCAAGGUUCGUUUCUUUUGUUUGAUUCAAAAACAAAAACAAAAAAAAAAAGAAAAAAAAAAGAAAAAAAAAAGAAAAAGAAAAAUCACAAAAAAAAAAUGUUUACAUUCUUGGUGACUUGAGUAGAAAUAAGCAUUUUGAUAUCAUAAGUUCAUUCAAUGAGUUCAUUCUUCUCGUUUUGAUCUCUUUUUCUUUCGUAAACCUUUCUUUUUCAUUUAACCCAUUUAACCCCAUUACAACCCUUUUAAGACCCUUAGAUUUUUGCUUUUUAUUCAUGUUUUGUGGAUUGAGAUGUGAUAUAUGAGCAAGCUUAUGGUAAUAGCAUUCUUUGAUUUGAUUUGAGUGGAUAAAUGACACCCUAAACACUUUGAGUGCAUGGAGUGAAGUUAUUGAGAGGGCUAUUACAUCUUGUUGCACUUGAAUUUUGAAUGGAUCUUCUUGGUGGUUGAAUGUUCUUAUUCUAUCUUAUGAAAUUCUAUGCUUUAAAAUCCUUGUCUCUCGAACGUUGAACGACUUAAUUUUUUGAGGUAUGCUUGCUUAAAAUUGUUUUUGGAUGAGUUGAGAUGAGAAUUUAGUGGAGAUUUGAGAUUAGUCUUGAGUUAUAUGCUUGAGGACAAGCAUCAUCUUGGUGUGGGGGAAUUUGUUAGAGUGCAAUUUAUGCACUAGUUUUGCAUUAUUUACUUCCCUUAAUAUCAAUGUUUUGCACUUAAUAAUAAUGAUUUACUUGUGUUUUACUUUUGUAGGUGCAAUGCUAUUGAUUGAUGAUAAAAUUAAGCUAUAAGAUGAUGUUUAAGGAUGAUUGUUCUCUUGGAGAAAUUAUGAGCGUCAGAAGAACUUUGUUGAUAAGGCGUGGGCGCGUGCUGUCAAUUGCGGACCUGCAGUUUUUAGUUUAACGUGUUUUGUAUUUUUGGUUAUUUUGUAAUUACGAAUUUAAUAUUUCAGAUAUUAGGAUUUUAUUUUAAAUAGAAUUCUAAAAGAGAAGAGAGAUAUAGUAUUUAAGGGAGGAAUCUAUUGUGAAAAAGGGGGGGAUUUUGGAUUGGAGGAAAAGAAAUAAACCCUAGAUCUUAAUUUUUCUCUUCUCUCUAUGAAGAACUAAACCUAUUUUUCUGGUUGAAGGAUAAUGAAGCUUUGAUUCAUCACUACUGUGAGAUCUUUCUUGUACUUUAAUUGUUUUAUUGCUUUUUGGGUAUUUGUUUAUUCUCUGAAUUAUUUUCAUGAUUAUGUUUGUUAAUUAGGUAAUUGGCCACUAUUUAAUUAUCAACUUAAUCUAUUGUCAAUUAAAGGAUUCAUCGUAUGAAGAAUUUAAUGUUUGUGACAAAUAACAUAGCAGAGAGUUGUGUUGUGAGAAUAAACAAUCUAAUUUAAAUGAAUCAUCGUAUGUGUUGAUUAGGAUUUGGGUCUCUCUGGUUUUUCAGGCUGUCAAUUGAUUAAAUCCUAUGAUCGUAUCUAGGGUUGUCCAUUGAUUAGGGAAAUAACCAACGGUCGUACCUUGGUUAUCGAUUAGUUAAGGAGAGAUUGGCUAUUAGAGGGUCUCAAUAGCUAUAACCGGUCUAUUCAUAAGUAAUAAUAAUCUAUAUUUGAAUAAAUGAUCAGUAGUCGAAUCAAGCUGAGUUAAUUCCUUCAACCAGAGCUUUCUCCAAUUUGAAUUACAACUUUAAUUUGCAUUCUUGUUAUUUCAAUUUGAUUUUUAUUAUUGUCAACAAUUCCCCCAUUUUACGUUUUACGUUUCAAAAGGAUUUAAAUAAUUACCGAUCUCUGUGGACACGACCCUGCUCAAUCACUAUACACAAUUUAUUUAGAGUAGGAAUUUAUUUUUGUUGGCUUCGACAACCAUCAGGAAUCAAAGAACUUGAAUAUUUGAAUGCAUUCAAAGAACUUCAAUGUUUGACUAUAAUGCAACAACUUCAAAAUUUGGCUCAUCUUUGAUAUUGAAUAGAUGAGCGAGUCUAUUCAAUAAGGUAACAUUUUUCAAGAUUCAAUUAAAUCCCAUUGCUUUUUUUCCGAGGAUGUUCAUGAGAUCUUUGAAAGUUGGAAUCAAACAUAGAUCAAGUUCUCAAUCUAAAAGGACAAAGCACAAAAAAUUAAACAACUUGUGAAAUCUCCCAGUGUUGUCUUAAAUGUCUCCAUAAAAAACAUGGUCGGCCAACUUUGCUCCAUCACCAUCACGCCAGCUCGCUAUGCCACGAGACACCCCCAGCUUCAUCACCAUCAUGUCACGCGAACCACAACUCCUCCACCAUUGUACCGUCUGAUCUCAUCAGUGCACAACACUGUUUCAUUGCCGCCGUGCCUCUUCUUCAUUGUCCUGUCAUCAAGCUGAAGGUUUGACUCUCAGUUUGUACUUGAUUACUGAAUUUGGGUUGGACUUUUAAAUUAAGGAUUGAUUGAAUUGGUUGGUGGAUGGGGUUUUUUUUUUUUUUUAUCAGUAAACUUUGUUGAAUCAGUGCUAGAAUUAAUAAUUUUCUGUUUCUUUUGUUGGAAACUAUUAUGAAAGGAAAAUGAGUUUUCGUCUCUUAUCUUGCCUCGAUAUUUGGCUAUCGGAAGAAAUUUUAUUUGAACUUAUUUCCUUUGUUGGGCUACGAGGACGCAGAGGCCCAAAAUUGCUAGUUGCUUGAUAAUUUUGGGAUAAAGAUGAAUCUUGAAAAAUGUGCGAGGAUUAUAUCAUGUGCCAAAUGGAUUCAUGGUUUGUGUGUUCAUGGGUUAUUGGAAAAGGAAACAACCGUUACUCACAAGAAAAAUGCCCUAGACAAAUGGGAUUAUGUUAUGGUAUGAGCAGAAGCAACAUAAGUGUGAGUUGAAAAUUGUCCAAAACUUAAUUAAAUCAUCCAAAGCAAAAUGUGUAAUGAUGAGGGGUUUGGGUUUUGCUUGUUUGAGUGUUGAAGAGAUCAUUAUUGCGGCUCUUCUGGGAGACAGCGAAAGCAUUUGCUUCCUAAUUCGAGCUUUUUAUUACUAUUACUAUUAUUAUUAUUCUUUAUUUCUCAUAGCAGUAACCAGUCUGAUUCAUCAGAUAUAAAUCUACUGUUAUCAUCAUGAUGAUCGUAACACACAUCUCUCAUUUAUUUCUUCUUGUGGAAAAGAAAACUCAUCUGCCCAUCACUCGCAUUUAGCAUGUUUUGCAAGAAAACAUGGCAAUGCAAAACAUUACCACUGCCUCACGUUAACUUUGCUUGCUUUGUUACUCACAAGAUUACAAAAAGGAUUCUUCUCUUUCACUUUUUGGUAUUUGAAAUUUUGAAGUAUAAAUGUUUAUUAAAUAUUUUAUUGUUUUCGGAGAGUAAUUUAUUUCCACUUGUCUUUCAUCUAUAUAUAUGUAUAUAAUGUGUGUGUGAACACUCUUAAGCAUUUGGAAAAUUUACGAAAAUAACCAUUAAUAUUUUAUUAUUUUCGCAAUUAACCCUGUCAACUUUUUUCUAUCAACAUUAGUCAAACACAAGCCUUUCUUCCCAAAUUACCCUUCUUUACAGAACAAAACCAACAUCGUUUCUCCCAUAUCGCCAAACCAAAAGUAGCUUUUCACUCUUGAAUCAUCAGCCAACGGCGACCGCAAAAGACAACGGUAAAAGUGAUAUCCGAUCAUAAUCUAUCCGGAUCCAACACAAAUCGACAUCACUUAGUGGUAUGAAUUAUUUUCUGAACUUAUUGAACUGAUUCGGGUGAAUCUGAAUCUGGCGACAGGCUGUCUGUCGCAGCAAAACUUGGUGCGAAUGGUUGGUGCGACAGGCACCUGUCGCACCAAGCAAGGUGCGACAGGCACCCUGUCGCACCAAGGUUCGACAGGCACCCUGUCGCACCAAGGUUCGGGCGACAGGUUGCCUGUCGCACCCACCCUGGAGAUUCAUUAAAACUGUAUUAUUUUAAUAGGACUCAAAUAAAUUUUUUUUUAUAAUUUCAGGGUUAAUGGAUUUAAUUGUACUUGAAUUGUGUUACGAUGGUUGGUGGGAGACAUUAGAGAAUGGCCGUAUGGAGUACGUGAAUGGUAAAAAUCGAGCUUUUUUUGUUGGAAAAAAUUAUCUGUUUGAUCAGUUAUUGGCAAGAGUAUACGAGGUGUUACAAAUAAACCCUAAUGACUAUAGUAUCACAAUGAAGACAACUUUGAGAUCUAGUAACACAUUAUAUCGUAUAUGUGCAAUGCCCAUGGAUAUAUGUGAUGAUGAAAUGGUGAGGGUUGUAUUGCAUAUGGCAUAUGACGUAGCUAAUUUUGGAUGCAUUCCUAUAUUCGUGACCACAUCACCUCGAGUUCCGAGUGAAGGUAUUGAGCCACAUGUCGAUACAGAAACUUCGUUUAGAGCAAAUAUGUCUGGCCCCGAUAAUGAUGAAGAGGUGUUGCCAAGGACAAUAUCGCUGCAGCAAUAUUACUCUCCAAUCCACAACAAUUAUGACAACAUUGAUGAUAAUGGUGUUACGUUACAGGAUGUUGGAGCAACGGUAUUUCCAAUAACAACGUCGUUGGAGCAACGAUAUUCUCCGUAUCACAACAAUGAUUUUCGGGACAAUGAUGAUUUUCAUAAUGAGACAGAGGGGGAUAAUGUUUGUGCAGAACCUUCUAAUAAUACGAGGCGGGGCACUCGUUUCAAUAAUGAUGGUGAUGAUGGAGGAGCCGGUCCUUCGAAUGUUCCGUCGUUUCAGCAUGAGGAUGAGGGUGAAGACAAUACUCCUGUGAAUAACAGAGGCAAUAGAUCUAUUCCUUCUAUGGUUCGAUCGAGAAGGAGAAUUGACCCCCUUACAAGUCUUGCUCUAACUUUGCCUUCGAACAUGGUUGCUCCAAGCUUUGUUAGCAGUUGUGACUCAGAUGAUAUCAGCGUGGGUAAGCUAUUUGCUGAGAAGAAUGAGCUUAUAUUACAACUACGCAAGGUGGCCUUUAGAGAUAAGUUUGAUUUCAAGAUUGCACGGUCUACUACGACACGUUUUGAGGCUCACUGUUGUUUAGAAUCAUGUAAAUGGCGUAUUCGAGCAACUAGAAGUUCGAACGAGCAAAAUGUUCCUUGGGUGGUGAAGAGAAUUGAUAAUGUACACACUUGUCAUAAUGAGGUAUUGGUUGAUGGACGUCAUCAAGUAAAGAGCCGGGUUGUCGGUCAUAUUAUCACAGAAAAAUAUAUUCAAGAUAAGAGGAUUUAUACUCCCAAUGACAUAAGAGCAUAUAUGCAACAGGAAUACGGUGUUCAGUUAACAUACCAGCAGGCAUAUAGGGCGAGAGAAGUUGGUCUUGAAAUAGUUCGCGGCAACCCUGCAGAGUCAUACAACUUGCUCCCUAAAUACUCUCACGUACUAACUAUAGCGAAUGAGGGUACAGUCACUCACCUCGAGCAGGAUGGAGAUGGUAAUUUCUUGUACUGUUUUGUAGCACUCGGAUCUUCCAUCAAGGGGUUUAUGCAGUACAUUCGGCCUGUCAUUGCUGUAGAUGGUACUCAUCUGAAGGGACUAUAUCGUGGAAGCAUGUUCGUGGCAACAUGUCUUGAUGGUAACAAUCAAUUGUAUUUGUUAGCCAUUGGGAUCAUGGAUUCAGAAAACAAUGAUGCUUGGGAAUGGUUUAUGCUGAAGUUACACGGAGUGAUUGGUGAUAAACCUGAGUUGGUAAUUAUCUCUGAUCGAUGCACUACCAUAAGGAGAGCCGUUCUUAAAGUAUUUCACAAUGCAACUCAUGGCGUUUGUUUUUACCACGUCAAAGGUAACAUUAAGUCACAAUUUAGAAUGUCCAAAGCUCUUUGGGAAGAAUUUGAGCCUGCCUUUAUUAAUGCAGCAAAAGCAUAUGGCCACGAGGAAUUUAAGAGACAACUUGAAGGGUUGUGGAUGAUCCACUCAGGUGCGGCUGAUUACCUAGAAAAUAAUGUCGGUACGUGUAAUUGGGCAAGGUCUCAGUUUGAAGGUAGGAGGUACAGCAUUCUUACCACUAACAUCGUGGAGAGUGUUAAUGCUUUCAUGAGGGAACCUCGAAAAUUUCCUGUUACUCAUCUUAUUGAUCACUUUAGGAAAAUAUUGCAGCAAUGGUUUUAUGAUAGAAAAAUUGUGGCUGAAUCAAUGACUACUCGGCUAACAACAUGGGCGGAUGAAAUAGUCACUGAGAGGAGAACUAUAGCUGAAAGAAUGAUAGUUCGGCCGGUGUCGCCGCAUCGCUUUCAAGUUAUAGGCGGUGGGCUUAAGGAAGGGUUGGUUGACUUGCAAAAGAGAACUUGCUCCUACAGAGUGUUUCAGCUUGAUCAGCUUGUGUGUGCUCAUGCAAUUGCGGCGUGUCUAACACACCGGGUGGAUUUUAUUAACCUUUGCUCGGACUUUUACACUACAGAAUCGUUGGUGAUGGCUUAUGCACAACCAGUGGAGCCAGUUGGUGAUGUGGCUGAUUGGGAAGUUCCAGAUGAAAUUCAGGAGAUGCAAGUAUACCCACCAGUUGAGGCACCACCACCUGGCCGUCGUAAAGAGCUCAGAAUACCCUCAGUUGGCGAGGACGUUGACCGGCGGACUGUAAGAUGCGGCCGGUGUCAUGAACUAGGCCAUAAUCGUAAGCGAUGUAAGAAUCCUAUUGCGUCGACUCGAAGUUAGUUGUAUUUUGUGUGUUAUUCGUUGGUUAAAACUAUUAUUGUUUUUUGUGUAUUGUACACUUAUAUUUCAUAAAACUUUAUUUUAUUUUAAAGUUCAAAAUGUGAGGCAUUAAAAUUAUAUAAACUUAAGUGUUCAAAUUAAAAAAAAAUUCAAAUUUCAACAUUAAAAUUACUACAUAGGUCUACAAUAUAAUAUCGUCAUUAAAUAUAUCAACCGCAAUCUUCUUUCUAAAAUACUCGACAUGACUAGCGUUAAACUCCAAUCUAAGCCCGAACAUUAAAUACAUCGUAACCAUCAAUACAAAAACACCGCAAUCGCCAGUUCCGGGCUCUUAUUGCGACGCGCUCUUAACUGCGAUAACUUUCCAUGGGUCUUCACUCCGCAACUCAGGUCGGAUAUUGUAGAAGCCAACAUAUUCCAACCAUCGAGGGAAUAUAACUUCAAGUGGCUUGAAUUUCAACUUGUACCUUUUGUUGUCGCGAAAUGUGAGUAAUGAGUCAUAAAUCCAGACUUUAUUUUUCCGAAAGUCAACUCGUGCUAGUACCCAAUGCGCGCCGUCCAAGUUAACAGGGAUGAGUAACUGCAUAUAAAAAUUGUUCAAAAUGUUUGUUAUAUAUGCAAUUGAAAUACAACAAAGAAAAAGCAACAACUCGAAUAUUUUCAUUAUAGAGCAUGUGAAAUGUAAUAAAAUACAUACCAUAUCGACAUCCGUCAUUGAUUUGGACAUUGUGUGCUGUCGCCCACAAAGAUAACUAUUCAAGCGGUCGUCGAAUACCAAUGAUUCGACCGCACAAUCCCCGUUAUUCCAUAACUGAUUCAAGAACACCUAGUAUAUAGAUAACCAAGAAAUGCAUAAAUUAACAAAACUUAAAGGCAAUAAUUAAAAAAAAUUAAAUAGUAUUUAUAAGUUUUGUCGGCACGUUAUCCAAAAAAAUGUAUCAGUAUGUGUGACACGUUGGAGUAAGGCAUUUGGAUACUGCCGUUAUUUCUCGCUAAUCAAGCGGAGAUACUCGUGAAUAUGCUGUAGAGAAACAGAAAUAUUACGAUUUAAAAGAAAAUUUUUAUACACAAAUCCACAACACUAAAAAAACUUCGAAAAUAUAAAUACCUCAUCGCCUAGCCAUCCCAUCGAAGCUGUACCCAAAAUUAUUUGAAAGAAUGACCGCGGGUGCUGGACUCUCCGGCGGACUCUGAUAUCACCAGUGAACCAUCGAUCAAACUCAGCAAACAGACUAGAGUCCUCCAAUCCUCUCAGUGGAUUUACAUCCACACUCGUACUCAUGUCAAUCGCAUGCUCCAUGAUUUGGGGUCGAGGUAAAGGCCGGACGUUCUGUCCUCGCCUGACCGGAGGAAUCAUGUAAGGACUGUUAUAAACAUACGAUGGUAUGUACGCGCGGCCGAACUUACUAACGCCCGGAGGCACCUCUGUGAACACCUGCACGCUCUCCCCACUAACAUCCCCGUACAAACUAUACAAUGACGUAGGCGUAGACAAAUUUUCAUUGCCCACGUCAGUAUACACUCCAUAGUCAUCCGGGGCCUGUACAUUCGCCAAAAAGAACAUAUUAAAUAACUAUCAAAUUAAAAGUUAAACGAACAUAAUUAUUAAAUUUAAAUUAGCUUACCGCAUACGAGCGUGCAGUGGGAGAAUCCUUAUUUGGACGUUUAGAAAAUGUGUCGAUGAAGCCAACAACGGUUUCUUUAAAAUCUUUUAAUUCUGACUUUAUUUCAUACACGUUACGAUCAAUCUUAUCCAGCCGUCGUUGUACGUAAUCAUUAAACUGCUUUGUCCUCGACUAUUACAAAAGAAAAAAAUAAAACUUUAGAAUAACAAUAAAAAAAUAAUAAUUGAUAAAGGAAAAUAUCGUAUAUUAUUUCUAACCUCAGAAUCCCGUGCGUCAUCAAAGUUGUCUGUUUGCUGCUGGUGGUCAUCAACAGCCACCUCAUCCUCAAAAGUGUCAUGACCCACCUCAUCCUCAAAAGUGUCAUGACGCUGCUCUGGUAUUGGGUUUGGUAUGUCGUCAUGAUCGUCAUGCUCGUCUGAUUGCCUUGUAACCGACGGCAUCGCGUUGAUUGAGGGUUGGUGCUGUAUAAAGUAUCAUUUAAAAUUAGUAAAUGAAAAGUCAAAAAUUUCGAUUAACAAAUUUUUAGUACUUAGAGUAUACCGACCUUAUGAACCCAGUCUGGAAUGCUUGGCAAGUAAUCCUUCACAGAGAGCCAAUAUUUUCUGCUACUCUCCUUUGAAUUUGGCUCAAGAGUUUGUAAAACGUCCCCCUGCCAUAAAUUCAAUUGAAAAUUUUAAGUAAGUAUACAUAACUUAAAUUUAGUAAAGUUAAAAAAAUAAGUAAUACAUAUUACUUACAAGACGAGAUUUGUCGUUGAAGAACGAAUAAACCUCCGCAAAGUUGAUUCUCGAAGACGCCAUGGGCUUCCAUUGCAGAAUGCGGGGAAUCUUAUUCUUCGUUUUGACGACCCAUGUUGAUGGCAACCCUCCGAUUGCUUCGUAAAUCCAAGCCUACAACAACCAAAGUGAAAAAUCAAAUAAAACAACUAUCAAAUAUUUAAUACUAUAAAACUUAUUAAUAAACAAAAAAAAAAGCACCUGAACCCUAGACGUAAAGCCGUAAAGAUUAUAUUUUUCAAUAUUAUGAUCUGGAUUUUUCAACCGAGUCUUCUUAAAUUUCUCGUCUUUCUCGAACAGUGCAUUGUCAAGACUCUCGUAAAUCAUUUCCCACGACAAUAGACCCCAUGGACGCUUUCGGAAGUACUGUAUAUCAUCAACUUGGUCAAGCUAAUCGAAAUUAAUUUGACAGUGAUUUUUUCUUGCAUUUAGUACUCUGUCCGCAAAAUAAAACAGCGCAAUCUUUAAUGCGUCCAUAUCGUCCAUUUCCUCGAAUUUCAACUCCUUAAAUACUGCAUCGAAUUGCUUCACAUUAAUCUUACGAUGCACACCACCAAAAUAUGUAUUCCGUAGCCUCUGCUCCAUUUCAUCAUUUUUUUUAUUGGUAUCAACACCAAAUGAAAGUCCAGUAACCAAGCACCAUUCGACAAUUGACAAGCGAAUCAAAUGCUUACCAAUUUGAAACCAUAACUGAUCCUCACGGCUAUCUUCUUCAUAGGCCACUUGCCGCAGUAAAAGAUUGUGCAAAAUUACCCCACUAAAUGGAAAACUUCGACACUCCAAGAAAUGCCCAAAUAUAUCCUUUUUGAACAUAAUCAACUGCCGCUUUGUUAAUUUUUCCUCGAUGGCUUUUACGACCGAAGAUAACAUACACAUGCUCGAAAUUCGACCAGGAAAGUGAUCAGCAUAACGAAAAUACAUCUUGCCUACUUCAAUAUCCGAUGAUUCUGAUUUCGCCAUGUAUCUGUAAUAUUUAUAAAAUUAAUACAUUACAUUUACAAAAAAAAAAAACUCGGUAAAAAAAAAAACUCUAAUUUUUUGUGCGACCGGCGCACCUGUCGCACCAAACCUGGUGCGACAGCAAGCCUCUCGCACCAAUCUGGUGCGAGAGCGCGCCUGUCGCACCAGAUUUGGUGCGACAGCGUGCCGCGCAUGGGCGCGCGCGCGCCCUGCCCCCUCCCUCCCCACCCCCAAAAUUAAGCACAAUCACUCCAAAAUCGAAAACAAUACUCCCAAACACCACCAACCACCACAAACAUCAUCACCACCACUAUUAAUCUCAAGCUAUAACUAUUAUUAUUCUAAAAUCUCAUUUUAAAUUAAUGAAAAUAAGAAAAAUGACUAACCUAGGUUUUGUUGAAGGUUGUAGAUUGUAGAUCGGAUGCCGGUGAGAGAUGGAGCCGCCGCCGACGAGGGUUGAUGUCGCCGCCGAUGAUGGGAGUUGGAUCGGUUUGUGAGAGAUGAGUGAAAGGGAGUGUUGGGGGAGAGAUGAGGGAGGGGUAUUUUGGUCUCAAAUGUUGUUUUAUGGCUAAUGUUGGUAGAAAUAUUUUUGGGGGGUUAAGAUGAAAAAAAGGGAAAUUUUUUUUGUUAUUACUGUAAAUUUCCCUAAGCAUUUUGGUUAGUAUAUAAUAUAACGUUAGAUUAACUGAGGAAAAAAUUGAAGGUAGAAGGUACUCAGUCACUAGGUCAGUUAAGUAUGCAAUUGUUUGGAUCACACAUUAUAGACCAUAGACGUCAACAAAAGUGAUUAUUAGAUAUUGAUGUUUAUAUUGUCUUGUCCUAAUAAGACUGAUCUUAAUAACGCUCGAUAAAAAGUCAAUUAAUGAUCCAUUUGAGAUUCAAGUGUUACGAAAUGUCACUGAACUAAAAAUAAUGGUUAGUAAAAGUUGGAAUCAAAGAACUGCCCUCAUCCAUCGAGUGCCUAUCUAAUCUGAAAAAACUAUAUAUUGUGGACUGUUCAAAGCUUGAGAGCAUCUCAAGUAGCAUAUUUAAGUUGAAGUCUCUUCAAUCUAUUGAAAUCUCUAAUUGUUCAAUUUUGAAGAGGUUUCUAGAGAUCCCGUCUUGUAAUAUAGAUGGAGGUAUUGGAAUUGAGCGACUAGCCUCAUGUAAGUUGGUACUGGAAAAAUGUUUAAGUCUUCAGAGUCUCCCUAGCAGCCUGUGUAUGUUCAAAUCUCUGACAUCUCUUGAAAUCAUUGAUUGCCAAAAUUUCAAGAUAUUGCCUUAUGAACUUGGAAAUUUAAAAGCCUUGGAGACGUUGAUCGUUGAUGGAACUCUUAUAAGAGAAGUACCGGAAAGCCUUGGUCAAUUAUCCUCACUAAAAAUUUUGGUACUAACUAAUAACGGUUUGAAGAGAUUACCAGAAAGCCUCAAUCAGUUAUCCUCACUAAAACGUUUGGUACUGUCUGAUAACCCUUUGAAGAUAUUACCAAAAAUCCUCAAUCAGUUAUCCUCACAAGAAUAUUUGGAACUGUCUGAUAACUAUUUGGAGAGAUUAAAAAAAAUCCUCUCGGAGCAGCAAAUAUCACUAGAAUAUUUGCUCCGAUCCGGAACGAGUAUCGAGGGAAUACCAGAAUACCUGAGGAGUCUUCCAAGUAAGUUGACAUCACUCAAUUUAUCUGUUGAGUUGAGAAAUUGUUUGCAAUUAGACCCGAAUGAGCUCAUUGAAAUCUUUAAAGAUGAGUGACUUAAAAUUCUUAUGAAUUGCUUAAGUAUGCAAGCAGAGCAGAAAACAAACAAUCUUUGUAUAUUAUGAUAUAACAUGAAUAAUAAUAGAUAUACACAUCCUUCACAUAUUUAUACUAAACGUGAAAAAUGGUAGCUUGCUCAAAGGGAAACAGAAAUGAAUAAGACAAAAGAUUACAGCUGCACUAGCCAAUCAUUGAAACAUUCUAGAAACUCCAGCUUGCAGUAUUCACGUGUAAAUAUUCCCCUGCAUAACAGUUUUGCCAGCUCAUUGAAGACACCUCAGCUUCUUCAUCAGCUGGCUGCUGGAUAUGGCUGCUCAGGUGGCAUGCCAACAUGGCCUUGGGGUCAACUGUUGACUCAUCUUCAUAAUCUGAAUUCUCAACAGAGUGGAUGAAGCAGGUGUGUCUCUUAACUCACUCCUUUCAUUCUAUUCUCUUUUUCUUUUUUCUUUAAUUCAAGCUAUCAUUACUUUUCAUAAAUUAAUAAUUUUUUAUUUUUGUGUUGCAGUCGUUUGAUGGUAACAUUGGGAUCGCUAAAAGUAUGUAUUUCCCUGGGAAUGAAAUUCCAAAGUGGUUUAGGUAUCAAAGUAUGGGAUCUUAUGUAACCUUGAAGACGCCACCAGCAGAUUUCUUCAAUAAUAAAAUAUUAGUAGGCUUUGCUUUUUGCAUUGUUGUAGCAUUUCCAGCCUCAGAGUACUUUGAGCAUCAAAUCCCAAGGACAUCUCGACCGUCGUUCUUUGGGAAUUAUGACGUGUACUGUGAUUGGAAACACAAAUCACAGUACACGAUUUGGGAAUUAUUGCUCUCUGUUGGGUGCAUGAUUUGGAUAUUCUUAUUAUACGCUAAUAUAAUAGCAAGGUAAAUCUUGUUUCUAUUAAUUGAUGAAGUUACUGGCUGACUUAUGAAACAGGUACAUGUUCUGGUUGAGGUAGUUUCUGGUGCUUCAAAUGCUACACCAAGCCUAGAAGAUAUCCUUUGCUUAAGAGAAAGGCGUGGCUCUUAUGAUUAUGUCACAAAAUAUUUGUGUACGUAAACGCAAUGAUUUGACUUGUACGUGGUUCAAAACUUCAAAUUUCCUUUUCUUUGUCACAAUAGUUGAUUGUUUGGAAAUGAGGCAGAGCACGCUAGUGAUACUGAACAGUGUCAUUUUCCAUUAGUUCAAGAUUGUUGGGAUGAAUGGUUCGAUCAAAACUGCUAAAUGGUUGCUAAGAUCUUUUCUCAAUGUCCUCCAAAAUCUGUUUGCUUUUACUGGAAUGGAAAUACAGUGCCAAGAGGAGGAGGUGAAGACACGAUCUUCGAAGAAAGAAAAUGAGGCAGAGCAAGCUAGCGAUAUUGGACAGGGUAUACAUGCAGGGGCACGACGGCAUUCUUAUUUCUCUCUCCAUCAAUUCUUAUUAAGGAGCCGAAGGGAUGUAUUUUAUUUCAUAGAUUUACUUCUUCAUUGAAUAUUUUGCUACUAUACCAAUGAUGCAACUUUUUGUAAUAUAUCUGAGUUGAAAUGAUGCUAGAGCUUGAGGCGAUCUUUUUUUUUUGGCCUUUUUGACAGUUCAAUUGGUGACUCUAAUAACUCCGUUGAUUGUCUUAGAUAUUUUUGGUGCAUAUAUGGUUGCAUUUUCUUCCUGAAAUUCUUGCUUAGAAGAUAGACAACAAGAUUUCAAUGCAGCAAGGGCAAGAUUUCAAGAUUUUCUUCCGCAAAUUCUUCCAUAUUGUCUUGCUUUCCUUGAAACUCUUUAGUAUCAAGAGCUGACCUUACUUCGUUUGGAGACAAUGCGUGCCUCCUAUACAUCAAAGCAUCGACAAAAUGCUCAUAGGACUUGGGAAGAGUGUGAAUUAAAAGAAGACCUUUAUCCUAAUCAUUUAAUGCCUCAUUAAUGGUCUCCAAAGUAUCACGUACUUCGUUAAAUUCUUCAAGAUGAUCAUCAACAGAUGAGCCUUCAACCAUCUUCAACGUAAACAUCCUCUCCUUGAUGUAAAGUCUGCUUGAAAUAGACUUUCCAACUUGGUCCACAAGUCAGGAACUGUCGUUUCUUUGGCCACCUCUCUUAUCUUGAGUCUGCAAGGCUCAAGAUUAUUGUGCCUCUAGCCUUUUUAUCAAUCUCUAAUUAAAUGUUCUCUAAUCAAAUAUGGCGCGCACGAGUUAGUAAAAGCAUGUGGCACGCACGUGAGUCAACAAGAUUGGUUCCAAUUUCCAAACAAUGUCCUCUGGCUGUCAGUUCUUCGGAUUAGCUUCCUGUAUGCGUUGUCGUCCAUUUCCAAAUAAUAUACGUCAGCUAAUUCCAAAACCACAUACGACAUUGUCUGUCGCUCUGUUUUGAGAUCACAGAUUCAACUUUUCAGUGUUAUAAAAUUUUGGAAAUGAUACGUCUUUGUCUUUCCAUGGAACAUAAUAUACAAAAGGAUUUUUGAAUGUGUUGCGUCGUGUUAUAAUUGGACGCUCUUUCAAUAGGUAGAAUCAUUCAUUAUUUGACAGCUGGGCUACACCAAAAAGCAAGAGGAAAAACAUUUUCAAUAUUCUUUAGUGAAUUACUAUUUUGGUAUUUAUAUAUAUAUAUUCCGUUGUCACAUUCAAUUAUUUUCAUCUGAUCAGUCUCUUGUCCAUUAAUUAGGGAUUUCAUUAUUUUUCAUCAAUUGAAUCUUUAAAAUGCAAUUGCUCAGAUGAACAUUAGUUAAUUUAAUUCGCCCAGUUCUGAUUUUCGUUAAAUUAAUAUAGUUUUUGAGUGUUAUAUGAGAGAUGAAUUUACAAAUCUUUAUGUCUGUGUAAAGAAAAUUUUCAGUCAAAAUCUCUGAACAAUUUUUCUAGAAGAAUACCACUUCCAUGAAAAAUUUGUUUUUUAUUUCCUCUUCAAACGUAAAGUUUGCGUCACAUACAUUAGUCGAUCGGUCUUCAACUAACCUUUUUUUUUUUAAAUAAAAAAAAUGAAUGGUUCUCAAUUAGCUUAGUAAAGUAGACAAUGAGAUGAAACUACCGCGAAAUUAACUACAAGUGACGGGAGUAUGUAAAGCAUCUAUAUAUCCCACGCGCAUUUCAUUCAAUUAAUUAAUUAUCAUCACUAUCCUAUCAAAUGGAAGGUUCAAAGAAAGUAUUUGUUAGAGUUUUUUUUUUUUUUUUUUUAGUUUAAUCGUUCGAAAUGAUUAAAAGGUAGACGACUAUUCGCGAAAGUUGAGGUAUAUAUUGAUGAGCUACCAACGUUUGUUUGUAUUCUUAUAUUACCAACGUAUUUUGGUCAACUUUGCUAGCAUCUAAUAGAAAAUCUAUGUAAAAUUUAUAUAAAAAAAAUUGAAAAUUACUUAUACAAUUUUGAUCUUACAAAUUUAUAAAAGCUAAAUAAAUAGGUUAGCACGUAUAGGUAUUAAGACAACUUUUGAUUUUACAGCAUGUACUUAAAUAAAGAAAGUCUUUGAUGUUCUGGUAGCAUUGCACCUUAUCCAUUCAUUACUUAUUACAUAAUUAAAAAAAAAAAAAAGGCAAAUAUUUCGGGCACUGUAGCAGUUCUCCAUAAUUAAUGUCUACUUCGAGUUUAACUCAACGACCACUCAAAGCAGCUUCAUACGAAGUUAAUAAUUGGAUGGACUUGAAAAAGGAAUGUUCAAAAAAGUAGUCAAAGGAUUUAUACUUUUCAUAUUUUUUUUUUAAAUUUAUUUUAGCUGUCAUCAAUUAUUUGUUUCUUCAAUUGAAACUGAGAUGAAACUGCAACGAAACUUCCUGGAAUUAAGGUUCGAAGCAAGCAUAUCUGUAUACACUCUGCACUGACAUUCAUCUAUUUUCACAUCUACCAAUUUUUCGGAUCAAUUGAACUACUUCUGUUAUGGCUUCUUCUUCUUCUUCUUCUUUAUCUCCUCGAAACAUUAACAAGUAUGAUGUUUUUCUUAGUUUCAGAGGAGAGGACACCCGUGACAACUUUACCAGCCAUCUUUAUUCUGCUUUGUCGCUAAAAAGUAUUCAAACUUUCAUUGAUGACCAACUUAAUAGAGGAGAUGAAAUUUCACAGUCUCUUGUGUAUGCAAUUGAAAAUUCAGCCAUUUCACUCAUCAUUUUCUCUGAAGGGUAUGCCUCUUCCAGAUGGUGUCUCGAUGAACUUGUGAAAAUCCUCCAAUGCAAAAGAGAGUAUGCACAGAUUGUGAUUCCAGUUUUUUAUCGCGUUGAUCCAUCGGACGUGAGAAACCAAACAGGUCCUUUUGGGGAUUCAUUUUCAAAGCUUGAAGAAAGAUUUAAGGAGAAUUCCGAGAAGCUGAAGAGUUGGAGGAAUGCUUUGAAGGAGGCGGCCAGUUUUUCUGGCUUUGAUUCUCAGAACUUUAGGUAAUUAAAGUUCUUUCCUCAUACCAUAAUGAUGAUGCCACAUAAAGUUAUUUUCUGCUCAAUUAAUUACCAGCACUCCUGAUAGUUAUAGUGAUAUUUUUUGUCAAAUAUGCUGAAUUAUAUACUUCAAUUUUAUUAGGUAUCCUAAUGCUUUUCGCAAGUGAUUUGUGGUAUUGAUCUUUGAUAGUGACAAUUGGUGUGUUGAAUUCUGUACGUGAACAACUUGUAGAUUUUUCGAAAUUUAAAUUCUUUUAAAAGAAUUUUGAAGGAUUAAUAAAAACGGUAUUUAUGUGUUUUCAUUGGGUGUCCUGUCAUAUUUUAAGUAGUUUCAAUAUGUCACUCAUAUUCUUGAAAUUUAAGAGUUAUUGAUUCAUACUUGGUGCAAAUCCAUCCUAUUUGAUUUUACUGCUAUUUAACAUAUUUGUUAGGCUUGAAUCGGAACUUAUAAAGAAAGCUGUUCAUCACAUUUUGAAGAGACUGGCUGAAAUGUCUCCACGUAACUACAAAAACCAGUUGGUUGGAGUAGAAUCAAGAGUUAAGGAAAUUGAAUCUCUAUUAGGUGCUGAGUCAAAAUAUGUUUACACUUUAGGGAUUUGGGGCUUCGGUGGUAUGGGGAAGACAACAAUUGCUCGAGCUAUUUUCGAUAAAAUCUCUAGUAACUUUGAAGGUUCUUGCUUCCUUCAAAAUGUUAGAGAAGAAUCACAAAGACCGGGAGGAUUAGCUUAUUUGCGACAAGAACUUUUUUCAAAAUUAUUAAAGGAAGAAGAUGUGAUUCUUGAUAUUGACCUAAACUUUAGAAGGCUCAGCAGCAGGAAGGUUUUGAUUGUUUUUGAUGAUGUGACUUGCUUCAACCAAGUAGAAUCCUUAAUUAGAAGUCUCGAUUGGUUCAUGCCUGAGAGUCAAAUCAUUAUAACCACAAGAGAUAAACAAAUUCUUAGGAAUUGGGGAGUGAAAAAAAUAUAUGAGAUGAAGGCAUUAAUGUUUAAUCAUGCCCUUGAGCUUUUUAGUCGACAUGCAUUCAGACAAAACUAUCCGCAUGUGGGUUAUGAGGAACUAUCAAGGAAGGUAAUGGAAUAUGCUCAAGGUGUUCCUUUAGCUCUUAAAGUUUUGGGCUGCUUUCUAUUUGAAAGGGAAAAAGAAGUAUGGGAAGAUGCAAUAAACAAAUUGAGAAGGAUUCUCCAUCCUAGUAUCCAAGAGGUACUAAAAUUAAGUUAUGAUGGUCUGGAUGAUAAAGAAAAAAACAUUUUCCUAGAUGUUGCUUGUUUCUUAAAUGGUGAGGAUAUAUAUUCGGUUAUGAAGUUCCUUGAUACAAGUGGCUUCUACCCAGAAAUUGGUAUUAGUGUUCUUAUUGAUAAGUCUCUCAUUGCUGUUUCGUGCAACAAGAUAACAAUGCAUGAUUUGCUACAAGGAUUGGGUAGGGAAAUUGUUCAGCAAGAAUCAAUUAAUCGUGGAAACCGUAGUCGAUUAUGGCAUCACGAGGAUAUCUAUGAAGUUCUUACACAUAAUAUGGUAAGCAUUUUGUUGGGAUUAUUAUUUCUGAAUUAUCUUGCAUUUACUAAGUUGAUAUUGUACAUAUAUUUAUAUACGCUGAAACUAAAGAAUCAUAGAAUAUAUAGAAAAGUGACAAUGAUUUAAAAAAAAAAAGUUUUUAGAUCAUGUAAUGUAGCAUUAAUAAAUAAUAAAUACCAUGCCAACAUUUAUAUUAUCUUUUGUACGAAUAUAAAAUUUAUAUGUCACUUUUGUAUAGCAAACAUACAUAGUUUAUAUGUUUGGUGUUACUUGUAUGAUUACCCUUUUUUUGUAGGUUUGCAAUAACGAGUUUGGCCGCCUAACAAUAAUUACCAACUUGCGUUACAGAAUUGUAUCCGAAUUAAGUAUUUAAACUAAGCAAACUUAGUACUAUUGUUACGUAAUUUUGAUUUUAACUUUAUGGUCUUUCAUUGGUUAUAAGGGGACUGAAAAAAUUGAGGGCAUCUGCUUGGAUAUGUCUAAAGUGAAGGAGAUCCAUAUAAAUUCCAAUACUUUCACAAAGAUGUGUAGAUUGAGAUUUUUGAAAUUUUAUAGCUCAAUUGAAGGAGAGAACAAAUGUAAGGUGUCUGAUUUCCAAGGCCCUGGAUUUGCUGAAGUGAGGUAUCUUCACUGGCAUAGAUAUCCAUUGAAAUCAUUACCAUCGAAUAUUCAGCCAGAGAAGCUUGUUUUACUUGAAAUGCCUCAUAGCAAUAUUCAACAACUCUGGGAUGGUGUCCAGGCAUGUAUAUCUUUAUAUAUAUAUUCAUGUUUCAGUGAUAAUGUUAUAACUAUGAUCAUACAUGCUAAUAUUUUUCUCUGCCUCUUUUUUCGAGAGCAGCAUCAUGGUAAGCUAAAGCAGAUAAUCAGUGUUGUCUGUAAUAUUUUUACCAACACUCCAAAGCCCUUGCUGAUUCCACAUCUGGACAUGCUAGUUAUCUUGAAUCUAAGCGGUUGCUCAAAGCUGAAGAGGCUUCCAGAUAUCUCAUCAGCUGGUAAUAUGCAAAAGAUAUUUUUAAAUGGAACUGCAAUAGAAGAAUUGCCUUCAUCGAUCGAGUGUCUACGUGGGCUUUUGGGCUUAUACCUUGAAGACUGUAAAAGUCUCAAGAGUCUCCCAAACAGCCUAUGUAACUUAAAAUCUCUUGCAUAUCUUAACCUCAAUGGUUGCUCAAAUCUUCAGAGAUUGCCUGAAAGUCUUGGUCAGUUAUCCUCACUAGUUGAAUUGUAUCUGGAGAAAAACAAUUUGGAGAGAAUACCAGAAAGCAUUGUACACCUUUCCAAGUUGAAAUUUCUCUUCUUAAGGUAUUCUCAGAGGCUUCAAUCCUUACCAAAGCUUCCAUGCAGUCUAUUUAAGUUGGAUGCCCAUCGUUGCAUGGCACUGGAAUCAUUGUCAGGUUUAUUCUCAAGUUACGAAUCUUAUCGGCAAAAUUUUGACCUGAGCGAUAAUUUUAAAUUGAACCAGAAUCAGCUCAGAGGAAUUGUCGAAGAUGCUAUGCUAGAAAUUCAGAUUAUGGCGACUACUCGCUGGAAAGAAGAAGAAGAGCAAAAUGUCUGUGCGUGUGGUUAUUUAUUUUUAAAAAAAAAAUCUGCACAAGGCUUUUUUUUUGGUUCUUUAAUAACUUUAAAUAAAAAUUAACAUUAUUUUUUUAAUUACUAUUUUGGUGAUGCAGAGAUAUUUCCCAUCAUGUGAUGGUCUCGUCAUUUUACCUGGGAAUGAAAUUCCAACGUGGUUUCGGUUUCAAAGUAUGGGAUCUUCUAUUACCUUGCCACCAGGUUGCUUGAGUAAUAAAAAAUUACUCAGCUUUGCUUUUAGCGCUAUUGUAGCAUUCCCACACCAUCAUUUCACGGAAAGGAAGUUUCUAUUGUUCGGUGAAUUCAAAGUCAAAUCCUACAUAAAAAAGAAAAAAGAAAAAAAUCAAUAUUUCGAUCCUCUUGUCGUAAAGAUUUCUUUGGGAGUUGUUAACUUUGUAGAUUCAGAUCACUUACUUUUGGGUUACUAUUCCACUAUACCUCUUACCAUCAUACAUCCUCAUGAUUGGGAAUACAAUAUCGUUCCUGAGGCAGUCCGGUUCGGUGUUGAGAAAGCUACAGGUUCCGAAUCGUUGGAGAUAGAGUGCAAGUGUUGCGGGAUGAGAAAAUGGGGGAUCCAUUUUUUUUGAAGAGGAGGAACCAGACCCAAAAGUCUGAAAUAUUUGUAAUUGUAAUUUUAUUGUUUUUCUUUUGCCUGCCACUAUUAAAUUUUUUUUACUGAAAAACACCUCAGCAAAAUGAGGGAAACAAUUAUUCAAAUAUUAAGGAUUGCCUCAAACUUAUAUUAUUAGUCUAACAACUAUUCUCAACCAAUGUGGAAUAAUAUUUUCAAUACAAUUUAUAUGAUUCCUCGUAGGAGGUAUCUUAAUUCUUCAUUAUCGUCAGGAUUUCCUGAAGUUGUUCAUUCCUGUAAUCUCGGCGGUUGCUGGUUACUUGGAAAUGGAUCUAAAGUCGAAGCCGACAAGCCUUGUUAAUUAUUUUGGGUAAUCGCUAUUAAUAUGCUACUGCACAACCUUUUAUCAUUACUAAUAGGAAAUGUCAAUAUGAGUUGUUGGGGACAAAAUUCAUUUAUUCACGUGGCUAGUAUAAUUUCACAUUUAAAGAUACAAUAGCCACUGAUUAUUAAGACAAAUCAAAUGAACGGUAUAAAUGUAUAAUAUACUUAGCAACACUGUGAUAUUGCUUGGCAUCCUAGUUCCUGCACAUUGCUGAAUCUCUCAAAUCGGUGUGUUAUUUUUUCUAUUAAUUAAUAGAGGCAGAGCAACCGAAAAGUUGAACAGGGUCAUGAGGUCCUUUUCCUGAUGUAAUUGGAGUACGACCAGUAUUAAUAUCAGCUGCGGCUAACAAAUGCAUGUUUAGUGAAUGAAGCCCUGCUUAACCACACUCCAUUGGUACCAUCACCACUUGGUUUAAAAUUCACUUUAUUAGAAUCAUUAGAAGAGAAUGUUUAUGUACACAGGAUUGUAGCCCCUGAAUGACAGGAUUUUGAGGCGCCCCCAUGUCAUGUCAAAACAAUAUAAUGAAAGUGUUUUCAAAUCCAUUAAUCAAACUCUUCUAUUCAAUAUUAUUUUCUUUGCAUUUUUUUCAAUCCUCCCCUCAUUUUUGGACGAGAUAUAGAUGUAUUUGCUUUGUAUCGGUUAUGGUUAUGUACAUACUUUUAGACUAUGAUGGCACUGUAUCAUUUUGAAAUAUUUUCUCCUUUGUUUGGCUCAAUUUUUGUAAAAGUAUCUGUGGAAUUAGUCGUAAUUUCAUCUAAAAUAGUUAUAGCAAACUUGAUUUAUGGCCAUUAUGAAUUGUCCUUUACAAAGGACAGAUUCACAUGCUUUCAAACAGAAAUCCUCAUGACCUCUAGAGGAUUCUGAUCAAAUGCUGAUUCAUCCAACACGUCAUCACAAUUUCUUAUUUAUGCCACAAUACUGUCUGAUGCACACGAGUCGUCUUCACGACAGAGCUUUGGAUAUGAGGGGUUCAUUGAGGCAUUUUGUCGAGCACUCUGUCCAUUCUAUCAAACACCCUGCAUUGUCUAUCAUUUUCCAACAAUCUUAAUGUCCAUUCCCUGGAAUGUAAAUUCCAUGUUCAAAUUUCAUGGUAUUGCUGUUUUCCUACUAAUGAUGUUCAUAGAAAUGAUACUUUCUCCUCCCCCCAUUGAAAAUAUGCCUUAAAUAGAAUGUCCGGAUGAAUUAUACGUAAUGCACUUUUACCUCGGCAUUAUCAAAUGAGAUUACUUACCCAAUCGGUCAAUUACGUUGGACUUAUGGCUCUUUAUGAUUUGGAAAAAUUCCUGUAAGUGGAGGGAUGCAUUUUAUUUCAUAUAUUUAUUUCUCUAUUGAAGAUUCUGCUAUUUUACCAAAAAUACAAUUUUUUGAACUAUUUCCGAGUUGGUAUGAUCUAGGGCUUGGGGCAAUUAGUUUUUUUUUACUGUUCAAUUGGUGUCUCAUUAUAUAAAUUUUUUUUUUUUGUCUAAGAUAUUUAAUGAAGCAAGGCUGGUAGGGCAACACCGAAAUUACUUUAUAAGUUUUCCUUCCGCAUUAUUUGUUUGAAUUUUAUUUUAUUUUUGUUUUCAAUGCCCAAGUUUGCAUGAGAACAAUCCGGCGCAUUUUUUUUGUCACCACUCAUCUUUUAACAAUAAAUAAAUAAAAAGCCUAGAACAAUCUUUGCCAAUCAUAUAUUUUUUAGGGAAAUUGUGGUCAGGAAUCGACUUUCAUAUAUUUUUUAGGGAAAUUAUCUUUGUACUGUCUUUAUUUUGUCAUAUAUACAUCUAAUCACUGUAAAAUUUUGACAUAUUCUUUACACCACUUUUGUUUCUCAACUUGUAUCGGUCAACCACUUUAAUAUUAAAAAUGACUAUUUUACCCCUAAAUAAAUUAAAAUAUUAUUUUAUUCUUUAAAAUUUUGAAAAAUAAAAAUAUAAUUACAAGAAUACCCCUAAAUUAAUAAAACAAAUAAAUCUCAAAAUCUAAGAUGUUAAUGUUUUAUAAUUAUAAUUUCAUUUAAUUUUUGUAAGUAAAUUAAGUAUGGCAAAGUUUACAAAAAUUAACAUGAAGAAAAAAGUACCUUAUAAUGAUUGUAAACUUCCCUAUAAUUAAAAUUAACAAAUUUUUCUAUACAAAUUGAAGAUUCUGCUGUAAGAAUAACUAGUUUUGAAGUCCAACAAAAAUACACUCACUAGUUGUGUUCUUGGAAUAUCGGCUUACAAAGUAGGACUUGUUACAAAUAUAACAUAUACAAUCACCAACAUAUAGGUUUUCUAUUAACCAUCAGCUGCAGAUACAAAACUUCCAAACCCAUAAUUAGAUAGUGUUAUACAUGAUCAUAUUAGUCAAGGAUUUGUGACAAAUGUCAAAUAACCAAAGUUUAGAUAUAAGCAAUAAAAUGAAAAUAUUAUUAAAAUAGUUGUAAAGCUUACCUAUUGAAGGAAAAUUACAGCAAGAAACAAUCACAAUAUAUUCAAGUUGGAGUUGGAUUGCACUUGGAGUGGUGAUACUUGACCCUCUCAUUAUAUUUCACUAGCCCUUGUUUUUUAGUUAACCCUAUUAAAAAUUUUAAACUAAUCUUUAUCUCUCAACAUACCCCAUCUUAUAUCGAAUUUACCCUUAUUAUAAUUUUUAUCUUUUUUCCAAAACAUUGUAUAAAACUUAUAAAAUCUAUUUUAAAAAGAAAAAAAAUUUAGAGUUACUAUAAUCUCUCUCUUUCUUUUUAAAAGUUUUAUUCACCGUGACCAUAACUGUAAAAAAAAAAAUUGAGUUUUGUUCAUCAUCCUCUAUUGAGUAUUGUAAAUUAACUUCUUUCACGAUUACAAAAAUAGAGUAUACAAUAGUUGAGAAGAGACAAUAAUUUAAAAAAGUUAAAAUAAAUUAAGGUUAAAGAAAUUAGAUUAGCUAAAUUAGACAUUAAUAGAAAUUAUCAUGUGAGUGCACUUAAAAACUAUUUAUCCUUUUAAGUUAUUUUAUAUAAGGAUAAAAUAGUUAUUAAUAUAAAAGUGAUUAGUGAAGGUUGGUGAGAUAUAAUGAGGGAGUCAAAUAUGACAACUCCUGCACUUAAAGAGCAUCCAAGCACACAAAUAAUAAUAAUAAUAAUACUAGUUAUGUUGUUUCCCAUAGCUUUUAUAAGUUUUCCUGGCCCAAGCAUCCCCUCAUUGUUGCUUAAUUCAUUUCGGCCCUUUUAACCCUUCAAGUUAUUUGAGCCUACUGAGCCCACUCCAGCUUCAAUCACCAUUUCAUUUUCCCGCCUGUGUUUUGUACUCCAGACACAUAUGGGUGCUUUAUUGCACUUUAAGAAAUUAGAUUAGUUAAAUUAGAUAUUAAUAGAAAUUAUUAUGUGGGUGUAUUUUAAAAGUUAUUUAUCCUUUUAAGUCAUUUUAUAUAAGGAUAAAAUAAUUAUUAGUAUAAAAAUAAUUUGUAGAGGCUGAUGAGAUAUAAAGAGGGAGUUAAAUAUGACAGCUCUUGCACUUAAAGAGCAUCCAUCCAAGCACACCCAAAAAAAAUAAAUACUAGUAAUGUUUUUCCCGUAGUUUUUAUAAGUUUUCCUGGCCCAAGCAUCCCUUCCUUCUACUUUUCAAUUAACUUUAGAAAAGUAGACAUAUCACAAAAUUGAACACCUAGUGAAAAGAGUGUAGUAAUUAGUAAAGCACCCAUAUGUGUAUAUAUGGCUCCCACGCACAUUUCAGUCAAUUGAUUAAUUAUCUUCGCAUUCCGCAUCAUUGUAACCCAGUGUAAAGAGAAAAAUCAAUUUCUCCAUGCUUUUUUUUUUUUUUUUUUGCAGUGAGAGAGUUGUUUUCUCUUUUUUUUUUUCAUUUUAUUAAAAAAAAUUUGUUUAAUCCUCUAUUCUUUUGUUUGUCGGUAAUUUUUUAACCCAAUAAGUUUAAAAAUUUUCCACAUAAAGUGCUUGUGUAUAAUUUUAUCUUCAAUAUUUUUUCAAAUUUCACUAUAAUUAUUGCAUGUCAUAAUUCCCUAACAAACACAAAAUUCCUCUGCAGCUAAUAUAAGGCAGCUUCUGAGAAAUUAUUGGGCGUACUUCAAAAAGGAAAAAGAAAUUAAAUUUUGAAAUUUUGUUUCAAAAUAAUUUUCACAGAUAUUUAUCAUAAAUCUUUUUUUCUAAGUCUUCUAAUUCCAACUCACAGUCAGCAAGUUAAACUGUCAUUCUAGGCAUCGUCAUUGAAAUUACUGAAUCUUUAAUUCGAAGAGGGUGUUUGUGUACUUAGGAUUUUAUAGUUCCUGGACGUCAGGAUUUUAUGGCUUUCCUCAUGCCAAAAUAAUGAAUUCAAAGUGUAUUUGAUCAUUCCCUUUUUAUCAUAUUCUUUAUUCUUUAUUUUGUUUUUGUUUUCACGGACGAGAUAGGGACUCAGCUAUCUUGCAACAGUUGCAAGGUACCAUCAAAUUUUGUCUUUUCUUAAUUUCAGUCCUUUGCCAUUAGAUUUAGUGAAAAUAUAGUUUCAAUAGUAGAGAUUUGUACAUUUAAAUAUUAACAUUACACUUUCUGAUAUUUAUUAAAAGCACAAACAAGUUAAAAAUGUAAAAGUUUUAGCACAUAAGUCUGGAUUGUUUACAAUUUAUAUUGUUUAAUUAGUAGUGAGUAUUAAAAAUAAAUUUUAUUUUUAAUAUUAUAUAUUUUAUUUAAAAGAAUAAAUUUUUAUUAUUAUUUAUUUUAUUAAAAAUAAAUGUUAUUUAAUAUUAUUUAUUCUAUUUUAUUUAAUAUUAUUUAGUCAUAUGCUUAUUAUUAUCUUUAUUCUCUCAAAAAACUAAAUAACAUAAAAUAAAAUAAAAUAAUCAAUAGGGAGCCUUAAAAAUAAAUAUUAUUUUAAUAUUUUUAUUUUUGUUUAUUUAAUAUUAUUUAAUCAUAGGCUUAUUAUUAUAUAUUUAUUUUUUAAAAAAUAAAUAAUAUUAAAUAAAAUAAAAUAAUCAGUAGUGAGCCUUAAAAAUAGAUAUCAUUUUUAAUAUUAUUUAAUUUUAUUUUAUUUAAUAUUAUUUAGUCAUAGGCUUAUUAUUAUAUUUAUUCUUUCAUAAAACUAAAUCAUGUUAAAUAAAAUAAAAUAAUCAGUAAUGAGUGUUAAAAGAUUAAUAUUAUUUUUAUUUAGUCAUAGGCUUUUAAUUAUAUUUAUUCUUUAAAAAACUGAAUAAUAUUAAAAAAUAAUAGUGUCUUAAAAAAUAUCAUUUUUAAUAUUAUUUAUUUUAUUUACUUUAAUAUUAUUUAGUCAUAGACUUAUUAUUAUAUUUAUUCUUUUUUAAAGAGAUAAAUAAUGUUAAAUAAAAUAAAAUUACAUUUUAGAAAGUUACUAGCCAAAGUAUAUAAACUUAUAAAUAAAUGAAAAAAAUAAUAUUAAAUAAAAUAAAAUUACAUUUUAAAGAGGUGCUAUUUCGUAGAGAUAAGAUGCUCGAUUCAGUAUGUUCCAUCAAACAAUUGCUCCACCAUUUGGCAUUUUUGUAGAUAAGCUAUCUUAAUCUGAUUAUUUUGUAGAUAAACUUCAAUGUACAAAACUCAGUCGUUUUGCAGCCGUUUGAUUAACCAUCAACAACUUGUAAUCCUGUGACAGUUUGAAACCAGAACAUAAUUAGUAUAAGCACAUAAAUUUUAGGAUCGAUUUAGACAUGGUAUGGUUUGAGUAUUUCUAACACUUCCUAGUGAUGCAUCUAUAGGAGUUUCUUUUAGAAAAUAUAUCAUUAAAUUGGCCAUCUUGACCAUUGACCAUCGUCUGAUUAUUAUUAUUUUUUAUCUCGCUUACCACGUUGAUAGUGCGGCAUUUUGGGUACUACAAAAAGCACAACGACGAUUAAAGAGCUGCUUCAAAUAAUUCAUCUUUCACUUUUGUUGGGUGAAGUGCCGCUUAACUACUUCAUGAUCCCCCCAGCACUUGAAGAGGGUACGUGUUUGUGUACUUAAGAGUUAAGACUAUCUAUAGUUUCUAUUUGUUGGGACUGUACGGUCUGCCCUAUUAAGCUUGCAUGGAACUUAACGUCGUAUUGCUAUAGUGUCACAAUAUAUACACGUUACAGCUAGCGAAAAUAACGAAGGAGAUAAUAAGUAAUACACUCCUUAACAUGAUGAACUACUGCACUUCUAAACAUAAUGAAAUACAACCAACUAAGAACGUGAAGAUCACGUUCAGCUAUUACGCCCCCGCAAGAGAGGUAUACCGUCGAGAACACCGAGCUUGGACCGUGCAUGCUCAAGGGGAAGCCGGGGAAGCGGCUUGGUUAAGAUAUCAGCGAGCUGAUGCUCCGAAGGAACAUGAGCAAUAGACAGCAAACCUUGCGCAAUCUUAUCACGAACAAAGUAAAAGUCAAUUUCCACAUGCUUCAUACGAGAGUGAUAUCUAGGAUUUGUGCAAACAUGAGUGGCACCAAGAUUGUCACAGAGCAGCUUGGGCAUAGGGGUCCGAAUACCAAGUUCGGAGAACAAGUGUCGAAGCCAACAAAGCUCAGAAACGGUAGCAGCAAUGGCGCGAAACUCGGCUUCAGUAGAGGAACGUGCCACAGACUUUUGCUUCUUCGAAGACCAGGAAAUGAGAUUGCCACCAAGGAAGAUAGCGUAAGCACUCGUAGAGCUGCGAUCAUCAAGAUUGCCCCCCCAGUCAGAAUCACUAUAAGCAGCAAGUAUAGAGGAUGAAGACUGACGAAGAAAAAGGCCAUGAAAAAUUGUAGCUUUCAAGUAGCGGAGAAUGCGCUUGGCAGCCUGCCAAUGCAACUGAGAGGGACUUUGCAUGAACUGAGAUAGUUUGUUGACCGCAAAGCAGAUGUCAGGACGAGUGAGAGUGAGAUAUUGCAAGGCACCAAGAAGCUGACGAUAAGACGUACCAUCAGCAGAGACAGAACCAUCGGUUUGUUGAAGACCAACGGUGGCAGACAGAGGAGUGGCAAUAGGUUUAGCAUCAGUCAUGCCAAACCGGUCCAAGAGAGAACGAACAUAGUGAUGCUGAGAGAGAAACACACCAGAAGGAGUGCGAAGCAACUCAAGCCCGAGAAAAUGAUGCAGAGAGCCAAGGUCCUUGAGAGCAAAAGUGGAAGCAAGACGAUGAAUGAAGUGCUGAAUAACCCGGCCAUGAGAACCAGUAAUAAUUAAGUCAUCCACAUAGACAAGGAAAUAAAUACGAUGACCAUCACGGUGAUAAAGAAAAAGAGAAGCAUCAGUCCUGCUUUGGUGGAAUCCAUAGGACAGCAAAAAUUUGUACAGAGUAAUAAACCAUGCCCGAGGCGCCUGCUUAAGGCCAUACAGGGACUUACGUAGCCUGCAGACAAAGGAAGGCUGGUUAGAGUCAAUAAAACCAGGCGGCUGCUUCAUGUAAACCUCCUCAUCAAGAGAACCAUUGAGGAAGGCGUUAUUGAUAUCCAACUGACGAAUCGGCCAACCAAAUUGCAAGGCUAAACAAAGAAUAACACGAACAGUAGUGGUCUUGACAACAGGGCUGAAAGUAUCGUGGUAGUCGAGACCAGGACGCUGAGUAAAGCCCUUAGCAACCAGCCGCGCUUUAUACCUGUCAACAGAACCAUUGGGGUGGCGUUUGACACGAAACACCCACUUACAACCAACCAAAUUUUGAGAAGGUACAGGAGGAACAAGAUCCCAAGUAUGAUUAGAAAUAAGAGCAUUAUAUUCAAUACGCAUGGCCUGAAGCCAUUGCGGGUCGGCAAGGGCAGCCUUAAUACUAGUUGGUUCAACAGUAGAGGGCAGCGGAUGUGUGGAAAUAAUAGGAGCGAGGGUAGUGUGGUCAAGCUGUUUUGGUUUAUAAAUGUUAUUGCGUGACCGGGUUAUCAUUGGAUGGGUUCGGGUCGGCAGUGGAGGUGGAGGUGUUGGUGGUGAUGGUGAUGGGGCUGUUGGUGACAACGGGAAAGUAGAUGGGGCCGGUGAUGAAAGAUUAGAAAUGGGAGAUGAGGGAGUUAGUACUGGUGCAUGGACAUGGGGAGGUAAAGAGUCAUAAGUAUGAGGGUUAUGAAUAAUACCCGAAGUAGAGGUGGAAGAGGCCGGUGAAGAAUCGGAGCUAGCAGGAAGCGAAUCCGAAGUUGCAAGACGGGAACCACCAGGAGAAGAGGAGUGAGCCGACAGAACCGGGACGGAAAAAAUGGAUGGAAACCAGGAGGUGAGUGAAACAGAGGAGGGAGAGGCAGUGGAUGUGAGAGAUUGAUAGGGAAAUUGAGACUCAAUAAAUUGAACAUCACGGGAAACAUAAAUCUUACCAGACUGAACAUCUAAACACUUGUAUGCACUUUGUUGUAGGCAAUAACCGAGAAACACACAAGGCUUGGACUUGGGCUCUAGUUUGUUGCGCGUAUAUGGGCGUAACCAUGGGAAACAGAGACACCCAAAUACACGUAGUUUGUCAUAAUUAGGAUGGGCAUCAAAUAAGAGCUGGAACGGACAGGUCAUGUAUGUAGUUUUGGAUGGUAGACGAUUAAUUAAGUAGGUGGCGGUUUGAAACGCAAACGUCCAAAAGCUAGGAGGUAGUGAGGCUUGAUGCAGUAACGCCAACCCCGUCUCAACAAUAUGUCGAUGACGACGUUCGGCGACUCCAUUAUGUUGUGGUGUGUAGGGUGGUGUAAACAAGUGAUUAAUGCCCGUCUGUUGAAAAAAUGAAGUGAGUUUGAGGAACUCACCACCACCGUCGGUGUAAAUAUUACGAAUAGUAGUACGAAAAUAAUUUUCAACAAGUGUUUUAAAACGAACAAAUGUAGAGAAAACAUCAGAUUUUAGUCGUAACGGAAAAAAACCAGACAUACUUAGUAAAAUGAUCAACGAAAAUCACAUAGUACUUAUAAUUAUCAAAGGAAGUAACAGGGGCAGGACCCCAAACAUCAGAAUAUAUUAAAUCCAAGGGACGAGUACUACAUAAAGAAGAUUUGCCAAAAGGGAGCCGAUGGCUCUUAUUGCAUAAACAAGACUCACAAGACUCAAAAUCCAAGUGCGAAGACAAAUUGAAAGUACGAAGAACAAAUUUCAAAAUAUCCCUAGACGGAUGGCCUAGACGUUGAUGCCAAUGAGCGGCAUUAGUUUUUAUUGUAGCAUUUGAAGUGGGCAAGGCUGGUACGGGGAAAGAAGAAGCUGCCGGCCACUCAUAGACACCCUGAUUAUUCCGGCCUUGCAAGAGGACCGCCCCCGUGCUCAAAUCCUUCACCUGAAAAUGAUCAUGAAAGAAUUCAAUGAAGGCUUUAUUAACAUUGCAAAAUUGAGACACAGAGAUUAAAUUUCUGUUGAUAGUCGGAACAUAAAGAAUAUUUUGCAAAUAAAAUUUUGAGCUAGAGGUACAUAAGGAAGUUGAGCCAGUGUGAGAUAUACCAAGACCCAUGCCAUUACCAACAAUGACGGAAUCAGAACCAUGGUAAGGACUAUGAGUGCUCAAAUUUCGGAGAUCUCCUGUAACAUGAUGUGAGGCGGCACUGUCGACUAACCAAUUGGGGUUGGAUGUGCCUGUGGUUGCUGUGUGGUUCAUAGUCGGACUGUUUUUGUGGGAGGUAAAAUCUGGACAAUCUCGUGCUGUAUGACCCUUGGUACCGCAAAGUUGACAGUAGCCCUGGUACCCGGUGGGCUGCUUCUUUUGAUAUCCUCCAUUGUUGCGAUACUGGCCUUGUGGGUUGCGAUUCUGAGACUGGUAAUUUCUGUUGUUGUUGCCAUUUUGAUUUGGAUACCCACGGUUAGAACCAUUAUUAAAUCCCGGAUUGCUGUCUCUUCUCUGGUUCUGAUAAGGGCCACGGUUUGUUGUUUGUUGUUUGACUGCGGCAUUGACAGUGAUAGCCGUGUCCAUGGAUUUUUCCUCUCGCUUCAACAUAUCUUCGUAAUCUACAAGCUUUUCAUACAGCUCAUCAAAGGAAAGUGGUGUCUCACGGAUCCGAACACCAGCAAUAAUUUCUUUGAAAUCUUUUCCUACGCCAUUAAUAAUUUGUAUAACGAGAUCAUCAUCUGUAACAGGAACAUCAAUCAAAGUAAUUUCAUCAGAAAUAGAACGUAAGUUAUUUAAAUAUUCGGCAACAGGUUGUCCAUCACGACGAGGUCGUGCAAGUCGUUCUCUAAGAGAGAUGACGCGACUACGGCUACGAUUGGAGUAUAGCCGUGCAAGCUUAUCCCACGCUUGUUUGGAUGUUGUGGAACUAGCUAUGAGUGGGGCAACUCUUUCGGUGCAGGAGGCUAGGAUGGAAUGAAAGAUCAACUGAUCUUGGCGUUUCCAUAAGGUAUAGGCUGUGUUGAUGGUAGGCGGACCAUUACUGCUGCCAGUUUCAUACGGAGAAGGGCACUCAGAUGUGCCAUCAAUGUAACAUGUCAGAUUGUAGCCAAAAGCUAAAGAGAGGAAUUGCGCUCUCCAUGUAAAAUAAUUUUCAGGUGUAAGCCGUAUAGGCAAUUGGGCAGCGGCGUUGAUUGAAACACAAUCAUUAGCUUGGUUAUUUGAUGAGUGGGGACUUUGGUUGGCUGGUGAGGUAGAGGAGAUGGCUGAGGGUUCGGCAGCCAUGGUGAAAGAAAAGAAAAAAGAAGGAUCGAUUUACUCUUGUUAGAGAGAGAAAGAGGGCUCUGAUACCAUAUUAAGCUUGCAUGGAACUUAACGUCGUAUUGCUAUAGUGUCACAAUAUAUACACGUUACAGCUAGCGAAAAUAACGAAGGAGAUAAUAAGUAAUACACUCCUUAACAUGAUGAACUACUGCACUUCUAAACAUAAUGAAAUACAACCAACUAAGAACGUGAAGAUCACGUUCAGCUAUUUGCCCUUCUGUCAUAACAAUGGAUUCAAAGUGUAUUUGAAUUCCACUUAUCAUAUUAAUUAUUCUGUUUAUUAUUUUGUUUUUGCUUUUUCGUUUUCAUUUUUCAUUAUACAUACAUACAUACAUACAUACAUACAUACAUAUAUAUAUGAAUUUUUACAAAAGAUGAUUUUGUCUUUGUAAUGUAAGUUUAACAAAGGUUAUAUUUGUUGAUUUAUACAUAUAAUAGAUUGUUUCAAUCUCCUAACAAGAGGAACAAAAGUAAUUACAAAUGAUUUGUCAAAUUUUGUUAAGUUACAAAAUAGUAUAUUAUACACUCAAAUCUAACAUCAAAUACAUAGCAAACAACAACUUCAAAAGCAAAAUCCCUAGAAGCAACUCCCAUAUCUUCAUCAACCAACGGCUUCAAAAGCAUCCCAUGAUUUUUGUUAAUAAUUCAUAGUUUCAUGACUGCAUAUUUUUAUUGAGUGAAGCCUUGCUUAAAAAACCCAUUCCACGAUCCCAGUCCCACCACGCACUUUGUAUAAAAUUCAAUUUAUUAGAAUAAUUAGAAUCAUUAGAAGAGGAAAUAUGUUUGUGUACUUUGGACUACAUAUGGUUCCUGAACGUUGGGAUUUUACGUGUGCCCCUUGCCUCCAUGUCAAAACAAUAUAUUUAAUUAAAGUGCAUUUGAAAUCCAUUAAGCAUAUUCUUCUAAUCUUCUCUUCAUUAUUUUGUUUUUGUAUAUGUUUGAUCAGUUCUGGUCGGUUAUAUAUACACAUGUACCAUUUGGAAAUAUCACAUUUUAUUCCCCAAUGCGAUAUAUUUUCUUCUCCAUUGAAGGUUCUCUGAAUGCUAUUAACCAAAAAAUGCAACAUUCUGUUCUGUUUAUGAAUUGGGAUUAUUUGCUUCUGGCUGUCACUGACUCAUUGAACAUUAGCAAUAUAGCAUUAGGUAGUGCCAGCUCUUUUCUUUUUUGUCUUUGUCUUCUCUAGUUCGAGCUACAAAUCCAUGUUCCGAUGAAUUCCUUUUCCAUCUCCUCUCCAUUGUUUGGCUUCAAUAUUUUGGAUUUGAAGUAAAUUUUCCGCAUAUUUAUUUUGCAUCAACCUUAACAUUGUAUGUGAAAAAAUUCUGCAUAUUUAUUUUGUCCUGCAGAGACGAUUUUUUGAAACUCACAUACAAUAACAUAAGGCAGCUUCAAAGAAAUUACUGGGUGGAGUUCAAAAUGAGAAAAGAAAUUAAAUUUUAUUGGACCACCGUCAUGAAAUUUUAAAUUUUUUGGACCACAAUCCGCCUUUGUCUUUUCAUGUGAUUGCAAGCUACUCGAUGACAUUGAUUGAUCAUUGACACACGCACACGGAUAAGUCAGUGUUUACGGGGAAAGAUAAUAUAUAUAUAUAUAUAUAUUCCACUAUUAAAAUAGGGAAUAUAAAUAUUGAAAUAUUUAUCUUACAAUCCAAAUUCUUAAUACAAUCAAGUUCUCAGAUCACUCGAGAACAUUUUAGUUAUCUCAGUUACUAAAGAAUUGCAUUUUAGUUAUCUCAGUUACUAAAGCUUGCUUCUCAUAAAACACACGUUAAGUUUUCAAAUUGUUGGAGAACUUUUCUCUCACUGGCUCAUGAAUUUUGCAUCCAAUUUAUAAACAAAUCUAGAUUUCAAAUGUAAAAUUAUGAUUUUUUGUCCUUCACAUCCAGCAUCCAAGAAGGCUCAAGGAAAGUAAGUAAUCGUGAGUAUGAAUCUAUUAAAAAAUAUGCUCUGAGAUUAAUUGUUCUUUUAGAUUAAUUGGUCUUUUAUUUUAUUUUUAUUUUUAUUAUUUUCUUUAGUGACGGUGGCGAAUAUUAUUUACGCCUUUUUUUAUUAUUAAUUUUUAGCUAUCAUUCCCUAUUUCUUUCCUUUGGAAAAACGCUGUUCAACAAUAACCAUAAAGCUGCAAUUUAAGGCCCUACUCUUCAGCAAAAUUAUUGUGGAGGGUGCAGAAAUAGUAAUAGAGUGUUUUAGUCUAUUCAGUGUGCAAAUAACCCAAUGUUAUAAGAGUUAUGAAUAUAUGUUGUAUGUAUUUGUAAUAUUUUUGUUUUGGGCGGGGGUUAUAUUAAUUUAAGAAUUUAACUUAAAUCUAGACAUCAAAAUAUGACCAUUUAUUUCGUUCAAUCAAUUAACACACGAGGAUUGUUUGUUGAUUGGAGAGGCUAAAACUGAGUGGGAAAGUAAAGCAACAGAGGAAUAGAAAAGAUCUAUGACAAAGAUCGAUGAACAGAAGUGGAGAGGAACAACAGUGGGCAUGAUCUAAUAUUGAAUUACAAAUAUGUUGGCCUUACGGAAUAUGUCGUUGACAAAAUUAUGGAGUAUUGAUUUCUUGGGGAUGAAUAUGAUUUGUGAGAAUGGGGAUGAAUUUUGUUUCCCCCAAUUUAGGUUAGGAAUUGCUAUUACUAGUAUAAUCGUUGAGGAAUGAGGAAAAAGAGUCGGUAUUCUCUCUCUUCCUUUAUUAAGUUUUAAUAUGUCAUCUAUGUUUUUUGUUUUCUGAAUCUUAUUUUAUUAAAGUUUUACUAUCACAUAAUCAAUCAUCUCAUACCUUAGAAUGAAUUAAAUAAAUUUUAAAGUUUUGAUGCUUAGAUUACAAUCAUAUUCUUAAGUUAAAAUAUCCCCUCCCGUUUGUUUUUUAUCUAAAAAAAGAAAAAAAAACAUUGGUACUAAAAAAUAAAUAAUCUUAUUUUUACUGAAAAUACAAUAUUUUUAGUCUUCUAAUUUGUUUAUUUUAAAAGUAACUCAUUCACUGCUUUGCAAAAUCAAAAUCUCCUGUGGCAAUGAAUUGAUUUUACAAGAAGUAAUUUUAAUAGUUUUUACCAACCAUUUAAAUUCAUCAUUAGCUUCUCAAUAUCACUUUUGAAAAUCCCAACAACAAUCUCAAAUUGGUCAAUAAAUUACUUCAUUUUCUAAAUAGUAAACAUAAAAUGAUGGAAAUAAUUUUUAUAUCAUGAAAGUAAAAAUAAUUUUAUUAUUUGUAUCAAAUUAAUAUUAUUUAGAUAUAUUUAUAUUUAAUUAUUAUGUUAUUAAAUUAUCAAAUAAUAAAAAUAAUAUUUUUAUUCACAAUAAGACAAAUUUAGAGAAAAAUUAGAUGGUGUUUGCUAGGAAAACUUAAGAAGGAAAUUAAUAUGGAACUGUCCCACCACUUGGGAUUCUUUCACGGAGCGUUUCAGUGGAUCUCAUUGAAUUUUAUUUUGAAAAAUCAAUUGAUAAUACUGGGAUGGUAUAGCCUGAUAAUACUCUGAGCGGUCCCUUCAACCUUUUUAGUUGUCGUACACGAAUUAUUUCUUCACUUGAAAUAAAAGUCAACAAAGCUGCAUCUUCACUGAAAUUAUUGUCCACAGUGCUUCCUGGAAAAUGAGAUAAAGAUAAUUUUGAAGAAACUUUUAGGAAGAUUCCAAGCAUUAAUAAUUAUUUAUAUUUACUUAUAAUAAAUUACUUUUAAUAAUAAUAAUUUAUAUCAUGAGUAUUUCUAUUAUAAAAUUUUUAUAUGAAUGUAAGUGCAUAAAAUAAUUGUUUAGAGUGUAAAUAAUCUCGUCUAAUUGAUAAUCCUCGCUAAUCAAAUACAAUUUGUUAAUAGGGCACGAGUCACUGCCCCCCUUGAGAAUUGAGCACAGAAGCAUUUACUAUUUUCUAUGGUGGAUUGUUGGGAAAUUUACACCCUUUCCACAUUUUUCCCUGGAAGGUUCCAAGCAUCGUUUUACUCUGCACAGACACUGCAGUCACCAACGUUUGCUCGAGAAAAAUACGCCGAAUUUUCCGGGAAAUUUUUUGCUUUUUCUCUUCAAAAGUAAAGUUUGGGGACAGAAAUGUUAAAGGUUUAAAGGUGGGUACAAUUAUUCUUCUUGUUGUUAUUUACGCAUUGCCUUCCAUUCACAUUAGUCGGUCUUCAAUUAAUUUUAGAUAAGGAAAUGAAACUACCACAAAAUUAACUCCAAGUGAGGGACUACUGAAGCAGCCAUAUAUUCCACGCGCAUUUUAUUCAUUUAAUUAACUUAUGAUCACAUCCCACAUCAUAUUAUUAUUGUAUCAACUUGCACGGUCGUAACAAUUAACAGAAAUUUUCAUUAAAAUUAUUACAUUAAUUUUAAAAUAGAAAUAAGAAAAAAAAAUCUUAAUACUGAAAAAACAUAAGAUGAAAUCGUGUGUCAUUUGUCACGAGUCAAACUUUUGAGAAAAAUACACGAAUGAAUGUGGCGCGUAAAAGGUGUUGAUGUACUAUCAACAUUUUCAUUUUAUUUUUAUUUAACUUCCAUAUAUUUUUUUUAUAAGCUGUCAUCAAUUAUUUGUUUCUUGCUCUGCGCGUGCACGACAAGACCUACUAUUUGCACCCUUUUAACCCUUUUAGUUGUCAUGCACUAUUUUCCUUCUUCACUUGAAAUGAAACAGUCGGUAAAGCUGCAUCUUCAGUCGAAUGUAAACUUUUUAAGAAAAUAAACAUGUUAGCAACCAAUCAGGGGCAUGAAAAUGGUUGUACAUAUAUAUAUUUGCUGACAAUUCCUCUUUGAAAUUAAUCGUCUUUUAUAUUAUCUUUCAAAAUAUAAUAUAUCUGAUCACAUGGAUUAAUUUAGAGGAUAUAUAAUUUCAAUGAAAGACUACUAAUCGAGGGCAGUUUCGAUUCUGAUUGAAUGGUAGAUGUAUAUAUGAGCAUCAUUCUAAUCAUUAAAUUGCUAAAAUUAGGAAGUUAACUUCGAUCCAACAAUUAACUUUAAUGGAGCAGCAGGGAGUUGUUUUCUUGUUUAAUUGUUUUGUUUAUGUUAGAGUUAUUUUAUUAAUAAAAAAUUGGGUUAUUAUCAUUUCACUAUUUUAAAAAUUGUGAAAUAUCAAAUGACUACAACAAGUAUUGUCUCUUAUCAAUUUUCUAUUAUAUCUUUAUAAAAAUAUCAUUUUACUACUUUUUUGUUAUAACCAUUAGUUGACCAAUUAAUUGACUAACAAAAUACCAAUUUUCACCCUUCAUGAUUAAAAAAAAAUACUUAAAACUUAUUUACAAAAUAAAUUUGUAAUAUAUUUAUUCAAAUGAAUAUAAAAUACGGGAAAAGGACAAACACACCCCUAACGUUUAAGCAAAGGGACAAAAACUCCCCUAAUGUUUCAAAAAAGACAUUUACACCCAAAUUUAUUAUAAUUUUACUAUUAUACCCUUCUAGCAUAUAUAUAAAAAAUUAUUAGAUUAUCCAAUUUGUCUAUAUAUUGUUAAUAAAAUUAUAAAUAGACCCUCAUUGCCUCAUUCUUCUAUUUAAAUUUUUAUCAAUAACCAAUUUUCAAAAAAGACAUCUACACACUUAAAAAAAAUUAUAAAUAAAUUAUAAUUUUAAAAAUAAAAUUGGUUAUCAAUACCAUAAUAAAUAACAUAGAAAAUUAGUUAUAAAUAUACAAGUUUAAAUGAUUGACAUGUGGAGAAUCGUUAAAUAUGCAAGUUUAAAGUUUAAAUAAAAUUGGUUAUUAAUAACUAAUUUUAUUUUAAACUUAUAAUUUAUUUACAAUUUUUUUAGGUGUAUAGAUUUUUUUUUUUCAAAUUGAUUAUUGAUAAAAAUUUAAAUAGAGGAAUUGGGCAAUGAUGGUAUAUUUAUAAUUUUUUUAUAAUAUCCAACUAGUCUAUUUAUAAUUUUAUUAAUAAUAUAUAGACAAAUUGGAUAAUCUAAUAAUUUUUUUAUAUGUUAGAAGGGUAUAAUGGUAAAAUUAUAAUAAAUUGGGGUGUAAAUGUCUUUUUUGAAAUGUUAAAGAGGAUUUUUGUCCCGUUACCUAAACGUUGGGGGUGUGUUUGUCCUUUUUCCUAUAAAAUACCAACAUAAUUCUUUUUGCUGGAAUUAUGAUAUAUGAAUUACAAAUUUAUCUUAUUAUUUUUUUAAUCAUGAAGGGUAAAAUUGAUAUUUUAUUAGUUAACUAACUGGUCAACUAACGGUUGUAACGAAAAAGUAGUAAAAUGAUAUUUGUUGUAACAGAAAAGUAGUAAAAUAAUAUUUUUAUAAAGAUAUAUUAUGAAAAUGAUAGGAGAUAAUACUUGUUGUAAUCAUUUGAUAGUUGACAAUUUUUAAAGUAGUAAAAUGAUAAUAACCCUAAAAAAUUUAGUUAAAAAAGGGUCUAAUGAAUAUUUUGGAAGGUUUAAAUAACCUCACCCCCCCUUUUUUUUUUAUAAUGGAUGCUUUUAUGAUUUUAUCCUCACCAACCUAAUUUAUAUGAAAUAGUAUACUAAUGUUAGGGGAGGUAUUUGAGAAUAUGUGAAUAUAAUUUAUUAAACGGAGAAUACGCCAAAAAUUAGGGGAGGUUUCUGAUAAUUACCCUUUUAGUUACUCCUCCUCAAUCCGUCCAAGGGCAUGAACUUGAGGGAAGGGUCAGGUUCUGUGGUGGUGUUAAUAAAAAGAUAAAUUACAUUGGAAAGUAAGUGGCGUUUGUUGGGAAAUUCACACCCUUUAACCUUUUAGCUGUCAUUCGCUGUUUUCUGAUCAAAAUGAGUCAACAAAGUGAUUCAACUUCCAAGCACCGACAUAUUCCACAGUUCUUUGAUUCAAUUAAUGUUUUAUCUUAUCAAAAUCUAUCUAAUCAAUUGAACUGUUUCUGCUAUGGCUUCAGGUACCAGUACCACAAUUAACAUGUAAAUUUGAAGGAUCAUGCUACGUUACAAAUUAUAAAAUGGGGUGUCUGAUCUACUUAGACCCACCACCAGUUAAUCCAUUGGGCUUAUCUUAAUUUUGCCUAACAUAAUCUGUACGGUAGGCGAGCCCAAGUGUAAAUAAAUCAUGUGUUUAAGAAGAAGCGUUAAAAAGUUGUUAAAUAAUUCUACAUAUUGUGGAAGUGGUGUAAAUCGUGUAUUUAUAGAAAAAAAUGUAUUGAAAAAUCUAAGUCAUAUAUUGAUCUACAAGUGAGUGGUCCAUAGACACUCUGUAGUUAAUUAGAGGAGCUGUUGAUUUGAGAUAUGAAUUUACAAAUGUAAAUUCAUGAGAGAAAAACAAAAUUUUCUGGUCAAAAUCUUUGAACACUGUAGUUAAUUGAAUGAAACACAUCGCAUUUUCUGGGAAAUAUUUUAGCUUUUUGUCAUUGCCUCACAUUAGUCGGUCUUCAGUGGUAGUGAAGCAUCCAUAUCUUUUACGUGCAUUUCAUUCAAUUAAUUUAUUAUCAUCACAUCCCACGUUAUUGUUUCAACUUGCACCGUCCGAAUAACUAACAAGAAUCUUUAUUGAAAUUAUUGUGCCACUUUUAGAAAAGACAUAGGAAAAAAGUUGAAUUCACAAGUCCAACUUUAAAAAGGCCGAAAAAAAAAAAAGACUGGAGUAGAUGUCACAAGUAUUAAAUGCAUUGAUGAGGUUUCAACAUUUUUUAAAAAUAUUUUUAUAUAAUUUUUUACCAAAGUUCAAAUAACUAUUUUCAAUUAGUUUUAAAGUAAUAUAUAUAAGAUGAUGAUGAUAAUACGGGAUCAACAUAAACAUAAAAUUCAUUGGUGCUCCAUCAACAUUGAUUUUCCCAUCUCUUCAGUAAAUGUUUUACAUAUUUGUUUUGCAUCUAAUUUAAUAUUAUUGAAAGUUAAUAGACGUGAUUAGUAAUAAAUAGAAGACUAAAAAUAUUUAAAGAAAUAGGGCUAAGCGUGCUGCGUGCAUGAAAAUAAAUACAAGAGAUUAAAUGAAAAGAAAAGAUUGGGUGGUUGACUUCAAAAUGGACACAUAAAAUAAAUUUUGAAUUUUGUUUCAAAAUAAUUUCCAGCAUACAAAUUUAAUUAUAUAGUAACUCCUUUUUCUAUGUCUUCUAAUUUCAACCUACAGUCAGCAAGUUAAACCGUUAUUCUAGUUCUAGGCAUCUUCAUUGGGAUUAUUGCAUCUAUACUUUACCAAAGGGAAAAAAAAUUGUCACGAAACAGCGUGGAAGGUUCAGAGAAAAUAUUUGCUAGUGUUUUCUUUUUUUUAAAUUUAAUUGGUUGAAUUUAUUUUUUUAUUUUUUUUAAAAAAGAAAACUGUAUUACAAAACUUCCCGGUAGGUUCCACAGAACUAUCUAAUAAAGCAUCUUUAUAUAACCUCCAUUGACACAGUCGCAUUAAAUUAUUUUCACAUCCCAAAUUUUCUCAUCUGAUCAAAUCUCUCAUCCACUGAACUGUUAUGGCUUCUUCUUCCUCUUGUCCACCUCGAAACGCUAAGAAGAUGUAUGACGUUUUUCUGAGUUUCAGAGGAGAGGACACCCGUGACAACUUUACUAGCAUUCUUCACCUUUUUUUGUCUAUGAAAAGUAUCAAAACUUUCGUUGAUGACCAACUUAUCAGAGGAGAGAACAUUUCACGGUAUCUUCUUGAUAUAAUUGAAGCAUCAAGCAUCUCAAUUAUUAUUUUCUCACAAAGGUAUGCUUCUUCUAGAUGGUGUCUCGAUGAACUUUUGAAGAUCCUCGAAUGCAAGCACGAGUAUGGAACGAUUGUGAUUCCAGUUUUCUAUCACGUUGAUCCAUCACAUGUGAGAUCUCAAAGCCUGGAUUCUCCUUUUGGGAAGUAUUUUAGUGAGCUUGAAAAACAUUAUCCAGAGAAGAUGCAAAGAUGGAAGAAGGCUUUGACCGAAGCAGCCAACCUCUCUGGCUUUGAUUCUCAUGUCAUUAGGUACAAUAAUUUUCUUCUGGCUUUGAUUCUCAUGUCAUUAGGUACAAUAAUUUUCUAUCUGAUUCUUAGUAUUACAUUAACUAUGACAAUGAGUUUAAAUAUUUAUCCAUAAUAUAUUAAAUAAAUCAUUCUUAAUAAUGGGGAUUAGGUUAUUUUCUUGCACAUUUGAAUAACUUUCCAAUUAUUUUAUUUGAUGAAAUUCACAUUAUAUUAAUUAGCUAUUUCAUAUUGCAACUAAUUAAAAACACACGAUUCUCUGUCUCGUUUACAUAUAUUUGAACUAUGUUAAGAAAAUGUAAGCUGAGUCAGAUUGCCACGUCAUCAGUUGCCAAGCUGUCAUUCUGUUAUGCAGAGUGUCAUUAGAUUCGAAGUUUGUUAAGUUCCUUCCAAAAGUUCGUUACUAUCAGCUAGUUCUCAACUCAUGCUUUACACGUUGUAGAAGAAUCCAGAUCACACUAUAAAUAGCUCUGUAAUGUUUAGAUUGUUAUGUGAGCUUAAUAGAAACAAAUUUUCCAGCUUCUAGAUUUCUCUCGUUAAGCAUUUUCUUUCUCUUUCUUCUUUAUUUUCUUGUUAAACAAACAGAGUCUGGUACGUCUUAACUAACUAUAUAAUUGCUGUUAUUUUUUUACUAGGCCUGAAUCUAAACUUAUUGAGGAAAUUGCCAAUGACGUUUUGAAGAGGCUAGAUGCGACUUUUCAAAGUAAAAACAAAGGCUUGGUUGGAGUUGAAUGCCCCAUUGAAGAAAUUGAAUCAUUAUUACGCGUUGGGUCUGAGGGUGUUUGCAAACUAGGGAUUUGGGGCAUCGGUGGUAUAGGCAAGACAACAAUCGCUGGUGCUGUUUUUAACAAAAUCUCUAGACAUUUUGAAGGUUCUUACUUUGCGCUUAAUGUUAGAGAAGCAGAAGAAACUGGCGGAAUAAAGGACUUACAAAAGAAACUUCUGUCUGAGCUAUUGAAUGAUGGAAAUAUGAGGAACAUCGAGUCUCAACUCAACAGACUUGCUCGCAAGAAGGUUCUAAUUGUUUUUGAUGAUGUGAGUCAUCGAAGACAAAUAGAAUCAUUAAUUGGAUGCCUUGAUGAGUUAGCUUCAGGGAGUCGAGUAAUAAUAACAACAAGAGAUAAACAAGUCCUUAAAAAUUGUUGGGCCAAUCAAAUAUAUCGGAUGAAGGAAUUAGUAUAUGCUGAUGCUCAUAAGCUUUUCUGUCAGUGUGCUUUUGGAGGAGACCAUCCAGAUGCAAGUCAUACAGAGCUCACAGACAGGGCAAUCCAAUAUGCACAGGGAGUUCCUUUAGCUCUUAAAGUUUUGGGUUGCCAUCUAUGCGGAAGGAGCGAAGAGGUAUGGGAAAGUGCAAUGAGAAAACUGGAAAAAAUUCCUCACGAGGAAAUCCAGGAGGUGUUAAAAAUAAGUUAUGAUAGCUUGGAUGACUCUCAGAAGAAUGUUUUUCUAGAUAUUGCAUGUUUCUUUGAAGGAGAGCAUAGAGAUGAGGUGACAAGCUUUUUUGAUGCUAGUGGCCUCGAAGCUAAAAUAGAAUUAAGUGUUCUUGAAUGUAAGUCUCUCGUAACUUGCUUCCAUAACCACAUAAGAAUGCAUGACUUGAUACGAGAUAUGGGAAGAGAAAUUGUUCGAAAUGAAUCUAUCGAUCAUCCAGGAGAGCGCAGUAGGUUGUGGUAUCACAAGGAUAUUUAUGAAGUUUUGAAGAACAAUUCGGUGAGGAAUAAUAAGUUUUUAAUUGUAUCUUAUUUGUGUUACAUUUAUAUUAGCAAUUUGUCUGAAUAUGUCUUUUUGAAUAAGAAUAGCAUUAAUACAGCUUAAAAUUAAUUGAAAAAUAAUAUUAAAAAAUUGGUAAAAUAAAAUAGAUAGAUCCGAUGUUUCCCCAACUCAGUUUGAAACAUGCCUCUAAAAUCCCCAGCAAACUAGCGCCUUCGGAGAGAGACCCAAAAAAAAAAAAAAAAAAACACCUCAAAUCUUAUUGCAUUUCCUUUUCAACUCAAGCUCUGCCCCUAUCCUUAUUUUUCACUAAAAAAAAUUGAUUGAAUUAAUUUUACAGUUUACAUAUUAAGCAUUUUCUUGAAUUUUCUAUUUUACACUUCCUAAAAGCAUUACCCAAAUAGUUUAUUAUAAAGUGAUUGUAAUAUCUCUAUUUGGGUUUGACGGCUUAAAAAUAAUUGUUUAUUUGUUUGCUUCAAUUAUAUACCAACUUAUGAUCUCCUAUUUGAUUGUUAGGGAACUGAAAAAAUCAAGGGUAUCUUCUUGGAUAUGAAUAAAGUCAAUAGAGAGAUACACAUGAAUUCCGAUGCUUUCUCAAAGAUGCCUAACUUGAGAUUCUUGAGAAUCUAUGGAGAUGAGAACAAAUGUAUGGUCUCUCAUUUAGAGGGUGUGCCAUUUGCUGAAGUGAGGCACCUCGAGUGGGCUCAAUGUCCUUUGAAAACGUUGAAUAUAUGUGCGGAGAAACUUGUUUCACUUAGAAUGCCUUGCAGCAAGGUUGAACAACUUUGGGAUGAUGUUCAGGUAUAUAUUUAUUUGAAAUUCUUUCAGUAAUAAAUUCUAAAUACAAUUGAUGCUAUAAUUAAUAUAUGUGAUAGUAUAUGUUUAUUUAUAAAGAUGAUGAUGAUGAUAAUAAUAAUUUUUUUUUUUGGGGGCACAGGAUCUUGUUAACUUAAAAGAAAUAGACCUCAGUGGAUCCAUGUUGUUAACGAAACUCCCAGACUUGUCACAGGCCAAAAAUCUUAAGAUUCUGAUGUUAGGCGGCUGUUUAAGUUUGAUGGAGACUCGCUCAUCUAUUCAAUAUCUAAAUAAACUUGAAGUUCUUUAUCUAAGAAAGUGCGAAAGCCUGACGAGUCUUCCAACUAGCAUUCCUUUCAAAGAUCUCAUGAACUUCCCAAGUGUCACAUCUUGUCAUGUAUAUACUUUAGAGUUAGUAAAAGUUGGAAUCAAAGAACUGCCCUCAUCCAUCGAGUGCCUAUCCAAUCUGAAAAAACUAUAUAUUGUGGACUGUUCAAUGCUUGAGAGCAUCUCAAGUAGCAUAUUUAAGUUGAAGUCUCUUCAAUCUAUUGAAAUAUCUAAUUGUCCAAUUUUCGAGAGGUUUACAGAGAUCCCGUCUUGUAAUAUAGAUGGAGGCAUUGGAAUUGAGCGACUAGCCUCAUGUAGGUUGGUACUGGAAGAUUGUUCAAGUCUUCAGAGUCUCCCUAGCAGCCUGUGUAUGUUCAAAUCUCUGACAUCUCUUGAAAUCAUUGACUGCCAAUAUUUCAUGAUAUUGCCUGAUGAACUUGGAAAUUUAGAAGCCUUGGAGACGUUGAUCGUUGAUAGAACUGCUAUGAGAGAAGUACCAGAAAGCCUUGGUCAAUUAUCCUCACUAAAAAUUUUGGUACUAUCUAAUAUCAAGAGAUUACCAGAAUAUUUGCAACUACAUUUGCAACUACCCGAAAACGGUUUGGAGGGAAUACCAGAAUACCUGAGGAGGAGUCCAAGGAAGUUGACAUUGGAUCCGAAUGAGCUCAGUGAAAUCGUCAAAGAUGGGUGGAUGAAGCAGGUGUGUCUCUUAACUCACUCCUUUCAAUUAUAUUUUCUUUAAUUCAAGCUAUCAUUAUUUUUCAUAAAUUAAUAAUUUUUUAUUUUUGUGUUGCAGUCGUUUGAUGGAAACAUUGGGAUCACUAAAAGUAUGUAUUUCCCUGGGAAGGAAAUUCCAAAGUGGUUUAGGUAUCAAAGUAUGGGAUCUUCUGUAAACUUGAAGAAGCGACCAGCAGAUUUCUUAAAUAAUAAAAUAUUAGUAGGCUUUGCUUUUUGCAUUGUUGUAGCAUUUCCAGCCUCACGGUACUGUGACUUUGAGCAUCAAAUCCGAAGGAAAUCUCGACCGUCAGUCUUUGGGAAUUAUGACGUGUUCUGUGAUUGGAAACACAAAUCCCAAGGAAAUCUCGACCGUCGAUCUUUGGGGAGAAUUAGUUAUGUUGAGUCAGAUCACGUGUUUUUGGGAUCUUAUUUAUUGGGUUCUGAGGAUUUAAGUAAAAGAGAUGAUGAGGUCUCUUUUGAUGAGGUCUCUUUCUACACUAAGAGAGAUGAUGAGGUCUCUUUCUACAAUUGUUCUUUAAAUAAGAGGAUUUACGGUGAAUAUUGUGAAGUGAAACAAUGUGGGAUUCAUUUUGUGUACGCUCAAGAUUCUACGGAUAAAGUGAAGAGGAAGAGGAAGAGGAAGAGGAAGAGGAAGAGGAAGGAUGAAGAGAAGAGGAAGAGGAAGAGGAAGAGGAACCACACACCAAAAGACUGAAAUGUUCUUCAACUCCAAAGCAGCUGGUACUCUUUGGCACGAAAAUCAAUCUGUAGACCUUGUUUUUGUCUUCAUUUUAUAUAUGCAUUUUUCAUUUUACGGAAUGCAAUGCCAAUGAGAAAUUCAAGCAACCAUCAUUGAAUUGGAAUUGACAGGUUUGGCCGCCAAAUAUUUGCUUAAUUUAUUAUUCUAGUCAGUGCUUCCCCCGCGAGAGUACUGCCCUUUAUAGAUUUACAAGAAUAUUUGGUUAUUCUUAAUUAAUAAAUUUAUAAUCUAUAAAUUUAUAAUAAUGAAUAUCUCGUUUAAUCGUUCGUGAGAUCGGGCCGAGAAACAAGGAAAAAGUUGCAUAUUGUUAGCAUGCCUUAGAAAUUCAGAAUAAUGUCUAAGUGCAGUUGAUAACCCUUGAAUUAUAACUUUUAGCAUGAGAGAUAUUUUAUGAGCAUAAUUUUUGAGGGCUCUUGUAGGUUAGCUCCAUGAAGCAUAUCAUCUUGUAGAAUAUCUGUGGUUUGAGUAUUUUAUAGAAUGACUUUGGGAUUGGGUUUGGGAUGAACUGGCAUUGUUGUCAAGGUACAAUUUAUACUUUGAAAUUUGGCAGUCUGAAAUCAUGUUGGCUCAGUUCUCUUCAAAAUUGCUAUAUUGCAUGCAGCUAUAUAAAGCUUUUGUAAUCUGCUGUUAUAAUCAUGCUGAAUUUUAAUCACUACAGGGACUGAGCUCCCUGUAUGCGCUGUGGAUUACAGUUGCUUGAUUCAUUUAAUGGCACGGUGUUUUGCAAAUGGUUUAUUAACCUUUUUGGUGCCUUAUCUAACGGUUUUUUUUUUUUGGGUCUUGAUUUUGCAGCACCACCAUUGAAAUUAAUUGGCUUGCCUGGAUUGGAUCAACGAAUAAUGGAUGAUUCAUUGGUGAGUGCUUGUUUAAUUUUUUUAGACCUUGAUGCUCUAAAUAUUGAUGUAUCCCAUUAUAUAUUUAUUUGAUAGAUGUUAUUUGCUUGUGUUUUCAAUGGUGGAAAGAUGUGGUCUGUUCUUUGCAUGUGAAUUAUGGUUGGUAACUUAUAAGUUAGUAACAAUAAUUUUGUGAUGUCCCUCAUAGGUUAGUGAAUAUGCCGAGUACAAUGAUGCUAUUUUACUAGUAAUUAUUCCUGCUGCCCAAGCGCCUGAAAUUGCUUCAUCUCGAGCUCUUAGAGUUGCCAAGGAGUAUGACGGAGAUGGUAAUAUGCUUAGACAUUUUUAUACCUCUAAUUUUGCUGUUAAAUUUUUUGAUUUGUAAAUCAAAAGAUAUGCUAUUUAUGAUUUUCAUAAUCUUUGGCACACUAGUACAUUUUUUGGUGCAUCCUUUGAAGUUGCAGGAAUGUAACUCUGCCUUCUCCUUCCUAUUGCUAUCAUUACUGUUUCCUUGUUAAUUCUUUAUCUCGCUAAUUUGGGAGCUUAUUUUGUUAACGACAGGAACCAGAACUGUUGGUGUAAUAAGUAAAAUAGAUCAAGCUUCUGCAGACCAAAAAGCUCUUGCUGCUGUGCAGGCUCUCCUGUUAAAUCAAGGUCCACCAAAAACAGCUGACAUUCCGUGGGUUGCAGUAAUUGGUCAAUCAGUAUCACUAGCUACUGCUCAGUCUGGAUCUGAGAGCUCCUUAGAAACUGCUUGGAGGGCAGAAAGUGAGUCUCUUAAGUCUAUAUUGACUGGUGCUCCUCAGAGUAAGUUAGGCAGAAUAGCUUUGGUGGAUGCUUUGGCUCAGCAGAUCUGCAAGCGUAUGAAAGUCCGGGUGCCAAACCUCGUCUCUGGGUAUUAAAUGAUUUCCACAUGCUGCAUGAAAUGUUUCAAUUUUACGCAUGUUUUAGUUUAUCUUUGGAAAGUUGCAUUCUUUUUUUUUUUUUUUUUUGACGCAUGAAAAUGAUUUUCUUGAACACACUUACAUCUUUGGAACUUGUUUUACUGUCACAAAUGGAUUGUGAGAACUUGGCAAUAGGAAGUUCGAGAUACAUUUAACCAUAAAAAAUUUCUCUUCUGCCUGGUAGGCAUGUCAUUACUAAUCAUUGUGCUUGUAAUUGUCUUCGAUGGUUAGAGGAUGAUGAUUAUUAUUGUUAUUAUUAUUAUUAUUAUUUUUUAACUUCUAUCACCCCUAUAACUCUUUGUCUUGCACUUUGCAUUGUAGUUAAUAAACACAGUUCAGUGGGAGUUAAAAUUGAAAAUAAAGAUAUCUUAAUUCAUAUAAUUAAUUAUUCCUCGACCCUUUUUCAUGACCCAGCUUAAUGUGUAAAUAUGUAUUCAGUUUUUCCUUUAUGAAGUGUAUGAGUACUUCUUCCAGUUAAGGUAACUCCUUUAUUACUUAUACCUGUGCAGGUUACAAGGAAAGUCUCAAAUAGUUCAGGAUGAGUUAGUGCGGCUUGGUGAGCAGAUGGUCCAGAGUGCUGAGGGCACGAGAUCUUUGGCUUUGGAGCUUUGUCGUGAAUUUGAGGAUAAGUUUCUGCAACACAUUACAACUGGUGAGGUGAGUUAUUUUUGUUUUUGUGCUUGGUGACUUUCAUGUAACAUAUGUCUUCUUUCUUAGUUUGCUUAUAUUGUUUUGAUUUCUCAAUUUGUUUUUCAGUAAUAGUGUAUAUUACCAUGUACAAGAAAAAGCUUUAUAUAGAAAUUUGAAGGAGGAAAUCUAAGACAUAUAUGAGGGGAAUAUGAUACUUUUUUUGAUAAGAGACGGGAUUAGGGAUGGCAAUCCCAUUUUGGGACGGGAUUGGGACAUAUUUUUGUCCCAUAAAAACAGUUAGGGACGGGAGUGGGACAUUUUUUAUCCCACUUGCAUAUACGGGUCGGGAGUGGGAUUGGCAAAUUCCGUCCCAUCCCGUCUCAUUGCCGACUAAGAAUGAGAAUUUUUCCAAUUGGAAUGGGAUCCCGUAAGAUCCCAUUUCUUUUGGGACGGGAUCGGUACAUAUUUUUGUCCCAAAAAAAUAUAUAGGGACGGGAGUGAGACGUUUUUUCAUCCCAAUUGCAUAUACGGGACGGGACUGGGAUUGGCAAAUCCCAUCCCAUCCCGUCCCAUUGCCAACCCUAGGCAGGAUUGUGAUACUAUCACCUCUGGAAUUGAAGCCUUCUAUAAAAUUAGAUGGAAGUGAGCUCCAUUACUUGUAUCAAUUUGUAAUCCCUCUCAUUGUAGAAGUUUACCUGGUCCUUGGACCUCUAAUGAGAAGCUUCUUAAUGUAUAAUGUGGUUACUGCUUCUACCUAAUGGAAUGUGUGAAGCUGGCAGGGACUAGGGGUCUUUUGUAGGAGAAACUAUUUUUUCAAACCUAUUCAAGUGCUUAGAGGUAGUGCUUGUUUUACUAGGUCAGCUGAGGAGGGGUUGAUGUCUGCUUUGCGGUCAUUGUAACCUUAUUAGUUCCAGGUAGCUCCUUUAAAGUUGUUUUUGCUCUCUAACGCUUUUUCGGUUGACGAGUGUGUCUGGUCAUGGAAAUGUAGGGGUUGGAUUCCAAGUGUUGGAAGUUCAUAUGGUAGUAUGAGGAAGCCCCUUUUUAUGAUCCAAAUUUGGUUAACUAAAAUGGAUCUAAUUGGUACUUCAUGCUUGUUCUGUUCCUUUGGUCUUUUAUUAUUUUUUCCCUUUUCUUACUUAUAAGUUUGAGGCCAUGUCUAAUUGAUAAAUCUCUAAGUAUCAGUACUUCUUCUGGUUAAAAUAGUUAAUGUAUCCAAACUUUGUUUAGUGUCCUGCUCUCUGUUUUUAUUGGCUAGUGAUUUUGGUCGUGCUUUUUUGCGUGGCCUAUGGUAUUUUCCUCCGUCACUACCUGAAAAGUAUAGGAUACUGAUUUUUUGAGAUAUUAGUUGUCAUAACAUUAUGUCAAUGCAGGGUUCUGGUUGGAAAAUUGUUGCAGUUUUGAGGGGAAUUUCCCGAACAGGAUCAAACAGCUUCCUUUGGACAGACAUUUUGAUAUUAAUAAUGUCAAGAGGGUAUGUUGGUGCUCUACUGCUUAUAUCUAUUGUGUUCCUGUUGUAUAUCUCAUAAUUUUUUAGAUUUUGCAUUUGCAUUGAUCUUCUCUUAUUCAUUUCUUAUCAGAUUUUGUUAGAAGCGGAUGGCUAUCAACCAUAUCUAAUAUCCCCUGAAAAGGGUUUGAGAUCUUUGAUCAAAGGUGUUCUGGAGCUUGCAAAAGAACCCUCUCAUCUUUGUGUUGAUGAGGUAAUGGAACCAUGUAUAUAAAGAUUUUACCCUUUUUCUCUUUUUAUGAUGUUGAAUGUUAAAUUUUUUGUUUUGGCCUUAACAUAUGGUUCCUUCAUAGUAUUGUUAGUCAAUAGUAUGCUCUCUGUUGGAUGCAUGAUAUGGACCAAAUGAUACACUUUGUAAUAUUUUUCUUAGGCACUACAUUUUAUGUUCUUUUUGUUCCUCAAUAACAUGCUUAACUAAUGACAAGUACUUCAGGUUCAAUAAGGAGGAUUUGUCAACUUUUAUUUGACUUAAGAGGUCAGAUAUUCUUAAAAUUUGUUUUUCUAGAAUAGGUACAUCAGGUCAUUUGAUGUCGUUUACCCAAUUUUCUUUAUGGAUGGCAGUGAAAAUCUGAAGCAAUUAUUGUUUCUGCUGACUGAUAUAGUUCCUGGCUGACUGGUAAAACAGGUACACCGUGUUCUGGUUGAUAUAGUUUCUGCUGCUGCAAAUGCUACGCUAGGCCUGGGAAGAUGUCCUCCUUUUAAGAGAGAGGUAUGGCUGCUUUUGAUUAUGUGUCAUAAUAGCUUUUCUGCAUUUGUACAUGAUUAGACCUAUAUGUGGUUCAAAUUUCCUUUUCCGUGUGACAAUAGUUGAAUGGUUUGAAACUUUUACAAGGUUGCGGCCAUUGCAAGUCCUGCCUUAGAUGGGUUUAAGAAUGAAGCAAGAAAGAUGGUGGUUGCACUAGUUGACAUGGAGAGAGCUUUUGUCCCUCCCCAACAUUUCAUUCAUUUGGUGCAGAGGAGGUAUUCUCAAAAUGUUUGGCUGGUAUAUUUUACGUAGUAAUGUCAAGCUGUGAUAUGAUUGAACUUCUUUGAUAUAUUUGAGAUAUGUGCAACAUUGUCUUCUGGAUAUCUGGGUCUGAGUUCUUGUGAUGGGAUAGCUUGUCAACAUUUAUUUCUGGAACAUUUUGCUUUGAAAAUGCUGACAUUACCAACUUUUCUGAAAUUAAUGUCAUAGUCUAUUUCUUCUCUCUCCCCAAUUUUGCAUGAGCUGAGUUUUGAAUGCAUGCAAAUGCAACUCCACGAAUUUAGAAAAUUUGGUAUUUAUUAGAGUCUAAAUACUAUUGUUGGGUAUUUUCCUAUCAACUUAAAGCUAGCAGUUUUGUAUUUGACCUUUGUUGUCAGUCGGGCUAGUGUUUAGAUCCGAUUGUGUUUGUGUAGGUUUGGUUCCAAAUGAUAUCAAAUUCUCUAUGCAUGAAACCAGCAUUUUUUCAGUUUAAACUCAGUUGUUUGGGCCUUUUCUAUUAGUUUAAGCCUUUGGGACCUAUGGUUCCUUAGCAUUACUAUUUUUUUUUCCUCUAAUUUCUUUCCUGAAAGUUCUGUGCACCAUGCUUAUUGCGUAAUCUAUUUAUUUUGUUAGGAUGGGAAGACAGCGGCAAGAGGAGGAGGUGAAGACGCGAUCUUCGAAGAAAGCAAAUGAGGCAGAACAAGCAAUACUGAAUAGGGUACGAUGUCCUUUUCCUGAUGUAAUUGGAGUAUGACAUGAGGAGGAUGGGACAUACUGAGGAGGCACUAGUUCCUUUUAAUUUCUCCUUAAGAAACACAUUUAAAUCUCUACUUUAUGUUUUUCCAUAUAUUCUCCUUCAGGCAACCAGUCCUCAAACAGGCGGUCAGCAAACUGGUGGAAGUUUAAAAGCAAUGAAGGAUAAAUCCAGUCAAGCAGAGAAAGAAGCAAAUGAAGCUUCUGCUUUAAAGACUGCAGGCCCUGAAGGAGAAAUAACAGCAGGUUUGUGAAAAAAAACUGUCUGCAUCUUAUGUUAUUAGGCUUUACUGAAAAUUUCUUCUUAAUGUUGUUAUUGCUGUGUGUUGUGUAGUGUUUUAUUAUUGUGUCAAUGAUUACUGAAUUCAGAAGGCUGUCUAUCUUUUCCUUUUAUUUGAGUGAAAGAUCUUUUAGCUCUGGUUAAUGGUCUCUUGACUUUCCGGAAUUGUUAUGAUUUUAAGUCCUGAUGGAGGCCUUCAUUGAAAGAUAUUUAAACAACAUUUUUAAUCUAUUGAAAGAAAUGAUCAUGGGUUACUAGAUGGGCUUGAUUCGUUAGUCUAUUAACCUUGGAUGCAUUUGAUCUAUAACAAUACCUGUGGUACGUCAUUGACUGGAAUCAUUUGCAUUCAUAGUCGUUCACUAGAAUCAUUUGAAUACCACUAUACUGCUUUCCGAUUCUCUGGGGGUAACCUUGCUGUUGCUUGUGUUGAAAUAAGCCGAGAUUCAUGGGGGUGGAUAAGUUUUGAACAUCAAACUCUUUCUUGGAUUGAGUGUCAUGGUCUUCUAGCUUAUGCUGCAUUGGCUUGUUCAUUUUGUCCCUUGGACUGCAUUUGGAGGAAUAGAUGCCUGAAUUCAGUAUGAGCAAAGUUAAGAGUAGAUAAUAUACAUCAAAUAUUGUCUGGAUGGAAAAUUGUGGAUUCCAAUUUGUGGGACAAGUCUCUGAUUGCUAAAGUAGUAUUAACUAGGGUUGGUCCCAGAUGUGUAUCUUGACAUUUUCUUUAACCUUCAUUACUUUUUCAUCAAGCCAUAAAGUGCCUGCAUACAAGUUGAAGACCGGGAAACUUGCAACUGCUGCGCAAGACGAUAUACUGUUGUAGCAGAUAAUUAGCUAUUCAAUAAUUUUGGUUUAUCUCAUUAGUAUUUGUGGAAUGCCUUUGAAAUCCUUGAUUAGUAUUUGUGGAAUGCCUUUGAAAUCCUUGCAUGCAUGGUUCAUAUCCCAGCAGUUUAUGGAUAAAGGCAUGUUAAUCCCCCUCUAGAUGAAAUUACUUAAUUGCUUAAAUGAGUUUUUUUUUAGAAGUUUGUGACUAUUUUUUGUUGUCCAGGUUUCUUGUUGAAGAAAAGUGCAAAAACUAAUGGAUGGAGCAAGCGAUGGUUUGUUUUGAAUGAGAAGACUGGAAAGGUUUGUAACUAACAUUUUGUCCCAUACGCUUACAUUUUUUAGACAUGGAGUAGUAAUGCUAUUCAGAUGUUUUAAGUGCUUUUGGGCAUGGUAUCUAACCUUUGUUAAAUGAUUUUAGCGUUACAAAAUUUUUAAAAUGAGUUACAUUCUAGCCUCCAUUCUCUUAUUUUUUAUGUUUUUGCAUUAAAGAAAUAUAGGACACUGUUAUGAUAGGCAUGAUUUAAUCUCAAUCAUCCUUUGUUUGACAGCUGGGCUACAACAAAAAGCAAGAGGAAAAGCAUUUUCGUGGUGUCAUUGCUUUGGAGGUAUGGAGAAUUAUUACUCUGUUUCAGUUUUGGUAUUAUAUUAUUUAUUCUUUUGUCACAACCUUUUUUCACCAUUUUGUCGUUUAUUGCCGUCUUACUGGCUGGACAGGAGUAAGAGUUGUAUAUGAAUAAGCCUAUAAAUAACCUUUAUCAAUGAAGUUUGCCUUAAUACUGCAAUCGGAACACUUUCUAAGUUAAAAUGGAUAAAGAUGGCCUAUGAUAAAUUUAACAAGGUAACAGUGGCCUCACAUACUAACGAACUUCAAGUAAAAUAUUUUAAGCUUUUUUCUUUGUUUUCUUUGGAUACAUGCUACCCAGUGUUCAUUCCUUUGGAUGUUACUUUCAAUAUUUUACCAAGUAGCUUCCGUUUUGAGCUGUUUUUCAUCUCACUUCGCAAUAAUGUAUGUACAUUUGCUGGUGCAGGAAUGUAAUAUUGAGUAGAUUCCGGAGGAGGAGGAACCUCCAGCAAAAAGUUCAAAGGAUAAAAAGGCUAAUGGACCUGAUUCUGGGAAAGCACCAAGUCUUGUAUUUAAGAUUACUAGCAAAAUUCCUUAUAAAACUGUUCUGAAAGGUAUUCUUAAUGUU
rnacentral:lncRNA from 1 species